rnacentral:lncRNA from 1 species
NNNNNNNNNNNNNNNNNNNNNNNNNNNNNNNNNNNNNNNNNNNNNNNNNNNNNNNNNNNNNNNNNNNNNNNNNNNNNNNNNNNNNNNNNNNNNNNNNNNNNNNNNNNNNNNNNNNNNNNNNNNNNNNNNNNNNNNNNNNNNNNNNNNNNNNNNNNNNNNNNNNNNNNNNNNNNNNNNNNNNNNNNNNNNNNNNNNNNNNNNNNNNNNNNNNNNNNNNNNNNNNNNNNNNNNNNNNNNNNNNNNNNNNNNNNNNNNNNNNNNNNNNNNNNNNNNNNNNNNNNNNNNNNNNNNNNNNNNNNNNNNNNNNNNNNNNNNNNNNNNNNNNNNNNNNNNNNNNNNNNNNNNNNNNNNNNNNNNNNNNNNNNNNNNNNNNNNNNNNNNNNNNNNNNNNNNNNNNNNNNNNNNNNNNNNNNNNNNNNNNNNNNNNNNNNNNNNNNNNNNNNNNNNNNNNNNNNNNNNNNNNNNNNNNNNNNNNNNNNNNNNNNNNNNNNNNNNNNNNNNNNNNNNNNNNNNNNNNNNNNNNNNNNNNNNNNNNNNNNNNNNNNNNNNNNNNNNNNNNNNNNNNNNNNNNNNNNNNNNNNNNNNNNNNNNNNNNNNNNNNNNNNNNNNNNNNNNNNNNNNNNNNNNNNNNNNNNNNNNNNNNNNNNNNNNNNNNNNNNNNNNNNNNNNNNNNNNNNNNNNNNNNNNNNNNNNNNNNNNNNNNNNNNNNNNNNNNNNNNNNNNNNNNNNNNNNNNNNNNNNNNNNNNNNNNNNNNNNNNNNNNNNNNNNNNNNNNNNNNNNNNNNNNNNNNNNNNNNNNNNNNNNNNNNNNNNNNNNNNNNNNNNNNNNNNNNNNNNNNNNNNNNNNNNNNNNNNNNNNNNNNNNNNNNNNNNNNNNNNNNNNNNNNNNNNNNNNNNNNNNNNNNNNNNNNNNNNNNNNNNNNNNNNNNNNNNNNNNNNNNNNNNNNNNNNNNNNNNNNNNNNNNNNNNNNNNNNNNNNNNNNNNNNNNNNNNNNNNNNNNNNNNNNNNNNNNNNNNNNNNNNNNNNNNNNNNNNNNNNNNNNNNNNNNNNNNNNNNNNNNNNNNNNNNNNNNNNNNNNNNNNNNNNNNNNNNNNNNNNNNNNNNNNNNNNNNNNNNNNNNNNNNNNNNNNNNNNNNNNNNNNNNNNNNNNNNNNNNNNNNNNNNNNNNNNNNNNNNNNNNNNNNNNNNNNNNNNNNNNNNNNNNNNNNNNNNNNNNNNNNNNNNNNNNNNNNNNNNNNNNNNNNNNNNNNNNNNNNNNNNNNNNNNNNNNNNNNNNNNNNNNNNNNNNNNNNNNNNNNNNNNNNNNNNNNNNNNNNNNNNNNNNNNNNNNNNNNNNNNNNNNNNNNNNNNNNNNNNNNNNNNNNNNNNNNNNNNNNNNNNNNNNNNNNNNNNNNNNNNNNNNNNNNNNNNNNNNNNNNNNNNNNNNNNNNNNNNNNNNNNNNNNNNNNNNNNNNNNNNNNNNNNNNNNNNNNNNNNNNNNNNNNNNNNNNNNNNNNNNNNNNNNNNNNNNNNNNNNNNNNNNNNNNNNNNNNNNNNNNNNNNNNNNNNNNNNNNNNNNNNNNNNNNNNNNNNNNNNNNNNNNNNNNNNNNNNNNNNNNNNNNNNNNNNNNNNNNNNNNNNNNNNNNNNNNNNNNNNNNNNNNNNNNNNNNNNNNNNNNNNNNNNNNNNNNNNNNNNNNNNNNNNNNNNNNNNNNNNNNNNNNNNNNNNNNNNNNNNNNNNNNNNNNNNNNNNNNNNNNNNNNNNNNNNNNNNNNNNNNNNNNNNNNNNNNNNNNNNNNNNNNNNNNNNNNNNNNNNNNNNNNNNNNNNNNNNNNNNNNNNNNNNNNNNNNNNNNNNNNNNNNNNNNNNNNNNNNNNNNNNNNNNNNNNNNNNNNNNNNNNNNNNNNNNNNNNNNNNNNNNNNNNNNNNNNNNNNNNNNNNNNNNNNNNNNNNNNNNNNNNNNNNNNNNNNNNNNNNNNNNNNNNNNNNNNNNNNNNNNNNNNNNNNNNNNNNNNNNNNNNNNNNNNNNNNNNNNNNNNNNNNNNNNNNNNNNNNNNNNNNNNNNNNNNNNNNNNNNNNNNNNNNNNNNNNNNNNNNNNNNNNNNNNNNNNNNNNNNNNNNNNNNNNNNNNNNNNNNNNNNNNNNNNNNNNNNNNNNNNNNNNNNNNNNNNNNNNNNNNNNNNNNNNNNNNNNNNNNNNNNNNNNNNNNNNNNNNNNNNNNNNNNNNNNNNNNNNNNNNNNNNNNNNNNNNNNNNNNNNNNNNNNNNNNNNNNNNNNNNNNNNNNNNNNNNNNNNNNNNNNNNNNNNNNNNNNNNNNNNNNNNNNNNNNNNNNNNNNNNNNNNNNNNNNNNNNNNNNNNNNNNNNNNNNNNNNNNNNNNNNNNNNNNNNNNNNNNNNNNNNNNNNNNNNNNNNNNNNNNNNNNNNNNNNNNNNNNNNNNNNNNNNNNNNNNNNNNNNNNNNNNNNNNNNNNNNNNNNNNNNNNNNNNNNNNNNNNNNNNNNNNNNNNNNNNNNNNNNNNNNNNNNNNNNNNNNNNNNNNNNNNNNNNNNNNNNNNNNNNNNNNNNNNNNNNNNNNNNNNNNNNNNNNNNNNNNNNNNNNNNNNNNNNNNNNNNNNNNNNNNNNNNNNNNNNNNNNNNNNNNNNNNNNNNNNNNNNNNNNNNNNNNNNNNNNNNNNNNNNNNNNNNNNNNNNNNNNNNNNNNNNNNNNNNNNNNNNNNNNNNNNNNNNNNNNNNNNNNNNNNNNNNNNNNNNNNNNNNNNNNNNNNNNNNNNNNNNNNNNNNNNNNNNNNNNNNNNNNNNNNNNNNNNNNNNNNNNNNNNNNNNNNNNNNNNNNNNNNNNNNNNNNNNNNNNNNNNNNNNNNNNNNNNNNNNNNNNNNNNNNNNNNNNNNNNNNNNNNNNNNNNNNNNNNNNNNNNNNNNNNNNNNNNNNNNNNNNNNNNNNNNNNNNNNNNNNNNNNNNNNNNNNNNNNNNNNNNNNNNNNNNNNNNNNNNNNNNNNNNNNNNNNNNNNNNNNNNNNNNNNNNNNNNNNNNNNNNNNNNNNNNNNNNNNNNNNNNNNNNNNNNNNNNNNNNNNNNNNNNNNNNNNNNNNNNNNNNNNNNNNNNNNNNNNNNNNNNNNNNNNNNNNNNNNNNNNNNNNNNNNNNNNNNNNNNNNNNNNNNNNNNNNNNNNNNNNNNNNNNNNNNNNNNNNNNNNNNNNNNNNNNNNNNNNNNNNNNNNNNNNNNNNNNNNNNNNNNNNNNNNNNNNNNNNNNNNNNNNNNNNNNNNNNNNNNNNNNNNNNNNNNNNNNNNNNNNNNNNNNNNNNNNNNNNNNNNNNNNNNNNNNNNNNNNNNNNNNNNNNNNNNNNNNNNNNNNNNNNNNNNNNNNNNNNNNNNNNNNNNNNNNNNNNNNNNNNNNNNNNNNNNNNNNNNNNNNNNNNNNNNNNNNNNNNNNNNNNNNNNNNNNNNNNNNNNNNNNNNNNNNNNNNNNNNNNNNNNNNNNNNNNNNNNNNNNNNNNNNNNNNNNNNNNNNNNNNNNNNNNNNNNNNNNNNNNNNNNNNNNNNNNNNNNNNNNNNNNNNNNNNNNNNNNNNNNNNNNNNNNNNNNNNNNNNNNNNNNNNNNNNNNNNNNNNNNNNNNNNNNNNNNNNNNNNNNNNNNNNNNNNNNNNNNNNNNNNNNNNNNNNNNNNNNNNNNNNNNNNNNNNNNNNNNNNNNNNNNNNNNNNNNNNNNNNNNNNNNNNNNNNNNNNNNNNNNNNNNNNNNNNNNNNNNNNNNNNNNNNNNNNNNNNNNNNNNNNNNNNNNNNNNNNNNNNNNNNNNNNNNNNNNNNNNNNNNNNNNNNNNNNNNNNNNNNNNNNNNNNNNNNNNNNNNNNNNNNNNNNNNNNNNNNNNNNNNNNNNNNNNNNNNNNNNNNNNNNNNNNNNNNNNNNNNNNNNNNNNNNNNNNNNNNNNNNNNNNNNNNNNNNNNNNNNNNNNNNNNNNNNNNNNNNNNNNNNNNNNNNNNNNNNNNNNNNNNNNNNNNNNNNNNNNNNNNNNNNNNNNNNNNNNNNNNNNNNNNNNNNNNNNNNNNNNNNNNNNNNNNNNNNNNNNNNNNNNNNNNNNNNNNNNNNNNNNNNNNNNNNNNNNNNNNNNNNNNNNNNNNNNNNNNNNNNNNNNNNNNNNNNNNNNNNNNNNNNNNNNNNNNNNNNNNNNNNNNNNNNNNNNNNNNNNNNNNNNNNNNNNNNNNNNNNNNNNNNNNNNNNNNNNNNNNNNNNNNNNNNNNNNNNNNNNNNNNNNNNNNNNNNNNNNNNNNNNNNNNNNNNNNNNNNNNNNNNNNNNNNNNNNNNNNNNNNNNNNNNNNNNNNNNNNNNNNNNNNNNNNNNNNNNNNNNNNNNNNNNNNNNNNNNNNNNNNNNNNNNNNNNNNNNNNNNNNNNNNNNNNNNNNNNNNNNNNNNNNNNNNNNNNNNNNNNNNNNNNNNNNNNNNNNNNNNNNNNNNNNNNNNNNNNNNNNNNNNNNNNNNNNNNNNNNNNNNNNNNNNNNNNNNNNNNNNNNNNNNNNNNNNNNNNNNNNNNNNNNNNNNNNNNNNNNNNNNNNNNNNNNNNNNNNNNNNNNNNNNNNNNNNNNNNNNNNNNNNNNNNNNNNNNNNNNNNNNNNNNNNNNNNNNNNNNNNNNNNNNNNNNNNNNNNNNNNNNNNNNNNNNNNNNNNNNNNNNNNNNNNNNNNNNNNNNNNNNNNNNNNNNNNNNNNNNNNNNNNNNNNNNNNNNNNNNNNNNNNNNNNNNNNNNNNNNNNNNNNNNNNNNNNNNNNNNNNNNNNNNNNNNNNNNNNNNNNNNNNNNNNNNNNNNNNNNNNNNNNNNNNNNNNNNNNNNNNNNNNNNNNNNNNNNNNNNNNNNNNNNNNNNNNNNNNNNNNNNNNNNNNNNNNNNNNNNNNNNNNNNNNNNNNNNNNNNNNNNNNNNNNNNNNNNNNNNNNNNNNNNNNNNNNNNNNNNNNNNNNNNNNNNNNNNNNNNNNNNNNNNNNNNNNNNNNNNNNNNNNNNNNNNNNNNNNNNNNNNNNNNNNNNNNNNNNNNNNNNNNNNNNNNNNNNNNNNNNNNNNNNNNNNNNNNNNNNNNNNNNNNNNNNNNNNNNNNNNNNNNNNNNNNNNNNNNNNNNNNNNNNNNNNNNNNNNNNNNNNNNNNNNNNNNNNNNNNNNNNNNNNNNNNNNNNNNNNNNNNNNNNNNNNNNNNNNNNNNNNNNNNNNNNNNNNNNNNNNNNNNNNNNNNNNNNNNNNNNNNNNNNNNNNNNNNNNNNNNNNNNNNNNNNNNNNNNNNNNNNNNNNNNNNNNNNNNNNNNNNNNNNNNNNNNNNNNNNNNNNNNNNNNNNNNNNNNNNNNNNNNNNNNNNNNNNNNNNNNNNNNNNNNNNNNNNNNNNNNNNNNNNNNNNNNNNNNNNNNNNNNNNNNNNNNNNNNNNNNNNNNNNNNNNNNNNNNNNNNNNNNNNNNNNNNNNNNNNNNNNNNNNNNNNNNNNNNNNNNNNNNNNNNNNNNNNNNNNNNNNNNNNNNNNNNNNNNNNNNNNNNNNNNNNNNNNNNNNNNNNNNNNNNNNNNNNNNNNNNNNNNNNNNNNNNNNNNNNNNNNNNNNNNNNNNNNNNNNNNNNNNNNNNNNNNNNNNNNNNNNNNNNNNNNNNNNNNNNNNNNNNNNNNNNNNNNNNNNNNNNNNNNNNNNNNNNNNNNNNNNNNNNNNNNNNNNNNNNNNNNNNNNNNNNNNNNNNNNNNNNNNNNNNNNNNNNNNNNNNNNNNNNNNNNNNNNNNNNNNNNNNNNNNNNNNNNNNNNNNNNNNNNNNNNNNNNNNNNNNNNNNNNNNNNNNNNNNNNNNNNNNNNNNNNNNNNNNNNNNNNNNNNNNNNNNNNNNNNNNNNNNNNNNNNNNNNNNNNNNNNNNNNNNNNNNNNNNNNNNNNNNNNNNNNNNNNNNNNNNNNNNNNNNNNNNNNNNNNNNNNNNNNNNNNNNNNNNNNNNNNNNNNNNNNNNNNNNNNNNNNNNNNNNNNNNNNNNNNNNNNNNNNNNNNNNNNNNNNNNNNNNNNNNNNNNNNNNNNNNNNNNNNNNNNNNNNNNNNNNNNNNNNNNNNNNNNNNNNNNNNNNNNNNNNNNNNNNNNNNNNNNNNNNNNNNNNNNNNNNNNNNNNNNNNNNNNNNNNNNNNNNNNNNNNNNNNNNNNNNNNNNNNNNNNNNNNNNNNNNNNNNNNNNNNNNNNNNNNNNNNNNNNNNNNNNNNNNNNNNNNNNNNNNNNNNNNNNNNNUGAUCGAAAGGAUUCAAAAUCAAUAAUUUUUAAUGGUUGAUAUCUGUCGUUUUCAAGUUUAACGGUGUAGAAGUAUUCAAAUCAGAUGAAAUUUUGAUACAAAAUUCUUUAUACUAUCUACAACAAGAUCAAUAUUUCUGAUCGAAAAUUUUAGUGCUAUAUCACCACUUUUUAUAGAAUUUUUAUUUCCAGCCGUUAAAAAUUAUUAAUUUUGAAUUUUUUCGAUUGCUACGAAAAUAAUAUCGAAAAAUCACAAAAAUUAUUUUACAGAAACUUCAAAUACACUAGAUCAAGUCUAACCGAGCAGAUCGUCGAUUCGGAAGUCCCAUCAUCGAAAAUGGCUCAGGAGCACGGAGGGCUCCGUACUCCUGAGAGCACACAAGAUCUACUCACAUAGAGCAGGGCUGCUGUGCUCUCAGGACUCAAGAGCACGGAGGGCUCCGUGCUCCUGAGAGCACACAAGAUCUACUAUAUAUAUAUAUAUAUAUAUAUAGAGAGAGAGAGAGAGAGAGAGAGAGAGAGAGAGAGAUGGCUAAAAUACUCUCAAAAGCAUCAAGGGGUUGGUGUUUUUGAGUUUUUAGUAAUUGGAUGGAGAGAUGCAGGGUUGAGAUGAUGAUGGUAGGUGGAGGUAGGUGGAAUAGUAUUUGAUCUAAAGGUUAUUAGUAAUCAAGAAAUAGAUCCAAGGGCUAGAAACUCAAAAGCACCAAGGGUUUGUUGCUUUUGAGAGUAUUCUAGCUCAAUUCUAUAUAUAUAUAGAGAGAGAGAGAGUCCGAUUACUGUACUCUUAUGAGUACGAUCGUCCUCGUACUCAUAAGUCAUUUUUUAUAAUAGAGCUUCCGAGUCGACGAUCGAUACAGUUAAACGUUAUUUAGAACAUUUAAAACUUCUAGAAAUCAAAUUUCAUAAUUUUUCGACAUCAUUUAACUUACGAUCAAAAGGUCACAAAAUUGACAAUUUUUAACGACCGGUAUAAGAUAUUUGCCAGCUUAACGAUGUAAAAAAAUCGGAAUCGAUUGAAUUUUUUAUAAAAAAAAUUCUAUUCACUACCUAAAUAGAGAUUAAUAACUCCGAUCUUAAAUUUAAGGAUCUGAUCAUCUAUCUUUAAGACGUCGUUCAAUUUUGACCGUUCAUUUUAUACCUGCUUGAUGGAAUUUAUUAUGAUUUCGAAAAAAUUACGAUAUUUAUUUUCCAGAAGUUUCAAAUACUCUAGAUCAUAUUUAACAAAGUGGAUGUCGAUUCAAAAGCUCCAUUAUCGAAAGCAACUUAUGCGUACGAAGAGCUCUAUACUCAUAAGAGUAUAGUAACCCUACUCUCUCUCUCUCUCUCUCUCUCUCUCUCUUCCUCUAUAUAUAUAUAUAUUAUAUAGUGCCGUAGGAAUGCUUAUGGAGCACGGAGGCUCCGUGGGGACUCAAUCCACUCUUUGUUUUCGAUGUUCGACUUUCGAAUCGAGAUCGGCGAUCCGUAGACUUGAUCUAUGAGUAUGUGAAGUUAUCUAGAAAAUAAAUUUUAGCGAUUUGUUCGAUAUCAUUUGCCUAGUGAUGCAAAGCGCGGUCAAUAAUCAUACGCUGAAAAUCCAAAAACUUACCAAUAUGAUUGAUAGACAAUAAAUUUUAGGUCAAAGUUGUUGAUUCUGUGUUUAAGUAUGUAAUAGAGAAUUUUUAUCAAAAUUUCAUGUGAUUUGGAUAUUUCUAACAGCACGACCGUUAAACCUUGCAACCGGCUCACCACGCGCCGUUAAAUAUUAUUGAUUUUGAGCCCCUUCGAUCAAACAGGCAAAUGAAUAAUCAAAAAAUCAAUAAAUUUAUUUUUCUAGGUAUUUCAAUUACCAGAUUCAAUACUGCUAACGGAGCGAUCGUUCGAUUCGAAAGUCCAAAUCAUCAAAACAACUUGAAUCACUUAAGGCCCGGGUUGCUUCUAUAAACAUACCAGGCGCACUAUAUAUUAAUAAUAUAUAUAUAUAUAUAUAUAAUAUAUAUAUUAUAUACAUAUAAUAUAUAUAUAUAUAUAUAUAUAUAUAUAUAGUUGCACUAUAGUUUUAACUAAUUGAACGCUGGGUAGGUAAGCUUGCGCCAAAUUGAUACCUCAUUUUUUCGAAUUAUCUCUACAAACAGUCUAAGAAUGGUAAGAAUAAGCAAUUAUUGAGAAAAACAGUAAUGCUAAAAUCACACAAAAUUCUGCCAAAUGGUCUACAUGAAAAUUUUCUGCCAUUAGAGAGCAGAGACCUCUCAGGUGGAAAUCACUGUAGAACAUGUGUCAGCGAACCGCACACUGGCGUCGCAUAAGCAUAAUAGAUAAAAAAAAAAAAAAUGUAAUCUCAAACAGUCUACUUGAAAGGAGACAAUAAAUAAAUCCUCCACCCUACAACUCUCCCUGAUGAUCUGCAUGGACAAAGCCAGUAGCAUCAUAGAUGCCUUAGUCGGUCUUCGAUUCGAUGACCCUCUUGGCGAAAGAGGGCAGACAAAAUGCAGCAGAAUGGAUCUGAAGAAGGAUAACAAAAACCAGACAAGUAAAAUAUUUUCAUACGACAAACAUUCAGUUGAAUUUAUUUAGAAAUAAAAUCUUUUGUGUGGAAAAAAUCGGAGUCCGAGUUGAUUCCAUUCUGUCUUUUGUUGUUUUGGUAAAAGAUGAGAAAUCAUUUUAAUAUGUUUCCUUUUCCUAAUCUUUCUUUUCUUAAUAUGGUAAAAAGGAUAAUAUAACUAUCUCUAGAAGAGGCACUUUUAAAGAGUAUCACUAACACCCUGAUUGGCUUCACACCCUGUUUGGAUUGCUCAAAUUCUAGUAUCCUCAACAACUAGAAUUAAAUUCUCAACAAACUGGAAUUCUAGUUUUCCUAAUUACAUUAUUUCGUAUCAUUAAUUAAUGGGAUUCUUAUUCAUUCAGAAAAAUUUGAAAGUGAUUUCUCAUAUACAAAUGGCUCUCAUCCAAUUUCCAUGAUGUGAAUAAUCCAAAAGCACCCCGUCUAAAAAUAUUUAUCUUAUCUAUCUUAUCAUGCCGUUAAGGAUACAUUUGGAAAAGUAAACAUAUUGAAAUGAAAUCUCAUAUUGCACCAAGCAACAAAACACACAGUGAAAUUCAAUUGAACUCCAAUUUUUUCCAAACAGAAGAUUUCAUUUCUAAACUGGAUUCUUGUCAUUUGAACUCUAUUGAACUCCAAUUAGAUCUGCUGUCAAACAGACUGUAAAUCAAAUGAACUCUCACUAAAUCCGACAUCAAAUCAUGGGAAUUUGAUCGAAAUCAUUCGCAUUAUGAGAAAUCCUACCAAAACCUUCAAAAUUAAUUGAAAUCCCAUUAACUAUUGGUUUAAAAUCAUGAAUAAAAUAUAAAUCCAAUUCUUGAGAAUUCUAAGAUUUGAGACGACCAAAAAGGGUGAGGACUUUUUUAAAAAAAUGGCCCUUAAAAAAUUUAUAAUUUGCUAAACAACCCUGUCAAAAUUUUAAUUAGCAAACUAACCCUAUUUUGUCCGACUCAACGCCAUGAUGGAAAGAAAUGUGAAAUGCGAUGAUUCAUUCACUGUGUUCAAUAAGACUUUAAAAGCGGUGAAUCAUUCACCGUGUUCAAUAAGAUAUCAAAAGCGGUGAAUCAUUCACCAUCUUUAGAAAAUCUUAUUGUUAUUUGUGGGAUUUAUACAUGAGUUCUUAAGCUUUUUAUGGAAUUGUUAGGAUAGUAUGUGAGUUGUUGGAAUUUUUAUUUAGUUGUUAUGAUUGUAUUGCGAGUUGUUAGAAUUUUUGUGAGUUUGUUAGAAUUAUAUGUUGGUUGUUGGAAUUUUUAUGUGAUUAUUAGAAUUGUAUGAGAAGAACAUACGAAAGAAAUGGUGAAUCAUUCACCACUUUAUUUCUAAAGAGAAAAAGAGUAAACAAUUUACUGCUUUUAUGUUUUGUUAAAACGGUGAAUAGUUCACCGUCUUUCAAUUUGUGCUCCAUCCUGGGGCCGAGUUGGGCCCCAGGUUGGACAAAACAGGGUUAUUGGGCCAAAUACAUUUUUAAAGGGAUUAUUUGGCCAAAAACAUUAUUUUUAAGAGUUAUUAUGUAAAAAAAAAAAAAAAAAAAAAUUGAGGGUGGAAGAAAAAAUUAUACCUCUGAAUUGUAGAAUUUGAGGGGUCCUUUUGAUUUGUUGGAUUCGUCAUUCUCUUCUAUCUUGUAGACUGGAUGCUGAAAGUCGACUGACGGCCCUUCAGUGGAGCAAAGCAUGAAACCAAUAACCCCACUGCAUUAACAGAACAAUGUACAUGAAUUGCCCGUCAUUUUUUUUAUCAAAGAUUUAAAAAUAGGUGUUCAUAAGAAGAGUGUUGAAAUUAAUGUGAAGCAUACCUUGGGUAAGUAGGCACGGUUGUCCAUGCAUAAUUUACUGAGCCCUUGAAGACUUGGCGGCACACAGAAACAAUAUCUUCGAUGAUGUGCAUAUGCAACCAUAUGCUCUCUGCUUGGGUGCACACAACACCCCCUGGACGGAGCGCUCUUGCCACUGAUUCGAAAAAAGGCUUCUCAAACAGUUCUUGAGCAGGACCUGAUUCAGCCAAAAUGGAUUACCAUAUGCCAAAAAAUAAAAAAUACAUAAAGAGUAGGUUAUAAAUCUCCAAAGCUCACCGAUGGGAUCAGAGGAAUCCACGAUAACUGCAUCAUAAGUGCCUUCAGGAAGGCUCUUCAUGAAUGCCACUCCUGUUUGUAUGAGAAAAAGAAGGAAAGUUACACUAGUUAACCAAUACAAAGAACUUUUUUUGUUUUUAUUAUUAGGAGAAAGCUGUAGGCAUGGGAAAAAAGUUGAGAGGAUGUGAAACAUUUUUUUGAACAGUAACAUGAGAUUUAUAAACAUCCUAUGUCGAGGCUCGUCGAAAGUGCAGCCUUUCCAUCAAUUGCACUGAAUGAACUUCUACUCGUGUAUAUUGAUCCUCUAACCACAAAUGGCAGUCAACACAUCUACAAUAUAAGUUGUGGAUGCGGGUUAUAAUGUCACACAACAAAUUGGUUACUCCAGCUAUGAAAGAAAGGUAUCAUUAAUUCGCCACAACAACCACAAUUCCCAUUACAGUCACCACAAUUUCCAUUACAGUUGUAAUCCUAACAUUAGGAGCUACAAGUAAGUUGCAUUCACUACCCAUAGCUUACCAAAAUGACAAUUACUAAAAUCCCAGUGGUGAAGCAAACUGCCAGUGACCAAAACGAAGUUGCACUAGAUGAUAUAUAGUCACAAUGGGUCACUAAAAAUUUAUAAAAGUAGUACUAAUAGUCCUACUAAUUGUACAUCCAUCAAUCAUAUACAAUCUGCUUUACGAUAAUAUAUCUAUCUCUAGGUUUAAUGUUUCUUGUGAAGCUAACAAAACACGAAACAAGUUACAAAAGCCUCAUUUGCUAUUGUCGCCAUUCUCCUUUUGUUUUUUACAUAGAAUUUCUACAUGAAAUAGUGCAGGAGUGGAUAGUGGAUUGCUUGCAAUCCUUACAUCUAAGGUAUUUAUUUGGCAACAAAAACCAAAACUUGGAACCAACUUUUUUUUUAACACUACCAAGAUUUUCUCUGAGCUAAUUAUCAUCUACCACUUGGCUGGAGUGCAUUACAAGCUAAUCAACCAUGAGGACGAAAGUUUUUUUUGCUAGUAUAUCAAAUUAUAUAGAGUUAGCGCUUAAAAAACCAAUAAAAUGGCAACAAUGUCAAACAAGGCCAAAACUUCUUGCUGUCAUGAGACCACAUCAUAGUAUUAGACCUUAAAGAACAUAUUGACAAGUGGGAAACCGUAUUUUUUUAAUUCAAAAUAUUGGUGCAGAUAAAUUCACAAGCAUCAGCCAGAACUAGCUGAAACUGAUACAAAACUGUUGACAGAAAGUAGGCCAAGGCUACUGAAACAAAUGAAAUUCAAAACCACUGAAACCCACACACCAAAACUACUAGACUAGCAAAACUAAAAAAAUUAAAACGAUUCCAAAAGAUCCCAGCCGAAACAGUCCAUUUUGGUUGAAACUUACUAGCUCCAAACACAAGUUUUGAGCCCAGUCCAUUAGCCCUCAACUCAUGCAUAGGAGUGUGAUACUACCGGACAGCGGUGCAUUGAAUGUGUACGGUUCUGUGGCCUCUUCCGGUUAGUUUUACAAGCUAGAAAGUGGCAUGGUAAAUAAAAGGGGGCAAAAAUUCCAUACUAAUCUAAGGUAAGACUAAAGAAAGAUCUAGAAAUACACAAAAUUUGAAAUUUAGGAUGCCAAAAGAAUGUAAUAGAAUGCAAAACUAUCAGAACCUUUAUAACAAAGAGCGGACAACAGAACGCUGAUCACGUAUUUUAAGCAGUGGUUAAAGGCUUCGAAGGAAAAUUUGAUAUAGCAAGUGGCAUGUAACUAAGGUGGUAAAGAAAACCAGGCAGAGUUGAUUCUUAUAUCAUCCCUUACGACAAUUGAUGAAAUAAGGAGAAGAUCCGCCAAACGAACAAGCGGCUAGUGGGUAGUGUAUGACUAUCAGGAUUUGAUCCCACUAUUAGAAAGUUGCUAAGCUUAAGAUACUCUGCUUACUUGUGUUUGACUUGACUGAGCCUGAAACCUAUUUAAAUAAAUGAUCUUACAUAGUAUCUACAUGUCUGGAAUUCAUAUCUGAUUAUCUGUGUAAAAAGAAAGUUAUCAAAAUUUUACUUCAAUAUAAGAUAUAAAAUCAUAAGGAGAAUAUGGAACACCUGAAAUCUUUACCUACACUUCCAUUGUUUACUUGCAAAUAAUCAUAUCAUCUUUCAUGAUUAAAAUCAAACAAAAAAGGUCAGCUCAAACUAGCAGACACCAAGCUUUCCUAUUAAACAUGUUGAUGAAAAAUAAACGCAAGCUGAAACUAAGUUGAGCCAUGCACAAUUGGGAACUGAUCAGUAUUUGAAAAAGCGCAAGGCGCAAAGGCCUUAUAGAGCCAAGGCCCGAGGUGCACCGGGAGGCGCGGGCGCAUAUCUAUUAAAAAUAAAACACUCUUAACAAGCCUAUUUUAAAUGAAUGUUUUAUGUUAAAAAAUUUGAAAAUACCUAUACAAAAACAAAAUAACCAUAAAAAAAUAAAGAAAUCGCAUACAUAAAUGUUCUAAGCCUAAAAAUAAAAAAAUUAUGUUUCAUCUUUCAACUUAAAAGUACUUGCUGCUGCUUCUUGCUUCUUGUCGUCGCUACUUAUUACCAUUGGGGGAGUGGAAAUGAGAACGACCAAGAGAAAAGGGAAGGAAAACAUUCAAUUAGAACUUUUUUAAAGAAAAAUUCUUAGCAUUUUAGAAUAUAUUGAAGAAAAUCAAAACCCAAAAAUCCAAACCAUAGACACAUUAAACGUAAAUAUCACGAGGCGUGUCUGAGGUGCACGCCUCACUCCUUGAGGCACCGAGACUCGCGCCUUGCGCCUAGGCGCUUAGGCGGGCGCCUGAGGCGCACCUUUUCAAACACUGGAACUGAUACAAUAUAAUCAUAGCUUAUAAUUGUCAACUUAGGCAGGGUACAUUUUCAAGCCUAGGCAUAGAUGAUAUACUAAUAGAUGAACAAUUCUUACCAUCUCCAAUAUGUAGAUUCACACGGGGAUCUUCAAAUCCAAUAGCCAAGUGAGGGAAAAAUUGUUUAGAAACCUGGAAGGGGGAUGAAAAAUGUCAUAACUUUUGGAUGAUUUUGAGCAAAAACAAGGGGAAAAAAGAAAAAAAAAGAAAAAAAAAAGAAAAAAAAAAGAAAGAAAGAAGAGCUACUCCUGUUGUCCACUACGUAAGGAUGAAUAUGAAUCCAUUAUGUAUCGGAUAGCGGCCAAUCCAUAUCCAUAUCCACAUUUUUAUGUCAGAUCGGAAUCAGGAUUUGGAUACUGGUUGGAUAUUGAAACUCAAACCCAUAUCCAAUAAAAAUUGAUUCGGCUAUGGUUAAUGUAUUAAAUGGAUACAUAUACAAAUAGAAUAUUUAAUUAAUAUAUAGAACUAAAAGAAAAAAAGAUUUACCACGAUAUAUUUAAGGUUUCUAAUAUUUAUAAAUAAAUUAAAGAAAUUGAGAAUGUUAAAAAAAGAAUGUCAAAUAUGGAUUCAACAGACAUGUUAUAUAUUCAAAACAUAUUAAAACUAGUUUGGAUUCGGAUAAUCUGAAGCUGAAUCCAAACCCAAAGAAGAAUAAUGAACUGGAACCUGAAUUCAAAUCAAAGAAAAAUUCAAACCAGAGAUUUGAAUCUGAAUUCAAAUCUGAGUCGGAUAGUGAAUUCUCAAUCCAAAUCCGGUUUUCUUUUUGAUACAGUUGGAUAAGGCCAGAUAACAUUCUACCAUUUUUGCCCUAACUAGUGGACAAACAAAUACUACAUAAAUUGGUCAAUGUGUACAGCUCUCAUAUGAAGAAAAACAAACAAUAGAAAGGAAUACUCCACUAAAAGAGCAAUACACUAGCUUAAAGUAAUUUGUCACUAGAACUAUGAAGCCUAUUUAUUGCAAUUGUAAACCAAGGACUUUUUGGAAUAGCACCUUGUACGAAUUUCCUGCCUGAUUGCUUAAACGGAUGACUUGCUAGUUUUUGGGUAAUAGCAGCUACUAUUAUGUAAACUCCUAAAGAAGUUUCCAUAACAUCGAAGUUGGAACUUCAUACUCGUUAACGAGGCUUGUAAAAAGGCCAUAGUCACGGAAGAUAGAAGAUCAACUAUAUUGUAAUAACAAUAAAAAAACUAACCUUUCUUUAUAUUCAUUGUUCAAAAAUAAUAAAGGAACUAGGAAAUUGAAAUAUGAGUAAAUGAAGGAAAAAAAAAUAUGAUAAUCAGUAGAAGCUGAAAAAUCAUGAAAGAUUUAUUUAAAUGAACAAUAAGCCAGGGAAACACACAUUACUAAAACAUCAACAUAGUCAUAGCAAAGUAAAGGAAAAAUAAAAAUAAAAAUAAAAACUUGUUAGACUCACAUCAACAACCAUCUUAUCAAUUUCACAUAUGUCAAUUUGUUCCACUGAAGAAUAGCGUGAUACUUCACGUAGAACACCACCAUCACCACCUCCAAUAACCAAAAUCUGUAACAGCACCAGUGUUACUUAAACUAUUAAUAUACAAUAAAGAACAAAAGAAUUUUUUCUGUUCCUUCUAUAAGUUUGUCAGGAAUAUAGAAAGAGUUCAUUAUGAACACCCCAUAAGAAAAAUUGAAAGGGAAGCCAGCUACUCACCACUGAAAAUACACAUCAUACAAUACAGCAUGAAAUGACAGCAACUGAGAACUGUACAUGGUAAAAGUAUAACACUUUAAAAAAAAAGAUAUUUGGAAAUGUUAGAAGUCUAGAACUGUGCUAUUACUUUUUCCACAAUAUAGGCAUGCACUAUAUCAGUUAAUAUUGUUUGAUAGAUUUGGAAAUGUUAUUUUGUUCAAAAAGACAAGUUUGGAAGCCAACCAACAAUAACAAGAAUGGAGAAGUACGUCCGCUCGCACAUUUGAUUGCACAAGCAUUGAUUAUCAAAAAACAGUAAACAAGAGUGCAAGCAUACCAAACAAGGCCUUAGCGUGCUAGUUAGAUCAACCCGAGUCCAAAUUAAAUUUGAGAGAAGCCUAAAUGGACAUACAAUAAUACCCAUCUCUUACUCAGUAUACAUCUUACCAUCUCCCUCCCCCUCCCUUGCCCCCCUCGAUAGGCGGUAUAUAUCUUACUGCCUCUCUCCUUCCCCCUUUCCGGUUAUGAUUCCUUGCUGAAUAAUUAAUUUUCUACAAACUCUGAUCACCAUUUUCAGCUAAGGGCUCAUUUUGGUUGUUAGGUUAUCGGGGUCAAAAGGUAUUUUUUCCGUAUGUUCAACGUUCAACUCUAGACAGCCUUCUAUAAGCACAUUGUUGGUUUAGGCAAACAUGAUCCACCAAAAAAUGGUAAGUAAGAAUUGCAGCUUGAGAAAAGGACACAUCAUUUCUUAACCUUUCCAAAUAUUUGAAACUUCAUUACAUUUCUGUUGUCAAGCAUUUUGGAAAUGGAAAGUGGAUAUCCUUUAUCAAGGAUCGGAAAAAAAUAUUCCCCUAUGCAUGUACUUCUCCAUGAAAAUUCUUGAAUUAGACUCUCACUAUUUGCUUCUUAAUACAUUUAUCGACUCUUCAUACACAAUGUAUAAAGGUUAGCUAACCUGCUUCUUUCAGUAGUAGUAUGCUUUUCAACACGAAAUUCUCAGAGAAGCUUAUUGGCUACCAAAUAUGAGAACAAAAUGAACAAAUGAUGCACACUUUGUAGUUUAAAACAGUAUACAGGAAUAAGAAAGGAAUACUUGAUAAUAAAACGACCAAAAGGUUAAAACAGCACGGAGAAGGAUUAAACUCCUGUUUUUUCGUUUUCAAGAUGAAAAACUACUACCCAUGAAAAACUACAACAAAGAUGCAGCUCACUAUGAUGGCAGACAUGCAUAUGUGUGCACAUGCAAUGCCUAUGAGCACACGCACAUGCUUGUGAGCAUAUGCACACAUACACACAUGCUCAUGCACUGAUACACUGUGUACAUAUAGGGAUCUAUAUACACAAGAAACAAAAGAGAAACAAUAUUAUUUGAUUUACCUGACAAAAUUGAUCAGCUUACUGAUGAUAAAAACAGUCAUCCAAGAUUUCAGAGAACUCUGAUAUUGAGAAAUCAAGUGAAAUACAGUAAACCAACCUUUUUAGGAUCAGGGAUAGAGCAAAGUGAAAGAUGUGUGAUCAUUUCUUGGUAAGCACACUCAUCCCUUUCUGUCACUUGAAUGACUCCAUCCAAGACAAGAACUUUCCCAUAGGUAGAUGACUAGAGUUAAGAAUAGAAACAGCAUACAGAAUUAGAUAUAUAAGAUGGAACAAGGAUGUUAUAAUUCAAAACCUCUGUAUUGUUGCUAUGGCAAUAGAUUACCUGAAAAACCAAUACAUUUUGGUAGUCCGACUUCCCCUGAAACAAUACCUUCUCUACCUUUAAGGAGUGAGCUUCUCCUAUAAAAGUUAGAAACUUCAUUUAAACCAGAAUUCGUAACCAAAUUCAAUGGCAAUAUACCAAUAGCCAAUAGAUAAACAUCAUAAGCAUUACAUAGUUCAAUGUUGAAGAACUAAAGAAAGCACCAAAUUUACAACUAGAACAGGUAGACCAAAAGUUUGCGUACAUAAGAAUUUCACAAACUAUGCCAUACUGGAUAAUAUUGGGAAAGUACACUUAUUAUAUGCAGAACUAGCAUUCUAGUAUUGAUUCCUUGGCCUUAACGUUUUGGGUAAAGUUGUCAAGGCCCAUCAGGUUGCUACAACCAUAGAUCAAAUAAUGUUGUUUACAUAGGCAUCAAAGCCACUUCCAAAGGUACUAUCAUAUAAGGGAUGACAAUUAUGGGCACGACAUGCAUAACCGAGAUGACCUGUGUAACCACUUGAAGUUUCCAUUAGCUACCUGUGUAACCACUGGACCCGUCAAUGACCUAUUUAUAAACACAAAUUGUGAUAUAUAUAUAUAUAUAUAUAUAGAGAGAGAGAGAGAGAGAGAGAGAGAGAGAGAGAGCGCUAGGGUGCUAUAUUAUCGGUAGCACAGAGGCCUCCAUGCUAUCAAGUUGUUUUCAAUGAUGCGGCUUUUGAAUCGACGAUCGGCUCCGUUAGACUUGAUCUACACUAUUGAAAGUACUUGAAAACUAAAUUUCAUAAUUUUUCGACAUUAUUUGGCUAGUGAUCAAAAGAUCUCAAAAUUGACAAUUUUAAUGGUCGAUGUGAUGCGUUUAUGAAUUUAGCGAUGUAAAACAAUCCAAAUCUAAUGAAAAUUUUAUGGAAAAUUCUUUUCAUAUUUAGAAUAAGAACAGUACCUCUAAUCUUAAAUUUAAGUAUUUUAUCAUUAUUUUUUAUAAGAUUUUUAUUUUCAGCCGUUCAUUUUUAGACUGCUCGUUUGAUAGGUAAAUGAUGUCGAAAAAUUAUGAAAUUUAGUUUCCAAAUACUUUCAAUGGUGUAAGUCAAGUCUAACGGAGCCAAUCGUCCACUUGGUGCUACCAAGUUUUUCACCGUUAGAUUUACUUUUUUGACCAUUUCUAUCCGUUAGAUCAUUCUAUCCAACCAGCCACCAACUUAACCCUAGGAGAUCACUAUCAUCCUAAUAGCACAUCCCUUCAUGUAACAUACAAGGGCCGAAAACCAAAUAGCACCAAUGACUUAGUGCUAUUAGAAGCAUUCCAGCCUAAGUAUGUAUAUAUAUAUAGUUGAGUUGGAAUGCUAUCGAUAGCAAACGAGUUCCGUUGCCAUCCAUUUAUUUUCAAUAAUGAAGCCUCCAAAUCGACGAUCAGCAUUGUCGAACAUGAUCUAUACCACUUAAAGUAUCUAGAAAUCAAAUUUCAAAUAUUUUCAACAUUAUUGACCUAAUGAUCAAAGGGUUUCAAAAUUUGUAAUUUUAAUGAUCAAUAUGAAGCGUUUUCUCGUUCAACAGUGUAAAAAUAUCCAAAUCAAUUAAAUUUUGGUUAGAAAAUUCUUUAAACUAUUUAGAACAAAAUCUAUGCUCUCGAUCUUGAUUACAAAAUUCCUACCACCACUUUUUAAACAAUAUUCAUUUUCAGCCGUUCAUUUUUGUGCCCACUUGAUGGACAAGAGAUCACUAUCAAAAAUCAAAAAAAUAUAAAAUUUGGGUUCUAGAUGCUUCAAGUGGUAUAGAUCAUAUUCAACAGUGCCGAUUGUCAAUUUGGAGACUCCAUCAUCGAAAACAAAUGGAUGACAGCGAAACCUGUUUGCUAUCGAUAGUAUUCCAGCUCAACUAUAUAUAUAUAUAGAGAGAGAGAGAGAGAGUUCGGCUAGCACUAAGCAUUUGGUGCUUGUAACUUUUCCACCGUUAGAUUUAACCCUUUGAUCAUUUCCACCUGUUAGAUUAUACUAUUCAACCAACCACCAACGCAAUCCUAGGAGACCACUAUCAUCCCAACCGCAUACCUCUUAAUCCAGGGGUUACAAACCUACAAGCACCAAUGACUUUGUUCUUUUAAAAGCAUAGGAGCUCAAUUCUAUAUAUAUAUAUAUAUAUAUAUAUAUAUAUAUAUAUAUAUAUAUAUAUAUAGUUGAGCUAGAAUACUAUCGAUAGCAAACGGGCUCCGUUGCCACCCAUUUGUUUUCGAUGAUGGAGCCUCCAAAUCGACGAUCGGCACCGUUGAACAUGAUUUAUACCACUUGAAGUGUUUAGAAAUCAAAUUUCAUACAUUUUCGAUAUAGUUCUCUUAUCCAUCGAGUGGACACAAUAAUGAACGGCUGAAAAUGAAUAUUCUUUAAAAAAUGAUGAUAGAGUCUUGUAAUCAAGAUCAAGAGUAUAGAUCUUGCUUUAAAUAGUUUAAAAAAUUUUCUAACAAAAAUUCAAUUGAUUUGGAUAUCUUUACGCCAUUAAACGAGAAAACACCUCAUAUCGACCAUUAAAAUUAUAAAUUUUGAAACCCUUUGAUCAUUAGGCAAAUGUUAUUCAAAAGAUUUGAAAUUUGAUUUCUAAACAUUUCAAGUGGUAUAGAUUAUGUUCAAUGGUGCCGAUCGUCGAUUUGGAGGCUCUAUCAUCGAAACAAAUAGGUGGUAACAGAGCCCGUUUGCUAUCGAUAGUAUUCUAGCUCAACUCUCUCUCUCUCUCUCUCUCUCUCUCUCUCUCUCUCUCUCUCUCUAUAUAUAUAUAUAUAUAUAUAUAUGUAGUGUAGAAUUACAAUACUUUCGUUAGCAUAAAAGAGUUUAUGGUUUCGACUUUUUAGCCCUUGGAUUAAGGAUUGUAGGGUUGGUAUGAUAGUGGUCCCCCUAUGGUAAUAAUAUUAUUCAAGGGAUAUUAAUUCUAGAAGAACUAUAGUAGGACUCUAUAUAUAUAUAUAUAUAUAUAUAUAGAGAGAGAGAGAGAGAGAGAGAGUGAUGUCGGAUUGGGUGGUAAAUGUACUACAAUGUAUUAGAAAAAGAGAUUUUUUUUUUACUAAAUUAUAGAAAACCUAAUUAUAAAUACCUGUUUGUUCACUUUUCUUCUCCUAACUUUCAAAAACUUAUAUUUUACUCUCAACAUUUCAAGUUGUUGCAUUUAACCCCCCUCCGUUAGAGUUCCAUCACUAUUCUGUCCAUAUUUUAUAAUUUAUACCGAAAAUGUCCUUCAAAAUGAUAAUAUAUUAAAAAAUUAUUUUUUUUUCUUAUAGAAAAAGUAAGGCAGGUCGGUCACUUUGCCCUCUCCCUUAACGCCGUACCCAUCCUGAAAACAUUUAUGAAAGUUUAAGGGGACAAAAUGUACAAUUUUGUAAGUCAAGGAGGGAAAGAAAAAAGUGGAUAUUUACAGAGUGAUUUUCUAUAAUUUAGUCUUUUUCUUUACUUCCUAAAAUGUUCAUAAGAGAAAAACUUAUUUUCCUAAAAAAUUGAGAAACGAGAAGAAAACUUUUCCGUGAAAUAUGAAAACUAAUUUUUCAAAAAAUUUAUUUUUCCUACGAACCAAAGACAGAAAAAAAUUUUCCAACUGAAAAAAAAAAAAUUAGGAUAUUUUUCAAGAAAUCAAACAGGCUCAGUAACAAACUUGUCGUAUCAAAUAAAAUAUAUACGAUAUUCACAAAAUAACAUACACAGGUGGAAUUAGCAACCCUUUACUGGUUAAGUUGUUGUGCGGUCCAGCCAAGCGAUGGACAUAAUUUCUUUAAAAGAUUGAAAAGCAAAAAAAUAAUUAGCUUUCAAGUUUUUAUUUUUUACAUUGCCACAGAAAACACCUUGCAUAAAAGAUCGCAAGUAAUCGACCAUCCCAUCCAACACCAUUUCCAUCCGAAGGAAAUAUACCAAGGCCAAAUCAUUGAAGCAAACCAAAUUUUUUAUUUUUUAUUUUUAAAAAAAAGCGCCGAAAUCGCCGAAUCCUUUACCUGGCCACAUGGGGCUGAUCUCGGAGAACCAGCCCGGGAUCACGGCGGAGAUGCCGUCCCCCGCCGCCGCCGCCGCCUCCUUUCCGUCCUCCACUGCCAUGGGCGCCGCGCCCUCUCCGUCCUCGCUCGCCCUCGCCCUUUUCGCCGACGCCUCCUCCGCCUCCAUCACCCCCACACCACACCACACCACACCUCUCUCUCUCUCACGCACACUCACACACCACGUUGUACGAUCGCUUUGUUUAGAGAGAGAGAGAGAGAGAGAGAGACAGAGACAGAGAGAAGUAUACGGAGGGAGGGAGACGAAGGGGAAUGGGGAAGGAGGGGAAUCGCACAAAGUGGGAGCGGGAUGGGGAGCGUCGGCUUUAUUCUUAUUCUUAUUCGAUCUAUUGUAUGUAUUGAAAUCCCGAUCCGUGUUGACAAAUCGGAGUGACGCGUAUUUUUUAAGGUUAGGGUAAUGAUAAGGCUCUCAAUUAGGGUUUACUUUGGUGGGGGCCGCCCGCCCGAAUACGGCGACCGCUUUUUCGUCCUUUACGGGAUUCCCCCUUCCCACCAUACCUCUUUCCGUCUUUCCCCACCCCGCAUUUCUAUGCCGAGUGAGGGGCCCGUCAAUAUUUUCACUGAACCGUGGAAGAAGUUUUUAUUUAUUAUUUAUUCUUUUUUAUUGGCAACCACCUGUCGGUGCAAUGAUAUUAUGGGUUUUUUUUUGAAAAUAACUUUGUAGAAUUUUAUAAUUAGCAAAAUAAUUUUCUGAAAAAUUUAUUUAUAAAAUUAACCCUUCUUUCGCAACGUUGGCGUCACCUUAACUUUUUCUCGCAAAGACGGUGAAUUGUUCACCGUCUUUGCAUAUGUCUCAUGAAGGCGGUGAAUGGUUCACCGCCUUCAUAAGACGGUAAACCAUUCACCGCCUUUAGAGCAAAUACACCCCCGCUUUCCUUACAAGGCCACCUUUCCAACUGCCAUAGCUGUGCCCUCGAGAAGACGGUAAAUGAUUCACCGUCUUAACUAAGACGGUGAAUCAUUCACCGUCUUUAUACUAAACCCCCCACCCAGUCAAAUUUAGCCAAGUCCUGGAGGUGGGGCUAAAACAGAGAUAAGACGAUGAAUAGUUCACCGUCUUAUUAGUGCUGCAAUAAAGACGGUGAAGUAUUCACCGUCUUUAGUGUAAACACCCGCUAGCGGGGACCUAGAUAAGACGGUGAAUCGCUCACCGUCUUCACCCUACUUAAUGAAGACGGUGAACAAUUCACCGUCUUAUGUAAGUAUACCCAGCCCCAGACCCCGACACCUCUCCCUCCCUCUUCGCUCUCUUUCUCUCUCUAUCUCUCUGUCUCUCUCUCCCUCUCUGCCCAUCCCUCUCCAGGAGCCGCACCCCCGUCGCCGCCGCCCCUACCGACGUUGCCACCGCCAGUCGCCGUCGACCCAUCAAGUCGCCGCCCGUGCCACAACAACCCAUAUUGCAAGUAUAAACCUCUCUUAGCAAGUUUAAACUAGGUUUAAACCUAGUUUAAACAUUUACACCCAUUUUAAACUAGGUAACGUAGUUUAUACCUAGUUUUUCACUUUUAAACCCAGUUUAAACUAGGUAACCUAGUUUUUCACUUUUAAACCCAAUUUAAACUAUGUUUACCUAGUUUAAACUAUGUUUAAAUCUAGUUUAAACUACCUAGUUUAAACUAUGUUUAAACUAGAUUUAAACAUAGUUUAAACUAGGUUUAAAAGUUUAAAUUAGGUUUAAACCUAGUUUAAACUUUUAAACCCAGUUUAAACUAGAACUAUAGUAACAUGAGAAUUUUAGGACCAUAGUAACACUCCCUUUAUUUGCUUGUUGCAAACUUUCUAUAAUUUAGUUAUCAUUUCACUUAAGUUUAGUUUUCACAAAUGAGAACAUAGAGAAUGCUGUUGAUUUAUUUUCUGUGUAGUUAAAAUGGCUAGUCAUCGGAUGUCUCUUAGUGUUUAUUGGGAUGGACAGUUAGAUAUGGAUGGAAAUGGUUCCCGAUAUUUCGGUGGUCGAAAGAAAUUGAUCGCGAUUCAUUCAGACACAACCUAUGCGAAUUUUGAGAGGAGAAUGUAUCGUUUAGUAAAUUGUAAUAGAGAAGAAUGUUGUCUUAAAUACACAAUUCGAUACCCUACGGGAGUGAAUGAAUAUAUUGCUCAUGAUAUAGUAGAUGAUGAAUUAUUGGAGGGAUUAAUUGGAUUGUUUGAAUAUUAUGGAUGUGUGUCGCUAUACAUAAAGAAAGAUUUAUAUCCGUCAGAGACACAAUAUCCGUCGCAAGGCUAUUACACAAGUCUGCUACAUAAUAAUAUCGAUGUGGGAUUUCCGGAGAAUCCAAUUGGUGACCGUGAAGUUAGUAAUGAACCAGGCAUAAGAAUGACAAGGUCAGUAAUAUAUCUCAAGAUUGCGGUGAAUAUUUUCUUUAAUUAUGAAAUAUUUUAAUAAAUUAUAAUUAUAAAUACUGCAAACAGAGUCAGUCUCCACGUGCGCAACCCUCGACGUCACGUGCGCAACCCUCGACUUCACGUGCGCAACCCUCGACGUCACGUGUGCACGUAUCGACGUCGCGUGCGUAACCCUCGACGUCACGUGUGCACGUAUCAACGUCACGUGCGCAACCCUCGACUUUACGUGACAAACCCACGAUAUUUCAUACACCUAAUGAAAAUUACGAUUGGGGGUAAAAAAUUUUUUGAUUAUUUAAUUAAUAGUAAGUGAAAUUUUACCUAAUAUAGUAAACAUUCGGGACCUAUUACAGGCUAUCUACGUCCUAUACAAAUUGGAAUGAAGUUCUUGAUAAUACUGUCGAUGAAGGAGAUGAUAAUGACGGUAAUAAGAACGAUGCACCCAUUCAUAAUAAUGGUGAUCAGGAGGAUGCACCCAUUCAUGAUGACAACAAUUAGGAGGAUGCACCCAUUCAUGAGGACGACGAUUAAAAUGAUCUAGCUGUUGACAUUGAAGAUGAUCACGAUGGUAGAUUAAAUUGCCUUGCGAAUGCCAUUUACAGUUUGAAUGACGACCCGCAUGUAAACAACAAAUAUGUAGACAAUCCUGACGAGGAACUUGAUUUUAUUGACCAUCCGGAGCAAUUUUCUAUGGAUAACAAUUGGAUACAACAGCAUGUUGUGAAUUCGAGUGAGUUUGAUGUUAGACGUACCAAUUCCGAUCUACCUAGCAUUGACGAGACUUGGCUCCAUAAAAUCUUUAAUGAUCAGGCAUCUUUAAUGGGCGCUUUAGAUCGAUGGCACAUUACUCACAAUAUUUAGAUGAAGAUUUUGAAAUCCACCAAAACAACUUAUACAGUGAAAUGCACAGUUGAGGGAUGUCCUUGGAGGUUACACGCUUCGGUUCCUAAGGAUGCAACAUAUUUCAGAGUUAAGACAUAUGCGGGUCAACACACUUGUGUUAUUCCAAUGCUAAAUGCGGCGCACCGUAAUUGUACUUUAAAUCUCAUAUGCCAAGUAAUUCUCCCGUUAAUGAAGACAAGACUUAAUAUGACGCCAAAAGAAGUGCAAGAAAUGGUGCGAUCCACUUUGCAUGUUCAAAUAAAUUAUUGGAAGGCAUGGUUGGCAAGGAGCAAAGCAUUACAGAUUAUUUACGGGAACUGGGAGCAGUCAUACACAGACUUGCCUCGGUAUCUUACUAUGCUGCAGAGUACUAAUCAUGGAACUUUUUGGCGGCUUGAUCAUAUAUGGCCAUCAGAUGGAAUAUGUUAGUUUGGUCGUGUUUUUUGGUUAUUUGCUCCUUCUAUUCAUGGAUUCGCACAUUGUCGGCCGGUGGUGAGCAUUGAUGCGACUCACUGGUAUGGCAAAUACGAAGGCCAUGCAUUGAUAGCGAUGGCUGUCGAUGCAAAUGAUAGCAUUUUUCCCUUACUUUUGUAAUUUGCGAAGGCGAAAAUGGUGGAAGUUUGCGUUUGUUUUUACAUAACUUGCAACAUUAUGUUAUACGCAAUCGAUCGGUUUGUUUUAUAUCUGAUAGAUUUAGUGGCUUAAAGGAAAUAGUGGCUGAGUUAUAUCCUACGCGACAGAGGCAUGCACACAGGUGGUGUCUUCGACACAUGAAAGCAAAUAUGGCUAAGCGGUUUAAAAAUGAAUCGUUAUUAGACAAAUUCUAUAGUAUCGGCAGUGCUCCAACAUCGGUACAAUAUUAUAAACUAAAAGAAGAGUUACUCGCGCUAGAUCAGGAUGUUUGGAAGUGGGUUGAUGAGCUCGAAGUAUACAAAGAGUAUUGGGUGUGGGCAUUUGAUAGAGGGCGACGCUUCGGGUUGAUGACCACCAAUAUGUCCGAGAGUUUAAAUGGGGUACUUAAGGCAAUUCGUGCUCUCCCUAUAACGGCAUUUGUCGCGGAAACUUUUUACAAACUUAAUAGUUAUUUUUUAAAACAUCGUGAAAAUGGUGAAAGUAUGACGGCCACGUUAGCACCUAAAAUACAAAGUCGGAUUACGAUGAAUAUGGUGAUGGCGCGGAGACACAUUGUAUAUCGAUUUGGGCCUAUUGAGUUUGAAGUCAAAACAGGACACUCCGAUUACAAUGUUAUCCUGAAUAGACCAUAAGCGCAUUGUGAUUGCGGCGAAUUCAAGCUAACGGGCAUACCUUGCUUGCAUCUUUUAGCAGUUUGCAGUAAUUCACAAAGAAUAAUAGAUUAUCAUAGUCUUUGUUCCCAUUAGUAUACUGUAGAGUGUUAUCGCCAGACAUACGCACCGCUUUUCCAUCCAGUUCCAGACAGGCGCUACUGGCCACGACCCCUGGGCCCACCAAUUGUACCGCCUCCAGUGAGAAGGAAGAAAGGUCGACCACGAUCAACACGUAUUCGUAAUAUAAUGGACGCAACCAGUGGUCGACGAACAAAAUGCAGCAUUUGUAAGCAGGAAGGUCAUUAUAGAAAUACCUGUCCACAGAAUACAGAGAGAGCACAACAAUGACGUCGACGUAGGACUUGUUACCUAACUUACUAGUAUUUAUUAAACUUUCAAUAUUCCAAUAUUCAAUGCGCUUUUUGAUAAUAUGUUACUAAUUACAAAUUCUUUAAAAUUGCAGAUGGUAGAUCUAGAGGAGAAGGCGGGACCGGUUGAUGAGUCCAUCCUGAUAGAGCAGCAUCUACAUAGGUCUUCAUUUAUCACGAUUGAGGUCAGAGCAAGAAUUAUUUCUCUAAAAGUUAUCUUAAGUAUUAAUGCAUAUAAAUGUUGUUCUAACUAAAUUUUUGUCACUAUAGGGAUAUCGCGGGGUUCAGUUCAUAGAGCAUGGCCGCAAAUUAAACCAGUGGGAUCUUGAUCAUCCAGCCGUGCUAGAUCUGCUACGACAGUCUGGAUUCUAUUAUAUCUCUCGACUUAGGCGUCUGCAACUGGAUCAGUCUUUAUUAGAAGCUCUGGUCGAGAGAUGGAGACGGGAGACCCAGACAUUUCACUUCCGCCACGGUGAGAUGAUGAUUACACUUCAGGAUGUGGCGGUUAUUUCUGAUCUUCGUAUCGAUGGAGCGCCUGUCACGGGGACUACAGUGUAUCCGUGGCCAGAGAUGUGUCAGGCACUUUUAGGGGUUGUGCCGGAUGACAUCCGAGCUAGGCAGAUUAGAUUAGAUUGGAUAUACCAGCACUUUUUGUCACGCCCCGCCUCGAAACCACUACCGAUUUGGCACGGUUCGGCCGCGGCGACGGACCGCCGAACACCCACUUCCUUGUCACUUGUUACAGUAACUUGUAAUAAUAAGCUUGUACUUAGCUUAAGCAAUCGUACUAUCAUUUGGAAAUGAUAUACUACGUACGUAAGUAAUAUGUACUAAUACCCGUAUCAUCGUAUCUAAAGGAAAUACAGAAAUUACGAAACUCUAUAGAUAGAUAGAUAGAUGGACAACAACGAACACGGGUGAACCUGGAUCACCCCUCUAGCCGUCUCAGCCGCCGGCUCGGGUGACCCUUGAUACCUUCUAUCAAGAGUGGGGUGAGAUAAAGGUCACCAUCCAAGUCCCGACGUCUCUCUCCUGGCGCCGUUCCCGCAGCGCGGGCUGGUCACUCUGGCACCAUCAUAUCAUCGAAAGGAAAAACGUAAUCAGUGGAUACAUAACUCUCUCUAAGAACAUCCACUCCAACCUCUCGAUACAUAAAACCUACUUUUUACUACAUUACUUACAUUGAUUACAUUAUCAAUCAUUUAAUGAGAGAAAUAAAGUGAACAAAUAGAGCACCUAAUGAACGAGAAGACCAACAACCGUGACAAACACGGGAGCAACUUACACAUACAAAUCUUAAAUUUAAGGACCCAUUUAAGAACAUGUGUAAGGACAACAACUCGGAACUCGCCCGUCCCCUCCACGACAGGNCACCCAAGCCCGGGACCGUCUGCGGACCUCCAAGUGGUCCGGACCUCCAAGUGGUCCUAGUCGCGCGACACUCCGGAGUACUCGACGACAAUCCCCUCCAUGUGGGGAUCGGAUGGCUAUGCCACCCUGAACGCAGACUGUGAGCUAGAUCUAUCCUCUUCAAGUGAGGACACUCUACAACUAGAGUCAAUACCCAAUCGAAUCCUCUCCAAGUGAGGACGCCCUACACAAGGGUCAACGACUAUCGCGGAAUCAUUGGUUCCCGACAUUCAUGCAAUGUUAUUUAGUUUUCUAAAUUCAUUGUUCACAAGGCAUUCUCUAAGGGAUCCACCUAUCCCUAGGUCCUUCGACCUCUAGUGUUAUUUACACUACGUUAAUGCCACUCGUUAUCAUUCAAUAUUUGGAUGCCACUCGUUUGUUCUUUGACAAUAACACUACUUUCUAUGUCAUCAAUACCCCCGUCGGGUUCAUCUCUAUCUUUAGCAUCAUAGGAUCCACGUUCCGACCCAAUCCUCACCUAUCUAGUUACCAAGCGUUCCAAGUACACUAGGUUAUCAUUUAGAAAGCAUAAGGAUGGAGCUACCAUGCAAUCCUACAAUGCAACAUGUAAGAGAUGAGAUUAAAUGCAAUCUAAGACAUAGAAAGGAGUUCGAAAGUUUCGGAUGACACCCCCCACCUUGUUACCAAUGUAGAGGCUUUGGAAAUUCUUGUCGGCGAGCUUUGCAAAAAGGCUUUAGCCUUCCUCGCCCGAAUCAAUGCUAGCCCGGCCCAAUUUUGCCGAGAACUCCACGUCGGUUCGCCGAAUGCCAAAAUCGACUUCGCCCCCGCGUUUUGGGACCUAUCAAUAGGGUUUCCAAGGCUUCAAAUGAGAUCAAUCUCAUACAUUUACAAAAACCUCAUUUUGGAACCCUAGAUUUGCACCUAUAGCAAAUCACCCCAUAAAUCCCUAGAUUCUUGGGAUUGAUCUAUUUAGAAGCUUGCUUAGGGUCCAUUUGACCCAUUCCAAGGCAUAAAACCCAAAGACCCUAAGUUCUAGAAGCUAGGGUUAGUAGCUUACCUCAAGAGCUACUCCAAUGGGAAGAGGAGAGGGAGUUGGAGGUGCUCAAAGCCUUCCUCUUGAUCUCCUUCUUCUUCUCCUUCCUUAUCUUCCUCUUCUUUUCCUUCCUCUCCUUCUUGUUCUUCUUCUCCUUCUUUCCUUUCUAGAGAGAGAGAGAGAGCAAGAGAGAAAUGAAAGUGAGAGAGAGAGGAAAUGAGAGAGUGUGAGGGAGAGAGAGGGCUCAGCCCACUCAAAUAAAUGCCAUUUUGCACAAAAGCCCCUCAACUUUCACCCCUGUGCACUGCCCUUACUGGGCAGUUUUCGCGCGGAGGGACCGGUCUCCCCGACUUGGGACCGGUCCCCGAGAGCUUCCCUCGGGCGCACGCGUUCGGGAACCGGUCUCUCCCCGGGAGACCGGUCCUCGGGAGACCGGUCCUCACCUGAGAGACCGGUCCCCGAGAGCUUGAUUUUCAGGACUUAGCUAAUUUUUGGCAUCUCACACUUGGGCCACGUUCGGGAACCGGUCCCUCACCACCAGGGACCGGUUGCAUCACGCAACCCCGCAACACCCAGCCGAGGGAACCGGUCUCUCACCUGCAGAGACCGGUCCCCGAGAGCAACUUCUGCCCAAUGAUGCCAUUUGCCUCAUUUGCUCUCGCGGACUCAACUCCAAGGCACUCUUUGUGCUUUGGACAUUCUCAACUCCCACCAAGGGUUUACUUGCGACAAUCAGUCGAUCCUGGGUGAAGUACAAUCCUCGUAUUUCGAGAAUUCACUUCCUUACACUUUUAUCAUAUAUAUUUGGAUGCCCCGGCUAGAUUAGUUGCAGCCACAGCACGUGCAUAUAUGUUAUAUCAGAUUAGCUGUAGUCUAUUUUCAAACCCCACCGGAUAUGGAGUUCACCUUAAGUGGCUGCCAUUUAUAGCGGAUUUUGAUGCAUGUGGCGGUUUAGCCUGGGGUGCAACAGCACUGGCCUAUCUAUAUCGAGCAUUGGGAUCGGCUGCAUUAAAAGGAAAGGUCGAAUGCUGUUGCUUCGCGACAUUAGUACAGGUAUUAUGAGUAAUAUAUAAUAAUUGUUAUAUAAAGCUUCUCCUUUUUAAUUUCACUUGUUUAAUUUAUUGUCAUUUAUUUAUAGAUUUGGGCGUGGGACCAUCUUCAUGUCGGCCCACCUACUAGCGUUGGAGCUAUUGCCGACAUGGCUGAUUGCCCUUUGGGUUGUCGAUAUGAUAUAUGAAUUUGAUACAUAUUACAUUUCUAUAUAUACAUUUGCAACUAACACGUAUACUUUUCCAAUAUUAGGUGGACGAACGCCGGCGUGUUACGUUUUGGAGCAAACGUUAGAACAACAGAUAUUGAAUUCUACCAAGAUGAGUUAGAUCAGCAGAGAAAGUCCCAGGUACGUAUUAAUGCUACCAAUUUUUUUAAUAUACAACCGUAUUAAUGCAUUCAGCUGACUAUUAUUGGCUUUUUCAUAGAUUACAUAGCGGCCGUACACAGAUGCUAUUAUAGAUGCGCUAUCGGCAUUCUAUGUACAGGGCAGUGAGGUAUGGUGAUCGAGGACGACACUGAUUUCUUUUCAUAUCGUUGAGCUUCACGUGCCGGAUCGAGUCCUACGGCAGUUUGGUCUCCACCAGCAUAUACCCAUUCAGGUGGAGACCAUCCGUCGCGUCACAUCUCAGGGGGCGGCCAGAUGAGGAUUGGACCCAUUUUCAUGCUGCACACAUCAAGAGAUGAGGACAAAGAUUACAGGCCAUUAUUGACCAGCAUCCGAUUGUCGAUGAUGACUCGGUACAGGCGACUUCUAUUUAUAUGGAGUGGUAUUGGCAGAUCACGAGAAGAUGGAUUUCUCGUCCAGUACAGCGUCCACUAUUGACUUACCAGCCUCGGGGCCAGAUCGAGAGAGCUUUGGUACGAUCACUCAUAUGCUAAUUAUUUUUUUAAUCAUAUAUAUAUUAUAGAUUGCCAAAAGUGAGUUUUUAUCGAUAAUGCAGGUAGACGCAUUACGACAGUCUCAGUAUAGCAUCGGACAGCUAGUUCGUGAUCAACCUUCUUACGAUACGAUGCUGGAGAUAUUGACGGGCAUGUAUGCCCACAUUGAGUCAGUACUGGAGUACAUUCCUUUCAUACCUAUUGCCGCUGAUAUCGGAGGUCGAGAUUUUGGUCAUGCCUCGACAUCGGGUCAUCACAAGAGACAAUCACCGACAUCUACUGGAUCAUACUCGAGAUCGAGCCUGCGAGUGUCACGAUCUCCAUCUCCUACUGAUGUUGCAGAUAUGCCCGCCGCCCCUUCAAGAUUUCCUUCUUGCCAUUGGACUUGGACUCGCUUCCGCCGCCAGUCUCUCGAGAGCACUUUAGAUUAGUCUACUAUUGACGUCAUGCCGCGUCAUCAUGACAGGCCCGCCUAGCAUCUACAUCGGCCACUAUCGAGGGUGAUCGACCUGAGCCAGAGGAGACUCAUGCGAUUCCGGAGCAUCCCGAGGGCAUUAUCAUUGCGGAUCUCGAUCAGAUGGCCGGUAUCGAGGCACUUGAUGACGUACCUACUGCUGAGCUCGAUGUACAGGGUGGCCGUAUGUGACACCCCAAUAGUCCCACAUCGGAUGGAAAAGGGGUUGUCAUUGGGUUUAUAUGAGACUUAGACACUAGUAAUAAUAACUGGGCUUAAGCAUUUUGGGCCGGUGGUUGGGCCCAACGAGUUAUUGUUGCUAGUGGGCUGGGUCGUUACAUUUGGUAUAAGAGCCAGUUUACCAGCUGGACAUGUGUGGCGAGUCUCGGCUGAGCCAAGGUCUAGAUGACGGGCUAGCGAGACGAGUCUCACAUCGCCUGGUGAUCUUGGGCUGUGUGUGUGAUUGGACUGACGAGGACGUCAGGGCCUUAACGGGGGGAGUCUGUGACACCCCAAUAGUCCCACAUCGGAUGGGAAAGGGGUUGUCAUUGGGUUUAUAUGAGACUUAGACACUAGUAAUAAUAACUGGGCUUAAGCAUUUUGGGCCGGUGGUUGGGCCCAACGAGUUAUUGUUGCUAGUGGGCUGGGUCGUUACACUGUAGAUGUGGACGUGGCCGUGGCCAAGGAUGUGGCCGAGGACGUCGAGGGAGAGGAAGAUCAAGAGACUGAUUGUAUAUUUUUUUUAUUUUGAGAGCAUUCGUUGUAUAAUAUUAUAUAAUACUUUAUUUAGUUCAUAUUUGUAUAUUUGUCUGUGUUUUUUUUAUAUUUUUACCUAGUUGAUUGUAUCUUGUUAUUCCACUUGUGAUGUUGUGUUUCUUGUUGGAAUAUUUGUUAUCGUGAAAAAACUUGCCUCAAACUUGUUCUAACUUGUUUUUAAAAUCGAGCUGAAUUUAUCACCUGCUGCAUGUUUGCACUAAAGGCGGUGAAUGGUUCACCGCCUCUAGUGCAAAUCCACGAAGCCCUCCACGAAGCUGCAAAAAAAUGGCUAUUUCCUAGACUGGGGGCUGUUUACAUUAAAGGCGGUGAACUAUUCACCGCCGUUAGUGUAGCACAAAUAAGACGGUAAACCAUUCACCGUCUUAUCAGUGUUUUAGCCCGAACUCCAGGACUUAGCCAAAUUAGGCUGGGUGGGAGUUUACUCUAAAGACGGUAAAUCAUUGACCGUCUUAUGAAGACGGUGAACAAUUCACCGUCUUAUAUAGGCCACAAAACCGUCGACUUUUGCGGGGAUUUGCUGCGAAGGUGGUGAAUGGUACACGCCUUCAGAAGGCGGUCAACCAUUCACCACCUUCUCUAGGACACCUUGGCAAAGCCGGGGUUGGGAUUUGCCGAGAAGACGGUAAACUAUUCACCGCCUUCUCUAGGGCACCUUCGGAAAGCAGGGGAGGGGUUUUGCUCUAAGGGAAAGCGGGGGAGCGGUUUUGCUCUAAAGGCGGUGAAUGGUGGUGAACGAUUCACCGCCUUAUGAAGAUGGUGAACGAAUCACCGUCUUUGCGAGAAAAAUCUGAGGUGGCGCCGACGUGGCGAAAUGAGGGUUAGUUUUACAAAUAAAUUUUUCAGAGGGUCAUUUUGCCAAUUACAAAAUUUUACAGGGUUAUUUUCAAAAAAAGCCCUGAUAUUAUUAUUAUUAUUAUUAUUAUUAUUAUUAUUAUUAUUAUUAUUAUUAUUAUUAUUAUUAUUAUUAUAAAAUAUUAUUAGUGAACCAUACACUACAAAUAUAAAAUAUUUUAACAAUAAAUUUUUAAUUAAUAUUUUUAUAUUUAUAUUAUUUUAUUAUUUUAACUAUUAAUUCAAUAAAUUUAAAUAAAUAUAAAAAUAAUUUAAAUUAGUUUAUAUAAGGUUUUCUUUUUAAUAUUUAGCCCCUCAAACAAAAAUUUUCAUAAAUAGUCCGAUAAAAUUUAUAUUUGCAAGAUUAGUUGUAUUCCCGCCACGGAAGCGCCAUAUAAGCGCCACGUGAGUAUGGAUGAUGGUGCAGAUUAAAUUGAACAUGGUGAAUCAUUCACUGUGUAGGAACACGGUGAAGGAUUCACCGUGUUCCAUUAUUUUCCUACCAAGUAAUAUUUAGGGUUAUGGUUUAGGAAAGACACGUUAAACCAUUUACUGUGUUCAACUUAAUAUUGCGCUCGCGUUGCGCUUCCAUAGUAGGGAUAGGGCCUAUCUUACAAUAUAAAUUUUGUGGGGCUAUUUGUGAAAAAGGAAAAUCUAAGGGGGCUAAAUGCAAAAAAAGCUCACUAUGUAUGAUAUAAUUUUUUGUAAAAAUUUACCAAUAAUUAAAUCAUUUUAUGAACGGAUGUGAAAAAAAAAAUUAUUAGAACGGAAACUACUAAAUUAUUUUUAAAAACUUUAUAUAAAUUUAAAAUUUAAUAAAUUUAAUAGAUAUAGUAAUUGUUAGUUAUUGGUUAUUUAAUUUUAUUUCAUUAAAAUUAAUUAUAAUUAUUGAAUUUGGCCAAAUUUUGAAUAAAAUUUAAUAAAAAUUUUGUUUAGUUAACUAAACCUAAUCAUAAAAAAUCAGAAAUUAUACAGAAAUUAGUUAAAAUUAAAUAAAUUUGAGAGAUCUAUUAAAAAGCAUCCUAAUAGUUGAAGGGGCUCUUCACAUAUUUUUUUACCAAUACUUUUUUUUUUUUGGUGAAAAUGUAAAAGGACAUCCUCACCUAUUGACAAUUUUGAUAUGGACCCUUUAUUUUUUCAGGCCAUUAUAAAAAAGAUCCCUAGUUAUUUUUUUUCCAUACAAAUUCAACUUUAAUUUUUAAUAUAAAUUAUUAUCUUACUUAAAUUAAAUUUUUAUUAAUGUACUAACACUAUUAACUAUUAGCUAUUAAAUUAUAUAAUUUUAUUUUACAAAUUUGGUAAAGUUCCUAAGAAAUUCUUAGAAUCUCUAAUUUAAUUAAUUCCAAUAAUUCAAUUCCAAGAAAAGAUAAAAAUUUAAUAAAUCUAAACAAUAAUUUAAGGCUAAAUUGCAAAAAAUGCUCUACCACUUUAUCUCUCGCCUCAAUAAUCCCCGCACUAAAAAUUACACAAAUUACUCUCCUAUAUUUUGCCAUUAUUUCAAAAAAGCUAUAAAAUUUUUUAAAAAUAANGGCCCCGCUGUUUGCUGUUCGGCUUUAAGACUUUAAUACAAUUUCUCAAGAUAAAUGACAAAAACUGCACUCCCCGCAACAGGGAUAAUAGUGCAACGCGAAAAAGCAAUGCCAGAAAAAAUGGUGCAACUGCCCUUCUAACAUGCAACGUAGGGUAAAAGACUACAACUGUGAUUGUAAUAGUGCAAUGUGGUCGACAGAAUAGUUCAAUGGUUUUAGGAAGCGGAGGCGUCGGAGAAGAGACCGAACAGCAAACACUAGGUGCGGAGUAGGAGGAGGCUCCACCACCUCUUUAUUGCCGCCGCCGCCGUGGCGCUUCACCUCCGCGCACCAGGGAUAAUAGUGCAAGGCGAAGGUUCUACGGCAGGAGAAAUAGUGGAACGAACCUUCUAACAUGCAACCGUAGCCUCGUUCUAGUGCAACCUCUCCAUAACCAAUCAAAAUUUUACUUAUUUUAUUUCAUAAUGUAAUCUUAAGCUAAUAGUAAAAAUGAAAGGACAUGGGGGCCGUCGAUAAUACCGGGGCGGAGUGGGAGGAGGCUCCACGAUGUCUUUAUCGCCGCCGCCGCCGUGUCGACUUCACCUCCGCGCGCCAGGGAUAAUAGUGCAACGCGAAGGUUCUAUGGUAGGAGAAAUGGUGCAACGGCCCUUCUAACAAUGCAUCCGUAGCAUCGUUCUAGUGCAAUCUCUCCAUAACCAUUCAAAAUUUUACUUAUUUUAUUUCAUAAUGUAAUCAUAAGCUAAUAGUGCAAAUGAAAGGGCAUGGGGGUCGUCGAAAAUACCGGGGCGGAGUGGGAGAAGGCUCCACCACCUCUUUAUCGCCGCCGCCACCAUGUCGACUUCACCUCCACGCGCCAGGGAUAAUAGUGCAAGGCGAAGGUUUUACGGCAGGAGAAAUGGUGCAACGACCCUUCUAACAGUGCAUCCGUAGCAUCGUUCCAGUGCAACCUCCCCAUAACCAUUCAAAAUUUUACUUAUUUUAUUUCAUAAUAUAAUCAUAAGCUAAUAGUGCAAAUGAAAGGGCAUGGGGGCCGUCGAAAAUACCAGGGCGGAGUGGGAGGAGGCUCCACCACCACUUCAUCCCCGCCGCCGCCAUGUCGCUUCACCUCCGCGGGCCAGGGAUAAUAGUGCAACGCGAAGGUUCUACGGCAGGAUAAUGGUGCAACAACCAGUCUAACAGUGCAUCUGUCACGCCCCGAGACCGGCACCAAUUUGGCCCGACCCGAGCACGUCAAACAGACGCCGAACGGACAGAGUUUCCCCUGUCCGCCCAAGGCUCAUCACAUGUACAAAAUUCAAACAAGAAUUGCACUAGCGGAAACAUACACAAACGGCUUACACGAGGGUAAGCAAAAGCCAUUAGUGAAAGAAAAAGGAAAACUAAACAUUCACUUGUACUAUGAUUCAGUUUUGAUCAUAUACAUUGCAUUCAUCUUGUUCAUUUUCGAAUUCCUUACAUUUCCUUACAUCAUUUCAUCAUUUCUUUCUUACAUCACGUUUACCUCAAAACAAGCUUUACAUUCUUUCUUUACAUCACUAAUCAUCAAGUACAAAAGAUGAUAAAAGGGUGUCUACUAACAAAAUGUAACCCAACAUUGGUGGCCUUUGACUACGGUGCGAUACCUUUACCGCGGUCGCUCGCCGGCUCACUCGGUCCCGGCUCUGUGGAAAUAGUGGGGUGAGAACUACAACAAAGUUCCCAGUGGGUUCGGCCUCAACAUCACCGACUUUCCCACUAGGACUAACUCAGGCAUAAUAGAAAGGAUAAGCUGAAAUAUAGUAACCAAUCUACAACAUGAUGCUAAUAUGCCUGAACAAAAUCAAGGAAUAUGCUCAACAUUAAACAGAUGCAGAUUAUGCAAGUUCUUUCGUUCUUUACACUUUACACUUUACACUUUGUUCUUUGCUCUUUGUUCUUUACUCUUUAAUCUCAAGGCUAACCCGGGGGUUUCGCCACAUUAACUUGCUUCACAUUAAGUCCAUCAUCGCAGGAACUCACCCGCUAGGACCGUCCUUACGGGUUUACUCCAACACGGAUGCAUAACUCCGGAGCGCAUCGCCGAGGGGAAGCGACCGGCCUCGAGACGUCGAACUAAUAGCAAGCAUGAUCAUAUCCUUACUGCAAAUGAUUUUAAUAAGUUCAAUCUUGACUUUACACUAGCUUUAGUGUUCAUUAUACUCAUUUAUGUUGGCAAAUCAUGCAAUCACGAAUUCUUUCGUUUUUUUAUUUUGCUAACUCUAGCAAUUUAUUCUUUACAUCUUUCUGUUUUGGCCCUACUCCUAGCACUUCGUCGUUCUAUUAUUUCCCACACUCUACUUUUAACCUUAAAAACAUAGUCUUUUUAUCAUUUCCUUUACAUUGCGUUUUGGUUCGUUUGCACUCACACGUACUCUAGUGUUCUCUUUACUUUACAUUUUAAUGGCCACUCGAUUCAUACUGUCAUUUGCACUCUGUUCGAUUUUGCUCACUUUGGAAGUACUCCAUUCUUUCUCUAUGCAUACAGUCUAGUGUUUUGGACAUUAUUAGGUGUCGUAACCAUUCAUUAUGCAAGUUAGUGUCACAAUCAUGCAAUUCAUACAUUUCAUCCUUACUUACCAUAAAAUGCAUGCAACAGUAUAUAGAAAAUGAUGCUCAAAGAAUGGACACAUUAAGGAUGAGAGAAUUUCAAUCGAGUUUUGAAAAAGCUCCCCUGAUGAUAGGUCUUAUUUAGGUGCUCGGUGUUUCUUGGUGAUUUUUAUGAACAGUCAUAUUGUUUCUGUUACCAUAACAGGCAAAACACGAACUUUUUAGGUUCCCAUUUUGCCCUUACUUGCUUUGACUUUCGUUAAAGUUUAUAAAGUUCCCUUAGACGCCAACCAGAGCCGUCGGAAAUAACCCCCAAUCUAGAUUGUUGUAAGCUGUGCAAUUGUCAACUUAGAAAUCCCCAUGAGCACAAAAUGCUUUCAUUUGGGUCGGCCCUAGUCCAAUGUAAAUCAAAAGACUAGGGGAUCAAUUGAUCUCAUUGGGAAGCAAAGUAGCUUAUGUACACUCUAAUUAUUCCAUUAAACCCAAUUAUUAGGCCUUUCAAAACCUAGUUAGUUGGAUAUUCACCAUAGAGGUGGGUUGAAGCUCACCUUGAGCUCAACCAUGGUUUUGAUCUUUCUAAAGAAGCAAAAGAAAGCUUAAUACUCUUAAAAACUCACAUAAAAACAAUUCUAGGCUUACCCAAACCCUAGUUUGGAGAAUCAUCGAAAGGGGCAAAGCUUACCUCAAGCUUGCCUAACUUGACUAAGAGAGAAGAAGAUGAAGCUACCUUUUGAUAGAAUGAUGUUUCAACUUCUCUUUGAUCUGUUUUUCACUUCUCGUUCUCUCGUCCUUCCUUACCUUCUUUUCUUCUUUCUCUUCUCUACCUUUGAUAUUCUUGUGAGAGAGGGAGAGAAGAGAGUGUGAGAGGGUGAGAAUGAGAGAAAUGUCUCAUUUACCCCAAUACUAUACUCAAUGGGUUGCAAAAUUGCAGCUAAACCCCUCAACUUUCACUUUAAUACACUGCCCGAACUGGGCAGUUCGCGCAGGCAGGGACCGGUCUCUCCCUUUAGGGACCGGUUCCCGAACGUUGUCCCAGCACAGCCAGAGCUGCUGCGCGCAGUGCAACCGGUCUCUCUCUGUGGGACCGGUCUCUCGGGGACCGGUCUCUCAGGCAGGGACCGGUUCCCGAGAGCUACUUUCUCAGGACUUAGCCGAUUUUCCGGCUGUCUCAUUUCAUACGCAUUCGGGGACCGGUCUCUCCCACUAGGGACCGGUCCCCGAGAGCUGAAAAUCUGCAGUUUUGCAGAAUUUGAUUCUUUAGCUCUCGAAAACCUUCCACAACUCACUUUUGAUCAUUUUUAACACCUUCGGACUUUCCGAAGUGUGCCAUCCUCGCACUUUGGUCAAUUUGACUAAAGUUCGACAUUUAUUUUCCGAAUUUUCGGUAUAUUACAACAUCCGUAGCCUCGUUCCAGUGGAACAUCUCGAUAACCAGUCAAAAUUUUACAUUAGGAAGCUUUCAUGCACUCUUUUACCGCAUUUUGUAUUAUCGUCAAAGUCAAUGAAUAUUUUUAUACUAUAUUAAUAAAGAGAUCCCUUUCUUUACAUUGUUACGUCGUGGAUCUAAAUACAUCUGUAUAAUUUAUUAUUUUGUUGCACUGCGUUGAGCAUUAUUACACUAUUACAGCUAAUUUUGCACUAUUACUUCCGUCCAAUAUGCCAUUCUUUGGCUAUUUAACACGAUUAAAAAGUGCAACGCAUUGUAAACGAGCUCAACCAUGUUCAUUUAAGUGCAAUAAUAUCGUAGUAAUCGUUCAAUAGUUUAAAGUAAUGGUGGAACGACUCAAACCUUUUAUACAGUGCAACCUUUCCCGAGGAAACUUCGUUGUGUCCGCCGGUGUCCCUUCGCCUCACUUACCGGCCACCGCCAUCUUCGCUCACCCACUCGAGUAUAACGUUCACAUCAAUGUACUUACACUGUCGCAAUAUUUAAUGCGACUGGCGUGUGAAACGCUAUUCGCCAUUGCCGGUGUUUGCUGUUUGUUUCUCGCUAUUGUCUGUUUGUAGUGCUUACGUUUUAUGUUUUGUAUGGAUUCUUACGCUGUUUUCUGAAUAGGUUGGCCCAUACUAGCAUCCCACUAACUUUCAAACUGCUGUCGCUCCCCAUUACCCUAUUCUAAACCUUCACUGCGAAGCAAACUGCCUUGCAACCCCCAUAUUUCCUAGCAACCGCAUUGCUCUUUGUGACCACCAUCUUCUGCUUCGAAUCCCAUCGGUCAAGAAACGACCUAUCUAAAUCUACGUAGCUUGUAAUGGCGUCGAAGUCGUCGCAUUCUACUGAUUCAUUGGCUUCCGGCGGCCGCAAGGCACCUUCGCGGCCGGUUGCCGGCGGCCCCGCCGAUAGAUUCAUUGUGAAUUCGCGGUGUUUCGUCGGAGCAUACAGGAAGACUUAUGCAUCUGUCGUGAAGCCGCAUCAUCUCCCCGUUAUCCAACGGACGGUAUUCGGUAAUAUCUUACACUUCCCCGACAUCACCUCAGAUAGGCCCAUGCUGGAGUUAAUCCUCCGACAUUGGAAGGAGGGUGUAGAAUUCGAAAUAGGCCCUCAAGUUAUACGCUUCACAGCCAAGGAGGUGGCAGUUCUUCUUGGAUUACCCCUGUCGAGCCAGGCUCUAGACCUAACCCUCAAUUUAGGGUCGGAUAUUCAUAAUCAGUUUCUUGAGAGAAAGAAGGUCGACCGCAAGAACCUGGAGGUGAUGUUAAAGGAGAUGUCAAAUAAGCAGGGUGAAGAGGACAUUACCGACUUCGUCAAAUUACUUAUUGUUUAUUUUUUUUGUUGUAUUCUUUUCACCAAUACCAAUAAUCUCUGCCCCGAAAGACUGGUGGGGCUUGUAGAUGAUCUCCCCACACUGUCACGGUACAAUUGGCUGGAAGCAGUACACCGGCUUAUAAUUGACAGCCUAUGCUCCGCCGCGGCCAAAUUGCAAGCUAAUUCGAAGCGGGUAGGAUACGUUCUUGGAUGCACCCCGCUUCUCCUAGUAAGUGUAUAUUGUUCAAGUAAUCGUGCAAGAUAAUUAUUAUGUGUUUUCAAUCGUUCAUGCGUGUACAGAUUUGUAGUGUAAUCGUGCGAAAAUAAUCUAUUGUAUGCUUAAAUCUAGUAACUGUGUAAUGUAAUAUACCGAAAAUUCGGAAAAUAAAUAUCGAACUUUAGUCAAAUUGACCAAAGUGCGAGGACGGUACACUUCGGAAAGUCCGGAGGUAUUAAAACGAUCAAAAGUGUGUUGUGGAAGGUUUUCGAGAGCUAAAGAAUCAAAUCCUGCAAAACUGCAGAUUUUCAGCUCUCGGGGACCGGUCCCUGGUGGGAGAGACCGGUCCCCGAACGCGUAUGAAAUGAGACAGCCGAAAAAUCGGCUAAGUCCUGAGAAAGUAGCUCUCGGGAACCGGUCCUUGUCCGAGAGACAGGUCCCCGAGAGACCGGUCCCCCAAAGAGAGACCGGUUGCCCUGCGCGCAGCAACUCUGGCUGCGCGGAGAGAGCCUUCGGGAACCGGUCCCUGAAGGAGAGACCGGUCCCCGAGCCCGAAAUCUGCCCAGUCCAGGCAGUUGAAUAAGAUGAAAGUUGAGGGGUUUAUUUGCAUUUUUGCAACCUAUGGGUUAUGUAGAGGGCUGAGAGAGCCUUUUCUCUCAUUCUCUCCCUCACACACACUCCCUUCUCUCCCUCUCUCUCUCUAGAAGACAAAGGAGAAGAGAACAAAGAAAGAAAAGAAGGAAAAGAAGACAAAGAAGGUGAAGAAGAAGCUUUUGGAGCAAAGAGGCUUCAUCUCCUUCUUCUCUAGUGCAAGAAAAUGAAGCUUACAAGGUAAGCUUUGAACCCUAAUGUAGUAAAACCCUAGAAAUGGGUUUGAAUGAACCUAGAAAUGGUUUCUAAUGGAAUAUCUAGUAGUUUGAAGCUUUCUUUUUGCUUCUUUAGAGAUCAAAACCAUGGUUGAGCUCAAGGUGAGCUUCAACCCACCUCUAAUGGUGAAAUCUAAUCUAGGAUUUUGGAAAGCCUAAGAAUGGUUCUAAUGGACUAUUUAGAGUAUAUUGAAGCUACUUUUGCUUCCCAAUGAGAUCAAACCCUAGGUUUUGAUAUACAUGGGAGCUAGGGCACCCAAAUUGGGGCUUUUGCUCAUGAGGGUUUCUAAGUGCAAUUGGCCCUCUAGAAAUCUAAUUGGGGGUAUUUCCGACGCGUUGGUGCGUUCGAAUUAACGUUACGAAAAGUCUAUAGAAAGAUAUGGGCAAAAUAGCCUAAGUUGGCUUCGUUUUGCCGCAGGUGAAGAACGAGGAGCCUAUAAAUCCCAAGAAAAUCGUCGGAGCACCUAAAUAGACCUACGAGGUGGGUGGUGCUUCUCAAACUCAUUGAACUUCUCUCUAUGCCUAAUGUGUCAUUCAUUGAGCAUGUGUAUAUAUAUUGUUGCAUGCAUUUUAGGUAAAGUAAUGAUGAAAAUGUGAUGUUGCAUGAUUGUGAGUACAACUUGCAUAAUAUGAUGAAUAAGAACUAUGUAAAUGUCAAAAACCCUAUGUGUAUGCAUGAGAGAAAAGUGAGCACCCAAGGUGAGCAAAAGAACAGAGUGACACAAUGACAUAGAUCGAGUGGCAUUUGAUAAAGUUAAAGUGAAAUGACACUAGAGAUAGUGUGAGGUAAAGAACCAAUGUAAUGUAAAGAAUGACGAAAAUGACAAUAUGUAUAAAGUUAAAGUAAAGUGGGGCAAUAAGAACAAGAAAUGUAAAGAACAAGAAUGUUAAAGAUGGCAAAAGUAAAAGAAAAGUAAAGAACAAUGAUUGCUAGAGUUAGCAACAUAAAGUGAUGAAAGAACACUAGAGCUAGUGUAAAGUCAAGAUUGAACUUAUAAAUCCUUUGAGUUAAGGAUAUGAUCAUACUUGCUAUGAGUUCCGUGCUCGAGGGCGGUCGCUCCCCCUCGGGCGAUGCGCUCCGGAGUUAUGCAUCACGGGUUGGAGUAAACCCGAAGGACGGUCCUAGCGGGUGAGUUCCUGCGAUGAUGGACUUAAUGUGAAGCAAGUUAAUGUGGCGAAACCCCCGGGUUAGCCUUGAGAUUAAAGAAUAAAGAACAAAGAGCAAAGAACAAAGAACAAAGUGUAAAGAUAAAGAACGAAAGAAUUUGCAUAAUCUGCAUAUGUUAAUGUUGAGCAUAUUCCUUGCUUUUGUUCAGGCAUAUUAGCAUCAUGUUGUAGAUUGGUUACUAUAUUUCAGCUUAUCCUUUCUAUUAUGCCUGAGUUAGUCCUAGUGGGAAAGUCGGUGAUGUUGAGGCCGAACCCACUGGGAACUUUGUUGUAGUUCUCACCCCACUAUUUCCACAGAGCCGGGACCGAGUGAGCCGGCGAGCGACCGAGGUAAAGGUAUCGCGCCUUAGACAGAGGCCACCAGAAUUGAGUUGGGUUUGCAUUUUGAUAGUGGCUACCCUAUGUUCAUCUUCUGUACGUGAUGAUUAGUAAUGUAAAGAAAAGAAUGUAAUGUGUAUUUUGAGGUAAAUGUGAUGUAAGAAAGAAAUGAUGAAAUGAUGUAAUGAAACGCAAAGAAUCCUAAAUGUAAGAAAUGGAUGCAAUGUAUAUGAUCUAAAAUGAAUCAUAUUACUUGUGUAGAAGUUUAGUUUUCCUAUCUUUCACUAAUGGCUAUUGCUUACCCUCGUGUAAGCCGUUUAUGUAUGUUUCCGCUAGUGCAUUUCUCGUUGAAUUUGUACGUGUGAUGAGCCUUGGGCGGAUAGGGGAAACUCUGUCCGUUCGGCGUCUGUUUGACGUGCUCGGGUCGGGCCAAAUUGGUAUCGGUCCCGGGGCGUGACAGUGUAAACUCUAGUGUAAUAUUGUCUUUGUAUUCAGGUGUGGAUAUACGAGCACACUGGAUAUAGAUGUCCCCUGCCUUCCCAUCGUGCAAUAUUUUCUCGUGUCCAGAGGUGGGAUACGAUUAGAUGGUCUCGUCGUUCGCGGGGAUCAUCGAGAGUGAAGGAAGAUUUUAACUUCACUACAUGCUGCCGCAGGCUUGACCUCUCCCCGGAGGAACUACGCCUGGUGGGUGUCGUGGCUCAAGUUCCACGGCGCCACCGCCGCCCCAGGAAUGAGGAACCUCCGGGGGGUUAUAAAGAGGUGAUGGCGGCAAUUAGCCGUCUGGAGUCCGUGGUGUUCAGUCUUGCCACCUCCGUUGCCGGCAUACUGAGCAAUCCGGCACUCCUACCAGCACCAAAAUCCACCCUGGCACCUAUUGGAAGUAUCAAAAGCAAGAAGAGGAGACAUGAAGGAGUGCAAAUACCAAGCCCUCCACCGUCUAAAUCAUCUAAGCGAUCGACACAGGGAGCUAAAAAAGGAAAGAUAGGAACGUCCAUAUUGGCGAUGCCCGCACCGAUCUCGGCCAUUAAGGCGAAGCCCGAAAUCGGUAAAGAACGGUCGAGAUCUUCUUCGAAAUCUAGAAAGGAUGGGGCACGCCAAAAACUAGAGAGUCCGCCAAAGGCUCCCAAGGACUCUCGUAAAAAUCGCACGCUGGGGAGGGGCAAACGAUUUCGAAGCCGUACAAUCUCCGACCUCGCUGGGGAUGAAAGAAUAAAGCCGACGACCCAAUUGCCGACGUAUGCGACGUCCUUAUUAUUUUACAUUCUCAACAAACGAUUGAUUCUAAUAUGGCAUCUCCAUAAUAGUGUAACUCUACAAGACUUGGAUUAAUAAAAUCAUGUUUUAGUUCUAUAAUUGUGUAACCUUUAUUAUAAUCGUGCAUCAUAUUUUAGAGUAGUGUAACAUAGAACACAUUAUUUAUAUGCAGGUCCCCCCACCGAGACGGAGCGUCAAGUCACAAUCGCCGCGCCCGCUCAAUAUAUAUGAAGAAAAUAUCGAAGAAAGCGACAGUCGAACAGCGGGACUCUUCGCCAGCGAGUCAGUUUUGCAUAGAGAUGAAGUAUGUAAUAGUGUAAGUUGUAAUUAAAUAGUGUAAUUCCUAACGAAUUUGUUUAUGUGAUGUCAAAUAUUUUUUGAAAAUGUCAGCUGAUGGACAUCGUCAUCGAAAUAUGUGAAGACAUCCAACCGUUAUCUUCACUACUAGAGGUGCCGGCGGCAGAGGAAAAGGGGGAGGAGGAGGCCGCGGAGAAAGCGGCCGCCGAGAAAAUUGUGGAGUCGGCUGUUGGGGCGGUGGAGGUGGAGGUUGCACCAGUGACAGCGCCGGCGGCGGAGGAUGCAUGCUCUGAGGAAAAGUUGGAGGCGGCGACAGCUCCGGCGGAGGAUGAAGAAAAGGAGGAGGUGGAGGCUGCACCAGUGACAGCGCCAGCGGCGGAGGAUGCAGGCUCUGCGGAAAAGGUGGAGGCGGCGACAGCACUGGCGGAGGAUGAAGAAAAGGAGGAGGUGGAGGCUGCACCAAUGACAGCGCCGGCGACGGAGGAUGCAGGCUCUGAGGAAAAGGUGGAGGCGACGACAGCUCCGGCGGAGGAUGAAGAAAAAGAGGAGGCGACGGCGGCGGCGGAGCAUGUGGUUAAGGAGGCGAAGGCGGCGGCUGAUGAUGUGGUAAAGGAGGCGAAGGCGGCGGCGGAGGAUGUGUUCCCGGCGCCUACCCACACUGCGAAGUCUUCCAUGCCGGAACCCAGCACUAUACCGGUAUGUGAAUAUUGCACUAUUAUCGAUCUUUAAUGCGAUUUAGCUUAUAAUAGUGUAAUAAGGUCCAGUAAUGGUGUAAUUCAUUGAGUGUAACAGCUUAUAAUAGUGUAAUAAGGUCCAGCAAUGGUGUAAUGCAUUGAGUGUUUAACUCUUUAUUUGAUUUCUAUACAGCCCCCAAUAAUUAUCGACAUCCUGGAGUUGAAAGAAACGUAAAAAAAACAAAAGGCCCAAAAACUUAAAUUGAAGGUACCAUUAUCUUCAGCUAAUCGGGAUUUAAAAUACGACGGCAAGGGAGAGUUACCAAAGGAGGAUCAAGAGCGAAUUGAAAAAUUCCUGACAAGUACCAAUACCGAACCAGUAAGAGUGCCUUCGAAGGGUAUUGACAUCGGGAGGAUUGACUUCAUUGACCUAACAAGUCAUAUGGCCUUUGUCAGCUCUGAUAUUAUCGACGCCUACCAGCAUUUACUGGAGUAGGCAGAAGGCCACAAGUGCAUAUACACCACGUCCUUCCUUUGUCAGACAAUAGGAACAUCAAUGAACCCCGCCGAGAUGUUUUUGCAAGACAUCAACGAGGAGGUGAUUACUGGGGCAAAGUACUGGUUCAUCCCACUCUUCCACUCCGACCACUGGCAUUUGCCAGCGGUCGAUCUCCAAGCCGGAAAGUACAUCCACCUAUCGUCCAUUAAAAAUCCUAAAUACAACGCUGGGUUUGAGACAGCGGUAAGUAUUUUCUUUUUAUAUAUAUAUAAAANUAUAUAUAUAUAUAUAUAUAUAUAUAUAUAUAUAUAUAUAUAUAUAUAUCGUCCAGUAAAAACCAGGCUUUCUAAUUAGUCCAAUGUUUUCUUAUGUAGUGUAAAUACAUAGGUAAUUUUUUGCAAAAUAAAUUUUUCGAUUUGUUUCUUCGCCGCGGUACCCGUCCAGUCGACUGGGAGAUGAUCAACAGGGAUGACAUCCCGAUGCAAGAUCAAUCAAAUGAUUGCGCAAUCUUCCUUUUAACAUACGAAGAAUACUUGCAGAAGGGGUGGAACUUGAACUUCUCCCAGAAAGAUAUAACGAAGAAACGCGAGGAGAUAACAACAGAAUUUUUGCGGCAUUUUUACUCACAAUAAUUCUAGCCUUAUUCAUUCGAUUAACAAAUCUUUAAUUUGUAUAGUCAAUUUAUUUUUAUUGACUCCAUCCGUGUAACAGUGCAAUGUAAUGUACAUAAUGGUGCAUUUUAUUGUAAAAGUGGUGUAAAAAAAUUCAUCUUAUAUUAUAACGGUGCAAUGUAAUAGACAUAAUAGUGCAAUUUUUUGAAGAAGUGGUGUAAAAGAAUUCAUGAUGAUUGUAACGUUGCAAUGUAAUAGACAUAAUAGUGAAAAGUUGUUAAACGAAUCCACUUGUAUUCUAACGGUGCAAUGUAAUUGUCACGCCCCGAGCUCCGCCGAUUUGGUCGGAUUCGAGCACAUGACAGACGCCGAACUGACAGUACCUCCCCUGUCCGCCCAAGGCUCCAACAACAAGUAUAAUACAAGCAAAUCAACAAGGAGAAUUGCGAGAUAUAUUAGGUUUGCACGAGGGCAAACAACAACCACAGUGAAAGCAUCGAACUAACUAAACAUCCAACAUACAUGUCAUUUGAUCUCAUUUGAAUCAAACACAAGUAGUCAAACACAUUUACAUUCAUUACAUUAUUCUUGCAUUACCCAAAAUACAAUUUACAUUACAUCACUUUUACUUUACAAUUUCAACAUACAAAAGUUGAAUACAUCAAGAGUAGGGUAUGCCUAUAUAACUCCGGGGUCGCUAUCUACGGCGCGACUCCCUUGCCUCGAUCCUCCGCCGCCCCGCUCGCAUAUGGAUCUGCAGGGUUAGUGGUAAUGAGAACUAGAACGAAGUUCCCAGUGGGUUCGGCCGCCGACCACGCCGAUUCGCCCACUAGGUCUAAUUCAGGCAUAUGUAUUUCAAUAAAGAAGAAUAACAAACCAACUAAUGCACUUCUAAUACAAUGCCUGCAAAAAAACGAUUCACAGAUAGAUAUUCAUAUUCAAAUACAUGAUUAUUAUGCAUGCAUGUUCUUUUCACUUUCCUUUGGCCUUUACCAAAUCAACCUGGGGUGCUCCUGGUUUACCCCAACUCACAGUCCGCACAUCCAUCUAACGGGGGAGGCACAAGGCACAACCACCCGAAGGAUCUUCGCUGGGCACGUCCACCCGUGGUGCAUUUCUUCUCCGGAGUACACCGCCCGUGGAGGAGCGACCUCGCACAAGCCGGAACCAAUACAUGUGAGUAUGAUCCCAUCCUCAAAUUUGAGGAGGUAUGGCCAACCUGUCACUGUCUCAAGGCCGAUGAAUGGUUACAACCUAUUCAUGCACAUACCGUCACUUGCCAAUGUCAUGGUGGUCCUAAUGCCACAAUACACAUAAUGUCACUCUGGUAAAACCUUGUUUAACUAUUCACUCAUCGAUGUCAAUCGAGUCACUAAUGUCCAUGUCGCCUUUGUUUACUACGGUCACAGUCAUUUCUUACAUUCACAUGCAUAUAGGGUCUUUCACUAUUCUUGUUCACAUGUUUCUAUAUCAUUACAAUAAUCUCACGCAGAUAAUUGUCACAACCAACAUAUACUGUUCAUUACCCUACAUGCAAGAAUGCCAUAAUCUCAACAUGCUCAAAGAAAGGAUAUAGACAUAGAAAGAGAUCCGGUAUUUCCGGAUAGCACCCCCCACCUUUAUGUGUCACAAGGAUGCCACGAUUCUGAUUCCACGAUUUUUAGGCUUGUUCGCCGCGAGCUACGGCGAUCUGUACUAUUUCAACUUGUUUUCUCAAUAUCUUCGCGCACGCUCGUCGUAUCGCCGAACCGAGCGCACCGACGCGUUCGUAGACCUACCAAUUUGGUUAAAAUGAGAUCAAAUCCAAGUUUGAACCUCAAAAUUACAAAAUCCUAAAUAUAGGUCCCUCGACAAAGUCAUCUUCCCCAACAUAGGUCCUUACACAUGAGAAACUUGGGGAAAAUACUCUAACCCAUCUCCUAGAAGCACACUAGAAGGAAAAAUCCAAACUCUAGCUCAAAACCCAUGAGAACUCACCUUUGGAGUCCAAAGCUUCCUUCAAAAGCUUUGAUCAACCUUGCUCUACACCUUGGAGAGCUUCUUCUCCAAGCUUGCUCCUUCAAAUCCCCUCUUGGUCCAAGCCCUAAAGAGAGAGAGAGAGAGAAGAGAAGGAUUUUAGAGAGAGAAAGGGAAGGUUUUGAGAGUGAGAGUGAGAGUGAGAACAAAUGGUUCUCACUCAUGCCCUAGCUCAAAUAACCCUUCACAUGCCAUAUUUGCAUCUAAACCCCUCAACUUUUCAUUUUUACAAACAACCCUCACUGGGCAUUUUCGGGCUCGGGGACCGAUCUCUCCCCUUCAGGGACCGGUUCCCGAGAGCUACCCUGCACUCAGCGCAGAAGGGGACCGGUCUUCCCCUGAUGAAACUGGUCUCCGGGGACCGGUAUCCCGCCGAAGGACCAGUUCCCGAGAGCUCAGUUUCCAGGACUUAGCCGAUUUUUCCCUCUGCUUGGCUGAUCAACGUUCGGGAACCGGUCUCUCAUCCAAGGGACCGGUCCCCGAGAGUAAAAAUUCUGGAAAUUUUCCAGAAUUGCAGUUUCACUCUCUCGGGUCCCUUUAUACUUCAUAUAUAGGCUCCAAUACACUUUUAGCCUAUAGUAACUCAUUCCUUUCCGUGUUCCACUCAUUUCGACGGAACUCGGCACGAUUUACGGAAAAGUGAUAUGUUACAGUAAUAGACAUAAUAGUGCAAUUGAAUGUUUAAGUGCGGUAGAGAAUCCAUGUUGGAUUGUAACGGUGCAAUGUAAUAGACAUAAUAGUGCAAUUCAUUGUAGAAAUUGGUGAUUUGUUUACGGCUAUUACACUAUUUUAUUUCCAUUCCCAAACAUCGAAAGUUGCUUUACCUUCCUGAGGCGUAAUUCUCUUACAAUCCGGUAAUUAUAUGAGGCCCAUGCGCUAUACGCAACAGCGCCGUUUUAUGAAAGAGCAUUAAAUGCAAGCCAUUAAAGAGCCAUUAAUGCAGCAAGCGCGGGAAACGCAGUUUUAGGGCGACGAUAUUCUAUUCGCCAGAGCCAGUGUUUGCUGUUAGUUUUUUGAUUUUUUUAUUUAUAUGAUUUGGAAGUGCAGCAGUACUUGUCUCAAGGACUGAAGGGAAUAUAAAAUCUAAUGAUGUCACUGUCGAUAUAUCUUGUUGAGGUACAGUUGAAUAUGGCACAGUUACCGAAAUAACAUAUAGAAAUUGAAUUUGAAAUAUCAUUGCAAUAGAUAGCAUAAUAGUGUAACAGAAGUCAAAAUUAGUGCAAUACAACCGCAUAUGCAUGGUCGACUUGUCCAAAUGGUGCAAGGCUUGCGUCGUUUGGAAAAAAUUCUGGCGGAUUAGAAAUAAAUUUUGGCGGGAACAGAAGUAUUAUUUUCCGCCCCAUGCACAACUUAACAACUCAUGCACGUAAACUGGAUUAUAUUAUAUAUUGAUGAAAGAGUGUUUUUGAAUAACUUUUAGCUAAUUUUCUGUAUCCAACUCUUACAAGUGAUGGAUAACGCUGAAAUUCCAGUGCACUACAAUUUUAAUGAACGUUUUAAGGAGGAAGGAGGCAUUGUCAAUUAUGUAGGAGGGUCCAGCCGGCUCAAUUUCAUCAGGCAAGGCGAUAAUUUUAAUUCCCUGCAAGCAAUGUUCUGCAAGUACAUGAAUACUUCACAGGAAUCCUGCAAGAUCGAAAUUAAACUUAGCUAUAGUGGGAAUCUCAGCAAACUCAUUGACAUUGUUGACGACGGCGAUCUCGGAAACAUACGGAGACUCUAUAAAACCAACGCGUAUCUGAUGGAGCUUUAUGCUGUGAGUAACUUAGUCGAGAGAAAGGUUGCUACUUGUGAUCCCGAUGAUAUAAACGAAUUGCUUACAGACGAACAGCUGGAGCUGUUGAUUAACAGCCGUUCUGGGGAUGCAUUUACUCCUUAGCAGACACAUUUUGAAAAAGUUGGCUCGUAAGUUACACUAUUAUUUUUUUUGCACCAUUACCGAGCCUUAUUGCACUUGUAACCUCUUUAUUUUCAGCGGUUGCACUACUCUCAAUGCACUUUUGCACCAUUAUAUUUUACCUCAUUCAAUUGUAAGCAAUAUAUAUUAUACGAUUGCACUAUUACAUAAUUUUUUCAUUAUAUAUUAUUUUUAUGUUGCACCGGUUCGUAAUAUCUUGCAUCAUUACUUCGACCUCUUGCACCGUAUGAACUUUACACAUAAGGGUUCUUGUACUAUUUAAUAUUUACAAUGCACUCCUUGCAUGCUUUCACUUAUGGUGCAGAUCUUCUUAUUCUAUUCUCAUUGACGAUGCGGAAGCGGCAGACAGUGACGACGGUUUUAUUAUUGCUGAUUUGAAAGACGAGUUAGAUUCCGACGAAAGAAACGGUAUCGUCUCGACUUCUCCCGACGCACCUCAUUGGACAUACAGCGCCAUGGAUAUCCUCCCGUUGCGGCAAAGCGAUGUAAUAGGACUUACUGCUGAGCAAUUUGGCCACGACGAGCUUGAAGAAGCCCUCAUUGUAAACAGCUCUACGAUGGAGUCAGUUGUUGAUGUCGCAGAUGCGGACGAUGUCCAUGAGGGCCAGCUCUACAAGAUGCAAGGCGACUUCUAACGAGCUCUCAAAGCAUACGCAAUGAAAAGAGGUUUUGAGUACGCACCGACGAAAUGCAACGACCAUAAGAUAACCGCACGAUGCCACGUCUUAUAUUGUCCUUGGAGAAUAAAGGCGCGUCAAGUACCAGGAAUUGCUCAAUAGUGCGUGAAGAAAUUUGAUUCGCAACACACUUGUAGCAGGGCAAUAGGGAGAUUGGGCCAUAGGAAUUGCGAUGCGGCUUUUAUAACAGCAUUUGUUAGGGAGCAGGUGGUGGCAAACAAGAAAUACACGCCGAAGAUGGUUCAGACCGAGAUUCUUUGGCAGCACGGCGUAAAAAUUUCAUACCGGAAAGCCUACCGGGCCAGGAAUUGGUCCUUCAAGAGGUGCGCGGCGAUUUCGAGGGCUCGUUCGCUCUACUUCCCUCGUACAUGCAAGAGUUGAGGAGUGGAGAUGCGGAAACAUGUCUCCAAUUACUUUACCAGGACGAGGGUCGUUUUCAUCAUUUUUUCUGAGCUUCGGCGCAGCAAUUCGAGCAUUUAGGAAGCACUGCAGGUCGCUGUUGGUCUGGAUGGUACGUUAUUGCACUAUUACGCCACUAUCACAUCAUUAUUUUACUAUGUUGCACUAUUAUAUAAUAAAUUCAUGAAUGUAACACAAUUAUUUGCACGAUUACACAAUUAUAUACACGGUUUUUUAUUCUUACAGGAACCUUCCUAACUGGUAAGUUUAGAGGUUGUCUGCUGACGGCGUCAUGUAUUGAUGGGAAUAACUGCAUAUUGCCAUUGGUGUGGGCAGUUGUUGAAGGUGAAAAUUGCUAUUCCUAGCAUUGAUUUCUGGAACAGUUACGGGAUGGCGUCGUUAGUGAUCGCGACUCCAGUAGAGCAAACAGUGUACUUACUAUCGUUUCCGACCGCCAAAAGGGAUUGAUUGAUGCUGUAUCCGAUGUUUUUCCGGAUGCAGCUUAUGGUUAUUGCAUUUACCAUCUGUCUACCAAUCUCCCGCACGCGCCAAAGAAUACACCUGCGUAGAGAAGAUUUUGGGCGGCGGUGCGCGCAUACAUUGUCGCGGAGUUCAACAAAUACAUGGAGAAGAUUAAGGAGUUGAACCCCGAAUAGUACAAGUAUGUGGUCAAGCUUCCUCGGCAUAGGUGGGCUACCCAUUGCUUCCUGGGAAGGCGUUAUUCAAUGCUCACUUCCAACUGUGCCGAGACGAUAAAUAGUGUAAUUCGACAUUUAAAGGGCCUUCCAAUUACCUACCUCGUCGAGGAAACACGAAAGAAAACAGCUUGUUAUUUUUACCAGAGAAAACAUAAUGGGGAGAAUAUUACCAGUGUAGUAACACCCUAUGCAGAAAAGAUUUUAGGUAUUAUCGUUUAUUUUUCCCCAUUUAAUCAGUAUAUUACACUACUUAUCAAUCGGUUACAUGUAGUCAUUACACUAUUUGUCCCACCCUUUGGACUGGCUUGUUGUUUUUCAGGUAAUUGCAGCCGACUGUACGGAUGUUGUGGAUCUUUCCAAAAAGACAUGUUCCUACAAGCGAUGGGACAUUGACGGAAUUCUAUAUAAUCACGCCAUGGCAGCAAUUUCUUUUAGGCUACGGGAUCGGUAUGAUUUUGUCGAGGAAUGGUUCAAGACCUCGACUUAUCGCGCAACCUACAACGAUUGCGUCCCCUCCACCAGAGGCAAAGAGCAAUGGCCUGCAAUACCAAGUAACGUUGUUCCACCACGGCCGCAAAACGUCUGCAUACAACCGGGCAGAAGAAAGGUUUCGCGGCGAGAGUCUAUUGCUAACGACUUAAUAAAGAAGCGGUGCCGGAAUUGCCAGAGAUGGGGGCACAACAAAAGGUCAUGCAAGAACCCUCCUGUGACUAGAGCAAACCAGCCGCGCGCGACGACAUCCGCGGGCGCACCGCAGGAAACAUCGAAAAAUCCAUACGUCUUAUUGUAAUAGUUCAAGGCUAAUGCUAAUAGUGUACAUAUAGAUAAUUUGAUUAAGUAAAUUUUUGUAAUAGUAUAAAAUAGAAGAUAAUAGUUCAACAUAUUUAAAAAAUAGUGUAACGAGGAUCUCAAAAUUUUGACUGUUAAGUGAGGUUGCACUGGAACGAGACUACGGAUGCACUGUUAUAGCGGUCAUUGCACCAUUUAUACUGCAGUAGAACCUUCCCGUUGCACUAAUAUCCCUGCGCACAGAGGCGAAUUCGACACUGCGGCGGCGACGGCUAGAGGUAGCGCAGCGGCGGAUAAAGAGGUCGUGGAGCCUCCUCCUACUCUGCCCCGCUAUUCGACGACCCCCAUGUCCUUUCAUUUGCACAAUAGCUUAAGAUUACAUUAAGAAAUAAAAUAAGUAGGUUAUGGAGAGGUUGCACUGGAACGAGUUUACGGAUGCACUGUUAGAAGGGCGGUUGCACGAUUUCUCCUGUCAUAGCUCCUUUCUGUUGCAUUAUUAUCCCAAUUGCGUGCGUGCACUUAAUGUCAUUUAGCUUCAGAAAAUAUCUUAAAGUCUUAAAGCCGAACAGCAAACAGCAGGUACGGCGAAUAGCGGGGGGGAUGUCGUCCGUUUUCCAAGUAAUGAGCGAGGUUGCGUAAAGCGGAAGUGGCGCAUUUAAUGAGCGUCAGACAGUAUGGCAUGGUCCGAGUUCCGAGUAAUGAGCGAGGGAGGAGAGGUUGCGUAAAGCGGACGCGGCGCAUUUAAUGAGCGCCAGCCCGCGCGGCUUUUGUAUACGAGGGGUGAAAUGAAAUUUAUAGUUAACGAAGUCUUUAAGUGGUGUAACUAAGAUCAAAAGAGUUCAAGAUUUUCCAGUAAAGUGUGUAACAGUACGAUAUGUAGCACAAUUUUUUCACAGAAUUGGUGAUAACAUGAACAUAAUAGUGCAAAAAUGUCCGAAAUUUAUAUUAUACUAUGAUGUAAAUAGUGCAACAUUGUUUGUUAAAUAUUGUAACCGGUAAAUAGUGUAACAAAUUCGUAAGGAGUCGAUUAACAUGUGAACAAGAAUUACAUUAUCUUUGAAGCCGAGUACACGAUUUUAUAGUACUUUGCAAAAUACAAAUAAGAUUUGCAUACAAUGUAACCUUCUAUUACAUCAACUAUAACAAACUUUUCAUAAUAAUUAAUUAAGAAAAGUAUGUAAUCAUCAAAGUUUCUCUGCAAUUCCACACGCACAUAGCCGACGCUAACAGGUAUAGGCCAGGGAAGACUGCCAAAGGAGACUGCGAUGAGGAGGAGACUGCCGAAGGAGACUGCGAGGAUGAGGAGGCUCGUUCAGAAGGGUAGAUCCAGCAACGAGGCACUAAGAUUGAUUUGCACUAUCUGGAGUGCUUUAUAUGCCUCGAGCCUUUUGGAGCUCCGCUCUACCAUGAAACAGACAAUUCAAUCAGCAAAACAUAAGAAUCCAUCAAUAACAAUAAAGAUAUGCAAGAAUUUAAGAACCUGUAUGAGAGGAGGGCCAAUGGGCUCGUGGCAAAUAAAGCACUCCAGAUAGUGCGAAUCAAUCUUAACGCCUCAUUGCUGGAUGGUACCCUUCCGAGCGAGCCGCCUAUUCCUCGAACGCUGCUUCAACUCUCUACCGUUAAUAGUGCAACGUAGGGUAAAAUAGUAGAACUAAGUUCAUAAGGGUGCAACGAUGUCAUCAUAAUAGUGCUAUGGAUUCAGCGAACAGCAAACACACGGUCUGGCGAAUAGCGUGGAUGAUAUACGCUCCCUGCGCAGGGCGCAUUUAAUGCUGCUAAAAGCACAUAGCGUAACAUGUACGUUAUAGCGUCCCUUCUGUGAGGCGAAGAGACACCGGCGGGUAUAUCGAAGCUGCCUCGGCAAAAGUAAAAGCACUAUUCAAACGUUUUUUUAUUUUUAUUUUGUUUAAAUAUGGCUUCUUCAGUUUCAUUCCGCGUAAAGGCGUUACACUGUUAUGACGAAUGUUACUCUAAUAUCGCGCCAGUAUUGCACUUUUAGAAGCUAUAUUACAUUAUGUUACUUGGCGUUCACUAUUAUUAGGGUCUAUCGUUGCACUAUUAUUAUACGAUUGAAUGAAGGAAUUGAUGUUUUUUAAGUGAUGUUACAGUAAUACGGCCCUUGAGGUGAGCAUUAGCCACUUUCUGUUCAUGAGAAAAACUAAUAUUUCAUGAGCAUUAAUAGUCGGUGACCUAAAUGGUUACGCAACCUACAAUACAAUAUAUAAAAGAGACUCUUUAUGGACUUGGGCAACCGGCAACGAGAAAACGGCGAUGAUGGAGGUACACAAGACGAGGGGAGAGAGCCGCAGGAGAGGUCGACAACAAGGAGGCUCGGUCGUAAGUGUACCAUCCAGCAAGGAGGCAUUAAGAUUGAUUCGCACUAUCUGAAGUACUGUGCUUUAUUUGCGACGAGGCACCACCUCUAUACCAGGUUCUUAAAUUCUUCCAGAUCUUUAUUCUUAUUGAUCGGUUCUAAUUUUUUUCUGACUAUACUGUCUCUUUACGAACAAUAUAGUGCCGAAACGUCAAUGCUAAAGUCCCUAGUGCAAAUAAAGCACUCGACAUACCCCUUCGAGCGAGCCUUCUCCUCUUCACCAUUUCAUCUUCCGUUAGAGGAACAGUAGCGUCUGCUCUGUGCGCGUGGAUUUGCCGGCUAGCUUUAAUGAUGAUACUAUACUUUUGUAAAAUGAAAGCCUACUUUUGUUCAAUAUUCAUGUUGAUGCGAAUGUUACAGUUGAUGUUGUGAACAUCGUAUUGUAUGCAAAACGUGUAUUAUAUGUUGCAUUUUCGUCAAAGACAAUGUAUAAUUUGCUUGUAUAUUAAUAAAAAGAUCCCUUUCUUUACAUCUUUACAUUCUUACACCAACGAUUUUUCUUGCAAUGGUUAGAGACUCAUUGCACCAUUUAGUCAAUUUAUUACACUAAUUGGUGAACUACCACACAAUUAAGUUUACAACGUUAAACGCAAUUUAUUACACCAUUUAGGAAGUAUGAUUUUUAAAGAGAUGUCUGACUAUUAUCUUCUUUAAUAAAUCAUGCGUUUUUAAACCAUUGCACUGGCUAUUAUCGGCGUUUAAACCAUUUUAAAGAGAUGUCUGACUAUUAUCGGCAUUUAAAGGUGCACUAUUAUUAUAUCCACCUCUCGAACGCACCCUUACAAGCUUAGUACGAGUCUUUUUCAAACCAUUGCACUGAUAUUACUACCGUAUUGCACUCUUACAAGUUUCGUUGCACUCAUUUUUAAAUCCGUUGCACUGUUAUUAAGACCGUAUUGCACUCUUACAAGCUUCGUUGCACUCUGUUGUAAAAUAUUGUUCUGUUAUUCACACCGCCUUGCACUUAUUAUAUAGUUAAAAGAACGCGUGAUCUUUUAUGAGAAAACUUUACACAAUCGUUAGCCGUUAUGUCGCGCCUCUCGAACUCCGGACCUCGCCGGCGACCGUCCAAACCCACCGCCGAGCUUCUCAGCACACCGACUCUUAUAUGGCACAUCGCCGACCGUCCUACCCCGCAGCCGAUCGUCCUGCGCCGCGGACGCUUCGCCUGCAUUUGGAGGGGACACCAUUCAUUUGCACUUUUAAGUUCAGAUUAUAUUAAGAAAUAGAGAAAGUAAAAUUUUGAAUGGUUAUGUAGAGGUUGCACUAGAACGAUGCUAUGGAUGCACUGUUAGAAGGGCCGUUGCACCAUUUCUCCUGCCAUAGAACCUUCGCGUUGCACUAUUAUCCCUGGCGCGCGGAGGUGAAGUCGACACGGCGGCGGCGGCGAUAAAGACGUCGUGGAGCCUCCUCCCACUCCGCCCCGAUAUUAUCGACGGCCCCCAUGUCCUUUCAUUUGCACUAUUAGCUUAAGAUUACAUUAUGAAAUAAAAUAAGUAAAAUUUUGACUGGUUAUGGAGAGGUUGCACUGGAACGAGGCUACGGUUGCAUGUUAGAAGGUUCGUUCCACCAUUUCUCCUGCCGUAGAACCUUCGCCUUGCACUAUUAUCCUUGGCGGGCGGAGGUGAAGCGCCACGGCGGCGGCGGCAAUAAAGAGGCGGUGGAGCCUCCUCCUACUCCGCACCCAGUGUUUGCUGUUCAGUCUCUUCUCCGACGCCUCUGCUUCCUGAAACCAUUGAACUAUUCUGUCAACCACAUUGCACCAUUACAAUCACAGUUGUAGUCUUUUACCCUACGUUGCACUGUUAGAAGGGCAGUUGCACCAUUUUUCCUGGCGUUGCUUCUUCAUGUUGCACUAUUAUCCCUGUUGCGGGGAGUGCAGUUUUUGUCAUUUAUCUUGAGAAAUUGUAUUAAAGUCUUAAAGCCGAACAGCAAACAGCGGGGCCGGCGAAUAGAGGGGCGGAUGUGGUUCAGGUUCCGAGAAAUGAGAGAGGUUGCGUAAGGCGGAAGCGGCGUAUUUAAUGCCCGCCAGACCGUAGGGUAGGGUAGUAUACGUAUGUCAAAAAAUACGCGGGCGGCUUUUGUAUACGAUGGGCAUUUUGGUCUGGCGGACGAAAAAGCGGACCGAAUCUGCAAAAACGAAAAAGGUGGCUUGGUUUUGCAAAAGCCCAAAAUAAGUUUUAUGCAAAAUGGCCUUGGUUAUUUAACCAGAUGUAAUAAUUUUAAUUAUCUUUGGUCAUUUUAAUUAAUUCAUUAAUAAUUUUACCAUAUUCAAUAAUUUUAAUUAUCUUUAGUCAUUUUAAUUUAACUAAGUAUAAAAAUUUGUAAUGUACCGAACUUUGGAUAAACUAAUAAUGUGCAGAUUAAAUCAUGCUAGACGUGAUUGAAAUGAAUUUUUAGAAGUUUAGACUGAGUUUGGAUUGAAUUCAAAUCAAUUCGGAUCGAAUUGGAGUUUCGAAAGAGAAUAAAACUGAGUUCUAGACCUUUCGGACGCCCGGAAUAGGGUUUCGAGCGCUCAAAAUGGUUUUUACGGCCCGAUGCAGUGCCCGGAAUAAGUGGAUUCAAAAGAGCAAAGUUUGUGAGAGGCCCACUUUCGGGCGCCUGGAUUGUCCUGUCGGCACCCAGAUCUUUUCGGAUAUCAUCUGAGGGCGUCUAGAACCCCUUCGGACUCCCAAUGCAAGAGCUGGAUUGCAAUGGACAAAAUAUUCCAGCGUCCAAAAUGCCUUGCAGGAACCCGAAACAUCUUUCGGGCGGUCCCUUGCGUGCGUUUGAAUGGUUUUCGAAUGCUCAACCGGGAGCGGUAUUACGUGAUGGAAUAAACAAUAUGUAAGGAAGUGAAUCCUCGAAAUCCGAGAGUUGAACUUCGACCAGAAUCGACUAUUUGUCGAGUAGGUACCCUUCGGAAAGGCUAAAGAUGUCCAAAACACAAAAGUGCUUUGGAGUCGAGUUCACGAGAGCAAGAAAUGUGAAAAUCUGCACCUGACAUAUUUUGCUCUCGGGGACCGGUCCCUGGCAGGGAAAAACCGGUCCCCGAACUGAGGGAUGCAGCAGCGCGCGAUGCAACCGGUCCCUGGGCCUGAGGGACUGGUUCCCGAACUCGUAAACUUGGGGAGGUCCCAAGGGACCGGUCCCAGGCUGAAAGAUAUGGAUCCCGAGGAUCUAAAAGGUAAGUAACACCUAGAGGGGGGUGAAUAGGUGUAAAAACGGCAAACUCGAAAAUCUCGAUGCAAAUAAAACAAAGUAGCGGAAAAUAAAACAGCACACCGAGAAUUUAACGUGAAAAAACUCCAAAUCGGAGGGAAAAACCCACGGGACCGAUCACGCGAAGAAAAUCCACUAAGAAAACUUGAGUACAAGUGAUUUUGACAAAAAUACAUGACUCAAUUUACCGAUUUCUUGUUGAUGGUGAUCUUCGCCGGUCCUCGAUCGAUAGGAAUCCACCAAUCGACCUUGCUGCAACUCCUCGCAGCGUCAACGCCUCAACUCCUCGAAGCGUCCACCGAAUCCUCGGCUUCACGCGAAAUCCACGCGCCGAACCUCCUUCCGGAGCUUGUAGAAUCGAAGAUUUGUGAUGAUUUAACCUUUGAAUACCAUAAGCUAUGAGGGUUCACCUUUAAUCAAAAAUCUACUUGAUUCUCGUAUGAGUUAUCGAGUAAAAACGAAGAAUCAAGCCGAUUGUUGAUUGUUAGAAACUCGUUAUGUGAAUCGAAGCAUUGAAACGGAAAAAAAAAGUUUCUAGGGUUUGAAAUCAGUAAAUAUUCAAAGCCUUAGAUUUUAGAUGACCCCCAUAACUUAUUUAUAUGUUUAGAAGACUUAGAAAUAGACUAGGAUUGCAAAAAGUCCUUUUUAAAAACCUGUGUCGUCCUCAGAGACCGGUCUUCUCGAGGAGACCGGUCUGUGAGAGACCGGUCUCUCAAGUGAGGAACCGGUCCCUCACUGCGUGACCAAAAUCACAACGUUCGGGAACCGGUCUCUCAAGCUUGAGACCGGUCCCUCGCUGCGCGACAGAAAUACCAAGGUUCGGGAACCGGUCUCUCAUCUCAGGGGACCGGUUGCAUCAAAGCUCACGCAGUGAGGACCUUAGGGGAACCGGUCUCUUGACCUCAGGGACCGGUCUCCAAGUCCUCAAACCCCGUCAAGUCCUCGGGUCGGGUCUCCACACACUCGGCGUACUAUCGAUCUCGCGAUCCAAUACGUGGCGUUCCACGCACUCGGGUCUAAUCUCGGACUACCGUCCUGACCAAAACUCCGCCCUACCUAUAGGUAUCAGGCCGCUGUCUCUCACAGCUGACUGCGCCUGCCCAAUGGGCCCAGGCUCCAUAGUCUACAAAUGGUCCAGGCACGGGUCGUCCCCAAGCACUACCCGCCAACGUCGUCCUAUACGACAUGCUCUACAGAGCUAUCAACUCUAGCGACUCUUAGGCACCUAGUGCGAACCACCAGCCCUGAUGAGCGAUCCAUGGCUCGCUUCAUACUUAGCCCUGCUGAAGUGCUACUGCCAAUUCACUCGACCGGCUGAAUCGAAGCCGUACCUCACGAGUAACUAUACUCGAGCACUCUACGCCUCUACGGCGUCUCAUACAAAUCCAGCAUCAGGCAGCUUAGCCUAUGCACACUGGCCACACGAGCAAUAACUCGUCCACCUCAAUUCGAGGUACUACUAGGCCCACAGGCCAAGCUCGGCGCUAAUCGACCAAUUUCGCAGCAGUGGUUCACCCCCGCUUUUCGAUCUAUCGAAUCCACACCCGAACUACUCUUAGAAUAUUCGGGUGUCCCCGAACAUCAAGGCUCAACUCUCACAAUUUCUAAUCUAUUGCAUCUAGAGUUCACUCACAAUCUUGAUUUCCAUUACGAGCCUCGUUUCCUGUUCAAAAUCAUCACUAGCCAUUUGCUAGUACCACUUGGCUUUCUACCUGCUCUAGCCGGCGCUACACUCUCAUCCUGCUAGCAUGCUCGGGUACCUACCGACCCGACCGCUUGGUCCCUACUAAGCAAUGUAAUAAUAGUAGCAACUGACCAAUGAUGAAUGCAUGCUAUGCUUUAACUUGAGAUCAUGCAAAAAUAUGCUUGCUCAAUAGCUCAUACCAGCCAUGACGUCGUCAGCACGGCAGGCCCCGCACCUCGGGUCGCUUAUCCAUGGCCACCCGGCGCUCGUCGCGAACCCUUUGGUUGCAACGUCCUCAACGGCUGCUCUCCUGACCGUGCCGUAGGUGGCAUACCCGCGGGCUGUCCCAGAGAAGAAUAGGCCGUCGCUAGUGUCAGGGCCCGGCUAUCACCUUGCGGACACUCGUCCCGGACAUGGCCCGGCAGCCCACACUUGAAGCACUUGCCCUCACGCUGUUCACACUGUUGUGGGAAAUGAGAGCUCCCACAAAUCACACAUCUCGCCGAGGACCGAAUGUGGUACGUCCCCGGAGCUCUAGAUCGAGAGCGCAUCCUCACCGAGGUCUGUUGGGAACUUGACUGACUAUCAUGUCCACUUACUAGCCAUCCCUUUCCCUUUUCCUUGUAAUGCUCCUCGCGCUUCUCCCGCAGGAAUGCAUUGCCUUGUUCUAUCCAUAAGGCCCGAUCUAGGACUUCAGCAAAAGCCUGCAACUUAAGUACCUGCACUGCAAGGUACAAGUCCGGCCGAAGCCCCCGCACGAAGCAGUCAGCCUUAUCCUUGUCAUCCCGCACCACGUUCGGGACACAAUGCACGAUACGGAAAAAUUCCCACUCGUACUGCUUGACUGUGCGACUUCCCUGCCGCAGCUUAAGAAACUUCUCUUGAAGCUUUCUCUUCUCGCUAUUGGGGAAAUAUGCUGAGAACAUCGUUCCCCGAAACUCUUCCCACACUAUAGGAGGGAGACUAGGCAGUCUAUCUCGCUUGACGCCUUUCCACCACACCUUCGCCGAUUGCUUCAGGUAGUGCACGGCUAGGUUUACUUUAUCUCGCUCCAACGUGUAUAGAUCCUCGAAGAGUGUUUCCAUGGACUCGAUCCACAUCUCAGCAACCCACGGAUCUGCAUUUUCUCCAUCGAAGGUAAGCGGAUCAAAUUUCUUGAAAGUCAUGAGGGCCGCUAAAGCACGCUCCCUUUCCGCCGCAACCUCUGGGCUAACAAGGGUCGGGUCACCCUCCCCCAACUGAAACGUCUCUGCUGCAAUUCCCGGCUGUCCUCGACCAGCCGCGACUGGUGCCGCCACCAGUCGAUCCAUAGUUUCUUGGAGUCGUUCCAUUCGCUCCUCUUGGCGCAUAGUAGCCUCCUGCUGCCGUUGCACCACAUCAGCUUGUUGCCGCAUCACUCCAAUGAGUGUGGCCAAUUGAUCGCGAAGCUCCGAGUCUCCGCUCGCAUCGGUUUGCUCAGGGGCGCCACUUGUCCCCUCCCGCGCCGAUCCGGACGAAGAUCGCCUACGCGGUGCCAUCAUUUUCUGAAACAGGACAGCUCGAUUAGCUCUCGACCAACUCGGGUCGAACACGAGACCACUAAUACCAGCACAAAAGCGAAUCAGGCGAAAGUCAAAUAAGGACGUCUAUUCUCGUCACUUGGCUUUAUGUUGUGCAUGCACAACAUAAACACACUCGGUCGAGAAUAAACCAUACCUUGAGUCUACCUCUAAUAUCUGUCUUAGAGGUUAUGACACAACCCAAUCCAUUACCUUUCGCCACAAAUCACAAGUCCUCGUCUCUCACGAGCCUUAUUCUCCUAUGGUUCCACUAUCCUAGGGUCUCCUAGGUCAUCUAAACCAUUUUCCCAUUUUCUACUUUAUUCUCUGAUACCACUUUAUCUGUCACGCCCCGUGACCAACCGCCAAUUUGGACCGCGUCGCGGCGCUGCUAACAGACCGCCAAACGGACCGGGAUUUUCCCUGUACGCGGACAGAGUCUCCCCUGUACGUUCUAGGCGUCACAAUCCAAACAAUACAACGAGUGUUCCAACUAGGAACAGAUAACAAUCCAGAUUGCAAAGGAAGUAUCAAAUACAUAAAACUAACGGCUAUUACAAGCAUUCAUUCACAUUCACUUAGUACACCUCAGUUCAGUUUACAUUUUUACUUCCAAUUACAAUCACAUUAUUACGUCAUUUAAUUUACAAGUUUGAUACGUCUUGGUUCUUGCCUUCUAGUCCCCUAAGCUAGACUGCCUCAGGGUACUGCUACCUCGGUCUCUGUGGUAGGGUGCUAUCUACUGAGCUACGCCCUCACCUCGCGCCACCGCGCUGCACAUGUACAACCUGAAAACACCCCAAAACCACGUGGGGUGAGAACCAACUCCAUGGUUCCCAGUGGGUACGGCCACCCAAGGGAAAAGCUCGACCGAUAGGUCCGAGGAGGCACUGCAACAUGUUAGUUCAACAAUAUACCACAGAUAUAUAUAUAUUCAAUUGAAAUACAUGCCAUGCCUCACAAUAUGCGACAUGAAAGCCAUGCAACUUUAUGCAACAUCUAGUAGAUCAUUUGAUUCUACACUUUACUUAGCUACUCUUGGCUCAUAACUUUACUCUAAGGUCUCCAUUACCUCAGGAUGUCAACUCAGUCCACUGGCUUCUAAGGUCUCUAUUACCUUAGCUCAAGCCUCUAUCUCUAGCUCAUAAGGGUUCUUCUACCCUAUCACAGCUAGCCACACGACUCGGCUCCGAGUCAAUCAUCCGCGGAUAGCCCGCCCACUGGCUGCUCAUCAGCCUACCGCCCUCUCUGUCUCAGCCCCCUAGCGGCGAAGUCAUCGCACACGCUAAGCUCGGCUCAAGUCGCACGACUUGACCAUCUGGUGGCGAUCGCGUUGCACUUACCCAGCGUGAGCUCGAGUCCUGACACAUCGUCUGGCGACGAACGAAUCGCACCACACCCAACAACGGUACAUGUCAGACUCAGUCACCUAGAGGCAUCCACAUCGUACUUACCCAGCAUGGAUUCAGUCUGCUCUGGCGGUCUGAUCCUCAAAUGGCUUAACCAUCCUGGCGGCGAAAUCGUCGCACAAACACUAUGGCAAUGGUUCAAGCCCCGGGCGGUGAUCUCCAUGUGAUCGCCCCCAAUCCUCCCUCGGUACCAAGCUCGGCGGCGAAGUCGUCGCACAACGCCCUAGCUUCUACCAGGGUCAUCACAAGUCAUGGGAUUCCAGAAUCCACUUUCCACAGGUCGAGGGUCCAUAGCCAACCCUAUACUUUCGACCUAUCUCAUCCUAGUGGCUAUACCACUAUACUCAUCAACCUAGGUUCCAAUACUCUAGGUUCUAUGUCCACGUCACUUAACCUAGAUACACUUACUAGGUUCUUGUCAUCUUUGCCUAGAUGUCCACUUCUAGGUUUACUAGUUCGACCUAGGUUUACUAACACUAGGUUCGAUGCCACACACCUAGAUUGUUCGACUCUAGGUUCACUUGUUUAACCUAUGUUCUUUAACACUAGGUUAGAUGCCACUCGAUCUACCUGACAACCUAGUUGUCCAAUCAACUCUACUCACACUAGAGUUAUUAACUCAUGCUUUCUACUUGGCAUUUACUCUAUGCAUCUGUUCCUCAUGCAUUCUAUUUAGCAUUUCCAUCUAUGCAUUACUAUUAGUAUGCAUUCUUUACAUUAGCUAGCAUCAUUUACAUGUCAUGCUUUCAUGCUUGCUACUUACCAUGCAUUCUUUACUUAGCCUUUACUUUAUGCAUUAUUAUUCAUCAUGCAUUUCUUGUCCUUGUCUACAUGCACAUGCAUCAACAUGGAGAUACAUUGCUAAGACAUAAAGGGCGACCUAGUCGUUUCGGUAAGUACAACCCACCUUAGCUAGCUUUUUCGAUUGCUCGUCGACACUUGCAAUCGGCCUCCCGCGGCACUCGGCACCCGUUCGGGCCCGAUCUCACAGUUGCUCCCCUCGAGCACGCCGCUUCGCCGUUUCAAGUGCUAGCGAUCUUCCCCUUGCCGCUACGGUGCUCGGGACCCGGUUUCACGAUUUAUGGACGUGGCCUCGACCUCCGAGGUGGAAAUGAAGCUUCGAGCGCCCGUUUCUUCAAUAUCUUCGCAAUGGCUUGUCGGAUUGCCGAACCGACUUCGCCAACGUGUUUCUUUACCUACCAAUUAGGUUUACGAAAGGUCAAAUGAGAUCAAACUCAUCUAUUUACAAAAACCCCAUUUUGAUGCCCUAGAAUGCCAUCACUAGCAAAUCCACCAAAUCGAUCUAGGAUUUGGAUAUAAUCCAUCAAAAUAGCCAGCUAGGGUACCAAACAAACCAUUUCUAGGGUUUAAAAACCCAUCUACAAAGAUCUACCAUGAGAGGGCUUGGAAGCUUACCUCUCAAAGAGCUCCAUGGAGAGAAGAAGAUGAAGAUGAAGAUGAGGAAGAGGAUCUCCUCCUUGGUCCUCUUCUUCUUUUCCUUUCCUUUCUCUUUUCUUCUUCUCUUCCCUUUUCACUUUUCUUUCUUUUCUUCUUCUCCUCCCUUGCACGAUCGGAGAGAGGGAGAGAGGCUGAGGGAGAGAGAGAGAGAGAGGAAAAGGUCUCUCUAAUACCCUCUCUCAUUUUAUAACAAAAUGCUAAGAAGCCCCCAACUUUUCAUCUUUUACCCAGCCCUCACUGGGUGUUCUACGCGCUGAGGGAUCGGUCUCCCCGACCAGGGCCGGUCCCCGAGAGCUCUCCCCGAUUCCACGCGUUCGGGAACCGGUCCCUCCCUGAGAGACCGGUCCUCGAGAGACCGGUCUGCCCACCAGAGACCGGUCCACGAGAGCUCAUCUCGCGGGACUUAGCCAAUUUUCGGCUCUUCUUACUGGUGCCGUAGGCCGGGACCGGUCCCUCUUCUGCCAGGGACCGGUUGCAUCAGCAAUCCCGCAGCCUUCAGCUGAUGGGACCAGUCUCUCACCUCCAGAGAUCGGUCCCCGAGAGCAAUCUCAGCCCAAAAAUGCAGAUUGCAUUAUUUGCUCUCGCGGACUCCAUUCCAAUGUAUUUCUCGGUUUUUGUGCAUCCUUAGCUUUUCCAAAGCUUAUCCAUUCGAUCCUUAGUCGAUUCUAGACGAGGUGCAACCCUCGGAUUUCGAGAGUUCACAUUGUUACAUUCUCCCGUCCUUAAAAGAGUUUCGUCCUCGAAACUCACUCAUUCUUACCCUCUUUUAUUCCUCGAUCCACUCCUCGAGUACUCAAGGGUUCCAAUGCACUUUUGUACUUCGGAGUGGCCUUUAUUCUCAUCGAACUCAUCUAAAGGCCCACGACGAAGAAUGUGAGACCACGUUUACUCACAUUUUCCUCUUGCAACAUCAAAAGUGCAUUAUCACUUUACAAACUUCACUGGCGGUGUGGGUCAGUAUUCAAGACCCCACACACUAACUUCACUAGCCACUCGGCUAGAGAAGGACCUAUUCCCUCGCGGUUCUAGCGAACAUCACCACCAUUCGAGAUCAGGGCUACCCUUUCAUCCCAGUGGUGUGGAUCCAGCAAGAUCGCAUCACUUCGAUGAAUGAUCCACCACCACAUCUCUAUAUGCACGGGUAGACUUUCUCGAAUUGCUCAAGUACCCACUAGGUGGCACUUUGCCACUUUGGCUAUUUGGGAGCCCGAUACCACCUUAUUAUCCUAUCUGUACCAUCUCGUUCUCAGCGAUCGCAAGACGGCAUCCUCUCGCGCAUCCCAGAUUCUCAAUCCUCUUGAGAGCAUCAUUCUCAACGCCAACUCUUCGCGUGGUUAUCCAUUAUUCAAGUGUCUCUUAGAGACCACUUUACUUUCCCUUUAUCUCUUGACAUUUUAGGCCACGUUCAUCUCCACACGAACUCUUCGUUUGCGGAGACUCGGAGCUUCGCGAUCAGCUGGUCACACUCGUAGGGGUGAUGAGGCAACAAGCUGAUAUGGUGCAGUGGCAGCAGGAGGCUGCUACAUGCCAGGAGGAGCAAAUGAAAAGACUCCAGGAAGCGGUGGAUCAGCUGGUGGCAGCACCAGCUGCGGCUGGUCGAGGACAGCCAGGAGUCGCGACGGAGCUGUUUCCGUCGGGGUCGGGUGAUCCGACUUCUAUUAGUCCAGAGGUAGCGGCGGAGAGGGACCAAGCUUUGGCUGCCCUCAUGGCUUUCAAGAAGUUUGAUCCGCCUACCUUCGAUGGAGAAGAUACGGAUCCGUAGGUCCUUGAGAUGUGGAUCGAUUCCAUGGAAACCCUCUUCGAGAAUUUGUACACAUUGGAGCGAGACAAGGUAAACCUAGCCGCGCACUAUCUCAAACAGUCGGCGAAGGUGUGGUGGAAAGGCGUCAAGCGAGAUCGACAGCCUAGUCUCCCUCCUAUGUCUUGGGUAGAGUUUCAGGGGUUGGUAUUCUCUACUUAUUUCCCCGAUAGUGAAAAGCGAAAGCUCAAGGAAAGGUUCCUUAAGCUGCGACAAGGAGGCCGCACGAUCAGGCAAUACGAGUGGGAAUUUUUUCGUAUCGUGCAUUGUAUCCCGAACGUGGUGCGGGAUGACAAGGACUAAACCGACUGCUUCGUGCGUGGACUUCGGCCAGAUCUUUACCAGGCGGUGCUAAUGCUCAAGUUGCAGACCUUUGCUGAAGUCCUGGAUCGAGCCUUGUGGAUAGAGCAAGGCAAUGAAUUCCUGCGGGAGAAGCGCGAGUCGUAUUACAAGGAAAAGGGGAAAUGACGACCAGUGAGUGGACAUGAUGAUCAGUCAAGUUCCCAGCAGACCUCUGCGAAGUCGCGCUCUCGAUCUCGAGCUCCGGGGACGUAUCACAUUCGGUCCUCGGCGAGAUGUGUGAUUUGUGGGGGCCCUCAUUUCCCACAACAGUGUGAGCAGCGAGAGGGCAAGUGCUUCAAGUGUGGGCUAUCGGGCCAUAUACGGGACGAGUGUCCGCAAGGUGAUAGCCGAGCCUUGACACUGGCGACGGCUUAUUCCCCUCCGGGACUGCAGGCAGGUGUGCCACCUGCGGCAUGGUCAGGGGAGCAGCCGUUGAGGACGUUGCAACCAGAGGGAUCGCGGCGAACGCCAAGUGGCCAUGGAUAGGCGACCCAAGUUGCUGUGCCUGCCGUGGCUGACGACGUCGUGGCAGGUAUGAGUUAAUUAAGCAAUCGUAUGUUUUUGCAUAAUCUCAAGCUGUUGCAUUGCAUGCAUUCAUCAUUGGUCUGUUACUACUAUUGUCACAUUGCAUAGUAGGGACCGAGAGGUCGGGUAGAUAGGCACCCGAGCAUGCUAGCAGGAUGAGGGUAUAGCGCCUGCUAGAGCAGGUAGAGAGCGAAUGGUACUAGCAAAUGGCUAGUAGUGAUUUUGGAUAGGAAGCGAGGCUCGCAAUGGAAAUCGAAUGGUGAGAGAACUCUCGAUGCAAUGGAUUAGAAAUUGCGAGAGUUGAGCCUUGAUGUUUGGGGACACCCGAAUAUUCCAAGAGUAUUUUGGAUGCGGAUUCGGUAGAUCGAAUAGUGAAGAUGAACCACUGUUGCGAAAUGGGUCAGUUAGCGCCGAGUUUGGCCUGUGGGCCUAGUAGUACCUCGAGUUGAGGUGGGUGAGUUGUGCUCCUGUGGCCGGUGUGCAUAGGCUAAGUUGCCUGGUGCUUGGCGUAGUUGGGACGCUGCAGAGGCGUAUAGAGCGCUCGAGUAUAGACACUCGUAGAGUGCGGUUUCAAUUCAGCCAGUCGAGUGAAUUGGCAGUAGCACUUUAGCAGGGCUAAGUGUGAAGCGGGCCAUGGAUCACUCGUGAGGGCUGGUGGCUCGCACUAGGUGCCUAAGAGCCUAUAGAGUGCGUAGCUCUGUAGAGCAUGUCAUGUAGGACGACGUUGGCGGGUAGUGCUUGGGGACGACCCGUGCCUGGACCUUUUGUGGACUGUGGAGCCUGAGCCCAUUGGGCAGGUGCAGUCAGCUGUGAGAGAUAGCGGCCCGAUACCUAUAGGUAGUGCGGAGAGUUUUGGUCAUGACGGUAGUCCGAGCUUAGACCCGAGCACGUGGAAUGCCACGUGUUAGAUCGUGAGAUCAGUAGUACACCGAGUGUGUAGCAACCCGACCCGAGGAUUUGCCGGGGUUUGGGGACUUGGAUGCUCCUGGUUGGAGUAUGUGCGAAUUCUCCAAUGAGAAUGUCGCUCGAUAAUGAUUGGGUCUACGCUUGCGAGCGAGAGACGCUAGGCGUCGUUGAGGCGAGUUAGGCGACUAGCCUACGUAGGAUUGGUUGUCUUGGUCCACCUGAGGAAAAUGAUGGUUGGUGUAGCCGGGAACUCUAUUUAUGAGUCGGGCUUAGAUCCGCGAAUGAAGAGUUCGUGUGGUGUUGGACGUGGCUGUGGGGUCGAGGACAAGAAAGAGUAAUGUGGUCUCUAGGAGACACUUGGAUAAUGGAUAGCCAUGUGAGGAUUGGAAUUGGGAGUGAGAUGGUACAGAUAAGAUGAUAAAGUGGUAUCAGGCUCCCAAAUAGCCAAGGUAGUGAAGCGCCACCUGGUGAGUACUUUGAGUAAGUCGAGAGGGUCUACCCGUGCACGUAGCGUGGUGGUGUUGGAUCGUUCGUCUAGUUGAUGCGAUCUUGCUAGGUCCACACCACAGGAAACGAAGGGUAGUCCUGAUCUCAAGGGAUGGUGGUGUUUGGUGAAACCGCGAAGGAAUAGGUCCUUUUUUAGCCGAGUGGCUGGUGGUGUUGGGGUGUGGAGUCAUGAAUAUUGACUCACACUACUACCGAGGUUUGUAAAGUUGUAAUGCACUUUCGAUGUUACAAGUGGAAAGCGUGAGUACCUGGUCUAACAUCGUUCGUAGUGGGCCUUUGGAUGAUUACGAUGAGAAAAAGGCCACUCUGAAGUGCGAAAGUGCAUUGGAACCCUUGAGUACCCGAGAAGUGUAUCGAGGAAUAAGAAGGGGUUAGAAAUGAGUGAGUUUCGAGGACGAAACUCUUUUUAAGGAGGGGAGAAUGUAACAAUGUGAAUUCUCGAAAUCCGAGAGUUGCACUUCGUCCAGAAUCAACUAAUGGUCGAGUUGGUAAGCUUUGGAAAAGCUAAGGAUGCACGAAACCCAAAAGUGCAUUGAAAUGGAGUCCGCGAGAGUGAGAAUGCAAAAUCUGCAUCUUUGGCAGAUUUGCUCUCGGGGACCGGUCUCUGGCUGGAGAGACCGGUCCCAUCAGCUAAAGGCUGCGGGGUUGCUGAGGCAACCGGUCCCUGGCACCAGGGGGACCGGUCCCCGCAGGUGACACCAACGAGAAUGGCCAAAAAUUGGCCAAGUCCCGCGAGACGAGCUCUCGGGGGCCGGUCUCUGGUGGCUGGACCGGUCUCCGGGGGACCGGUCUCUCAGGGAGAGAUCGGUUCCCGAAUGCGUGGAAUUGAGGGGAGCUCUCGGGGAUCGGUCCCAGGUCAGGGAGACCGGUCCCUCCGCGCGCAGAAUGCCCAGUGAGGGCUGUGUAAGAGAUGAAAAGCUGAGGGACUUAAUAGCAUUUUGUUACAAUAUGAGAGGGGUUAUUAGAGAGGUGUUUUCUCUCUCUCUCUCUCUCUCUCUCUCACUCCCUCACACUCUUCCUCACUGUCUCUCUCUCUUGCUCCGAUCGUGAGGAGGAAAAGGAAAAGAGGAGAGGAAGGAAAGGAAAUAAAGAAAAAGAGAAGAAGAAAAGAAGGAGAAGAUGGAGGAGAAGAAGAGGAUCAUCAUCACCAUCAUCCUCUUCAUCUUCUUCUCUACAUUGAAGCAAGCCUAGAGAGGUAAGCUUGGUACCCUUUCAUGGUAGAUCCUUAAAGAUAGGGUUUUGAUCUCUAGAAAUGGUUAGAAUGGAACCCUAGCAUGCUAUUAAGAUGGUUUUUCCCCAUUUCAUAGAUCGAUUUGGUGGAUUUGGUAAUAAUGGCAUUCUAGGGCAUCCAAAGAGGGUUUUUGUAAAUAGAUGAGUUUGAUCUCAUUUGACCCUUCGUAAACCUAAUUGGUAGGUAACGAAACACGUUGGCGAAGUCGGUUCGGCAAUCCAACAAGCCGUUGUGAAGAUAUUGAAGAAACGGAUGUGUACAGCUUCGUUUCCGCCUGGAAGGCCAAGGCGACGUCCAUAAAUCGUGAAAUCGGGUCCCGAGCACCGUAGCAGCAAGGCAAAGACCUUUAACUCUUGAAACGGCGAAGCGGCGUGCUCUUGGGGAGCAACUGUGAAAUCGGGCCCAAACGGGUGCCCAGUGCCGCGGGAGGCCGAUUGCAAGUGUCGACAAGCAAUCGGAAAGCUAGCUAAAGGUGGGUUGUGCUUACCGAAGUGACUAGGUCGCCCUUUAUGUCUAAGCAAUGUAAUCUCAUGUUGAUGCAUGUAGACAAGACUAAACUGUGCAUGUUAAUGGUAAUGCUAAGUAGAAAGCAUAAUGAACAAUAUGAUAAUGCUAGAUAGUGCGUGAAUGCACAAGUAGUUGAACAUAUAUAUAUAUGCAUGUAAACUAAAUGAUAACUCUAGAAAUGUAGAGUUGAUUGGUAAUGAGACUCAAUUGGGUAACUAGGAUGUCAACUAGAUCGAGUGGCACCUAACCUAGUGUUAAAGAACAUAGGUUGAACAAGUGAACCUAGAGUCGAACAAGUCUAGGUGUGGCAUCGAACCUAGUGUUAGCAAACAUAGGUCGAUCUAGUUAACCUAGAAGUGGACAUCUAGGUAAAGAUGACGAGAACCUAGAGAUUGUGUCUAGGUUAUAUGACAUGAACAUAUAACCUAGAGUGUUAGAACCUAGGUUGUUGAGCAUAGUGGUAACAGCCACUAGGAGGAGCUAGGUCGACAGUAUAGGGUUGGCUAUGGACCCUCGACCUGUGGAAAGUGGAUUCCGGAAUACCAGGACUUGUGAUGACCUAGAUAUCAAAUCUAGGUCGUGUGCGACGACUUCGCCGCCAAGGUUGAUACCGAGGGAGGAUUGGGGGCGACCACAUGGAGAUCACCGCCCGGGGCUUGAACCAUUGUCGUGGCGUUUGUGCGACGAUUUCGCCGCCGGAUGGUUAAGCCAAUUGAGGAUCAGACCGCCAGGAUUGACUGAAACCAUUGCUGGGUAAGAACGAUGCGUGCGCCGCCAGGUGGCUGAGUCAUGACUUGUACCGUUGUUAGGUGAGGUGCGAUACGUUCGCCGCCAGAUGGUUAUUUCAUGACUCGAGUCCUCGCUGGGUAAGAACGCCAUGUUCGCCGCAAGAAUGGCUAUGUCAAGUGACUCGAGCCGAGUUCAGUGUGUGCGACUACUUCGCCGCUAAGAGGCUGAGUUUAGAGGGCAGCAGGUUGAUGAGCAGCCGGUGCGUGGACUAUCCGCGAAUGAUUGACUCGAAGCCGAGUCAGAUGGUUAGCUUCGAUAAGGUAGUGGAAACCCUUAUGAGCUAGAGAUAGAGGCUUGAGCUAAGGUAAUAGGGACCUUAGAAGCCAGUGGACUUGAGAGUGAACCUAAGGUAGUAGAAGCCUUAGAGUUGAUGAUAUGAGCUAAGAAUAACCAAGUAAAAUGUAGAAUCAAUUGAUCUACUAGUUGUUGCAUAAAGUUGCAUGAUUUUCAUAACGCAUAUCGUGAGGCAUGGCAUGUAUUUCAAUUUGAAUAUAUAUCUGUUGUAUAUUGUUGAACUAACAUGUUGCAGUGCCUCCUCGGAUCUAUCGGUCGAGCUUUUUUCUUGGGUGGCCGUACCCACUGGGAACCAUGGAGUUGGUUCUCACCCCACGUUGUUUCGGGGUGUUUUCAGGUUGUACGUGUGCGGCGCGGCGGCGCGAGGUGAGGGCGUAGCUUCGUAGAUAGCGCCCUACCCCGGAGACCAGAGCUAGCAGUAUCCCGAGUCAGCAGGGCCUAGGGGUUAGAAUGGAAUGACGACAACCAACUUGUAUUAAACAUAAUAACGUGAUUGUAUUUGGAAGUUAAGCAAAUGUAAAAGAAAAAUAUUAUUUGAAAUGAAUGCUUGUAAUAGCAGUUAGUUUUAUGUUAUUGGUACUUUCUUAUGCAAUCUGGAUUGAUAUCCGUUCCUGGUUGGAACAUUCGUUGAUUGUUUGGAUUGUGACGCCUUGGACGUACAGGGAAAACUCUGUCCGUUCGGCGGUCUGUCGGCGGCGCCGCGACCCGGUCCAAAUAGGCAGGUGGUCGCGGGUCAUGACAGUAUAAGCUUCGGAGAGUCCGGAGGUAAUUAAAAUGCAUAGAGUGCAUUAAGGAAGAGUCCGCGAGAGCAUUAGUGCAAAAUCCUCACUGGAGCAGAAUUGCUCUCGGGGACCGAUCCCUCGCAGGGAGGGACCGGUCCCAUCAGGCUGGGCUGGCGGAGAUCCUUGAUGCAACCGGUCUUUGGCAGGUAAGGACCGAUCCCCGAACGUUAACCCAGCGAGAGAAGCCGAAAUUUGGCUAAGUCCCGAAAAUCUAACUCUCGUGAACCGGUCUCUCGGACAAGGACCGGUCACCCGGGGUGGUCUCUCAGGCAAGGACCAGUUCCUGAAUGCGAAAUCCCCUCUGCCCGAAUAGGAGGCUCUCGGGGACUGGUCUCCCCGAGCUGGGACCGGUCCCUCACUGCGAAAAUGCCCAGUGAGGGCUGCUGCAGAGGAUGGAAAAGUUGAGGGGGCUAUGUGCAAAAUGGCUUAUAUGAGAGGUGGGGGACCCCUCUCUCCCUCUCAUUUGCUUUCUCUCCCUCUCACACUCUUUCCCUCUCUCUCUAGAAAGAAUAAAAGGAAAAGAAGAAGAAGAGGAAGAAGAAGAAGGAGAAGAAGUAGAGGAAGAAGAAGGAGAAGGCUAAGAAGAAGUAGAAGAUCAUCUUCUUCUCUCUCUCCCUCAAGCUUGAAGCUUUGUUUAGAGGUAAGCUCUAAACCCUUUAAUGGUAUUUCUAGGGUUUGGGAUUUUUGUUGCUUAGAGAUGGUUCGAAUGGAACCCAUCGAGGUAAAGGAGAUGGCUCAAGCUUGAAAUUGAAGCUCACACUACGGAUUUCCUCACCGUUGCCAACCUAGGACACGGAUUUGGGAUUUUUAGAAAUCUAGGGUUUUGAUCUAUUUUAUUAGGUCGUAAACCUAAUUGCUAAGUCUUCGAACGCGCAGGCGAAGACGGUUUGUCGAUCCGACGAGCGAGUGCGAAGAUAUCGCCGAAACUGAUACUUGAGGGUUCGCUUUGCCUUGAGGUGUUGAAGCGACGUACGAGGACCGCGACGUCGAGUUGUCUAGCCACGCGGCACUACCAAAAGGUGGGGGAGUGCCAUCCUGAAGCAGUCGAGCUGCUUUCUAUGUCUGAGUUAUUGUGUUGAUCAAUUACAUAUUAAACAUGUGGCAUAUAGGGAACUAAGUUAUUUAUAUCUAUAUUUGCAUGCUAGUGUUAAUGUGGCCUAGUGAUAUAGCUCUAGAACCUAGUAUGCAUGAGCCGGAUAUGAGGUGGUGAACCCUAUAUGUGUUGGAUGUACAUGUAGCUAUGAAAACCUAGUACAUUGUGGACUAGAGUAUCGAGAACUUGUCAGAGAACGAGUGGCAUCUAGUUAACAAUGAACACAAACUAUUGGCAUCUUGUUGAUAUUGAACAUAAGAACCCUAGUGUAGUCAAAACACUAUGAGCUUGGGUAUUGGGAUGCUUGAUUCUAUGAUGACACCAACCUUAGUUGGUAGGACCAGUUCGUGAGUUCAGAUUAUACUCACAUAGCCUGUCUGCACUUGUAGGGGUCGCUCCCCAUAGCCUGUGCACUCCGGAGUAUUUGUCACUCGAGGGGCAGUCGCCAUGCGCUGCCUGGACAGUCAGUGUAUCUGUCCGCAGGCGGUCUCGGGGAAUAGUUCAGCGAGGCUUUUCCCUAUGAGACUUAUAAACGUGAGAUUGUGUUGCCGGAUUGAUCGAAUGAUUGGGUAAAGUAAUGAACAACCCUUAUUGUUGAGCAUAGUAGUAUGGUAGCUACGAAUUCGGUAUGAAUGACAUGCAUGCAUGAUUCAAGAUUGAGGCAUAGUCAGAUGCUCAUACCUAUACUUGCUUAUUCCUCGUUAAUGUUUUCAAUCCCAUAUAUCUAUCUAUCUGCAUAUCUAUCUGUGCCUGCUUAGACCUAGUGGGAAGAUCGGCAGAGUCGGCGGCCGAACGCACUGGGAACUAUUCGUAGUUCGCAUCCCACUUUGUUGCAGGUCUGAGUUCGAGUGUCCCCGGCGAGCGCGAGGACCGUGGCAAGGGCAUAGCGCCCUAGUGGUAUAUGUACAUAGCUAGCUCUACUUCCUUUUGCAUUAGCCCUACCCUGUACUUAUGUUUGAGAGUAGAUGUUGUAUAGGGUGAGGUUUGAGAGUGAUUGUACAUAUGAUCUGGAUGAAUGUAAAAGAUGAAAUAAUUGUAUAAAGUUAAAUGAGUUUAGUAGUUAAGUACAUCUCUCUUUUAUCACUUGUAUGCUUUACUUGUGUUGCUUGCUCUUGGUUGAUAAGCACUGUUUGUGCUUCGUCGUCGUUGUUUGAUCAUGUAUGUAGUCAAGUGUAUUUUCUAGAAACUUGUAUACAUGAUCUCGUUAUUUGAGCCUUGGGCGGAUAGAGGAGUUGUUGUCCGUUCGGCGGUCCGUUCGUCGCGCCCGAACCAGACCAAACUGGUAGCGGGCUCGGGGCGGGGACGUGACACAACGAUUGAUUGCAAGAGCAGAGUGAUUACAUUUCGUGAGUCGGGACAGAAGGAGUUCAUUUAUCGGGCUUGUCAGAGCUCGUGCUUCGUUGCGACAGUAUCGGCGACGAGAGCAAGAAAGCUGGUCAACAGCGGUUGCGCAGCAUUCUUGGCAACCGUUGUAGAAGUGGACCAAGUGGCUCCGACCUUGGAGGAGUUAUCGGUGGUGCGGGAGUUCUCGGUGUGUUUCCCGCGGAGUUACCGGGGAUACCGCCGGACAGGGAGAUCGAGUUUGUCAUAGACUUGGUUUCCGGUACCGCACCGAUCUCGAAGGCUCCAUACCGAAUGGCAUCGGCGGAAGUGAAAGAGUUGAGGAGUCAACUGCAAGACCUUCUCGACAAGCAGUUUAUCCGGCCAAGUGUAUCACCGUGGCGAGCCCCGGUGUUGUUUGUACGGAAGAAGGACGGAUCGUUUCGACUCUGCGUGGAUUACCGAGAAUUGAACAGAGUCACGAUCAAGAACAAGUACCCACUACCCCGAAUCGAUGAUUUGUUCAACCAGUUGCAGGGGUCGUGUGUGUACUCAAAAAUAGAUUUGCAGUCCGGCUAUUACCAGUUGAAGAUCAAGCCGGAGGAUGUGCAGAAAACUGCGUUCCGUACGCUGUACGGACACUAUGAAUUCACAGUCAUGCCAUUUGGACUCACGAAUGCUCUAGCGGCGUUCAUGGACUUGAUGAACCGUGUCUUCAAGAAGUAUCUGGACUGAUUUGUCGUAGUCUUCAUAGACGACAUAUUGGUCUAUUCUCGCAGUGACGAGGAACAUGCCGAGCAUUUGAGAAUAGUGCUUCAAGUUCUUCGGGAGAAGAAGCUAUAUGCUAAGUUAAAAAAGUGUGACUUCUGGCUCUGAGAGGUCGCAUUUCUAGGGCAUGUAAUUUCCGCGGGUGGAGUUUCUGUAGACCCGAGGAAAGUUGAGGCAAUCAAGGAUUGGCCGCGCCCGACGAAUGUCACGGAGGUUCGAAGCUUCGUGGGCUUAGUGGGCUACUAUAGACGGUUCGUGGAGGGCUUUUCGAAGUUAGUAAUUUCACUUACCCAUCUGACUCAAAAAGGCACCAAGUUCGUCUGGAGCGAGGAAUGCGACCGGAGUUUCAAAGAAUUGAAGCAAAGAUUAACUUCGACUCCGGUGCUCGUUCUACCAAUACAAGGCAAAGACUUCGUGGUCUAUAGCGAUGCUUCCUAUCUAGGAUUGGGGCGUGUCCUGAUGCAGAGCGGGAAGGUGAUCGCUUAUGCGUCCCGUCAGCUGAAGAGCUAUGAGAAGAAUUACCCCAUUCAUGAUUUGGAGCUAGCGGCGGUAAUCUUCGCCUUGAAGCUGUGGCGGCACUACUUGUAUGGUGCCCACUGCGAGAUCUACAUCGACCACAAGAUCAUGAAAUAUCUGUUCACACAGAAAGAGCUCAACAUGCGACAACGACGGUGGUUGGAACUGCUAAAAGAUUAUAAUGUGGAUAUCCUUUACCACUCAGGAAAAGCGAAUGUGGUCGCGGAUGCGCUGAGCAGGAAAUCAGCGGAGAACCUCGCUAUGUGGGUUACGAAUCAAACGCCCCUAUGGCUGGACAUGGAGAGAAUGGAUCUUGAGGUGGUUGCUCCCGAGAUUCCGGCCCAGUUGAUGGCGCUCGUUGCCCAACCGACCUUGUUGGAGAGGAUCAAAGAUCUGCAACCUGCAGACCUAGAACUUCAAAGGGUGCGGCGAAACAUCGAGGAGGGUCAAGGCGGCAAUUUCAGUAUGGACGUCGGUGGUACACUUCAGUUUCGAAACCGGUGGUGUGUGCCCAAAAAUGGAGAGCUUCGCGAGCUAAUUCUACAAGAAGCGCAUCGGUCUCCAUAUGCUGAUCACCUGGAGGGUUGAAAGUGCACUAUUGGUGGCUGGGAAUGAAAAGUGAUAUUGGACGCUUCGUUGCUAAGUGCUUAGUAUGCCAACAAGUGAAGGCAGAGCGCCGAUUUCCAGCGGAAAAGCUUCAAAGCCUUCCAAUCCCCGUUUGGAAAUGGGAAGAUAUAUCGAUAGACUUCGUGGUCGGCUUGCCUCGCUCAACUGGCGGCCACGAUGCAAUUUAGGUAAUUGUGGAUCGUUUGACGAAGUCGGUUCACUUUUUGCUGAUCCACACCACAUGGGUAGGUGACAAACUGGCGCAGGUAUACCUUGAUGAGAUAGUGAGGUUACACGGGGUGUCGAAAUCGAUCGUGUCGGAUCGUGAUCCCCGGUUACCUCGCACUUUUGGAAAAGCCUGUAGGAAGCCCUUGGCACACGGCUCGAUUUUAGCAAAGCAUUCCAUCUUCAGACAGAUGGGCAAACAGAGAGAACCAUUCAAACUCUGGAGGAUAUGUUGCGAGCGUGUGUCAUAGACUACAAGGGAAGUUGGUGUGAUCAUCUGCCGAUGGCCCAGUUCGCCUACAACAAUAGUUAUCAUGCUAGUGUAGAGAUGGCACCGUUCGAGACUCUCUAUGGGCGGAACUGUCGAUAUCCUAUACACUGGGGCGAUGUGGGUGAGCGUGCGGAGUUCGGCCCUGAUGUUUUGCUAGAAGCGGAGGAGAAAGUCCGCCUUGCUCGCAAGAGGUUGCUCACGACGUAGUCGAGACAGAAAAGCUAUGCUGAUAGGCAUCGUCGAGACUUGGAGUUCACAAUAGGCGACCACGUAUUCUUGAAGGUCUCACCCAUGGGGGGUGUAAAACGAUUCGGAGUUCGGGGAAAGUUAAGUCCCCGAUACAUCGGACCUUACGAGGUAUUGGAGCGAAUUGGGACCGUGGCUUAUCGGCUUGCGUUGCCGCCAAAGCUCGCAGAUGUGCAUAACGUGUUCCACGUCUCCUAUCUUCGCAAAUACAUUCAUGAUCUCGAGCAUGCUCUAUUGUACGAGCCACCGGAGCUCCAAGAGGAUUUGAGCUAUGAAGAGUUUCCGGUGGGGGUUAUUGCUCAAGAAGUGCGAAAGCUACGAAAUCACGAGAUUCCUUAUGUGAAGAUUCGGUGGAGCAAUCAUGAUGAUCGCGAGACCACCUGGGAACUCGAGGAUCUGAUGAGAAAGCACCAUCCUCACUUAUUUGAGGAAUAAGGUAUGAAUUUGAGUUAAAGUUGAGAAUUGAAUUAGUUUCGAGGACGAAACUCCUUUUAAGGAGGGGAGGAUGUAAGGAAGUGAAUCCUCGAAAUCCGAGAGUUGAACUUCGACCAGAAUCGACUAUUUGUCGAGUAGGUACCCUUCAGAAAGGCUAAAGAUGUCCAAAACACAAAAGUGCUUUGGAGUCGAGUCCACGAGAGCAAGAAAUGUGAAAAUCUGCACCUGACAGAUUUUGCUCUCGGGGACUGGUCCCUGGCAGGGAGAGACCGGUCCCCGAACUGAGGGAUGCAGCAACGCGCGAUGCAACCGGUCCCUGGGCCUGAGGGACUGGUUCCCAAACGCGUAAACUUAGAGAGGUCCCAAGGGACCGGUCCCAGGCAGGGAAAGACCGGUCCCUCCUCGCGAAAUCUGCCCAGGCAGAGUAAGUUGAGAGGGUUAAAGUAGAGGGGCUUUUAUGCAAAAAUGCUAUUAGUUAGAGGGGUAUAGAGGGGCUGAGCCCUCUCCUCUCUCUCACCCUCACCCUCACUCUCUCACUCAGCUCUCUCUCUCUCUAGAAAGAAAAUAGAAGCAGAAGAAAGAAAAGAGAAGGAGAAGAGAGAAAAGAGAAAAAGAAGGAGGAGAAGAAGAAGAAGGAGGAGAUCAAGCUAGAGAAGGCUUGGAGCAUCUUACUCUUCCUCUCCUCUCCCUUAGAGCUAACCUAGAGGUAAGCUCUUGAGCCCUAAUAGUAUAACUUAGGAUUUUUGGGUUUUUGGCUUUGGAAAGGAGGUCAAAUGGACCUCUAGCACCAUUAGUGGUGGAUUAGAGCUAGAGGCUGGGGUUCCUUAGUGCAAAUGGCAAGCUGUGAACCCUAGGGCACCCGAAUUGGGAUUUUUGAUAAAGUAUGAGAUUGAUCUUAUUUGAGGGCAUAUAAACCUAAUUGCUAGGUGUCUAAACCCGGGGGCGAAGUCGGAAUUUCGAUUCGUCGAGCGGGGAAAAAGCUAUCGGCAAAAUAAGGCCGAUUGAGCAUCAUUUUGGACCAAGGAGGCCGAGACCUCGUCGUAACGUUCGGCGAGAGGCAUAUCUAGAACCUCUGCAACAAGAAAAGGUGGGGGAUGUCAUCCCGAAGCAGCCGAACUCUCUAUUAUGUCUUAGAAUAACAUGAUUUACAUCUCUUGCAUGUUGCAUUGUAGGAUUGUAUUGUAGUACCUUUUCCUUAUACUUCUAAAUGUUAACCUAGUGUACAUGGAAUACUUGGUGAAAAUGGAUAGGUAAGGAUUGGGUCGAAACAUGGAUCCUAUAGUGCUAAAGAAAAGAGAUAAACUCGAUGGUUAUUUAGUGACAUAGAGAGUGACAUCUAAAUGUUUAAAGAACAUAGAGAGUGGCAUUAUGUAGUGUAUUUGACACUAGAGGUUCAUAAACUUAGGGAUAGGUGGAUUCCCUAGAAAAUGACUCGUGAACAAUGAACUUAGUAAAGCUAAGUAACUAUGCAUGAAAGUCGAAAUAGGUGAGUUCUGAGAGAAAUGUUGGCCCUAGUUCGUAGGGUAUCCUCACGUGGAGAGGAUAGAUCAAGCUCAUGGUCUAUUAUUUGGGGUGGUAAAGCCAUCCAUAUCCUCACAUGGAGAGGAUUGGUCGUCAAGUACUCCGGAGUGUCGGGCGAUUAGGACAGAGUUGAUGUCCGCAGACAGUCCCGGGUUUGGGGCACAUGGAGCUCCCUACCCUAUGGGAUGGAUAUGUGAGAUGUAGGCAGACCCAAGGGUCUUGCCACAGACUAUUGGUAGAGUAGUAGCUUUCCCUUUUGCAUUAGCACACCUAUGUAUUUGAGAGAGAUUCAUGUAGGUGAGGACUUUGGAGAGCUAUGUACUUGAUGAAAAUAUGUAUUCAUUUUGAGGAAAAGAAUGUAAUUGUACACAAUUACAAAUGUGAUGUAAUAGCUAGUAGGUUCUCUCUUUAUUUCACUCGUGUAUCUUGUGGAUUACUUGCUCUUUGUUGUUGGCACUGUUUGUUCCCCGUUGAUUGUGUACUUAUAGAAUUUAAUAUCCUGGGUAAAUUCUUGUACUCGAUCUAUUGUUGAGCCUUGGGCGGACAAGGGAGGUGCUGUCCGUUCGGCGUCCAUUCGCCGCGCCCGAACCGUACCAAAUUGGUAGGAGUCUCGGGGUGGGGGUGUGACACAAUAGGAUGCCUGAUCACCUUUUUGGGCACCCAAAUUAUGGACCAGGCAGAUUGAGUGGGUGCUCGAAUCUAGAACAGGGCAUAGUUACGUGCAAUCCGAGCACCUAAAAGUUUAGGCGGGCGCCUGAGCCUAGUGUAUGGAGAGUGGUUUAGUUCUUUAUAAAUAAAAAAUGUUGGGAGGUUUAUAUGUUAUUGUAGUGUAAUGCCCCAUUUUUCUUUUUUUUUUUUAAUUUGAAAUUUAUUUUGUUAUUUGAUAGAGAAGGACUAUUUAGUUUAACUUAAAAAGUUUAGGGGUCUAGAUGCAAUUGUGCAACCCUAAUUAAUUAAGAGCAGUGCUAGAGGGUAGGGUUGUAAGAUGUACACCCCUUUUGGGUUGUACCAGUAGCAUUUUCCAUUAAUUAAAGGGUUAAUUACAUACAGCUCCCUGCAAACAUAACAAAUAGCAAAUAAAUCCCUACAAAGUUCAACUUUCAACUCUUAUUCCUACAAAAGUCUAGUGAUAAUCAUAUUUGUCCCUCUAGUUUUUUACUGUUAGAGAAUUGUUUAUUUUUUAACAGCAGAUAAGUGAAAUGUCAAUUUUGCCAUCACAAAUAUGCCCUUUCAAAAGCCCCAACUGUUAUAAUCGUUCAGAUAUGUCCCCUUAAAAAAUUUUCAAUGGUAAUCUUUGUCACGCCCCGCCCCGAAACCACUACCAAUUUGGCACGAUUCGGCCGCGACGACGGACCGCCGAACGGACAGCACCUCCCCUGUCCGCCUAAGGCUCAACAACAGGAAUGUGUACAAGAAUUUACCCAGGACUUUAAAUUCUAAACAUACACAUUCAACGAGGGCACAAACAGUGCCAACAACAAGAAGAGCAAGUAAUCCACAGGAUAUACGAGUGAAAUAAAGAGAGUACUUUACUAACUAUUACAAUAGUUGCAUUCUUUAUAUUUACAUCAUUUUCCAAAAUGAAUACAUUUGAUCCUCAAAAUACAUAGCUCUCCAACCUCACCUACAUGAAUCUCUCUCUAUACAUAGGUGUGCUAAUGCAAAAGGAAAGCUACUAUACUACCACGGCCUCACUGAUCGGGCGCGAUGCCCUUGCCGCGGUCCUCCCUCGACAAUCCUGAACCUACCACUGGAAAUAGAGUGGGGUGAGACUAUCUUCCAUAGUUCCUAGUGGGCUCGGCCGCCGACUCUGCCGAUCUCCCCACUAGGUCCAAGUGGGCACAAAUAACAACAGAUAGAUAGAUAGAUAUGUAUCUGAAAGCUGUAAAUGCGAUAGUAGGAAAAACUAUGCUACUAUGCCCAUAAUCAUAAGUAUGAAUGCAUGCAUCAUAUAAUAAAGGUUUGCUAUCGUGCUAACAAAUUCGAUCCAUGUUCGAAUAGCUAUGUUCAAUGACAUUUAUUAACCUUUAACCUUUCAUUUACCCAAUCUGUGGCGAGGCCCUAGGGCUCGCCCAUAACUCAUCUUUCAAUCCCAAAGUGGGGAGGGAGCUCCAAGUGCACCCAAGCCCGGGACCGUCUGCGGACCUCCAUGUGGUCCGGACCUCCAAGUGGUCCUAGUCGCGCGACACUCCGGAGUACUCGACGACAAUCCCCUCCAUGUGGGGAUCGGAUGGCUAUGCCACCCUAACGCAGACUGUGAGCUAGAUCUAUCCUCUCCAUGUGAGGAUACACUGUAACUAGGGUCAACACCCAAUCCAAUCCUCUCCAAGUGAGGAGGCUCUAUAACUAGAGUCAAUAACCCAAUCGAAUCCUCUCCAAGUGAGGACGCCCUACACUAGGGUCAACGACUAUUGCGGAAUCAUCGGUUCCCGACAUUAAUGCAAUGCUAUUUAGUUUUCUAAAUUUAUUGUUCAUAAGGCAUUUUCUAAGGAAUCCACCUAUCCCUAGGUCCAUCGACCUCUAGUGUUAUUUACACUACAUUAAUGCCACUCGUCAUCAUUUAUCAUUCGGAUGCCAAUCGUGUUCUUUAACACUAUCCACUACUUCCUAUAUCAUCAAUACCCCCAUCGGGUUCAUCUCUUUUCUUUCGCACCAUAGGAUUCACGUCUCGACCCAAUCCUCACCUAUCUAAAUUACCAAGCGUUCCAAGUACACUAGGUUAUCAAUUAGAAAGCAUAAGAAAUGGAGCUACUAUGCAAUCCUACAAUGCAACACGAAGAGAUGAGAUUAUAUGCAAUCUAAGACAUAGAAAGGAGUUCGAAAGUUUCAGAUGACACCCCCCACUUUUUAUCAACAUAGAGGCUCUAGAAACACUCCUCGGCGAGCUUUACGAAAAGGCUUUAGCCCUCUUUGGUCCAAGGUAACGCCGAAACGACCGUAAUUCGCCGAUUGCUCUAAGCCCGCUCGACGAAUCGCGAAAUCGACUUCGCCCCCGCGUUUGGGCACCUAUCGAUUAGGUUUACAAGGCCUCAAAUGAGAUCAAUCUCAUACUUUACAAAAUGCCCCCAUUUGGAGUCCUAGGUUGCACAUAUAGUAACCCACUAAUAAAACCCUAGAUUUCCUUGGGAUUGAUCUAUUUAGAAGCUUGCUUAGGGUCCAUGUCACCCAUUCCAAGGCAUAAAACCCAAAAACCCUAAGUUCUAGAAGCUAGGGUUCAAGAGCCUACCUCUUGUGCUACACCAAAGAGAAGAGAAGAGGGAAAUGAAGGUGCUCAAAGCCUUCCUUUUGAUCUCCUUCUUCUUCUCUUUCCUUAUCUUCUUCUUCUUUUCCUUCCUCUCCUUCUUGUUCUUCUUCUCCUUCUUUCCUUUCUAGAGAGAGAGAGGGAGCAAGAGAGAAAUGAGAGUGAGGGAGAGUGGAAUAAGAGAGUGUGAGGGAGAGAGAGGGCUCAGCCCACUCUAAUAAAGGCCAUUUUGCAUUUAGACCCCUCAACUUUUCAUCCCCUGCACAGCCUUUACUAGGUAGUUUUCGCGCGGAGGGACCGGUCUCCCCGACUUGGGACCGGUCCCCGAGAGCUUCCCUCGGGCGCACGCGUUCGGGAACCGGUCUCUCCCCGGGAGACCGGUCCUCAUCUGGGAGACCGGUCCCCGAGAGCUUGAUUCUCAGGACUUAGCCAAUUUCUUGGCAUUUCUCGCUAGGACAACGUUCGGGAACCGGUCCCUCCCUGCCAGGGACCGGUUGCAUCAAGCAACCCCGCAACACCCGGCCAAGGGAACCGGUCUCUCACCUCCAGAGACCGGUCCCCGAGAGCAACAUCAGCCCCAUGAUGCAAUUUGCAUCAUUCGUUCUCGUGGACUCAACUCCAAAGCACUUUUUGCGUUUUGGACAUUCUUAACUCCCACAAAGGGGUAUUCUCUCGACAGUCAGUCGAUCCUGGAUGAAGUACAAUCCUCGGAUUUCGAGAAUUCACUUCCUUACAAUCUUCUUCCUUAUCUUCUUCCUAUUUAAAACCUAACCCAAGUCAUCAUUGUUGCAACCUCUUUUCUCAUUCUUUUCUCCUAAACCUUUUCUUUUGAGCAAAAUAAAAAAAAAAUUAUAGCGAAAAUUGAAUAGGGAAGCAACACGUGUUCGACAUGGGCGAAGCAACACACGUUGUGGAUGAAUGGGGACAGAGAAAUUCUAGUUACGGAUUCAAACUAGCAUGAAUGAGAGAGAAAAAGAGGAAAAGAAAGAUGAAGAGCAGGAAGAAGAAGAGUUCCUAUUGCUAGGGUUUUGAUUGAGAGAAUAACAUAUAAUAUAAGAGGGGUAAACAUAUCAAUUUACGUCAUUGACUAACCAGGGUUAAGUAUUUUACCUAUGGUUAACUAAAUUUUUCUAGCGGAUCCUAACAAUAGACGCAUAUUUGAAAACAUUAAGACUUUUGUAGGGAUAACAUAAAAAAGUUGAACUUUGUAGGGAUAUAUUUGUUAUUCGCUAUGUUUACAGAGAGUUGUAUGCAAUUAACCCUUAACUAAAACUCCCGAUCUCUCUUUUUCUUCUCUUGUACGCUCACCCCGACCAGCUACUUUUUCUCUCGCGUGCCUCUCCUUCACUCUUUCUCGUACAAUCCUCAUCCCUCAUUUUCGACGUCGUCGCCUUCGUUGCACUCCUUGAUCUUCGUCACCGUUGUUUCUUUCAUUACAGGUGCCAUUUUGUUCAUCAAAGGCGUCUAAUUCAUCAUAGUAUUCAUCAUCAAAAAGGUUUUCUACUUGUUCUCUUUAUCUCUUUUUAUCUAUUUUUGAAAGUAUCCUUCUUUUGAUAGAUUUGAGACCUAAAUUAUUUUUUAUAAUGAAAUUUAUGUUAAAUAUUGAUCUUGAAUCAAUAAAAUUUUGAAAUUAUCUUGAAUCUUUGUACACCUAUUAGAUUCUAAUGUACAGAUUUUUUAUAGGCUAAAUUACAAAAGACCCCCUUGUCAAUACCCGCUUUUUCACUUUUCCCCCCGUCAUUUAAAAACCUACACUUUGCCCCCUUGAAAAAUGAGAAAUGUUUACAGAGGAGUACACCGUGACAAAAUGACCAAAAUGCCCUCACCAUCUUCGUCUUCUCCCCCAACCUCGCUCAGCCGUCGCCCCUCCUCUCCCAUUCUUCGCGCCCCGCUCAACCGCAGCUCCGACUCCAUUUUCCUCCACAUGCUCCCCCGCUCUUCCUGCACUCUCGUUGCCUCCCCAUUUCGGUGACGAUAGGGAGGAGAUCGGAGUGGGCAUGGUUGGAAAGGCGUGCGAGGGCGAGCAGCGGAGAAGGGCGAAGGGGAUGUGGGCGUGGGCGAGGGCGAGGGCGAGAGCGAGGCAGUGGAGGAGGGCGAGGCGGUAGUGAGGCGGAGGAAGGCGAAGCAACAGGGAAGAGGGUGGAGGGGUAUUUUUGGCAUAAAAAAUUAUUUUUUAACGGAACCCUAAUGGAUCACUAACAGUAGAGGGUGAAGUGCACAUUUUUCAUUUGACAAGGGGGCAAAGUGUAGGUUUUUAAAUGACAGGAAAGGAAAGUGAAAAAUCAGGUUUUGACAGGGGGGUUUUAUGUAAUUUAGCCAUUUUUAUAUUCUAUAUGUUAUUUGAAACGUCUACCAAGUGUUCGACUUAAUGCCUAAUAGAAUAUAGAUGUAGAUUUUGCUUCCAAAUUUUUCUUAUUUGGAUUACAAGUAGUAAAUAUAUAUGCUCCUAUUUAAAAAUUAUCCUUUCGAGCAUUUAAGGCUUCAUUUUAAAAUUUUCUUUAAAAACUUACCCGUAUUUAUGUUGCACUAUCUUUUAAAUAAUAUAGCUCAUAAAAUUCUUCUUUUUAGUUGAUAGAUGUUAUUUUUCAACUUAUCAUGUUUGAAAUCAUUUUCUAUAUGGGAUUGGCCCAUAGCAACUUAGAUUUGUGCUAGUAUGCUAUUUGAGCCUAUCGAAAUUAUGUUGUUGGGAGUUACAUUUAAACACCAUAUUUCUUAUAAAUUAAUUUGUCCUAUGUUAGAUGUAUUGGACAUCUUUUUAGAAACUCAAUCGGAACCUAGUAAGCUUUGGCUAUUUUUGUGUUUCGUGCUUGUAAUAAUAUUUUGUUUUUGUAUUAGGUUCCAUUGAUUAAUUUGACACCCAACAUUUAACCAAAUGAUACUCAGGUUAAUUGGAGAUAAUUGACAUAACGCCUGUUACUUUAAUUUUGGUAAAAUUGUAGUAAUAUGUUACGAAAACAAGAAUUCUCUUUUUUAUAGAAUCUUUUUUAAAAGGGGUUAAGCGUGCUUAUAUAAAUUACGAAUCAUUAAAAGAUUUCUAAAAGGUUUUGCUCUAAUUGCUAUGCAAUUUUAGAAAUAUAUACUUUCGAUAUUGUGUUUAUUUGGUAAAAAUUUAAUAUUUGAUAAAUGUAAUAACUGAAAUUUUGGAGUUUUGAAAGAUAUUUAAAUUCAAAUUUUAAAUUUGAAUUAUAUAUAUAUAUAUAUAUAUAUAUAUAUAUAUAUAUAGAGAGAGAGAGAGAGAGAGAGAGAGAGAGAGAGAGAGAGAGAGAGAGUCCGGCUACUAUACUCUUAUGAGUACGAUUGCCAUCGUACUCAUAAGUCGUUUUCAAUGAUAGAGCUUCCAAAUCGAUAAUCCAUACCGUUAAACGUUAUAUAGAGCAUUUGAAAUUUCUAGGAAUCAAAUUUCAUAAUUUUUCGACAUUAUUUACCUUACGAUGAAAAAGUCACAAAAUUGAUAAUUUUUAACGACCGACAUGGGAUACUUGCUAGUUUAAUGGUGUAAAAGAAUCGGAAUAGGUUGAAUUUUUGAUAAAAAAUUCUAUUCACUAUCUAGAUAAAAAUCAAUAACUCCGAUCUUAAAUUAAAGAAUCCGAUCAUCUAGUUUUAAGACGUCGUUCGAUUUUGGCAGUUCAUUUUAUGCGAGUUUGAUAGACUUUAUUAUUGUUUCGAAAAAUUACGAAAUUUAUUUUCUAUAAGUUACAAAUACUCUAGAUCAUAUUUAACGAAGUGGAUCGUUGAUUUGGAAGCUCCAUCUUUGAAAACAAUAUAUCAAUACAAAGGGCUCUAUACUCAUAAGAAUAUAGUAGCCCUACUAGUCAGAAUGAGAGAGAUGUGUUUCUCGCUAAUCAGCAGUCGUUUCUGACGAAAUGAAAAUGUACGUUUAAUGGUCUGGCAGUGGCGAAAGUCAUUGCAUAGUCUAUUUUCGGAUUCGGUGAGCCGAUCGCACGAGAAAGCGUGAAGUUCAAGAAGAUGUCAAAACUCAAAAAGAGUUUCUUUGUACCAAUAUUUCAUGUAUUGAUUUACGUGAAAUCGCUUGUGGAGAGGCUUCUGCCCAUUUUACAAUUGUUGUGAAGGAUUGGGAUAAAAUAUUGAAGUUGUAGGGAUCUUUACACAAUUUACCAACUUGCUACAUAAAGGCAAGUUGGGUUUUGGAACCCUAAACUCCACGUCCUCUCCCUCACAAACCCUAGCCGCCAUAGGGCACCCUCCCCAAUCGCGCUGCCAGCAACCCCUGCCGGCGACGACCUCCCACGGACGUCGAAAAUAGGCCAGCAACCCUCCCCAAUCUCUCUCUUUCCCCUGAAUAUCCAUCUCUCUGUCCAAGUCAAAUCAAUCAAGAUCCCUCUUUCUUGGUUGCCAUCUCGGGGACCACACCACCAACCUCCCUACGACUCUAGAGAUGCACCUCGGCCAACGCGGGUGCCAUCAUGCACCAUCAAUCGAGCCUAGCCUCUCUGAACCUGAGUUCUUGAAGAUCGGGCUGCAAAUGCUAUGCGACUAUCACUGUCGCAUCCUGUCAUCAAGGUCGACGUCUGUGGCCCCCAGGUGAACCUUCGCUACCCCCCCUGACUUCCCCUGGCUAGCCCCCACUCAUCGGAACCCUAGUUCUAGCCCGAGUCCUUCAAAGUCGGCCACAAGUUAUUGACCGUUGUUGACGUUGCCUCCCAACGACGACAAUAGAUCCUGCCAGCCCUCUUACAUUCGGCUGUGACCUUUCCUGACUGGCAUGCACGCUCCCGAGUUGCCAAACUGAGUGGGUUCUUUCUGCUCUAGAUCUAGCCUGAUCUAGGGUUUGGUUGGUCGAGCUUCAGUAUUUCGGCCUCCCCCAUCGUCUGUAACUCACCGGGAAGGAAGCACGGUCCUCUAAAAGCAUCAUGGACAUCUGUGCUCAACUUCAUUUCGGUCGGAGAGGCCCGACUGGUGGCUUUGGCAUUGUCGCUCCCUGUGACCUUGGAAAACCAUAGUUCAAGUAGCCCUGACGUGUUCUCGACCUCCUUUCGAACUCCGAACAAUGAGCAUGGACUUCUGCACAUCGAGACCUAUCAACCUACACAGCUGAUCGAGUUAAAAUUCGGUAACAAGUCAAAAACCCUAACUUUCUAUAAUAUAUUGCAAUUAGAAAUAGAGUUAGGGACUUUUAUAAAAUUGGGGCCUUGUUGGCUGCCUCGGGCAGUGUGAGAUCACUAUUUAUGAUCUUUUGACUGGUUGACCAAGGUUCGAUGGCCCUCGUGAAGUUGAUUUAGGAUUUUGAUGUGUUUUCCUGAGAAUUGUCGGUAGAAUGCUUCUUUUGGGGUUUUGCAUUUCUAGCAACACGAAUCCCUGUGUUGGUUGUCGAGCUUUAUUGGCUAGUUACUCUAGCUAUCUCGAACAUCCGGAGACAGCGAGUGAGUGGUGGAGGGUUCCGGAGCCGAAAUUGGUAUUUUUGGGAACCCGGUAUGGUGUUAUUAUCACUAAAUUCAUUUAAUGACAUUAGAACAUGUGUUCGCUUCCCGAGCACUCAAAUCGGUGCAUUUCGAGUCAACGGGUGCUUCACGGUGUGAAUCGGUACCUCCUUCGGUAUUUCAGGGGUUUCAGAAGUGUUCCGAUGGAUUUUCAAGAAAUUUCGGUGGUUUCGGGAAUCGAUUAAAGGAUUCGAUUUUUCCAUAGUAGUUAGGAUUUGUGAUAGUGAUUUUGAGUUGUCUAGGAUUAGAUCUUAACUCUUGGACCCUUUGUAGUUCGGUUGACAAUAUGGCGCAUCUCGAGUGUUAGAUAUCUCGUCGGAUACAGGUGGGUACUUCGAUCCGUAGCCAAUAUUGUGGUUGUUGUGCUUGCUCGGUGACAUUCUCUCCCCUCUUCUUCCCUCGUUUACACACUUAUUAUAUGUUGAGCAUGACUACUUUCUAUUUUCUCUACUUCUACUUUUAUAUGCUAUCAUGAUUUGGUAGUAGAGUGGUGCUUACUGGCGUCAUUACUUGACCUUUAUCUGUGGACUUGGUUGGUCGGUGUCAGUGGUAUUUAUGACAUAUAGGUGGCAUAUUCUAGAUAGAUGGUUACUAUUCACUUUGAUUUCGGCUAUUUGCCAUUCUAUUGGCUAUUGAGCAUAUUGCAUCGAUCGUCACGGCUCAUGAAAUAUGUUACGUACAUCAGUGGUUUGGCCACCACAACGAUGUUCUUUUUCGAAAGUGUGGUCGUAUAUCUGAUCCAUGAGCUCUAUUCGAGGUGCUUACCUAAGGUUAUAUGCCAGUGGGUAAGCAUAUUAUGGCUUUGCCUAAGGUCUUUAGACCGAUAUGGCGAGUGAUUGGAUACUUUUACACUGUUUGUAUAGUUGAUGUAUUUAUUAUUAUUUACAGUAGCGAUAGAUGCUUUAUUAUUAUUCAUUCCUGUUGAUUAUUAAUUGUUACUGUACUUGUAUACAUACCUCAUUUGACUUUACUAUCUUCUGUUUACUAGUGAGCACACUUGCCCUUGUCGGCUUGCGAUACCCACUGGAAAACCUCAAGUUGGUUUCUCACCCCUUCUCCUAUUUUUAGGUCAUCUUCGCGGCGAGGAUCGUGAUGGUGUGUGAGGUGUGGUUAGCUACUGUGUUCUAGAGGUUUCGUGCAUUCAUCGAUUAACUCUGGUUACUCCGAUCUUACCUUUUACGUUUGUUUGCUAAUAAAGUAUAUUGAGUUGUGGUUCAGUUUGGUGAUUGAUUGAAUGAAAUGAAUGAUUAAUUUGAGAAUAAAUAAAUGGUGGAAUUAAUCUUAUUUAUAUAUGGUGAUGGUUUAGUUGGUUUUAUGACUUUGUGUUUUCAUGACAAAAACGAUUUUCUACCCUUUUUGGUAGUCGGAUUUCAAAAGAACGAGUUUCCGUAUAAAAAAUAGUUUGCAAAAUGGUUUUCUGAUCUAUCUCUAUCUUAGGUUUUUAAAAUAAAGUUUUAGGGUAGGAAACACUUCUAAAUAAUAGAGUUGUUUGAUGUAUUGUGCAUCUACACAUCCUUCGCCUAAGAAGUGCUAAGAGUAUGCAUCAUCUUUAAGGAUGGUUAGCUAAUCGAAUACAUGAGAAUCUGUAUUAUGUUUGCUGAAUUGGUGUGAGUGAUGCUAUGGGUUAUGGAGCUUAUGACAUGUAAUACGCCGUGCAAAUAUAAAGAAGACUCUAGCUGCGUGGACAGAGGAGUCCAUGUGUUUGUGGGGGCUUUGUCCGUCUCGUGGGCAAAGUUAAUGAAAAAAGAAAUUACUAGUUUUCGCUUACUCUAUUUUCAAACUAAUCUUUUUUUUCAAAAAGGCUUUACAAAAUGGGUCCUCGGGCGUGACAGAUUAAGAUGACAUCAGUGCCAGUUACAACCACAAAUUUACUCAGUUUUUUAACUAAACCGCAGGUUAAUUGACCCAUAGGUAGAUCUAAGGCAUAUAGGAAUGCGAGUGCGGGAUUUGUUGGGCUUGAGUCCAGGUAAGUUGAGUUGAGUCAGUUUACGUUUGACUUGACAGUAACUCUAUGUUGUUAUAGAUAAGGCUCGUGGGAGACCUCCCCGCAGGGGCCGUGGUUGUCACGCCCCGAGCUGUAGCGAAAGCUCGCCGGGCACGUGCCCAGACCCGCCGUGCACACCUAACCACAAUGUACACAAGGCAUCUACAACAAUCAUGAAGAGCAAAAGUAUAAUCCAGCCUAAACAUGGUAAUCAGAGCGGAAACAUAGUAACAGCUUGCUACAAAAUUCUGUAACUAAAAUCUUGAGAUUACAAUAACCCAAUCAAGAGUACAACAUAAAUCGCGUAAUCUCAAAUAGGGUACAAUAGAAUCCACUGAGCUAUGUCAAAUACAUAAUCUGUGGGCUCAUCUAUCACACAUCGCGAGGUUCUAGCUAGUUGUUGCCUCCCUUGCCGCGAUCCCUAGCCUUUCCCGCUGCGGAAGGCUCUAAAAAACAUCAACCAAAAAGAGGGCGUGAGAACUAUUAAUCAAUAGUUCCCAGUGGGCAAGUCACCGACCUCAGCGAAAUACACCACUAGGCUGAAUGAGGCAUAGAUAUGAAAUAUGAAGUAUGAAAAGUAAAUGCAACAGGUAUUAAAAUAAUCUCAACUAUAUCAUGCCUCUAUAUGAAAUGUCAUUUAGCAUGUAUGUAAAUUCUACACUAUUAAAUGCACAAACACUUAUAUAAAAAUUCAUAUAUGCUUUUCUAUCACUAAGCUACAUGCCACAAGUUGAGUAAAUCUUUCAUUUAUUUUUCACUAGCUAAUGUCACCAUGUAACUACAGUUCCAUGCUAUUCAACAUAAGUGUAAGUUUGCUACAACUAAGGUUGUCAAUGCAAACAAUAAUCCAUAUGAAUGUACCACUACUAUGAAUAUAUCAACUAGUGUCACAAAAUAAAUGACCUACUAGUAUGUUCAUCUACUAUGUCAAGUUUACUUAACUUGGAAUAUCAUAGUUCAAUCCAUCUGGACCUACACAAGUGUAGUCCGGCUUGUGCCAUGCCUAAUGGCCCCAUAGUAGUCAACAUUCCCACUCUAGGAAUGAGCCUUCCCCACGGCAUCCCAUUUCAGCGCCCAAUCCCGGACGGGCGAGCUUGUGUCGCGUUGGCUAUCUCCGGAGUGCCGGCUUGUGGGGAGCGACCCUUACAAGCAUGUGCGAAUGAGCACAAUGGCAAGCAAGCGUGAUCAUCAUCUCAAGUACACGGUCGUCAUGUCUCAAACAUGGUAUAAAUACUAGCAACCCAAAGGUCUAGUUCUAUAUCAUAGUGUACAGUUUUAACCGUUUACUAAGUUAAAUGUCUCUUUAUGACAUUAUUGAUCCUACCAGUAUGCAACUUGUCUCAUGUACAGUAAUGUUCAUCUUUCGUUAUCUUAUAAAGAACGGUUGGAGGUCUCAUUUAUGAACCUAACGGGCUACACCCGUAAACCAACGUGUUCUAAGUCCACUAUAGUGUAAAAAGAUCGAUUUACAAUGUCAUCAUUGGUAUAACAUAAGGAUAUCCACGAAAUCAUAGUAUGUAUCAUGCUUAUGCUUUACUAUAUAAACCUCCACUACAUAGAGUAUAAGAUUAACAUGAAAAUGAUUAAUUUUUAUUUAUCUAUGCAACACAUACUACAACACGCUUUACUACAAAGAGUAUGUCAAAUAUCUUUAUUAGAUAAAGUGUGCCAAAUACCUUUACUAAAUAAAGUAUGCCAAAUACCUUGAUUACAUGUGGGUGUCAAAUAAUCAAUUCAUAUCCCUCAUCGUGUCUAAAACAUGGAAUUGCAUCCAUCAUCUCAUCGUGUCUAAAACACGGAAUUGCAUUUAUCAUCUCAUCGUGUCUAAAACACGGAAUUGUAUUUAUAGGUCUAAAGGCCAAGUGCCAAAUCAUUAUGCCCACAAAAGUUAUGCAUCUACUUUGAGUGCAUACGGUUUUACAUCAUGCCACUAUCAUACAAUAGAUCAUAAUUUUCAUUGUCUAAAACAAGCAUAAGUUUAGCUUUCAAGAUCUAGUUCCUCUAAUUUCCCUAGUCAUGAAACAUCCCAUAUGUCAUUAUCAUUCAUCUCUAACAUGCUUGUUCGAAUAUGCAUAAGAGGAAUUAACACAACAUUGGACAUAAUAUGCAUGUCAUUACCAUAACCCUCUACUACAUAGAGUAUGCAAUUAUGUUAUACAUAACAUGUGUCUUUCAAACAUUCUAAAAUUAUAUCAUGGCAUAAAUAACAUGAUUAUGCAACAAUUAGGUCCUAUAACAUCAUAGGAAUCGUCAUAGAGGGAUUUCACCCAUUUCGGUGAGGUCAAACCCACCGGAUCACCUCCGAACGCUUUCGUUCCUUCAAACGAAGUUGUCGACCGAACUUCUAACACCCUAAGAGAAAUUCUAAAGGGUUAAAAAUUUCAAAACGACAACUUCGAAAUUACACAUAUAAUAAAGUAAAAAAUAUCUUAGACCAAGAAGAUCUUAUCCAAAGUCCAAAUCGAAGCUAGAAAGCUUCAAAUCCAACAUAUAAGAGUGUUCUACACUCAUCAAUUCCAUCCCAAAAGCUCAUAAUCGAAAAACCCCAAAAUAAACCCUAGUUUUCCAAAAACUAGGUUUAAUCACAAAUCUCAUGCAAAUCUCACAAAUAGAGGUUAAGAGAAGUUUUCUAACCUCAAAACAAGCUUCAACUUGAGCCAUCAUGUGCUAGGGAUGAAGUUUGAACCAUCCACAAGCUCCUCUCAUCACCUCCAAGCUCCAAGAAGCAAGCAACAAUGGAGAAGAGGAAGAAAAAGAGAUCAAUCCUCAAAAACCUAAGAAAUUAGAGGAGAAAAUCUAGAGAGAAGGAGAGAAAAACCCACCUCUUGUCCCUCUCUCAAACCUCAACCAGCUGAGGAACAAAUCGGGUGAAGGAGUAUAUAAACAUGUUGUAACAAUACCCCCAAAAGUUCUCCAACAAGCAGAAUUUACAUUCUGCACGAAACUGCAGUUUUUACACUGCGUACCGAUACGCGGGAAAGAGUACCAGUACCGGAUCAACAAAAUUGUCAAACUCGACCCUCGGCCAAGCCUCCAGACUACGGCGUACCGGUACUCUGCCGAUGACGUACCGGUACUCCAGCCCCUAAAAUCUGCAAUUUGCAGAUUUUCGAUGUCGAAAGCCUAUUCUUGCGUCUAAUAAGCUCCAGAACAGGCAGGUACCAUACAGGUAACCCUCAAAACCUCCCGAAUAGAUUAAAAUACUAUUCUUACACUAGAACCUUGCAAUUUGCAAAAAUUCAAUGUGUUACAUUCUUUCCUCCUAAAAAGGAGUUUCGUCUGCGAAACCAAGAAUCAAGCACAAUCCAAAUCCAUCGAAAAGAGAUGGAAAAACGCUCGAUCAGCGUACACUUUAAUCCCCAAGUAGCCUUGCAUUCGACGGGUUGCUCCAAAGCACCUUCACACUAGGAAUUCCACAAUUCCGAUGCCCCACAAAGCAAGCUCAAUCAUCUAAAGUGGCGUCCGAAGCCUCGGCCUUCCCACAUGAAGUCCCACUUCAAGUCGAUAUUCAUCCACAAUCCUCUGCUAUUAAUUUUGCCUGGAAAUCAGUUGUUCCAAAGUAGGCUAAAUUCAACCCUCCACAUUCCAUAAACAUCAGGAGCUAAAUGUAGCUUUCCCGUCAUCAUUCCUAUGACGAUAAUUGCAAUUCCUUCUCAUGGCUUCCAACGGUGGCAUUCGCCUUAGAAGUUCAAAACAUAGAUUGAAGCCCACUUUCCAAUAUCCAAGUGAUGUAUAUUAAGUGGCCGCCGCCAUUAUCGCUGACAGGUGGCGCCAAACCAAUCAUGUUCCAAGCAUUCCGUGGAGAUUCUUUCAAUCCAACAAGUAGGUAGCACUAUUAAUGCUAGUCAUCAUCUUAAUGUCUCGGUGUAUCUACCCUUGAGUCUAAUUACCUCGUUUCCUCAAGUAAAUUGGUUGAGUAUAGUUCAACAUCGCUAAGCUCUCUACCGGUUUGCCAUCGAAGGUGAUAAUCACCGUCUUACUUUACCCUAGAUGGUAAGGAAGGAUUUAAUCUUUAUCCACGAGUAAAGUCGUCAGCCCCAGAUACCACAAACAUAAUCCUUUAACUAAGGAGAUGAACCCAAUGUCCUUUUGAUAAGGUUAAAUCACACACAAUCGUGACCGAAAAAUAUCUGCGCAACUUGUCCCCGAAGUAGUCAAGAUUUAACUCGGGGUGGGUAUCAACUGUGUCAUUGGUUCCCUGAACUUAUCCCAAGCAUAUUUAUACAUCCCUCAUGUUCCCAUAAUCCACAAGCUGAGAAAACUUAAAUCUCCAUCUGUAAUAUACGAAAAAUUUCGGGUUGCGAUGCUAACUUUGAUCUAGAAGAUUAAAGUGAAGUUUGAAUUGGAUGUGCAUCAUUCCAGAGUGUUUCUGGACAUGUGGAAAUGAUUUUUGGAAGUAAUUGAGUAUUCGGGCAAAAAUCGGGCGCGAAAUGAACUUGAAAGGGGAUUUUCGGAUUAUGACGCUAACUUUGACAUACGCGAUCAAAGUGAGGUAUGAAUAUUAAUUGUAGUACCUCCGAAUUAUUUUGGAAGUGCGAGGAUAGUUAAUGGCAAAUUUCGGAGAUGCUUGAAUGUAAAAAUGUCGGAUUUUUUAUUACAUUGCUAAUUUUGACCAAAUUGAUCAAAAUAAUGCCAAAAUAAAAUUAGUUUGCUUCCAAGCUUAAUUGGUAGCUUCGGCAUAGUGUUUAGCAUGUUUUGGAAGUGUUUGAGUGGACUCAGAGUGAACUAGACGCGCAAAAAGGGCUGCAAUUGCUGCUGCAGGGCUGCAGAUUAGUGCAGGGACUGAAUUGUAAACCUGCAGGGACUAAAUUGUAAACUGCUGGACUGCAAUGCAGUUUCAGCCUUUUGAGGGGUUAAGUUGCAGAUUUUUGAGCUUAUCUCAACUCCAGCCACUCCCUGCAGCUGCCCACGUAUCCAGCCUCUGUCCCUCUCCUUUUUUUCAUUUCUUUCUCCUUCUCCUUCUCUCUAACCCUAGGUGAAGCUUAAUAGAGAAGGUUGAUUUGGAGUUGGAUCUUUUUGGUGUGUUGAGCCUUGGGCGAACAGAGAAGGUUCUGUUCGUUCGGCGUAAGUGUAUGGGCCCGAAUCGGCCAAAUUGGUGGGCUAGGGGCGUGACAGAUUAAAUGGUAUCAGAGCAAUGCAAGUGAAAGUAUAGGAUGGACCUAGGGACCUUAGGAUGGAAAACCAUAAGGAUCUAGGUUCGUGAGAGACGAGAAUCUUAGUGUGUGGCGAAAGAUUAAACCGAUUGGGUCGUGUGUUGUAUACCUCUAAAAAGGAUCUUAGAGGUGGAUUCAAGGUGAAGUGUAUUCUCAACAGGGAGUGUUCAUGUUGGGUGCCCACAACAUGUAACCGAGUGAUGAGAAUAGGCUCCCUUGUAUGACUUUCGCUUAAUUUGAGUCGGGUUGACGAUAGUUGUUUCGUGUUUAACCAUGAAGGUCAAGAAUUGGUCGCGUUGUUACACGUUUAGUGGUCUUGAGUAGUUGAUCUCUAAUGAGAUCAAUGUGGUUCGGCAUGAGUGGAAUCUUUGAACUGAUCGAGCUUGAAGGAAUGUUGAAGCUUUGGGGUCGGUUAGUCAUGCCCAUGGUAGGGUUGUGGCGAUGAAUAGUUGUAGUGCAAUGUCAGCGGGAGGCUGUAUUGUAUUUGGUGAAUUGAGUCAGGGGACACCAGAAGGCCGUGGAGUAGUUGAUAACCGCGCCAUUUGUGGUUUGUUGUGGGUAGCUGGAAGUGAUGAUAGAGGUCGUUUUGUUGGAAAUUGGGUAAAUCGACUUCUGGCUUUGCAGUAUAGAAAGCAGAUGAGGGCAAUUGUGGAUAACCCUUGUGGCCUUCAGAAAAGUUUAGUCUAUCUGUGGUGGAUAAAAGAAUAUUCACGGGCCGAGAAUCUGUGGAAUGGUUUCAGGGAAAUUUUCCCUGGAAGGAUUGGUGUAUAUUCUGAUGAAGUAUGAGGUUAAACCUUGUGGUUGAAGUUAGGUGAUAUCUCGUGCGGAAGGAGUGCGAAUUGGUUAGUGAGAAUGAAGGAUAAGCGACUAUUGUUUGGUUCGGGUAGUCAAUUGAGUGUUAAGUGACACCCGGAAGAGAGUUGCAGUCGUCAUUUUGGAAUUCGGAAAGGUCUGUUGACUAACCUUUUUUUUUUUUGUUCGAGAGGAGUAGUUGUAGUAACUUUCACCAGCAAGGCCGCGUGCAUUGUUGGAUAAGUAAAGUGGUAGGAGAUUGAUCCCGGUGAAAAGAUGGUGUGUGUGGGGAUAAUGUGAACUCCGAACAGUACAUAUAAAAGUGUUAUAGAGACUUGGAUUUGACCCUAGCCUGCAGGGAUAAAGGGAAUGUAUCAUCUAUUAUUGAAUAGAUGGUUGGACAAUGCUAGUGAGUAGUUGUAAUGAGCCAAUGUUGGGGCUCAGGAUAAAGAGGGAAAUGGUGAACCUGCUCUUUAAAGCGUUUGGGUGAUAGUGAGAAUUAAAUUAGAACGUUAGAAGACGCUCUAGAACUCGAGAGUUCGGAUGAUAUUCCGAUAGAUCGAGUAGUUGCGAUAGCGUCCUUAUUGUAGGAUGGUUUAAUGAUCGCCUGGUUUUGGCAAGUUAGUCUAGUUGUACUUCAACUAGGAUGAGGAAAUUCGUGUUUGUGUGUUGUGGGCGUAGGCUGAGUUGCCUAGCGCGUGAUACCUAGUGAGAGGCGUGAUAGUGUAGGACGCUUGAGUAUAGCUGUCCAUAGAAUGUGGAUUAUGAUUCAGCGAGAAGGGUCUGUUGGCAGUAGCACUUGAGCGUUGCUCAGUGUGAAGCGUGCCAUGGAUCACUCGUGGGACUGGUGGCUCGCAUUAGGUGCCUAGGAGCCGAUAAUAGUGUGAAUUGCUCGAUAGAGCGUGUCGUGUGUGAUGACCGUUGAGGAUAUAGGGUAAAUGGCAUUGUAUAGCUAUGUAGUGAGCAUUUGAAUGUGUACCAAUAUAAAGAACAUGUGGACUAUAAAGUAUGAACAUAGAAACCCUAUGAAUGUAUGAAUUUAUUGUGGACCAUGUCUGGACUUUAGAGCCUGAGGCCAUUUGAGCAGGCGCAGUCAGCUGUGUGUGACAGCGGUCCAAUACCUAUGGGUGGGGCAGAGAUUCUGGUCGGGGCGGUAGUCCGAUCGUAGAUCAGUAACACGUAUUGGAUCGUGUGAUUAGUGGUAUAUCGAGAGGGUGAAUUGACCAAACCCUAAGAUUCGUAAUGGUUUGGGAUUUGGAUUGCUCCACAUUGGAGUAGGUGUGUGAGGUCUCAAGUGGAGACUUCACCAUGUGAUGAUUGGGUCUACGUUUUCGAGUGAGAGAUGCUGUGUGUCACGCCCCAAGCCUGAUCCUUUUGGCCGGUUUGAGCACGUCGAACAGACGCCGAACGGACAGAGCCUCUCCUGUCCGCCCAAGGCUCAACAACAGGUAUCAACAGAGUGUAAAAUUUGCAUAAGCGGAAACAUACAAAAUGGCUUGCACGAGGACAAGCAAUAGCCAAAGUGAAAGCGCUAAACAAAACAUCACAAGUAAUAUGAUUAAAUUUAAAUCACAUACGUGCAAUCAACUUCGAAGUUUUAUUACAAUCUUUGCAUCAUUUCUUUUUUACGUCUCAAUUCUCCAAAAUAUAACUUUUGACAUUUAAAGUAAAUAUCUUUUACAUCAUACUCAUAAACAUCUAGAAUCAUCAAAUAAAAAGAUGAUAGUAAGGGAAUGCAACUACAAAAUAUGAAACCAUCUCGGGUGGUCUCUAUCUAGGGCGCGAUGCCCUUACCGUGGUCGUCCGCCGGCUCUCUCGGUCCCGGCUCUGUGGAAAUAGUGGGGUGAGAACUACAACAAAGUUUUCAGUGGGUUCGGCAAUCAGCCAUGCCGACUUUCCCACUAGGUCUAAAUCAGGCAUAAUAGAAGAACAGAUAGAUAGUAACCAACUAAACAAAUGCAGCUAAUAUGCUUGAACAAUAAGUAAUGCGAUGCUCGAUAGAAUACUCAUGAUGAAUGUAAGAUCAUAGUUUGAUUACCCAAUCUCUUGGCUAGCCCGUAGGUUUCGCCCUCAAUAGACUCACCAACUCAAAUCCCAAGUAUCGGGGAGACUACUACGCCCGACAGGACCGUCCUCUGAGGAGACUACUACGACCCAGUGAUGACAACUCCGAAGCACAUCGCCCGAGGGGGAGCUACCACCCUCGAGUAAGGACUUACAGGUGAGUAUGAUCUAAUCCUUAACUAUAAGGAUGUCAAGUUUAAUCCAUUUCUUAACUAUAAGGAAACAAUACACAUAUGACCCUUAACUCUAAGGUUGUUAUGUCAUAAUGUCACUACAUUUGUAUACUUGCAUUCGUUAACCUUUACUAGUGUCAUAUACACUACUUAUUCUUUGUACUCAUACAAUGAUGCCACACUUGUUUUCUAUGUGUUCAACUCUAGUGUUCUUGGCUCUUCAAUGUCACUCACUACCUUUGUUGUGGAGGAAUUUAAGCGGGAGAUGUUCGCCAACUAUUUCCCCGAUACGUUGAAGCGAAAGCUCAAGGAGAAGUUCCGCAAGUUGGAGCAAGGGGACCGCUCAGUGGCGGAGUAUGAACAAGAGUUCUCCCACAUCAUUGACUGUGUCCUGGACGUAGUGAAGGAUGACCGGGACCGGGCCGAUUGGUUCUCGCGAGGACUUCGGCCGGGGAUUUAUAAGGCCAUACAGAUACUCAAGCUCACGACCUUUGUGGAGGUCUUCGACCAAGCACUCUGGGCGGAACACGGAGACGCCCACAUUCGGGAGAAGCGUUAGAUGCUGGCCGAGUCCAAGGACAAAGGUAAGAAACGCCAAGGCGUCAGCGGUUCGGGGGGACAAGCACAUUCCAAGAAGCCCCCGAAGUAUCCGCGAACUCAGCAAAAGGGCCGUGGACCGCGACGGUGCAUCAUAUGCGGCGGAGACCACCUGGUAUCACGUUGUGAGCAACGUGAAGGCAAGUGCUACAAAUGCGGGCAACCGGGGCACUUCAUACGAGAUUGCCCGGGAUGAGGAGCCUCACCUGCCCCAUCGAUUGCAUCGGCACCGGCGAUCCCGGCUCAUUAUGGAGGAGUUCCACCCAAGGUGGCGUCGGCGGGACGCGCGAUGAUGUCGCGUCAACCCGAGGUGACGCGAUCGGCCCCGAGCGGACGGGUGUUUGCCGCUCAGGUUCAAGUCGAGGAGCCUGCGGAGGUGAAGGAGCAUCGCCUUGUGGCAGGUAUGGUUUUAAUUAACAGGGUUCGCUCCAGGGCAUUAUUUGAUACAGGAGCCACGCAUUCAUUCAUAAGUAGAUCAUUCGCAUGCAUGCAUAGCAUACUCAUAGAGGCGAGUGACAAGUGGGCGAGUUGAGGGCCCUGGGUCGACGUUUAACACUUACUCGGAGUGUGCAUCGUGUCCAGUACAAGUAGGUGACUGGAUAAUGCCUAUACGGAUGCUAGAACUCGGGAAACUGGAGGCCUAUGAUGUUAUUCUAGGCAUGGACUGGCUCUCGAAAUAUCAUGCAACGAUCGACUGCAAGAGCAGAGUAAUUACGUUUCGUGAGCCAGGAUAAAAAGAGUUCACAUAUCGGGCUUGCCAGAGCUCGUGCUUCGUCGCGAUGGUGUCGGCGACGAGAGCAAGAAAGUUGGUCAACAGCGGUUGCGCGGCGUUUUUAGCGACUGUUGUGGAAGUGGAACGAGUAGCUCCAACAUUGGAGGAGUUAUCGGUGGUGCGGGAGUUCCCGGAUGUAUUUUUCGCGGAGUUGCUGGGGAUACCACUGGAUCGAGAGAUCGAGUUCGUCAUAGACUUGGUUCCCGGUACCGCACCGAUCUCGAAGGCUCCGUACCGAAUGGCGUUGGCGGAACUGAAAGAGUUAAGGAGUCAAUUGCAAGACCUUCUCGACAAGUAGUUUAUCCGGCGAAGUGUAUCCCUGUGGGGAGCCCCGAUGUUGUUUGUACGGAAGAAGGACAGAUCAUUCCAACUCUGUGUGGACUAUCGAGAAUUGAACAGAGUCACGAUUAAGAAUAAGUACCCACUACCCCCAAUCGAUGGCUUGUUCGAUCAGUUGCAGGGGUCGUGUGUAUACUCGAAGAUACACUUACAAUCCGGCUAUCUCCAGUUGAAGAUCAAGCCGGAGGAUGUGCAGAAAACCGCGUUUCGCACGCGGUACGGGCACUAUAAAUUCACGGUCAUGCCAUUUGGACUCACGAAUGCUCCAGCGGCAUUUAUGGACUUGAUGAACCGUGUCUUCAGGAAGCUUUUGGAUCGAUUUGUCGUGGUCUUCAUAGACGACAUAUUGGUCUUUUCUCCUAGUGACGAGGAACAUGCCGAGCAUUUGAGGAUAGUGCUUCAAACCCUUCGAGAGGAGAAGCUGUAUGCUAAGUUAAAUAAGUGUGACUUCUGGCUCCGAGAAGUUGCAUUUCUAGGACAUGUGAUUUCCGCGGGUGGAGUUUCUAUAGAUCCGAGGAAGGUUGAGGCAAUCAAGGAUUGGCCGCGCCCGACUAACGUCACGGAGGUUCGAAGCUUCGUGGGCUUGGCGGGCUAUUAUAGGCGGUUUGCGGAAGGCUUUUCGAAGAUAGUGAUUCCACUUACCCGCCUAACUCAAAAGGGCACCAAGUUCGUGUGGAGCGAAGAGUGCGACCGGAGUUUCAAAGAGUUGAAGCAAAGAUUAACUUCGACUCCAGUGCUCGCUCUACAGGUGCAGGGCGAAGACUUCGUGGUCUAUAGCGAUGCUUCCUAUCUAGGAUUGGAGUGUGUCCUGAUGCAGGGCGGGAAGGUAAUCGCUUAUGCGUCCCGUAAGCUAAAGAGCUAUGAGAAGAACUACCCCAUUCAUGAUUUGGAGCUAGCGGUAAUUUUCGCCUUGAAGCUGUGGUAGGACUACUUGUACGGUGUCCAUUGUGAGAUCUAUACCGACCACAAGAGUUUGAAAUAUCUAUUCACACAGAAAGAGCUCAACAUGAGACAUCGGCGGUGGUUAGAAUUGUUAAAGGACUAUGAUGUUGAUAUCUUUUACCACCCCGGGAAAGCUAAUGUGGUCGCUAAUGCAUUGAGCAGAAAGUCGGCGGAGAACCUCUCAAUAUGGGUUACAAAUCAAUCACCCUUGUGGUUAGACAUGGAGCGGAUGAACCUUGAGGUGGCUGCCCCCAAGGUUCCGGCCCAACUGAUGGCGCUCGUUGUCCAACCGACCUUGUUGGAGAGGAUUAAAGAUCUGUAAGUUGCGUACCCGGAACUCCAAAAGGUUCGGCGAAACAUCAAGGAACGUCGAGGUGGCGAUUUCAGUAUAGACGCCGAUGGUGCACUCCGGUUUCGAAACCAGUGGUGUGUGCCCAGAAAUGGAGAACUUUGCGAGCUAAUUCUACAAGAAGCACAUCGGUCUCCAUAUGCUGAUCAUCCGGGCGGCACCAAGAUGUAUCAAGGAUUAAAGAUGCACUAUUGGUGGCCGAGAAUGAAGAGUGAUAUUGGACGCUUCGUGGUGAAAUGCUUGACAUGCCAACUAGUGAAGGCAGAGCGUCGGUUUACAGCGGAAAAGCUGCAAAGCCUACCAAUCCCCAUUUCGAAAUAGGAGGAUAUAUCGAUAGACUUCGUGGUCGGCUUGCCUCGCUCAACGGGCGGCCACGAUGCAAUUUGGGUAAUUGUGGACCGAUUGACGAAGUCGGCUCAUUUCUGCCGAUCCACACCACGUGGUCGAGUGACAAGUUAGCGCAGGUAUACCUUGACGAGAUAGUGAGACUGUAUGGGGUGCCGAAAUUGAUCGUGUCGGAUCGUGACCCCCGGUUCACUUCACACUUCUGGAAGAGCCUGUAGGAAGCCCUUGGCACACGGCUCGACUUUAGUACCGCAUUUCACCCUCAGACCGAUGGGCAAACAGAAAGAACCAUUCAAAUUCUGGAGUAUAUGUUGCGAGCGUGUAUCAUCGACUAUAAGGAAAGUUGGUGUGAUCACCUACCUAUGGCCGAGUUCACCUACAACAAUAGUUAUCACGCUAGUAUAAAGAUGACACCGUUCGAGGCUCUUUAUCGGCGGACGUGUCGGUCUCCUAUACACUGGAGCGAUGUAGGUGAGCGCGCAGAGUUCGGCCCCGAUGUGUUGCGAUAAGCGGAGGAGAAAGUCCGCCUUGCUCGCAAGAGAUUGCUCACGGCGCAGUCGAGACAGCAAAGCUAUGCAGAUAGGCGCCGUCGGGAUAUAGAGUUCGCGGUGGGCGACCGCGUAUUCUUGAAAGUUUCACCGAUGCGGGAUGUGAAGCGGCUUGAAGUGCGGGGAAAACUAAGUCCCCGGUACAUUGGACCUUAUGAAAUAUUGGAGCGAGUUGGCACGGUGGCUUAUCGGCUCGCUUUGCCGCCGAAGCUCGCGGAUGUACACAAUGUAUUCCAUGUCUCCAAUCUCCACAAGUAUAUUCACGACCCCAAGCACGCGAUGCGGUAUGAGCCACCGGAACUUCAAGAGGACUUGAGCUAUGAAGAGUUCCCGGUGGGUAUUAACGCCCGAGAAGUGCGAAAACUAAGAAAUCGCGAAAUUCUCUAUGUGAAGAUUCGGUGAAGCAAUCAUGAUGAUCACGAGGCUACCUGGAAACUGGAGGAUCUGAUGAGAAGGCACCAUCCUCAUCUAUUUAAGGAGUAAGGUAUGGAUCUAAGUUAAAAUUGAGAAUUGAGGUAGUUUCGAGGACGAAACUCCUUUUAAGGAGAGGAGGAUGUGAGGAAGUGAAUUCUCGAAAUCCGAGGAUUGUACUUCGUUUAGAAUAGACUAUUUGUCGAGAAGGUAUCCUUCGGAAAAGCUAAAGUUGUCCAAAACACAAAAAGUGCAUUGGAAAUGUGUCCGCGAGAGCAAAUGUGCAAAAAUCUGGACUUAGCAAAUUUUGCUCUCGGAGACCGGUCCCUGGAAUGGGGGACCGGUCCCCAUAGCUGAUGGUUGCGGGGGAGGUUGAUGCAACCGGUCCUUGGCUGAGGGGACCGGUCCCCGUAUGCGACACCAGCGAGAGAAGGGCAAAAAUGGCUAAGUCCUGGAAAUUCAGCUCUCGGGAACCGGUCUCUCAGGAAGGACCGGUCUCCCGCGGACCGGUCUCUCGGGUGGGGACCGGUUCCCGUAAGCGAAAGGUCCCCAGGCCCCGGGGAGGGCUCUUGGGGACCAGUCUCCCCAACGAGGGACCGGUCCCUCUGGGCGCAGAAUACCCAGUGAGGGCUGUGCAUAAAGAUGAAAGUUGAGGUGUUUAAUUGGAUUUUGUUACAUUAGAGGGGUAUGUAGGCCCCCUCUCUCUCUCUCUCAGCCUCUUAUUUCCCUACCUCUCUCUCUCUCACACUCUCUUGCUCCCUCUCUCUCUCUAGAAAAGAAAGAACAAAAGAGAAGGAGAAGAAGAAAGAAAAGAAGAAGAAAGACGAGAAGAAGAAGAAGAAGGAGGAAACUAAGCUCAAGGAGGCUUGGAACAUCUUCCUUUCCCUCUCCUCACCAUUGGAGUAGCUCAAGAGGUAAGCUCUUGAACCCUAGCUUAAGAAACUUAGGGUUUUUGGGCAUUGAGCUUUUGAAAUGGGUCGAUUGGACCUCUAGCAUGCUUCUAAAUAGAUCAAUGCUAGAAUUUAGGGUUUUGAUUGGAUGGUUUGCUAUAGGUGCAAACCUAGGGCACCCAAAUAGGGUUUUUGGUAAAGUGUGAGAUUGAUCUCAUUUGAGACCUUGUUAACCUAAUUGCUAGGUGUCUAAACGCGGGGGCAAAGUCGGAAUUACGAUUCAUCGAGCGGGAGAAAAGCUAUCGGCAAAAUAAGGCCGAUUGAGCAUUGUUUUGGACCAAGGAGUCCAAGACUUCGUGGUAACGAUCGCCGAAGAGCGUUUCUAGAACCUCUACAACAAAAAAAGGUGGGGGGUGUCAUCCCGAAGCAAUUGAACUCCUUUUUAUGUCUUAGAAUAGCACAUAAUUUUCAUUUCUGCAUGUUGCAUUGUAGGAUUGCAUUGUAGUACCUUUCCUUACGCUUUCUAAAUGAAAACCUAGUGUACAUGGAAUGCUUGGUAAAUUAGAUAGGUGAGGAUUGGGUCAGAACAUUGGAUCCUAUAGUGCUAAAGAAAAGAGAUGGACUCGGUGGUUAUGUAGCGACAUAGAGAGUGGCAUCUAAAUGUUUAAAGAACAUAGAGAGUGGCAUUAAUGUAGUGUAUUUGACACUAGAAGUUUAUGAACCUAGGGAGAGGUGGAUCCCUCAUAAAAUGCCUUGUGGACAAAGAACUUAGUAAAGCUAAGUACCCUCACAUGGAGAGGAUGUAAAUGAGUUUCGUUUGAGAUGUUGGCCCUAGUUCGUAGGGUAUCCUCACUUGGAGAGGAUAGAUCUAGCUCAAGGUUUGUUAUUUGGGGUGGUAUAGCCAUCCAUAUCAUCACAUGGAGAGGAUUGUCGUCGAGUACUUCGGAGUGUCGGGCGAUUAGGACCACAUGGCGGUCCGCAGACAGUCCCGGGUUUGGGGGCACAUGGAGCUCCCCUACCCAAUCGGGAUGGAAAAGUGAGUUGAGGGCGGACCCAAGGGUCUCACCAUAGAUUGGGUAAAUGAAAAACAAGUACCAUCAUUGAACAUUAUUAUUCGAACAUGGAUCGAACUUGUUAGCAUGGUAGUAAACCUUACUAUAUUAUACAUGCAUUCAUUAUACAUGAUUAUGGGCAUAGUAGCAUAGAUUUCCUUUAUGCCUUUACAGCUUUGAGAUAUCUAUCUAUAUAUCUAUCUUGUUGUUACUUGUGUCCACUUGGACCUAGUAGGGAGAUCGACAGAGUCGGUGGCCGAGCCCACUGGGAACUAUGGAAGAUAGUUCUCACCCCACUUUAUUUCCAGUGGUAGUUACAGGGUUGCCGAGAGAGGACCACGGCAAGGGCAUUGCGCCCGAUCAGUGAGACCGUGGUAGUAUAGUAGCUUUCCUUUUUGCAUUAGCACACCUAUAUAUUGAGAGAGAUUCAUGUUGGUGAGGACUUGGAGAGCUAUGUAUUUUGAAUGAUCAAAUGUAAAUGUAAAAGAAAGCAACUAUUGUGGUAGCUAAUAAAAUACUCUCUUUAUUUCACUUGUUCUACUUGUGGAUUACUUGCUCUUGUUGUUGUUGGCACUGUUUGUGCCCGUUGAAUGUGUAUGUUUAGAAUUUGAAUUUUCUGGGUAAAUUCUUGUACCCAUUCCUAUUGUUGAGCCUUGGGCGGACAGGGGAGGUGCUGUCAGUUCGGCGGUCCGUCCGGCGCGCCCGAACCGUGCCAAAUAGGUAGUGGUUUCGGGGCGGGGCGUGACACUCUCCCCGCAGGGACCGAUCCCCGAGAGCGCAACUCUCAACUUUUGCCUACGGGGACCGGUCUCUCCAUGCAGGGACCGAUCCCCGAGAGCACAGCUUUCAGGACUUAGUCGAUUUUUCUCUCUUCUCGCUGGCUGCGCGUACGGGGACCGGUCUCUCCUUCAGGGACCGAUCCCCGAGAGUCCAAAAUCUGGGACUUGGCCAGAUUUUUCAAUUUUACUCUCUCGGGUCCCUUUACACUAUACCAAGGUUCCAAAAUACUUAGAACCCAUUGUAACUUGUUCCACUCCGCGUUCCGUUCAUUUCGACGGAACUCGGCACGUUCUAUGGGGAUGUGAUAUGUUACAUUUCUAUUAUUUCUCUUUCCUACACAAUCAAUUUAUUUGUUGAUUUUAUGGUUGAUAUUGUGCGAUAGUCUAGAUGUCUAUAUGAUCAUGCGACUUGUAUGCUAUUGGAGGGAUGAUGGUUUACUUCAUGAUCUAUGUUUAUGCAUUAAUACUUCAUAUUUUUCACUGUUAGAGGAUUUAUGUUUAUAUUGUGAGAUAUGUGACAGAUGUCGUAAGAUAAUACGGCGCUAUUGGACGGUGAGAUGUAUGUAAUUGUGCCAAUGGCAACCGGGUAGUAUAUAGUGAUCUUUUUUUAUUAUUGCAUUGACUAUAGCCUACAUGAGCCAUAUUGAGUUUGACAGAGAUACUAUGAUACUUUUUGAGGUUGCACCCUUAGAGUGCCCCUCCGUAGGCUGGCAGUUGUCAUAGAUAUGCUAGGCUGCCUGCAUGUUGGCAGUCCAUGGGUCAUUGUGGCCCCGCCUAUUUGGCCGAGUUCGGGCGCGUCGACAGACCGCCGAACGGACAGAGUUUUUCCUGUACGUCCUAGGCGUCACAAUCAAUACAAUGAACAUUACAAGGGUUCCAACCAGGAACAGAUAUCAAUCAUGAUUGCAUAAGAAAAGUAUCACAACAUAACACAUCCUAUGUUAUUACAUGUGUGAGAUAUGGAUCCCGAGGAUCUAAAAGGUAAGUAACACCUAGAGGGGGGUGAAUAGGUGUAAAUCCGGCAAACUCGAAAAAUCUCGAUGCAAACAAAACAAAAUAGCGAAAAUUAAAACAGCACACCGAGAAUUUAACGUGGGAAAACUCCAAUUCGGAGUGAAAAACCCACGGGACCGAUCACGCAAAGAAAAUCCACUAAGAAAACUUGAGUACAAGUGAUUUCGACAAAAACACACGACUCAAUUUACCGAUUUCUCGUUGACGGUGAUCUUUGCCGGUCCUCAAUCGAUAGGAAUCCACCAAUCGACCUUGCUGCAACUCCUUGCAGCGUCAACGCCUCAACUCCUCGAAGCGUCCACCGAAUCCUCGGCUUCACACGAGAUCCACGUGCCGAAUCUCCUUCCGGAGCUUGUAGAAUCGAAGAUUUGUGGUGAUUUAACUUUUGAAAACCAUAAGCUAUGGGAGUUCACCUUUUAUCAAACAUCUACUUGAUUCUCGUAAGAAUUAUUGAGUAACAACGAAGAAUCAAGCCGAUGAUGAUUGCUAGAAACUCAUCAUAUAAAUCUAAGCAUUGAAACGGAGAGAAAUAAGUUUCUAGGGUUUAGAAUUGGUAAAAUAUUCAAAGCCUUGAUUUUAGAUGACCCACAUAGCUUAUUUAUAUAUUUAGAAGACUUAGAAGUAGACUAGGAUUGCAAAAAGUCGUUUUUAAAAAACUGUGUCGUCCUCAGAGACCGGUUCUCUCGAGGAGACCGGUCUGUGAGAGACCGGUCUCUCAAGUGAGGAACCGGUCCCUCUCUGCGUGACCAAAAACCCAACGUUCGGGAACCGGUCUCUCAAAUUUGAGACCGGUCCCUCGCUGCGCGAUAGAAGCACCAUGGUUCGGGAACCGGUCUCUCAUCACAGGGGACCGGUUGCAUCACGGUUUACGCAGUGAGGACCUUAGGGGAACCGGUCUCUCCAUCUCAAGGACCGGUCCCAGAACACAUGAAAGUUCAGAAAAGUUGUUUUAAAGCAACCUAAGCCUUCUGAACUUAUUCUAAUUAUGUAUCUUCACCACAAAUGAUCUUUUCUUCAUACCUUAGGUGUCGAGCUUUCCGAAUGAGUCUUCGUCCUCCAAUUUGAAUCUCUUCUCAAAAACUUCUGCGAUCAACUCUUCAAGACUCCAAACAACUUUACGAAAUUCGCCAACCUACAAAAUCCUUAACAACAUGCAUUCACAAUAAUACAUUUACUUUACAUCCAACUCCCAAAUGCAAUUAAGUUAUUACAUCAUUUGCUUAUUACAAAUUGAUACAUUGUAUUCUUUUUAUUUUCCAAACCCCUAGGCUAUGUCGACGAGGUAUUGCUAUCUCUGGUCUCUGGGUAGGGCGCUAUCUAUGGAGCUACGCCCUUUCCUCGCACCGCCGUGCCGCUCACGUGCGAACCUGAAACACCCCAAAACAACGUGGGGUGAGAACCAACUCCAUGGUUCCCAGUGGGUACGGCCACCCAAGGGAAGAGCUCGACCGAUAGGUCCAAGGAGGCACUGCAAUCAUGUUAGUCCAAAAAUAUCUACAGAUAUAUAUAUCGUAAUGUAAUUAUGAAACUAACAUAUAACAUGCCUCGCGAUAUGCAAUAUGAAUAUAUGCAACUAUGCAACUGUAUAAACCACUAGUAGAUAUGUUGAUUCUACAUUUACUUUGCUAACUUUAGCUCUUACCUUUAUCACUAGCUUAUAAGAUUCUAUUAACCUAAUCAAGCUAACCACCCGACUCGGCCUCGAGUCAAUCAUCCGCGGAUAGUCCGCGCACUGGCUGCAUCUAAGCCUGGCUGCCGUCACGCCUACCGCACCUUCUGAUUAACAUUGGCAGCGAAUUUAUCGCAUCGACCAAACAUAACUCAAGUCGAUGACUUAGCCAUCUGGCCGAUGCCGACACUAAUCGCACCUCACCGACUGUGUUCAAGACGUGACUAUCAUCGGGCAGCGACACAUCGCUCUUACCAACAAGGUAAUCAAUCUAGGCGCAUCAUCGUAAGCUAUAGGCGAGGAGGAACCACAAUACCCAAAUUCCAGUUUUCUCAUGGACACGCCGGGCCGGGAGGGACCAACAUACCUGUUGAAUCAGCUGCCAGGCGAGGAGAACCCACAAUCUGCCAGCUUAUGAUUCGCUUGUCAUCUCUGUUUACACAUAAUUUUCACCUGCUCCAGUGCGGCCACAUCACUACGCGAUUCCGGAAUUCCACCUUCAUAUAGGCUUAACGGGUUGGCUUUAAACCCUAUAGUACUUGACCUUAUCUAGGGUCCAAUGCUCCUUCUUCACCCAUAGGUCCUCAUUUGAAUCUAGGUUCAAUGUUGGUCUAUCACAUACUAGACGUUUUACUUACUCUAGCGUUCAUCCAUAACCUAUUGUCCUUAACCUAUGGUUAGUGCACUCAUGAUUUCUAGGUUUCAACAAAACUAGGUCUUUGUCAUUCAUGUCCAACCUAUGUUUUAUACACUUGGCUAGCAUGCCACUUGACCUAUGUUCAAUUAACACUGGGUUAAGAUACCACUCGAUCUAGUUCAAUGACUCUAGAUUCAUUCACACCUGAUGUUCUUUAACAUCUAGGUUAGGCCACCGAUCCUACUGAAGUCCUAUUGUCAUCUCGAUUCUACAUGUACACGAUCUUUCCAACAUGUCAUAUUAUACACAUAUGUAUCUACAUAUGCAUUACUUAUUUAGCAUGGGGUUUCUUAUCUUAUUAACAUGCCAUUACAUUUAGCUUUCUAACUAUGUCAUCAACAUGCAUUUCAUUCUUAUGCAGUCUAUUUACAUGCAUCUUCUAGUUACAUCAUAUAUUUAAUCAUUUAUAUGACCAUCUACCUUAGCAUUUACAUUCAUAUCAUAGCAUUACUAAGCAUUACAUUAUUAUCAUGCGAGAUACCUAGCUUAUGUAACUUGCUCACUAGAUUUCUACUAGCAUUCAAUCAUUAACAUGAUUUGCUUUUAACACUUAUCAUGCAUCAACAACGAUUCUUAAUAUAUUCUUAGACAUAAGGUGACCUAGGUCGCUUUGUAAGCACAACCCACCUUAACAGUUACUCUCAUUGCUUGUAGUCACUUGCAAUCGGCCGCCCGCUGACACCCGCGACCGGUUUGGCUCGACUCUCGCGCGACCACCCACGAUCUCGAUUUGCGAUCCGAAAAUUAAAGCUCUUCGGCUUAUCAAGAUCAACACAAACUAUAAGUCAAAAUUCAUAAUUCUAGCUUUCAUAGUCAAAACACCUAAAGCACUAAAGUCAAACACCUAAAGCACUAACUACCUAAAGCAUCUAAUAAACAUCUUAACUAACUAAACAUCAAGAAUAAUGCGUCAUUCAUCAUCAGACCAUCCGAUCCAUUCUCCCCUUUUGUGCAGAAUAGCGCCCAAAACGACAAAAAGAGAAGCCCGCGUCAAACACUCAGUCAGAAUAUCUCCUGGAGUAUUAACAUCUGCGGACAAUCCCAUUGUCAAAAUCUAUCAACAAGCGUUCAUCUGCCCACAUCCUUACGAAUCGCAGCUCUGCUUCUGCCAGGACAAUUCUGAGCUCCUCAGAAUAGACGUUGCUGCUCGCGAUCACCGAUGUAACGCGAAAUAUCUUUCUCAGAAAUGUCCAUGAGAAGGAAGUGAAGAAGUGAACCAGAAGUUAGCAGAGUGGCAGCUGCAGGAGGGGAAAGAAGCACCUGUUGAGAGGCGUACGAAGCUGCACGAGGACUUUACAAACGUCCUUUCCAUUGAUCCGACCAAACUGUGCUCGAUAUGAUGUACACUGAACAUCCACCUCACGAAGUCGCCAAAAUCCUCAUAAUUAUCAAAGGAAUGUAAACGACUCAUUUUGCGAAGAUCUUGAUAUCUUUUGCAUUCUUCGCCGGUUCAGAAAUCGAUAUUCUAUGAUAUUUUUGGCCACCUACCAAUAUCCGCCUACCAGAGAUACAUGUACAGAAUCAGAUCCCAUUCAGGAUUUUCGUUUUGCGAGAGCUGAUUUGUUAGCAAAACCACAAAUGUUCAAAACCUGUACUUCCAUUUGAAAUCUUUGACAUAACCGUAAUGCCGUUAUUUGAUUCUAGUACCCGAUGCACAAUAUGUCACGACAACGGUUCAUCGCGAAAGGAGUGCGAACACCGCCUGCCAGGUACUCACUCUGUCAGGGUUCUUUGCUUCCAUCUCUAGCACCGAAGCUAUCUGUGCCAGGAGGACAGUAAUCAACACCACGUACGAAGUCUUAAACACCUACUUGACCGCCGUUCGGAGUCACUGAGUUGACCUGCUUCAGUGGUAAAUUCUCGUGAUCAACUCCAAGCAAAACAUCGUUUGCUCCGCGAAAAUCACAAAUCUUGAUGAAGAUUUCCCUGUUCAAAUAACUCCUGAAAACCUGCGCACUACAACUAAUGGAUACUGGCCACCCACAUGCUCGAUCUCAUAAUGCAGUUGUUUCACGAUACAUUGUACCGCGAUUAGAUAGAAAUCCCUGGAUUAGACCGGAAUGCCGACGCUGGUGCCAUCAGAGCCGUUUCUUGAAUUCAACACCCGGACCUUACGACCGACCGGGACCUCAGUCGCACUUCUUUGCCUUUAUCGCGGCCUUUCCUUUUCUUUGCCUCUCGCAGUAUCUUAUCCUUAGCUAAUCCUCAGGCAACAAAAGUUCCCAAUCCGGCUUUCCUCCUCAGAAUCGUCGCCCAGGAGCAUAUUCGUUCUCUUCUCCCCGAUUGACUACUCAAUCGGCUUUUAGCUUUGGCGCUAGCGCGCUUAACUUCACGACCACCGACCAGCAUAAGAACCACCAAGAACAAGUAGCCACUCGAGUACAUUUUCGAAGAAACCCUGUCAAACACAAUAUUUAUAUAUUUGAACAUUAAACAAUCGAUUUGUAUUCCAAAACUUUAGCAAAAUUGUAUGUAAUAUACAUAGAUAAUCCUUAUGGCACUUACCAUGGAAAAUAUGGACAAUCAAGCAUCAAAAAUCGAAAAUCCCACUUUCGAAAAUUUGAAAAAAUCUAGGUUUUGGAUGAAAGAAAACAUAGAAAAAUAAUCAAAACAAUUGUAUCAAGAAAUAUAAAUAAGCCAUGAAAAUGUUGGAACAACGAAACAAAUAUGAGAUCAGGGCAAAAAUACAGAGAUUUAUAAAAUAAUGAGAUCAAAUCCCCAAAAACUGACGAAUAAAGCAUAAAUUCGGAUUAUAGGUAACACGAAACAAAAAAUCCGAGAAAUAUGACCAAAAUCAAGUGUAAAUUGAUGCAAGAAUGGCAGCCAAAGCACCCUAGUGGUGUAGAAUCUUGGGAGAGGAAGUUGACACGAAAUUGCUAAAGUAAAAAACAAACCGCAAAGACCCUUAUACUCGGUACUGGGCGGGAGGACGGUCUCUCUUCGUGAGACCGGCUCUCGAGCCUGAAAACUUUUUAAAUUUAAACGCAGCCGAAAAAAUCCAAAAAUGUAAGGGUAUUUCAUAAUACUUACUUCUCACAAAUAACUUUUUCAUCCCAAAAAAAAAAAAAAAACUUUAAAUAAAAUUUCAUAAAUGAAUUUUGAAAAAUCAAUUUCAGGGAUAUUCAAAAUUUCAAAAUUUUUAAACGAAAAUCAAUAAGAAUUCUUGAUACAUAUAAAAUAAAAUCCCACACAUCAUGCACGAUCUUGAAAUAAAUUGUAUCAUUUUAUCAUCAUACUUUGUUAAAGAAAAUGAAAUAAAUAUUUCUCAAAAUUGUGAAAUUAACAUAACAUGAUUAAAUUGAGUUAUGCACAUCGUUUGAGACAGGAGUAGCUCUUUGAGCAUCUUUUAUUAACAUUCCACCUUAUAUCACCUACAAAAUGUAUAGCUCUUUGAGCAUAUUAUUUAUUAUUUUUUUUUUUUCAUUUACUCUUUUGAAGGGUACGUUCCUUUUGUCUUACUUAAAGGCUUCAAUCAACAUGUGGUAGCUGCACACACUUACCGGACGACCGAGGUGGUAGCUCUUUCCUCCAUGUGGUGGUAGUUUUCACACUCCCAGCAGGGAUGUAACUCUUUCCACAUCUUGAAUUCAGAAAUAUUCAUAGCUAGAAUCGGAAAGACUCCCCCUAAAUUAGUGCAACCCUCAAGUUAAAAAUAUUAUAGUUAUUUCAAAAACAGAGACAGAUUUAUUCAUCUCAAAACUAAUAAUCAAACAAACAAUUGCAAUAUUCAAAGUUCGAAGCAUGAGGUGCUGAAUUUGAUUUAAUAUGUUAAAUAGAAUUUCAAGGAUUUGAUCGUUCAAGAAUAUGUCAAUAGAGAAUAACCCUGACAUUGAUCAAUCAAAACUUAAAUAUGAAAUACUUAAAUUCACAGAUCAACUCAUUUCCCAAAACGGCAACAUCAAGCAAGAAAAUCAAACAAAUCAUAAACACCGAAAAGCAUGCAAGAAAAGAAACAAAAUAUGCAACAUGCACAUGAUCUGUGGCUCAAUAGAAUAUAUCUAGAUUGAUGGGUUCAUACCAAUUGCCUUUCUCAAAUGCAGAAAACGUUUUUGAUCCAAAGGUUUGGUUAAAAUAUCUGCAAGUUGAUUUUCAGUUGAAAUGUAUUCAAGUUGUAAAACGUUUGAUUCUACCAGUUCUCUUAAAAAAUGAUAUCUUAGUUCAAUAUGUUUUGUUCGAGAAUGUAAAACAGGAUUUUUAGAAAUAUUAAUUGCACUCGUGUUGUCACACAGAAUAGUCAGAGUGGUAGAAGGAAUCCGAUAGUCGCUUAGUAAGCUUUUCAUCCAAAUUAAUUGAGUAGAGCAACUUCCAGCUGCAAUGUAUUCAGCUUCUGCAGUGGAAAGAGCAAUGCAAUUUUGCUUCUUACUGUGCCAAGCGACCAAACAAUGUCCAAUGUAGAAACAAGCUCCACUAGUACUUUUCCGAUCAUCUGCGGAGCCUGCCCAGUCAGCAUCCGAGUAGCCGAUUAGGUCAAGAGACGUUCCCAUAGGAUACCAUAGUCCAUACUCGGUUGUUCCUUUAACAUACCGAAUAAUCCUUUUAACUGCUUUCAGAUGUACUUCCUUAGGAUUAGCCUGAUAACGAGCACAUAUUCCAACACUAAACGCAAUGUCAGGUCUGCUUGCAGUCAGAUACAAAAGGCUACCAAUCAUGCUUCUGUAUUGUUUCUCAUCCACACUCUGACCUUCUAAAUUCAAUCCCAAUCCUUUGUUGCUUGUACCCAUCGGAGUGUCAAAAUCCUUUGCACUUUCUAAUCCGAAUUUCUUAACUAGUUCCUUCGCAUACUUUGUCUGUGACAAAUGAAUUCCAUCUUUUGAUUGUUUGACUUGAAGCCCGAGGAAAUAAUUAAGCUCCCCCAUCAUUGACAUCUCAAACUCACUGGUCAUUAACUUUGCAAAAUCAGCGGCAUCCUUAUCUUUAGUAGCCCCAAAAACUAUGUCAUCCACAUAUAUUUGUGCUACAAUGAAAUUAUCCUUCAGGUGUUUCACAAAAAGAGUUCUAUCUGCUUCCCCUCGGUUAUAGCCCUUUUCCAAAAGAUAUUUUGUCAAGCGUUCGUACCACGCUNNNNNNNNNNNNNNNNNNNNNNNNNNNNNNNNNNNNNNNNNNNNNNNNNNNNNNNNNNNNNNNNNNNNNNNNNNNNNNNNNNNNNNNNNNNNNNNNNNNNAAAAGAGAGAGAUAAAUGCAAACAAUCAUUCAAAAAUGAUUACCGCUUAAAUUCUAUAACUUCCCGCUUGUUCUUCACACUCGAUCACAUCUCCCCUUGUUCUUACAUCUCGAUCAUGGACUCCCCUUUGUUCUUUCGAACUCAUCCAUCUCUGCUAGUUUAUUGCCUGUUCAUCCAUGCAUCUUCAUCGUAACGCUGCUCCCUUUGUCAAAAUUGCCAAAAGAAAUCAAAUCGAGUAGAAAACAUAUCAGAAAAUGUAAGGAGUCAAGGUCAUAGUUAAGGCAAAAAAAAAAAAACAAGCAGAACUGGAAACUAAAACAUCCAUCCUAUAUCGCAAUGUAAGAAAGAGGAGACUAAGUCUCGAUGAACGCCGAGUCUCGAGUUUGAAAAAUUGCUUUAAGGAAAUUCCAUCAAAUUAAUUAAUUCAAAAUAAAUUAAGGCUUCUACUCAAAUGCAUUUAAUGACAAUGUAAGAUAUUAUAAGAAUUUCAAAUCAUCAAAAACAUAAAAUUUCAUUAUCGAAAAAUAAUUUAUAUGUUAAAACCAUUCAGAUGAUAAAGUUUGAUAGAAAAAUUAUGAUUUUUAGAAAUUCACAAAAAUUGACCCAAUUGUCAUAACACGUUCAAUAUAGAGAUUAAUCUAAUAUGGAUACCGGGUGGCUUUAGAGCAUCUUUUAUCCACAACUAAACAGACCUUAUGAAUCCGAAAAUUCUAAAUAUAUAUAUUUUCAACUUUUUAUCGGCUUUCAAUUAAUUAUGUGGUAGCUAUAAACACUUCGCCGUACGUACGGAGCCGGGUGUAGCAUCUUCCUACAUGUGGUGGGUCAUUUUCACACUCCUUUUGGGAUGUAAGUCUCCACAAUCUUUUAACCAAGGAGUUCUUUUUUCCUUUUUUUUAAAGAAAAAAAAAAUUUAUAAACUCCCCUUAAUUAGGCUAAUCUGACAAUGAAAUAAUUGUGACGAAUUUUAGUCAAUUAGAGAAUAUAACCAUUCAUCAUAUCCAACACUUUGGCACACCAGAUAAUUAAUCCAAAAAAAAAAUCAAUUGAUAUUCAAAAUGUGAAAUGAAUGUAUGCAUUAAGAAGUUCAUAUAUUAAUUAUGUCAAAAUAAUAAAUAGUGGAGUAAAGACAAAUUAAUAUCGAUUUGAAUCUUAAUAUGAUUGUGAAGAUUUAAACACUUUACCAUCCUUUAAAACUUUUCUCCAAAACGAUUCUCAAUCAUCUCCUUUUCAAGAGAUUUGAUUCCAAACACUUCCUCAAAUAGUUAAAAAAAACUUUUACAACACCCACGAAAAUCAAUCAUACGUAUAUGCAAUGAUAAAAGCUUGCCAACAAACACCUAUCAAAGCACUACUAAGAAAUCCAAAUAGCUAAGACAAGAACAGGAAAGAUAUCACCUUUCGCGGAUCAAACUUGUCGGAUCAUUGUUUCUCGCUUGUCGACGUUAGGUGCCAGUUUGUUUAGACUUUCGAUCAAGUUGGUGAUUUCUUCGGUUGAGGCUUUGUUGAACUUGUCGUUUAGCGUGAAUAUGGUUUGCUUUAGAAUUCGAUUGGGUUUGGCGUUGCACAUUAGAAUACGAUUCCCUUCGAAGGUGAUUACUUGCAAAUGAUCUUAACUUUGAUGUCCGUUGGGGAGUCGAGUUGUUAGAGGGCCACUUGACGAUUAGAUAUUGCCGAUUGCUUCUUCUUUGUCUUUGUUUGGGUCAUUCUUUUGAUGUGUCUUUGAUGCACAUGUAUACACACCUUCUCUUCAAAAGUUGUUGAGACUUUAGAAAUUAAUUUUGAAUCCUUCUCAACAUAUGGUUCUUUCAUUACCGAGUCGAAUUAUCCGUUUGACCCAAACCGAGCUAUGGGUUCCAAGCUUCUUUGAUCCUGAAGAAAAUGUGUUAAGAUCGAUUGAGUUUGAGAACUUGGUUGGUCAGACUUGAUGACUGUGCGAUUCAUCGAAUUGUUGCUCCGAAAAAUCCAAUCUGCUCGAUUGAUAGAUUUGAUGUUGAUUUCCGUCAAUUAAGCUUCUCUGGAGGCGUCCGAAAUUAUUCUCAAUUAAUCCAUUUCCUCCCAAGAACCUUAUUCAAAAAUCUUUACGUUGGUUGUUUCCUCCUCAAGUCCACAAACGACGUCUCACUAUCUUUGUUGAGUUUUAGCCAUCUCUUUGAUUCAAUGAGAAGUUGAUUUGUAACCUUCGCUAUGUCGCGUCGUCGUUGUCCACUUCAUUUCGCCAUUGUUGCUUCGAUGAACUCAUGAAGAAGAGAAAUAUUGGAGUUAUAGGCAAAAGAGGAUAACACAACAUUUCGAACGAGGGAGUAUUAGCAAAGUAUGAGCAAUUUGAUCAUUCUUUUUCAUUGUCACUUGACGAUGAUUCCCUUGAGUUGACUCAUCCCAAGGUCUUUGGCUUGCAUUAGCCUUUUGUCUAUGACGUCUUUCUUGAAUGGACAUGCGUCGCAAUGUGGCGUAUCUUUGCACUUGAAGCAUUGGAUCUCGCCUUCAAAGACAUCCUUUUCUUUCGAAGCCUUUGCAGAUUCUUCUCCUUAGCUAUGUAGACACGAUGAAGAUUUGCACUGAGCCUUGUCCGAUCUAUUCUUCUUCUCGGAAAAUUCCGUACAAACUCUUCGUGUAGAAGUGCCAAUUUUGUCUCAAGAGUCGCAAUGGAGUUCUCGUCCUCGGAUCCGAGUUCCCUUUCUCUUUGUCGAUUUCACUGGCAAGCUGUGCUUUUAGGAAGACUUGAAGAAGAUAUGAUUAUAGGAAAAGUCAUCUAUAAUUUCAAGCGCCUACAAUUCUUCGAUCUUUCAUCUCGUCCGAUGCUUAAUCCGUUUCGAUUGGCGGCACUUUAGGCGCCCGAAACGUCCGGAAAUGCGAAGGGAUUGUUUCUAACAACCUUGAAUCGGGAUUUUCUCUCCAGGUAGCAUGCUGUUUCAAAACAUCUUUGUAGAGCCUGUAUAAGUACGGUAAAGGUUCAUUUCGUCCAUAAAAGUUGAAUCAAACUUGCUGUUAGCAUGGCAUUUUGGACUCUUACUAAGCUCGUUCCUUCAUGUUAACUUGUGAGUAUAAAUUUCCUUUGGCCGUUUCCGCAGCCGAAAACGGUAAACUCGUUUGAGACAAGCAUUAAAUAAGCGGUUAUGCCCUUGCCGUUAACGAAGAUGUCUGUUCUCUUUGUCCACUUGGUUCCGUGGUUUUGGUUUUCAAGCAUUAUCGACUUAUUCUAUCAGAUGUUUCACCGCAAAUUCAAUAGAUUGCGAACUCGUCUCGAUAGCAUUAGAAAGCGUCUCAUGCGAACUUCAAUAGGCAUAAUUUCGUCGCGUGACCGAGCGGAGGUCGAUUGAUUUACCUUCGCCAUUAGAUAGCAAUUUAUCUAAUCAUGCUCUGAAUACCCAAUUGAAAGUUUUUGAGUAAGCCCAAGGAUUACUAGAUGUAUCUUAUACUAGAGGGGGGGUGAAUAGGUGAAGGCCAAAAAACCGACAAUUUCGCUGCAAUAAAAAUAAAUGCGGAAAAUAAAAGCACAGCCGAGUAUUUACGUGGAAACUCCACUCGAGUAAAAACCCACGGACAACACGUGAUCAAUCCACAUAAGAAUGAAAAUGAUUACAUAGGUGUUACGAAUCCACGGCUCUCAAACUCCUUCCUAAAUCUCUCCGGCAUCUCGCGCACACUCAACGGGUUGUCCCACGCCACGUCCGAUCCAAGAACGACGCCCGAAUGCCACGAAACCUCCCAUUCGAAUCACGGAAGCUGACUGCACGUGGAAUCCGAAACGCCACAUCGAAUCCAGCGAGCUCAGAUCCGGAAUCCACGACCGUCUUCAUUCCCGCGAUCACGACAGCCGUUCAUGGAAGAGGCAUCAAUGGUUCUGGUGAUCCUUCGCUUGAAGUAUCGUAGAAAACAGGACAUAGAACUCCAAGUGAAAGCGGAGAUCAAUCGGAAUAUUAAUAUAAGAUUUAUAUCUCGAUUUGAUCUAAAGAGCUUUAUGUAGAAAUAAAGUUAAGAUUGAAAUACGAGCUCUCGGGUUCGUCAAACAUGUAUUCUUAUGAUGCUAUUGAUGUGUUAGAGAAGCCCAAUAGCUUAUUUAUAGACUUUAGAAAUCUAAUUAAGUCCAAUUAGAAGUUCUUUCAAAAACAGACUUGUACCGGAACAAGAAUGUUGUCGAGGUACAAGCCAUGACGGAUAGAUGUUUCUGCGAAGCUCCUGUACCCUGGAUAGUUUCAGCUUGUUGCCGGACGGGCUUGUACCGGUACAGCAUGAAGCUUGUACCGGAACAACCAUCAAACUUUCUGCGCAACGUUGAUGGCUGUACCCUGGACAGAAAACCCUUGUACCGGAACAACCAUCAAACUUUCUGCGCAACGUUGAUGGCUGUACCCUGGACAGAAAACCCUUGUACCGGUACAGCAAUGCAAUUUUCGCUGAAAAUGCAUUGUUUUGGGUUUUACAAACUCUUAGAAACUUUCUAAUCAAUUACAACUUGAAAAUAUGAUUCUAAGAUCUAUAAAUAAGUAUGAAUCACCAUAAACAAGAUUUAAAACUUACCUACGCAUCGUGAUUCAAGUUUUGCGUGUUUUGCGUCCUUUCCGAUUCUUCGAAGUCUUGGAUUCUUCGAUUUUCAAUACUCCGCUCCGAACUUCUUCAAGACUCCGACUCGACCCACGAAACUUGCCAACACAUAGGACCUAACACUGUCGAAGACCUCCGCAAAGGUCGUUAGCUUCAAUAUUUGCACCCUUUCAUAAAUCCGGGGUUGGAGUCCUCGCAAGUCUCAACUUGCGGAACUUGUCCUGUAGCUUCCGCUUCACCGUGUCGGGGAAGUAGUUCGCGAACACCACUCUCUUGAACUAUUCCCACAUCAUAGGUGGGAGGUCGGUAGGUCGAUCCCGCCUAACUCGCUUCCACCACACCUUCGCCGCUUUCUCAAAACAGUGUGUGGCAAGGUACACUUUGUCCUUCUCCGAGGUAUUCAAGUCCUCGAAGAGCGUCUCCAUUGAGUCGAUCCACGACUCCACAAUCGCCGGCUCCACCAAACCGCUUUCAAAGGUAGGUGGAUCGAACUUCUUGAACUGUAUAAGCGCCGCCAGUGUGCGCUCCCGCUCCGCAUCGACUGCCGCACCGUCGGGGUUUGAGGUUCCCGAACCGGCCGGUACUAUUGUAACUGGCGCAGCCGCCGUUGCCGCCGCUUCCUCGACUGCCCUCGGCACUACGGCAGGGGGCACUAGUGGCUCCGCGCCCACUUGGGCCGCCACCGACUGUUGACGCUCCAUAACAUCCCGGAGCCGUUGAAUCUGCUCCCCUUGACGUUGAACAGACUCCGCUUGUUGCCGCACUACUCCAAUAAGAGCGGCCAUUUGCUCCCUAAGCCCACCGUCGCCACUUGCUCCGGAUUGCUCGGGCAUCACGUUUGGCUCCUCAGGUAUCGACCCUUUUUGUGAUCGACGACGAGGUGCCAUUGCUUCCUGAAAAGAAGCAACUCGCAUUAGUCACUUGACCAACACUACUUGACCAUACCCAAUUAGGCGAAAGCAACAUGCACAUUCAUCCUUGCCUCAAGCGUCAUGUCGUCGGCCGCCCGACAUAACACUAAAAGUAGAGGAUAAAUGAAAAUUAAACUUAGCCUCUAAUCACAUUAGAGACGUCCCUACUUAACCCAAUCACAUGCUUUCGCUAAUUUUAAUUCCACGUCACUCACGUUUCCUAGAUCCUUAAGGCCUUCCAAUCCUAUAGGUCUCUAGGUCCAUUCCUAUUCUUUCACUCUUGGCUCUGAUACCACGAUAUCUGUCACGCCCCGGAACCGAUACUAAUUUGGCCCAACCCGAGCACGUCAAACAGACGCCGAACGGACAGGGUUUUCCCUAUCCGUCCAAGGCUCAUCACAUGUACAAAUUCAAACAAGAAAUGCACUAGCGGAAACAUACACAAACGGCUUACACGAGGGUAAGCAAUAGCCAUUAGUGAAAGAAAGGAAAACUAAACAUUUACAAGUACUAUGAAUCAUUUUUUAUCAUAUACAUUGCAUUCAUCUUGUUCACUUUCGAAUUCCUUACAUUUCAUUUCAUCAUUUCUUUCUUACAUCACAUUUACCUCAAAAUACACAUUAUAUUCUUUUCUCAACAUCACUAGUCAUCAAAUACAAAAGAUGAAUAUAGGGUGCUCUACUAACAAAAUGUAAACCCAACUCAACUCUGGUGGCCUCUGUCUAAGGCGCGAUACCUUUACCUCGGUCGCUCGCCGGCUCGCUCGGUCCCGGCUAUGUGGAAAUAGUGGGGUGAGAACUACAACAAAGUUCCCAGUGGGUUCGGCCCCAACAUCACCGACUUUCCCAUUAGGACUAACUCAGGCAUAAUAGAAAGGAUAAGCUGAAAUAUAGUAACCAAUCUACAACAUGAUGCUAAUAUGCCUCAACAAUAAGCAAGGAAUAUGCUCAACAUUAACAUAUGCAGAUUAUGCAAGUUCUUUCGUUCUUUAUCUUUACACUUUGUUCUUUGUUCUUUGCUCUUUGUUCUUUAUUCGUUAUUCUUUAAUCUCACGGCAAACCUGGGGGUUUCGCCUCAUUGACUUGCUUCACAUUAAGUCCAUCAUCGCAGGAACUCACCCGCUAGGACCGUCCUUCGGGUUUACUCCAACCCGUGAUGCAUAACUCCGGAGGGCAUCGCCCGAGGGGGAGCGACCGCCCUCGAGCACGGAACUUAUAGCAAGUAUGAUCAUAUCCUUAACUCAAAGGAUUUAUAUGUUCAAUCUUAACUUUACACUAGCUCUAGUGUUCAUUACAUCACUUUAUGUUGCUAACUCUAGCAAUCAUUGUUCUUUACCAUUCAUUACUCUUGCUAUCUCUAGCAAUUAUAUUCUUCACAUUCUUUACUUUUGGCUACCUCUAGCACUUCUUGUUCUUUACUCCCCACAUUACUUUAACUUUAAAUAUUGUCAUUUUCAUCAUUCUUUACAUUACAUUGGUUCUUUACCUCACACUCUCUCUAGUGUCAUUUCACUUUAACUUUAUCGAAUGCCACUCGAUCUAUGUCAUUGUGUCACUCUGUUCUUUUGCUCACUUUGAGUGCUCACUUUUUCUCUUAUGCAUACACAUAGGGUUUUUGACGCUCACAUAGUUCUCAUUCAUCAUAUUAUGCAAGUAGUAUUCACAAUCAUGCAUCAUCACAUUUUCAUCAUUACUUUACCCUAAAAUGCAUGCAACAAUAUAUAUACACAUGCUCAAAUGAAUGACACAUUAGGCAUAGAGAGAAGUUCAAUGAGUUUGAGAAGCACCACCCACCUUGUAGGUCUCUUUAGGUGCUCCGACGAUUUUCUUGAAAUUUUUAGACACUCGGUUCACUACCUGCGGCAUAACAAAGCCAAAUUAGGCUUAUUGGGCUAUAACUUUACAUACACUUUUCGUAAUGUUAUUCCGAGCGCACCAACGCGUCGGAAGUACCCCCAAUUAGGUUUCUAGAGGGUCAAUUGCACUUAGAAAUCCCCAUGAGCAAAAGCCCCAAUUUGGUGUCCUAGCUCCCAUACAUAUACAAAACCUAGGGUUUGAUCUCAUUGGGGUGUUUGUUCGAAGCCCCUAACCAUCUUGGAAUUUUUAUUAGAGAGCUAGGAGACUUGUGGACAACUCCAUUCGCGCAAACGAAGGAGUUGCGAGGGGUAUCCGAUGGGUUUGACCUCACCGAAAUGGGUGAACUCCCCCUAGGUUAUUUCUUAUGGUUUAAAAUGAAAAAUCAUGCAUAUUCAUGCUAAAUAGAGUAUAAAUGAAUUUUUGAAUGCUUCAGACAUAUGUGUUACUUGUCAUGAUUAUAGCCUCUAUGUAGUAGAGAGAGAAUUGUAUAGUAAACUUGCAUGUGAAAUGACAGCCGUUACAUAUUGCUAGAAAUCAUGUUUAGUGAAAUGACAAGUUAUAUAUGCUUAUGGACAUAGAACUUAUGCUUGACAUAACGAACACUAAUGACAUAUAGUGACACAUGACUUAGUAAAUGGUUAAGCCUUCACUUGAUGACGUAGAGAUAGACUGUUUGGUCAUUAGUACUUAUAUCAUGUUUUAGACAUGAUGACCAUUAACUUGAGAUGGAUGAUCAUGCUUGCUUGCCAUUGUGCUCAUUCACACGUGCUUGUGAGGGUCGCUCCCCACAAGCCGGCACUCCGGAGUUGGCUUACGCAACAUAUGCUCGCUCGUGCGGGAUUGGGUGCCUACUGAGUCGGCGUAGAACAGACUCAUUCCUAGCGGGGGAAUGUUGGACUACCACGGGCCAUUAGGCGGCACAAGCCGGACUACACUUGUGUAGGUCCCAAAUUGGAAUUAAAAAAUGACAUUUAAACUGUUAGGUCCUAUGUGUUGGCAAGUUUCGUGGGUUGAGUCGGAGUCUUGAAGAAGUUCGGAGCGGAGUAUUGAAGAUCGAAGAAUCCAAGACUUCGAAGAAUCGGAAAGGACGCAAAAAACGCAAAACUUGAAUCACGAUGCGUAGGUAAGUUUUAAAUCUUGUUUAUGGUGAUUCAUACUUAUUUAUAGAUCUUAGAAUCAUAUUUUCAAGUUGUAAUUGAUUAGAAAGUUUCUAAGAGUUUGUAAAACCCGAAACAAUACAUUUUCAGCGAAAAUUGCAUUGCUGUACCGGUACAAGGGUUUUCUGUCCAGGGUACAGCCAUCAACGUUGCGCAGAAAGUUUGAUGGUUGUUCCGGUACAAGCUUCAUGCUGUACCGGUACAAGCCCUGUUCCGGAACAAGCUGAAGCUAUCCAGGGUACAGGAGCUUCGCAGAAAAAUCUUCCGUCAUGGUGUACCCUGGACAGCUUUCCUUGUUCCGGUACAAGGUGCUGAUUUUGGAAAGAAACUUUCUAAUCCUACUCUGUUUUGAUUCUAAAGUCUAUAAAUAAGCUAUAGGGGUUCUCUAACUGAUUAAGCAUCACGAAAAUACAUAUUUGAGAAACCCUAGAGGCUCGGAUUUCAUCAAAAACCUAUUUUCUACAAAAAGCCUCUUUUAGAUCAAAUCGAGAUAUUGAAAUUUGAUAUUAAUAUGUCGAUUUGAUCUCCGCUUCGCUUGGAGUUCUAUUCCCUGGUUUUCUACGAUACUCCAAAGCGAAGGAUCACCAUAUUCAUGAUAUUCUUCAUGGUGGCGUCGUGGAUUCGGCGUAUUUGACGGCGGUUCGUGGAUUCGGAUCGUGGGCUCGUGGAUUCGAGUGGCGUCGUGGAUUCGGCGUGAUUGAAGCUUCGUGGAUUCGAAGUGGAGGCGUUCGUGGAUUCGGACGUGAGGGCGUGGACAACCCGGAGGGUAGCGCGAAGAUUCAUAGGAGGUUAAGAGAGGUUGAGUCCGUGGAGUCGGUAAUCACCUUGUAAUCUUUUCUCUUAGUGAAUUAUUUUUUCGCGUGUUGGUCCCGUGGGUUUUUCUCCAAGUUGGAGUUUUCCCACGUAAAUCUCGGUGUGCUUUUUAUUUUCCGCAUUUAUUUUUAUUGCAUCGAGAUUUGUGGUUUUUGGCCGUUCACCUAUUCACCCCCCUCUAGGUGAUAGAUACAAUCUAGAUAGAUCCUUGGGCUCCUCAAAACUUUCAAUUGGUAUCAGAGCGGGAUCUAGAUAAAUUGUUAUCUAAUGGCCGAAGGUGGUAACAUUAAUCGACCUCCGCUCUUCGACGGCACGAAUUAUGCCUAUUGGAAAGUUCGCAUGAGAGCUUUUCUAAUUGCUAUCGAUGAGCGGGUUUGGCAAUCAAUUGAAUUUGGGUGGAAACAUCCGAUAGAAAAGGUCGAUAAUGUUGAAAAGCCAAAACCACGGAACAAAUGGACGAAAGAAGAAAACGAGUCAUCUUCGUUUAACGGCAAGGGCAUAAACUCUUUAUUUAAUGCAUUGUCUCAAACGGAGUUUACUCGUGUUUCGGCAUGCGAAACGGCAAAAGAAAUUUGGGAUACUCUACAAGUUACGCAUGAAGGAACAAGCUUAGUAAAGGUCCAAAAAUUGCAAAUGCUAACUAGCAAGUUUGAUUCAAUUUCUAUGGACGAAAAUGAGACCUUUACCGAGUACUAUACACGUCUACAAGAUGUUGUGAACACAUGUGCUAACUUGGGAGAGAAAAUCCCGGAUUCAAAGGUUGUUAGGAAAAUCCUUCGCACUCUUCCGGAACGUUUUCGGGCUAAAGUAGCCGCGAUCGAAACGGUCAAACAUCCGGACGAGAUGAAAGUAGAAGAAUUAGUAGGAGCUUUGCAAACGUAUGAGAUGACUUUUCCUACUAAUCAAUCUUCUUCCAAGUCUUUCUCUAAAAGCACAGGGGUUGCAUUGAAAUCUACAAAGGAGAAGGACGAAGACUCGAGUUCCGACGACGAGUUAUCAAUUGCGGAUUUUGAACAUCAAUUAGCGCUCCUCACGAAGAAGUUUCGUCGAAAUUUCCGGAACAAGAAUAGAUUGGACAAGGCUUCAUCGUCUAAGCGACAAUCUUUGUCUAAAUCAUCUUCAUCUUCAAAGUCUAAGGAUAAAAACCGUGCAAAGUCUUCAAAGGAAAAGGAUGAAUUUGAAGGAGAGAUCCAAUGCUACAAAUGUAAAGGUUUUGGCCACAUUGCGACGGAUUGUCCUUCGAAGAAGACGUAUAGACAAAAGGCUAUGCAAGCAAAGACGUGGGAUGAUUCAACAUCAAGUGAAUCAUCGUCAAGUGACGAAGAAAAGAAUGAUCAAAUUGCCUUAUUUGCUAAUACUCCUUCGUCGAAUGUUGUGUGUUUAUCCUCUUUUGCUACUAACUCCAAUAUUUCUCUUUCUUCACAUGAUUCAUCGAGCAACAAUGGCGAAAGUGAGGAGGAAUCAAACGACGACGACAUAGCGGAAGCGUACAAUCAACUUCUCAUUGAAUCAAAGAAGAUGGCUAAACUCAACAAGAAGUUGAGACGUCGUUUGUUGGAACUUGAGGAGGAAAACAACAACGUAAAGAAUUUGAAUAAGGUUCUUGAGGAGGAAAGGGAUUCAAGUUUGAAGAUUAAUUCGGACCUCCAAGAGAAGCUUAGUGAUGCGGAAUCAACGAUCAAAUCUUCUAACGACAAGAUUGAAUUUUUGGAGCAUCAAUUUCAUGAAUCGCACAAGUCCAAUCAAGUCUUGACCAACCAAGUUCGUCAACUCCAAUCCGAUCUUCAACAAUUUUCUUCGGGAUCAAAGAAGUUGGACAAAAUGCUUGGAUUGGGUCAAACGAGCAAAUUGGGCCUUCGAUAUGAACGAACAUAUGUUGAGAAGGAUCAAACGGCGACAUCUAAACUCUCAACAACUUAGAAAGAGAAAGUGUGUCAUAAAUGUGGCAUCAAAGGACACAUCAAAAGGAAUUGCCCAAACAAAAAUGGCAAGUCACAAUUGGCAAAUUCAAAACAUCCAUCGGCGUCAUCUACUAUUCGACAUCCCCCACAGAAUCAAAAGCAAAAUAAUUUAAGUCAAGUACCUCAAAAGAAUCGGAUCUUACCUAAGCCACAAGCGAACCGGUCUUCUAAUGCACAACGCCAAGUUCAUGCAAAACAGGUGCACAAGCCUCAACCGAAGAAAACACCAACGGUUGAUCAAAAGUCUAAGCAAACGACACCUAACGUCGAUAAGUCGAGAAAACUAACGAUCCGACAAGUUUGGAUCCGGAAAGGUGAUAUCUUUCCUUGCUCCUCGUCUUAGUCAUUUUUUAUUUUUAGUGUAAUGCUUUGAUUGGUGCUUGUUGUUUAUUUUUAUUCAUUGCAUUACAUGGUUGAAUGAUUUUUGGUGCAUUGAAUUUUUGUUUAUUUAAAAAUUAUUUUGAGGAAGAGGUGUUUGGGAAUUUCAAAAUCUUUGAGAAAGGAGAUGAUUGAGAAUUAUUUUUUUGGAGAGAAAGUUUUUUUUAAGAUUGUUUAAACGGGUCUUAUCUUCAUAAUCAUAUUAAGUUAAAUUCAUAUUAAUUAUCGUCUUUACUCCAGUAUUUAUUAUUUUGACGAUAAUUUAUUAUAUGAUUUCUUAUUGCAUAAAUUCAUCAAAAUUUUGAAAUCCAAAAUUUGAUUUUGUGGUGAUUAAUUCAUCUUAGUUGUGAGUGUUGGAUAUGAUGAAUGGAUAUUCUCUAAUUGACUAAAAUUCAUCAAAAUUAUUUUCAACUGUGAGAUUGUCUAAUUUAGGGGGAGUUUGAAAUUGUUUAAAAAUAAAAAAGGAGGAGAAAAAGAAACUCCUAUAUGUAAAAGAUGUGGAAAGAGUUACAUCCUAAAAGGAGUGUGAAAACUACCACCACAUGUAGGAAAGAGCUACCACCCCGGUCGUCCGGCAAGUGUGUGAAGUUACCACAUGAAGAUUAAAUUGGAUAAGCCGAAAAAGGUUGGAAAAAUAUAAAUAUUUUAGAAUUUUCGGAGUAAUAAGGUGCUAGUUUGAAAAAGAUGCUCAAAGAGCCACCCCUGGUGCCAUAUUAGUUAAAUCUCUAUUUUGAAUGUAUUGCAACAAAUUGGUGUCAAUUUUGUUGAAUUUCUAAAAAUCAUUUUUCAUCAACUUACAUCUUGAUGUUUUUGAAUCAUUAAAUUAUUUUUGAUUUUGAAAUUUUGAUGUUUUGAUGUGUUUUGAAAUUUUAUAAUAACUUAUUUUCAUUACAAUGAUUUUUGGAGUAAAAGCCUUAACUAUAUGAAUUUAAUUUAAAUGUGAUGGAUUUUUAAAGUAUAUUUUCGAAAAAAAAAAAUUUCACAUUUUGGUCCUUGUACCGGAACAAGAACCCGUGCACCGGCACAAGGUCUGCGGCCGAGCGGAAUAUAACCGGAUAUAACGCUUCGAUCUUUCUCAAAACUCAAUCGUUUUCCAAAAUUUUUGGUUCUGUGAGCUCCAGAGACUCUCUUUCAUUUGUUCUACACAUUUUCCCUGUGGAUUUGUAAGUUUUUAGCAUCAAAUUUGUGAGUUUUAUCCCGAUUUUGCUAUUUUCAUUAUUUUUGCGGGAUUAGGGUUUGAUCUCUGUUCUAAUCUGUUUUUGAUGCAAUUUUUUGCUAUAGAUCAGUGACUUAGGUUAUUAUCUUGCUUGUAGAACACUUGAACAACAUCAAAACAAGUUAUUUUUCGCUGAUCUAAAAUUUAUGUUCUAAUGUGCAUGUAAUUUCGGGAUUUUUCAAAAAGUUCGAUUUUUGUUGAAAUAUUUUGCAUGAUCUGGUUAGAAAUAGCUUUUGUAUGCAUUCUAAUGUAUUUAAAAAUUUUUUCGCUAUUUUUACAGAUUUUUUUCCAGAAAUUAUGUUCAUAUAUGCAAUUUUUGAUAUAGGAAAAUGGCAUUUUUGCUCGUACUGGUGCUUUUGGUGCUCAUGGCUGGGAGACGAAGCCGUGGUAGUGGUAGAGGUCGUCAUGGGGUUUCUAAAAGGACACGCACAACUGAAGAAGCAUCCGGGUCUGAUCCGGAUUAUCAGGAGAGCUCCCCUGAAGAAUCUGAAGAACCUAUUGCGCAACUUGACAAAGGCAAAGGUUUAGCUGGCGAAUCAUCUCACGGAGGUGGUUCUCGUACUCGUGAGGGACGUUCAAAACAAGCUGCAGAAGUUCCUCCAGCAAGGCGAAGGUUGUUUGCAUCAAAGUCGUGCAUAGCUGAACGCUUUGUGAACUUCCAUGAUCUGAUUCGAGAGGUUCCUGAUUUUGGACGAUUAUUACAGCGCGCGCCUAUUGAGCCUGUUGGACGGGUCCCUGCAAAGGCUUUUUUCUGUGUAGAACUUAUUAGGGAGUUUUAUAUGAAUGGAAAGGUGCUUGCUGAAGAUGAUGAAACAGGCACUUUUAUCUUCGAGACUGUUGUGCGUCAGAGGAGAUUUCCAGUUACUCCCUAUGAUAUUGGAGAGAUCUUGGGGAUGCAUGUUGUCACUUCAGGUAUUCUCUAUACUUCAGGAGGAUUUCAAGCAUCAACUCACCUGGAUAUCGUUCUUGGAGCUAUAUGUAAAGCCGGUGUUUACAUGACUCAUGGUUACAUUGAAUCCAAGGACUUAUUACCUGAGUAUCACUUGCUAUCCUUGGUUAUGAGCUACAAUGUUCAACCAACUAUCGGUACAAAGAGGAUCCGCUGGGAUAGAUUAGUGUUGCUAUAUCUACUUGGUCAUCCCGAGCAGGCUCGUGGGUUGAACAUCAAUAUUCCAUUUCUGAUCUGGCAAAGGAUGAUUCACGUAAUUCAGGGUGCCACUCGACGAGAUCUACUACCAUUCCCUGUUCUGAUUACGAGAAUUCUUCAAGCAAAUGGAGUGGAUACAUCUUGUGACAAAUAUGAUGUUGGCCUUGGGCCUAUUGACUCAGUGACUUGGGCUAAGUUUGUUAGCACUCUCAAGUCAUUUCAUCAGACCAAAGGGGCAUCUCCUGAAGCAUCUAGUCCAGCACCUCCACCGAGAGCAGCUUCUAGCUCUGCUCCUCCGCCUACAUCUCGAGGAAGUUAUGAUACUUCAUCUAGUUCGGAGGAAGCGACGACAUUGGAAUCAGUUAAGAAAGAUUUGCGAAAGUUAAAGAAGAAGGUGACAACAUUGGAAGGAAAGUUGAGUCCGGCAUAAAAAAGUUUGAGUUAAGUAUCAAAAGGUUGAUGGAUAAGAUGGGGUGUAGACAUGAUGAUAUUUGGGAACCUACUCCAUCUUCUACUUAGUAUCAGCGGUCAUCUUCACGACAUCCUCUCAUUCCACCGUCUGGUGAUGCUCCUGAGGCUGGAGGUUCUGGAGCUGGUGCUGGAGAUGAUGAUGAUGAUGAGGACACGGAGUGAUUUCUUCGUCGAGCUUAGUCUUUUUCUUUCACUGCAUUUGAUGUUUAGGACGAUGUUUUAGAUUUCCUUGCUUAUCUUUCUGUAGUAUGUUUUUACUUUUGUUUUAGGCCUGUAACUAUGAGUAGACUACUCUCAUAUUUUUCUAGUAUGUUUUCUCUCUUUAUUUGCUUUCUUUUGGCAAUUUUUGACAAAAAUGGGGAGAGCGUAGAUGAAGGGGGAGAGCAUGGAUGAACAGGCAUUGAACUGAAGCAGAGGAUGAUGAGUUCAAGAACAAAGGGGGAGAUGUGAACAAAGGGGGAGAAGGUAUAAGAAUUUAGUGCUAAUCAUUUUUGAAUGAAGUGUUUUGCAGGAAAUCAAGACUUCAAGACUCCUAGUUGCGUCUAAGUCAUAGAGUCUGUUUUAGGAAUUUUGAUGUAAUUUUGAGUUUUCAAAUUGUAUUUGGAUUACACGCGAGGGGUUCGAUGUUUUGGUGAUGACAUUGAACUUCGUUUUUUCUUUAGAUUGUAAUUUGUGAGUUUAUGUGUGUUUUGUUACGAAAUUGCCAAAGGGGGAGAUUGUUAGGUCCUAUGUGUUGGCAAGUUUCGUGGGUCGAGUCGGAGUCUUGAAGAAGUUCGGAGCGGAGUAUUGAAGUUCGUUUUUUCUUUAGAUUGUAAUUUGUGAGUUUAUGUGUGUUUUGUUACGAAAUUGCCAAAGGGGGAGAGUGUUAGGUCCUAUGUGUUGGCAAGUUUCGUGGGUCGAGUCGGAGUCUUGAAGAAGUUCGGAGCGGAGUAUUGAAGAUCGAAGAAUCCAAGACUUCGAAGAAUCGGAAAGGACGCAAAACACGUAAAACAUGAAUCACGAUGCUUAGGUAAGCUUUAAAUCUUGUUUAUGGUGAUUCAUACUUAAUUAUAGAUCUUAGAAUCAUGUUUUCAAGUUGUAAUUGAUUAGAAAGUUUCUAAGAGUUUGUAAAAUCCAAAACAAUGCAUUUUCAGCGAAAAUUGCAUUGCUGUACCGGUACAAGGCUUUUCUGUCCAGGGUACAGCCAUCAACGUUGCGCAGAAAGUUUGAUGGUUGUUCCGGUACAAGCUUCAUGCUGUACCGGUACAAGCCCUGUUCCGGAACAAGCUAAAGCUAUCCAGGGUACAGGAGCUUCGCAGAAAAAUCUUCCGUCAUGGUGUACCCUGGACAACAUUCCUUGUUCCGGUACAAGGUGCUGUUUUUGGAAAGAAACUUUCUAAUUCGACUCCAAUUGAUUCUAAAGUCUAUAAAUAAGCUAUUGGGCUUCUCUAACACAUCAAGCAUCAUAAGAAUACAUGUUUGAGAAACCCUAGAGGCUCGGAUUUCAUUCUAAACCUAUUUUCUACAAAUUAGCCUCUUUAGAUCAAAUCGAGAUAUCGUUUCGCAUUCUCUAUAUGUCGAUUUGAUCUCCGCUUCGCUUGGAGUUCUAUUCCCUGGUUUUCUACGAUACUCCAAAGCGAAGGAUCACCAUAUUCAUGAUAUUCUUCAUGGUGGCGUCGUGGAUUCGGCGUAUUUGACGGCGGUUCGUGGAUUCGGAUCGUGGGCUCGUGGAUUCGAGUGGCGUCGUGGAUUCGGCGUGAUUGAAGCUUCGUGGAUUCGAAGUGGAGGCGUUCGUGGACUCGAACGUGAGGGCAUGGACAACCCGUAGGGUAGCGCGAAGAUUCAUAGGAGGUUAAGAGAGGUUGAGUCCGUGGAGUCGGUAAUCACCUUGUAAUCUUUUCUCUUAGUGAAUUAUUUUUUCGCGUGUUGGUCCCGUGGGUUUUUCUCCAAGUUGGAGUUUUUCCACGUAAAUCUCGGUGUGUUUUUUAUUUUUCGCAUUUAUUUUUAUUGCAUCAAGAUUUGUGGUUUUUGGCCGUUCACCUAUUCACCCCCCUCUAGGUGAUAGAUACAAUCUAGAUAGAUUCUUGAGCUCCUCAAAACUUUCAUAAACAAGUAAUGUAAUGUGACAAUCACUACUAGAUAGUGUACAGUAGUUGGACUCUUUGGACAUACACAUUCAUGAUAGAAUAACCGUAUUACUUGUUGAACAUCAUACUAAUUAGAGUCAUAGUAACUUAGUAAAUUAAUACUUGCUUAAUAUACAUGUUGUUUAUUUCAGUUUUAUUAUACUACUCAUUGCCUCCAUAACCUAGUGGUGUAUUUCGCUGAUGUCGGCGGCUUACCCACUGUAAACUAUUAACUAACAGUUCUCAUUCCCAUUGUGUUGUUAUUUUUGUUUACAGAGCCAUCCACGCCGGGAGAGGCUAGGGAUCACGGCAAGGGGGUCGUAUCUAGCAAGUCGUAGCUUGGAUCAUCUUAUUAGGUGGUCAUCUCUCCUUUUAUUUUAGUCGAAGAGAGAGAUAUCUUGUACUCGAUGUAUAGAGACCACCACUUUUAUACUUAGUUUUUAUUCAUGUGGACCUUGUGAUGUAUUUACCUUACGGAUUAUUACUUUGUUAUCCAGUUUUACUUUCUUACUUGCUAUUAGAGAUUAGUUGUAUUCAUUGUAAAGAAGUGAAUUCUCGAAAUCCGAGAGUUGUACUUCAUCCAGGAUCGACUAAUUGUCGAGUGAGUAUCUUCGGGUAAGCUAAUGUUAUCCAAAACACAAAAAGUGCAUUAGAGUUGAGUCCGCGAGAGCAUAUAGUGCAAGACCUGCACUGGGCUGAAGUUGCUCUCGGGGACCGGUCCCUGGCAGAGAGAGACCGGUCCCCGAGGCUGGUGGUUGCUGGGGAUCUUUGAUGCAACAGGUUCCUGGCUGAGGGGACCGGUCCCCGUGUGCGACGCCAGCGAGAGAAGGCCAAAAUAGGCUAAGUCCUAAAAAUCGAGCUCUCGGGGACCGGUCUCUCAGGCGAGGACCGGUCUCCCAAGGAUCGGUCUCCCGAGGAGAGACCGGUUCCCGUACGCGAAAGGUCCCCAGGCCGCGAGGAGGGCUCUCCGGGACUGGUCUCCCCGACGAGGGAUCGGUCCUUCUGGGCGAAAACUGCCCAGUGAAGGCAGGUUGAGAGAUGAAAAGUUGAGGAGCUAAAUUGGAUUUUGUUACAAUAGAGGGGUAUGUAGGCCCCCUCUUUCUCCCUCAGCCUCUCAUUCUAUCUCUUUCUCACACUCUCUCUUGCUCCCUCUCUCUCUCUCUAGAAAAGAAAGAACAAAAGAGAAGGAGAAGAAGGAAGAGAAGAAGAAUGAGGAGAAGAAGAAGAAGAAGAAGGAGGAGAUCAAGCUAGAGAAGGCUUCGAGUAUCUUCCUCUCUUUCUCUCCCCUCCAUUGGUGUAGCUCAAGAGAUAAGCUACAAACCCUAGCUUGUAGAACUUAGGGUUUUUGGGUUUUGAGCUUUGGAAAUGGGGUCAAAUGGACCCCUAGCACCAUUGUUGGUAGAUCAAAGCUAGAGUUAGGGUUUCAUGGUGCAAAUGGCAAGAUGGAACCCUAAGAAUCCAAAAUAGGGUUUUUGAUAAAGUAUGAGAUUGAUCUCAUUUGAGCCCUUGUAAACCUAAUUGGUAGAUCACAAAACGCGGGGGCGAAGUCGAUUUCACGAUUCGACUAGUGGAUUGGGAGCUAUCGAUAAAAUACGGCCGAUUUAGCAUUGUCUCGGACCAAGGAAGGCUAAAACCUUUUCGUAAAGUUCGCCGAGGAACAUUUCUAAAGCCUCUACAUCGAUAAAAGGUGGGGGGUGCCAUCCGAAACUUUCAAACUCCUUUCUAUGUCUUAGAUUGCAUUUAAUCUCAUCUCUUACAUGUUGUAUUGUAGGAUUGCAUAGUAGUACCAUUCCUUAUGCUUUCUAAUUGAUAACCUAGUGUACUUGGAACGCUUGGUAACUUAGAUAGGUGAGGAUUGGGUCGGAACAUGGAUCCUAUGAUGCAAAAGAAGAGAGAGAACCCGAUGGGGGUGUUGAUGACAUAGAAAGUCGUGUUUAAUGUUAAAGAACAAACGAGUGGCAUCCAAAUGUUAAAGAAUAACGAGUGGCAUUAAUGUAGUGUAAAUGACACUAGAGGUUUGAGAACCUAGGGAUAGGUGGAUCCCUUAGAAAAUGCCUUGUGGAUAAAGAACUUAGUAAACCUAAGUACCCUCACAUGGAGAGAUUGUCGAUGAGUUAUUGAGAUAUUGACCCUAGUCAUAGGGCAUCCUCACUUGGAGAGGAUUCGAUUGGGUUGUUGACCCUAGUCGUAGAUCAUCCUCACUUGGAGAGGAUUUGAUGGGGUUGUUGACCCUAGUUGUAGGGUAUCCACACUUGGAGAGCAUAGAUCUAACUCACAGUCUUCUUUUGAGGUGGUAUAGCCAUCCAUAUCCCCAUAUAGAGGGGAUUGUCGUCGAGUACUCCGGAGUGUCGGGCAAUUAGGACUACUUGGAGGUCCGGGCCACAUGGAGGUCCGCAGACGGUCCCGGGCUUGGGUGCACUUGGAGCUCCCUCCCCACUUUGGGAUUGAAAGGUGAGUUAUUGGCGAACCCAAGGGUUUCGCUACAGAUUGGGUAAAAGAACAGUGAACAAUGUCAUGGAACAUUAUUAUUCGAACAUGGAUCGAAUUCGUUAGCAUGAUAGUAAACCUUUACUAUAUGAUGCAUGCAUUCAUUAUACAUAAUCAUGGGCAUAGUAGCAUAGAUUUCUUUUAUGCCUCUACUGCUUUGAGAUAUCUAUCUAUUUAUCUACCUGUUGUUGCUUGUGUCCACUUGGAUCUAGUGGGGAGAUCGGCAGAGUCGGCGGCCGAGCCCAUUGGUAACUAUGGAAGAUAGUUCUCACCCCACUCUAUUUCCAGUGGUAGGUACAGGGUUGUCGAGAGAGGACCGCGGCAAGGGUAUCGCGCCCGACCAGUGAGACCGUGGUAAUAUAGUAGCUUUCCUUUUUGCAUUAGCACACCUAUGUAUUGAGAGAGAUUCAUUGUAGGUGAGGAUUUGGAGAACUAUGUAUUUUGGAUGAAAGAUGUAUUCAUUUAAAGAAAAUGAUGUAAAUGAAAAUGAUGAACUAUUGUAAUAGUUAGCAAAGUACUCUCUUUAGUUCACAUGUUAUUCCUGUGGAUUACUUGCUCUUAGUUGUUGGCAUUACUUGUGCCCCGUUGAAUGUGUAUAUUUAGAAUUUAAAUUUCCUGGGUAAAUUCUUGUACACAUUCCUGUUGUUGAGCCUUGGGCGGACAGGGGAGGUGCUGUCCGUUCGGCGGUCUGCUCGCCGCACCCGAACCGUGCCAAAUUGGUAGGGGUUUCGGGGCGGGGCGUGACAGUCGUAUGGUAUCAGAGCAAUGAGAGCAAGUAAAGAGAGAAAGUCUAGGAUGACCUAGGAGACCCUAGGUUGGUAAGCCCUAAGGUUAUAGGUGCGUGAGCGGAACGUGAACCUAUAGCGAUGGUGGAAGUUGAUUCGAUUGGGUCGAAGUUGGUAAUGUGUCUCUAGUUGUGAUUAAAGACGGAUUCAAGUGGUAUGAGUUCUUGUCUUGAGGUGGUUGUGUUGGCGGCCUUGAACAUGAUACUAAGAGUUUAGAACGAGUACACUUGUGUGCUUCCGCCCGAUUUCGUUGUUGAGUCGUUGUGUGUCGUAAUUGCGACGAGGCGAACGGGUUAAGAUAAUUAACCAAAUACUUGUGUUUCAGGAGCCAAUGGCACAUGGAAGAAGCUCGAGCACGAGGUCUACUCCGGCAUCGCUUCCCGAGGUGCCCGAGCAGGUUGAACCGAGUGAGAUGGAUCAGUUGCGGGCGCAAGUGACCGCGUUGACCAAUGUGGUGCAGCGCCAGGAGACCCGAUUCGAGCGGCUCCAGGAUCUUUUGGAGCAGCAGGUUGCAGCGGCGGCUUUGACGGUAAACGAGGGCGGUGGUCCGCCCGCACCCUCGACUCAUGUACCAGGAGCGGCAGAGGGUGAGGGCAUAGCGGCGGUUCCAGUGACGGCACACCCACCACCAGCGAUCUACCACAGGCGGCGUCGGGAUCGGUUACACCCGAUGUGACGACCGAAGAUAUGGAAUGGGAGCGCGCAUUGGCAGUUCUUAUCAAGUUCAACAAGUUCCAUCCGCCAACCUUCGAGGACGAGAAGGUGGAACCGGAGAUGGUCGAGUCUUGGAUCGACUCGAUGGAAACCCUCUUCGAUGAUUUGUGUACCUUGGAGAGGGACAAGGUGUAUCUCGCCACCCAUUACUUGGAAAAGGCGGCGAAGGUUUGGUGGAAGCACGUCAAACGGGAUCGGCUUCCCGGCCUUCCGCCAAUGCUGUGGGAGGAAUUCAAGCGGGAGAUGUUCGCCAACUAUUUCCCCGAUACAUUGAAGCGGAAGCUCAAGGAGAAGUUUCGCAAGUUGGAGCAAGGGGACCACUCAGUGGCGGAGUAUGAGCAAGAAUUCUCCCAUAUUAUAGAUUGUGUCCCGGAUGUUGUAAAGGAUGAUCGGGACCGGGCCGAGUAGUUCUUGCGAGGACUUCGGCCGGGAAUUUACAAGGCCGUGCAAAUACUCAAGCUCACGACCUUUGCAGAGGUCUUCGACCGAGCACUUUGGGCGGAGCACGGAGACGCCUAUGUCCAGGAGAAGCGUGAGCUUUUGGCCGAGUCCAAGGAUAAGGGCAAGAAACGCCAAGGCGGCGGUAGUUCGGGAGGACAAACACGUUACAAGAAACCCCCGAAGUAUCCGCGCAUUCAACAGAAGAGCGGUAGAGCGCGGCGAUGCAUUGUAUGCGGCGGAGACCACCCGGUCUCACGCUGUGAGCAAGGCCGAGGCAGAUGCUACAAAUGCGGGCAGCCGGGGCACUUCAUUCGAGAUUGCCCGGGAGGAGGAGCUUUACCUGCCCCAUCCAUUGCAUCGGCGCCGGCGCUUCCGGCACGUUAUGGAGGACUCCACCGGUGGCUGCAUCGACGGGACGCGCGGUGAUGCCGCGUCAACCUGAAGUGGCGCGAUCGACCCCGAGCGGACGGGUAUUCACCGCUCAGGUCCAAGCUGAGGAGCCUGCGGAGGCGGAGGAGCAUCGCCUUGUGGCAGGUAUGGUUUUAAUUAACGGAGUACGCUCCAAGGCUUUAUUUGAUAUAAAAGCCACGCAUUCAUUCAUUAGUAGAUCAUUCGCACGCAUGCAUGACAUUCUCAUAGAGGCGAGUGACAUAUGGCGAGUUGAGGGCCCUAGGUCGACUUUUAAUGUCGGAUCGUUGGCGUUAACCAUUAAUCCCAAAAGCUCGAGCUGUUAGAAAUACGCAACCAAUUCAGUUAAAGCGUACAGAACAGCACCCACGGGUCUCGAUUGUGACCCGGCCCACCUGGCCUCACGCCACUUCGAACAUGACUCGGCCGAACCCAGCCUCACGCCAUUUCGAACAUGACUCGGCCCACAUGGCCUCCCGCCACACGGCAGGAUGCUGGCCCAUUUAAGCCAACAAUCCCCCCUCCAGCACCUGCACACAUUUGCAGCAUGCAGGAAUCGAACCCGUGACCUCUGGCUCUGAUACCACUUGUCGGAUCGUUGGCGCUAACCAUUAAUCCCAAAAGCUCGAGCUGUUAGAAAUACGCAACCAAUUCACUUAAAGCGUACAGAAACAGCACCCACGGGUCUCGAUUGUGACUCGGCCCACCUGGCCUCACGCCACUUCGAACAUGACUCGGUCGAACCCAGCCUCACGCCAUUUCGAACAUGACUCGGCCCACAUGGCCUCCCGCCACACGGCAGGAUGCUGGCCCAUUUAAGCCAACAUUUAAUACCUAUACGGAGUGUGCAUUGUGUCCGGUACAAGUAGGCGACUGGAUAAUGCCUAUUCGGACGCUAGAACUCAAGAAGCUCGAGGCUUAUGACAUUAUUUUGGGCAUGGACUGGCUCUCAAAAUAUCAUGCAACGAUCGACUGCAAGAGCAGAGUAAUUACAUUUCGUGAGCCAGGACAAGAGUUCACAUAUCGGGCUUGUCAAAGCUUGUGCUUCGUCGCAACGGUGUCGGCGACAAGAGCAAGGAAGUUUGUUAACAGCGGUUGCACGGCAUUCUUAGCGACUGUGUGGAAGUGGAACGAGUAGCUCCAACGUAAGAGGAGUUAUCGGUGGUGCGAGAGUUCAGGAUGUAUUUCCCGCGGAAUUACCGGGGAUACCACCGGAUCGAGAGAUCAAGUUCGUCAUAGAUUUGGUUCCCGGUACCGCACCGAUCUCGAAGGCUCCGUACCGAAUGGCGCCGGCAGAACUGAAAGAGUUGAGGAGUCAAUUGCAAGACCUCCUCGACAAGCAAUUUAUCCGGCCAAGUGUAUCACCGUGGGGAGCCCCUGUAAGGACGUGAAUCCUCGAAAUCCGAGGAUUUGACUUCGAUUGGAAUCGACUAUGUGUCGAGUGCGUAAGCUUCGGGAAGUCCGAAGGUGACUAUAAUGCCUAAAACGUAUUAAGGAAAAGGUCCGCGGGAGCACCAGUGCGAAAUCUGCACUGGAGCAAAAAUGCUCUCGGGGACCGGUCCCUAGCAGGCAGGGACCGGUUUUCGAACGUUGGCCCAACGAGAAUUGGUCGAAAUUUGGCUAUGUCCCGAGAACCCAGCUCUCGGGAACCGGUCUCUCGGACAAGGACCGGUCUCCCGGGGACCAGUCUCCCGAACAAGGAUCGGUUCCCGAACGCGAAAACUCCUCUGCUCGAGAUGGCAGCUCUCGGGGACCGGUCUCCCCGAGCUGGGACCGGUCCCUCACUGCGAAAAUGCCCAGAGAGGGCUGGUUUCAAAAAUGAAAAGUUGAGGGGGCUAUCUGCAAAAUAGUCUUGAAUAGAGUCUGGGGGCCCUCUCUCUCCCUCUCAUUUGCUCUUUCUCCUUCUCACACUCUUUCUUUUUCUCUCUCUAGAAAGAAAAGAAGGAGAAAAAGAAGGAGAAGAAGAAAGAGAAGAAAGAAAGGAAGGGAAAGAAGAAGAAGUGGAAGGAGAAGUCCAAAAAGAAGAAGAAGAAGGUCUUCUUCCCUCUCUCCUUCAAGCUAGGGCAAGCUUGGAGCUUGGCUUAGAGGUAAGCUCCAAACCCAUCCAUGGUGGAUUUCUCAAGAUUGAGUUUUAUCGUUUAGAAUUGAUUCGAAUGGAACCUAGAGAAGAUAAGUAGAUGGUUCGAGCUCGAAUUUGAAGCUCGCACCAUGGAUUUCCCCCUCGUUGCCAUUCUAGGGCACGGAUUUGGGAUUUUGGUAAAUCUAGGAUUUGAUCUAUUUUAAUAGGUCGCAAACCUAAUUGCUAGGUCACGGAACGCGUCGGCGAAGACGGUUUGUCGAUCCGACAAGCGAGUGCAGAGAAAUCGCCGAAUCGAGUACUCGAGGGCUCGCUUCGCCCCGAGGAGUUGAAGCGACGAGCAAGGACCGCAGCAUCGGGUUUUCUACCAUCGCGGAUCGCCAAGAGGUGGGUGGUGUCCAUCCCGAAGCAAUCGGGCUCCCUUUUAUGUCUUAGUAUUUUGAGAUCUUGCAUCCUGUGUUCACAUGCAUUGUAGGAUAAUUAUGCAUUUGCCUUUCCUUAUGUUUCCUAGCUGAUAUCAGAUUAUGCAUUAGUUGCUAGAUAUAGGGGAUGAUGAGGAUUGGGUCGAGACUUGUAAUCCUAUAGUGCAGCAGUAAAAGAACGAUGCAAUAGUUGAAAUAAAGAACGAGUGGCAUCUAGUUGUUAGUAAACAAAAGAACGAGUGGCAUGUGUGAGUUGUGAACCCAUUGACUAUGGCAAUAAUAACCCUAGAGGAUAGGGCACCCUUGAGGUGGGAGAAUUGGAUCAUACUCAUUGUCUGCUCCCGACUUGUGAUGGUCGCUCCACACAAGUAGUGCGCUCCGGAGUCGGUCACGAGGGAUAGCCUAUGUGGGGUCCCGUGGGAUAGGGAUAGCCUAUUUGGGGUCCCGAGGGAUAGCCUAUGUGGGGUCCCGCAGACGGUCUCGGAUUCGUAGUAUCGAGACGGCUAUGUGAGUAGUAGGCGGAUCCUUGAAUGAGCCACGAGAUCAGUGAUCAGUAAAUAGCUUUACUUCUUUGACAUACGAAGAGCUAGUUGAUUACCUAUUUCAUUGUGCAUGCAUCCAUUAUAUACAUGAUUCGAGCACGGUAGCAUAGCUUACUCUUCUGUUAUUAUAGUUUUCCAUAUCUAUCUAUCUAUCUAUCUGUUCAUCUACUUGUGCCCACUUGGACCUAGUGGGGAGACCGGCGGAGUCGGCAGCCGAACCCACUGGGAACUAUGGAAGAUAGUUCUCACCCCACUCUUUUCAGGUUCGAGUUCGGGUGUCCCGGGCGAGCGUAAGGAUCGCGGUAAGGGCCUAGCGCCCUAGUUGCAUUAGCCACCUACCCUUUCACAUUAGCUUUACCUAUAUUUAUGUUCGAGAGUAGAUGAUGUAUAGGGUGAGGUUGAGUGCUUGUAUUUAUAUUUUGGAAGAAUGUAAAAGAUGUAAUUAAAUGUAUUAAGUCAAAUGAAUGCAAUAGAUAGCAUCUUCUCUCUUUAUGUACUUGUAUAUUUCAUACUUGUAUCUUGCUCUCGUCUUGUUAGCACUCGUGGUGCUCCUUAUGAUCGUGUAUUUAUGAAUUGAUUUCUGGGUAAAUUCUUAUACAUGAUCUGUUGGUUAGCCUAGGGCGGACAGGGGAGGUCCUGUCCGUUCGACGUCUGUUCGACGCACCCGAGGCCGGACCAAAUUGGUAGCGGUCUCGGGGCGUGAUAGCCCCGGUGUUGUUUGUACGGAAGAAGGAUGGAUCGUUUCGACUCUGUGUGGACUAUCGAGAAUUGAACAGAGUCAUAAUAAAAAACAAGUACCUACUACCCCGAAUCGAUGACCUGUUCGAUCAGUUGCAAGGGUCGUGUGUGUACUCGAAGAUAGAUUUGCAAUCUGGCUAUCACCAGUUGAAAAUCAAGCCGGAGGAUGUGCAGAAAACUGCGUUUCGUAUGCGGUACGGGCAAUACGAAUUCACGGUCAUGCCAUUUGGACUCACGAAUGCUCCAGCAGCAUUUAUGGAUUUAAUGAACCGUGUCUUCAGGAAGUUUUUGGAUCGAUUUGUCGUGGUCUUCAUAGGCGACAUAUUGGUCUAUUCUCGUAGUGACGAGGAACAUGCCGAGCAUUUGAGAAUAGUGAUUCAAGUCCUUCGGGAGGAGAAGCUAUAUGCUAAGCUGAAGAAGUGUGACUUCUGGCUCUGCGAGGUCGCCUUCUUAGGGCAUGUGAUUUCCGCGGGUGGGGUUUCUGUAGACCCGAGAAAAGUUGAGGCAAUCAAGGAUUGGCUGCGCCCGACGAAUGUCACAGAGGUUCGAAGCUUCGUGGGCUUAGGGGGCUACUAUAGACGGUUCGUGGAGGGCUUUUCGAAGAUAGUAACUCCACUUACCUGUCUGACCCAGAAAGGCACCAAGUUCAUUUGGAGCGAGGAGUGCGACUGGAGUUUCAAAGAGUUGAAGCAAAGAUUGACUUCCACUCCGGUGCUCGCUCUACCGGUGCAGGGCGAAGACUUCGUGGUCUACAGCGAUGCCUCCUAUCUUGGAUUGGGGUGUGUAUUGAUGCAAAACGGGAAGGUAAUUGCCUACGCGUCCCGUCAGCUGAAGAGCUAUGAAAAGAACUACCCCAUCCAUGAUUUGAAGUUAGCGACGGUGAUUUUCGCCUUGAAGCUGUGGAGGCACUACUUAUAUGGUGCCUAUUGUGAGAUCUAUACCAACCACAAAAGUUUGAAAUAUCUGUUCACACAGAAAGAGCUCAACAUAAGACAGCGGCGGUGGUUAGAACUGUUAAAGGAUUAUGAUGUGGAUAUCCUCUACCACCCCGGGAAAGCCAAUGUGGUCGCUGAUGCAUUGAGCAGAAAGUCGGCGGAGAACCUCUCGAUGUGGGUUACAAAUCAAUCACCCUUGUGGUUAGACAUGGAGCGGAUGAACCUUGCGGUGGUCGCUUCCGAGGUUCCAGCCCAGUUGAUGGCGCUCGUUAGUCAACCGACCUUGUUGGAGAGGAUCAAAGAUCUGCAACCCGCAGACCCAGAACUCCAAAAGGUGCGGCAAAACAUCGAGGAUGGUCGAGGUGGCGAUUUCAGUAUAGACGUCGAUGGCGCACUUCGGUUUCGAAACCGAUGGUGUGUGCCGAAAGAUGGAGAGCUUCGCGAGCUAAUUCUACAAGAAGCGCAUCGGUCUCUAUAUGCCGAUCACCUGGGCGGCACCAAGAUAUAUCAAGGACUAAAAAUGCACUACUGGUGGCCGAAAAUGAAGAGUGAUAUUGGACGCUUUGUGGCGAAGUGCUUAACAUGCUAACAAGUGAAAGCAAAGCGUCGAUUUCCAGCGGAAAAGCUUCAAAGCCUACCAAUCCCAGUUUGGAAGUGGGAGGAUAUAUCGAUGGACUUCGUGGUCGGCUUGCCUCGCUCAACGGGCGGCCACGAUGCAAUUUGGGUAAUUGUGGACCGAUUGACGAAGUCGGCUCACUUCUUGCCGAUCCACACCACGUGGUCAGGUGACAAGUUAGCGCAGGUAUACCUCGACGAGAUAGUGAGACUGCAUGGUGUGCCGAAAUCGAUCAUGUCGAAUCGUGACCCCCGGUUCACUUCACACUUCUGGAAGAGCCUGCAGGAAGCCCUUGGCACACGGCUCGACUUUAGCACCGCAUUCCAUCCUCAGACCGAUAGGCAAACGGAGAGAACCAUUCAAACUCUGGAGGACAUGUUCCGAGCGUGUGUCAUCGACUAUAAGGGAAGUUGGUGUGAUCACCUACCUAUGGCCGAGUUCGCCUACAACAACAGUUAUCAUGCUAGUGUGGAGAUGGCACCGUUCGAGGCUCUCUAUGGGCGGACGUGUCGGUCUCCUAUACACUGGAGCGAUGUGGGUGAGCGUGCAGAGUUCGGCCCUGCUGUGUUGCGAGAAGCGGAUGAGAAAGUCUGCCUUGCUCGCAAAAGAUUGCUCACGGCGCAGUCCAGACAGCAAAGCUACGCAGACAGGCGCCGUCGAGAUAUCGAGUUCGCUGUGGGCGACCGUGUAUUCUUAAAAGUUUCACCGAUGCGGGGUGUGAAGCGGUUUGGAGUGCAGGAAAAAUUGAGUCCCCGAUACAUUGGACCCUAUGAAAUAUUGGAGCGAGUUGGCACGAUGGCUUAUCGACUCGCUUUGCCGCCGAAGCUCGCGGAUGUACACAAUGUGUUCUAUGUCUCCAAUCUCCGCAAAUAUAUUCACAACCCCGAGCACGCAAUGCUAUAUGAGCCACCGGAGCUUCAAGAAGACUUGAGCUGUGAAGAGUUUCCGGUAGAGAUGAUCUCCCGAGAGGUGCGAAGGUUGAGAAAUCGAGAAAUUCUCUAUGUGAAGGUAAGGUGGAGCAAUCACGAUGAUUGCGAGGCCACCUAGGAACUCGAGGAUUUGAUCAGAAAGCACCAUCCUCAUCUAUUUGAGGAGUAAGGUAUGGGUUUAAAUUAAAAUUAGAAAUUAGUUCGUUUCGAGGACGAAACUUCUUUUAAGGAGGGGAGGAUGUAAGGAAGUGAAUUCUUGAAAUCCGAGAAUUGUACUUCAUCCAGGAUCGACUAAUCGUCGAGUGAGUAUCCUUUGGGAAAGCUAAAGUUAUCCAAAACACAAAAAGUGCAUUGGAGUUGAGUCCGCGAGAGCAUAUAGUGCAAGACCUGCACUAAGCUGAAGUUGCUCUCGGGGACCGGUCCCAGGCAGGGAGAGACCGGUCCCCGAGGCUAGUGGUUGCUGGGGAUCUUUGAUGCAACCGGUCCCUGGCUGAGGGGACCGGUCCCCGUGUGCGACGCCAGCGAGAGAAGGCCAAAAUCGGCUAAGUCCUGAAAAUUGAGCUCUCGGGGACCGGUCUCUCAGGCCAGGACCGGUCUCCCGAGGACCGGUCUCCCGGGGAGAGGCCGGUUCCCCUACGCGAAAGGUCCCCAGGCCGCCGGGAGGGCUCUCGGGGACCGGUCUCCCCGACGAGGGACCGGUCCCUCUGGGCGAAAACUGCCCAGUGAAGGCAGGUUGAGAGAUGAAAAGUUGAGGGGCUAAAUUGGAUUUUGUUACAAUAAAGGGGUAUAUAGGCCCCCUCUUUCUCCCUCAGCCUCUCAUUCUCUCUCUUUCUCACACUCUCUCUUGCUCCCUCUCUCUCUAUAGAAAAGAAAGAACAAAAGAGAAGGAGAAGAAGGAAGAGAAGAAGAAGAAAGAGAAGAAGAAGAAGAAGAAGAAGGAGGAGGAGAUCAAGCUAGAGAAGGCUUGGAGCAUCUUCCUCUCUUUCUCUCCUCUCCAUUGGUGUAUUUCAAGAGGUAAGCUACAAACCCUAGCUUGUAGAACUUAGAAUUUUUGGAUUUUGAGCUUUGAAAUUUGGGUCAAAUGGACCCCUAGCACCAUUGUUGGUGGAUCAAAGCUAGAGUUAGAGUUUCAUGGUCCAAAUGGCAAGAUGGAACGCUAGGGCUCCAAAAUAGAAUUUUUGGUAAAGUAUGAGAUUGAUCUCAUUUGAGGCCUUGUAAACCUAAUUGGUAGGUCACAAAACGCGGGGGCGAAGUCGAUUUCACGAUUCGACUAGUGGAUUGGGAGCUAUCUGCAAAAUACGGCUGAUUUAGCAUUGUCUUGGACCAAGGAAGGCUAAAGCCUUUUCGUAAAGUUCGUCCAGGAACAUUUCUAAAGCCUCUACAUCGAUAAAAGGUGGGGGGUGCCAUCCGAAACUUUCGAACUCCUUUCUAUGUCUUAGAUUGCAUUUAAUCUCAUCUCUUACAUGUUGCAUUAUAGGAUUGCAUAGUAGUACCAUUCCUUAUGCUUUCUAAUUGAUAACCUAGUGUACUUGAAACGCUUGGUAACUUAGAUAGGUGAGGAUUGGGUCGAAACAUGGAUCCUAUGAUGCGAAAGAAGAGAGAGAACCCGAUGGGGGUGUUAAUGACAUAGAAAGUCGUGUUUAAUGUUAAAGAACAAACGAAUGGCAUCCAAAUGUUAAAGAAUAACGAGUGGCAUUACUGUAGUGUAAAUGACACUAGAGGUUUGAGAACCUAGAGAUAGGUGGAUCCCUUAAAAAAUGCCUUGUGGAUAAAGAACUUAGUAAACCUAAGUACCCUCACAUGGAGAGGUUGUCGAUGAGUUAUUGAGAUAUUGACCCUAGUCGUAGGGCAUCCUCACUUGGAGAGGAUUCGAUUGGGUUGUUGACCCUAGUCGUAGAGCAUCCUCACUUGGAGAGAAUUUGAUGGGGUUGUUGACCCUAGUUGUAGGGUAUCCUCACUUGGAGAGGAUAGAUCUAGCUCACAGUCUGCUUUUGGAGUGGUAUAACCAUCCAUAUCCCCAUAUGGAGGGGAUUGUCGUCGAGUACUCCGGAGUGUCGGGCAAUUAGGACCACUUGGAGAUCCGGACCACAUGAAGGUCCGCAAACGAUCCCGGGGUUAGGUGCACUUGGAGCUCCCUCCCCACUUUGGGAUUAAAAGGUGAGUUAUUGGCGAACCCAAGGGCUUCGCUACAGAUUGGGUAAAAGAACAGUGAACAAUAUCAUUGAACAUUAUUAUUCGAACAUGGAUCGAAUUCGUUAGCAUGAUAGUAAACCUUUACUAUAUGAUGCAUGCAUUCAUUAUACAUAAUCAUGGGCAUAGUAGCAUAGAUUUCCUUUAUGCCUCUACUGCUUUGAGAUAUCUAUCUAUCUAUCUACCUGUUGUUGCUUGUGCCACUUGGACCUAGUGGGGAGAUCGGCAAAGUCGGCAGCCGAGCCCACUGAAAACUAUGGAAGAUAGUUCUCACCCCACUCUAUUUUCAGUGGUAGGUACAGGGUUGCCGAGAGAGGACCGCGGCAAUGGCAUCGCGCCCGACCAGUGAGACUGUGGUAGUAUAGUAGCUUUCCAUUUUGCAUUAGCACACCUAUGUAUUGAGAGAGAUUCAUUGUAGGUGAGGAUUUGGAGAGCUAUAUAUUUUGGAUGAAAGAUGUAUUCAUUUAAAAAAAAUGAUGUAAAUGAAAAGGAUGAACUAUUGUAAUAGUUAGCAAAGUACUCUCUUUAUUUCACAUGUUAUUCCUGUGGAUUACUUGCUCUUAGUUGUUGGCACUACUUGUACCCCGUUGAAUGUGUAUAUUUAGAAUUUAAAUUUCCUGGGAAAAUUCUUGUACACAUUCCUGUUGUUGAGCCUUGGGCGGAUAGGGGAGGUGCUUCCGUUCGGCGGUCCGCUCGCCGCGCCCGAACCGUGCCAAAUUGGUAGGGGUUUCGGGGCAGGGCGUGACAUUCAUGCUCUGAUAUUACUUUAGAUUUCGUUAUACUCUUGUUUAUUUAUCAUAUUAUUGUAGAUGCCUUAUAUGUUGUAGGCAUAUGGUGGGUCUAGAAACGCAUCGGGCAGGCUUCCGCUGGGUCCCAGGGUGUGACACAUCGCAAUGUGAAAGCAUGCUCCACCGGCAAUUUUGCCGAGAACGCUCCGAAACCAUAUUUUCGAUCACAUGAUGUCUUCGAAACCUGGACAACAAGUCUAGAGGGUCACAACCAGUGACCACAAGCUGCUUGAGGCAGCCCUCACUGCCAUAAAAGCAUUUAAACCCCUAAACAUUCCACGAUCCACAAAAUUGCAAACAUAAGGCAAGUGCUAAGGGCCAUUAUCGUAAUCCGUGCUCCAUCGGGAUGAAGCGAGAGUACCAAUGGAUAGGUCUCGACGUGCCAGACGUCGUGCUCACUAUCUGGAGUGUGAACAACGGUCGAGGAGCACGCCGGAGCUUCACGAAGUGUUGUGGCAAAUCCGAGGUGAGCACAGUGAUCGACGAGGGAAAGGGAUCGCAGCGCUCCUUUUCCGGAGGUUCAAGGAGGCUUCGAAUGGACGAAAAAAAGCACAAAAGGGCAAAAGAACAUUAGGUCCAAGGUGCAAGGAGCACCCUGGCUCCGGCCGUCGCCGGCGGCUAUGCAGUGCGCGCGCCGGCCGGGGUCGGGUGCGGAGGGGUAGUGGAGCCUCGAGCUCCCCUAUGCCGGUGGCAGGAAGUGGCGGCGACGAUGGUGCUUCAGGAAGUGCAGCCCGUACGGCUAGGGCUUCGACUCGAGUGGCUCAGCGGCAGCUGAGGAAGCCACGAGAUGGUAGCGGCGAGCCGCCUGAAGCCGGAGGGAGGCGGCGCUGAUGGCGAGGGACGGUGACGGUCGCAGCUUGUAGAGAGACAGCUCCUCUCUGUUCGAGCUUGCGCAAGAAGGAGCCCAGCGGUCGCGGUGGCCUCGACGGCACUCGGGGUUGCUGGGAGAAGGGUCGCCGAAGGUGGGGCGACGCAUGGAGGGCCUGAGGGAGUGGCACAGCCCUCUAUGCAAGUCGGGUCACAGAGAUGAAGAGAGAAAGGGAGGGGAAAAUUGAGGAAGUGGGAAAGAGAGGGAGUUUGGAUGGUCGGAAAAAGCGUUAUCAGCGGCUGGCGACGGCGCGCGACGUGCACAGGGAGGAGGGGAAGCGGCUGUGAGUAGGAGAGGUUGAGGGGCUAGGGUUUGUAGGAAGUAGAGAAGAGAAACUAGGAUUUUCUCUUUUGAUCACUUUGAAAAAAUUACAAAAAAACCCACAAAAAUCUAAAAAUUUUACCCCAGUCCCUCACAGAAUACGUAAAUUGCACAGAGGCACCCUCACGUGCGAAAUCGCAUGAUUUGGCACAUAAAAUGUUGGAGGAUUUUUCAUAAUUCAAAUUUUCCUAUUUGACCCCUUCUCAGUUAUUGUGCAAUUGCAGUAAAUUCGUCCAUCAGAUUUACAAACAGAUUAUGCCAGCACGUUCAGUACUUCCGGACCUUCGAGAUCACAUUUUUGUUUUAUGGGAUUUGGUUGCGGAUUCGCAAAGAUUUGAUCCCCUUUUUUUCUCUCACAUAUAUAGCAAUAUAUAUAUAGAAUUUCGAUUUGAAAUUCGAAUUCAAAUUGAAAUUUUGAAUUCCUUAAAUUAUAAAUAUCCCACAUAUUACAUUAUCCCCCCCUUACAAGAAGUUUCAUCCCCGAUGAUCUAUUUCCACUUCCACAUAAGCCUAUGGUCCUCUAUCGCUCAAGUACACUGGAUGGAUGUGUUAUUUAAGCGUGAUCCCCUUACCUUGGUCAACAAAUGAUGUAAUUGUCUCUGAAAAGUAAACCACAAAAGGGCAUGAGAGCUACUACAAAGCAGUUCCCAGUGGAUAUGGUCGAUGACAACCACGACCUUCCCACUAGGUCUACUAUAGAGGUCAAAAUAGUGAAAGAAUAGUGAAAGCAUAGUAAAAUAUGCUAUAAAUGCAUAACUGAAUAUAAUCUAAGCAGAUAUAUCUACUGAGACUGAACUAUCAUGCCUUAGUACAUAUAGUGAAAAGGAAGGAAAGAAGGUGACUAGUGCAUGCAUCAAUGCUAAUAGUAAUAAACAAAUAUUGUAAUAGUACCCAAUCGCAACAACCAACUCAUAGGUCUGCUCAAGCGCCUGCCUAGUGCGCAGACACACUCCCAGGUGUGACGGCACCUAGGCUAUUGUCCCUACUAUAUUGGCCAGCAUUCGUAGCGGCACUCAAGGGGAGCGACCUCUACCUAUUAUCAUAGCGUGUAUCACUGUCGAUCUCAAUAUGGCCUUGCAGGCUACAGUCUAUGUGAUGAUAAAAAAGAUCAUAAGCACCCAAUCUAAUGCCCUCAAUAUAAUCAUAGAGUAAUCUCUAAGUCAGAUGUCACAAUAGAAUAUUCAUAUUCUCUCUCUAUGUUCAAAACAUCUACACACUACCGCCGUGCCACCCACGGCCUCUGUCACAUAAUUUAUGGCAUGUACAAUAAAAAUAGGUAAAAAAAAAUACAAUGACUCACCAUCAUGCAUAAGAUGUCAAAUGGCCUCCCAAGACCUAAGCUAGAAUAUCCAAUAUGAGAUAUUGAUAACAAUUCACCAUAUCACGACUAUUAGACUCAUGAUUCACACAAUAUGGCCUAAAUUAGUAUCACUAUAUGAAUAAGCUGAAAUCCAUACUUUCUACUCACUUUUAUGUGAAUAUACCCUUUAGCAAUCUAUAUGACCAUAUACAUAUUCAUAUGCAUGUAAAUAGACAUCGAAGAAUAUUCGUCAUUUUCGACGACUCGGAACCCACCUCGGAUUGCUAAUACAAUAGCGGCAAGUAAUUAGCCUCCAAUGCACCACUCCUCGGCUCACGUUCCACAGGGAUCCACUGGGAAGCCUAAAAUUAGCGAGGGUACUACAAACGCAAAGAGAGAAGUAAAGUCCAUUAAUUAAGCGAUUCGGUUACAGAAGGCUGGAUUUUGUCAAGGACAAGUCAACUUAUCUAAAAAUCCAGUGGAAGUAGCUCAGAAUAAUAAAGAUGGAGGAACGCGACCAAGAUCCAGUGAUACUCCACUGAAAGAAACAAACGACGAAAUAAAUGAAAUAUUUACAAUUUUCCAAAAUCAACUAAUAACCUCUAUUUAUCUCAUUUACUCUAAUUCACCUCAAUUGUAUUCCAAUUAACUUCCAUUUUCCAUUGUAAUACAGUGUAUAUUGAACUCCCCUACAUCCCCCUCUCACCACCGACCACCAAUUUCAACAUUAGAGGCGCAUAAUUCCAAAAUCGAGUCCUUUUCUGCUUCCUCCCCCCUCCCCGCCGGCCUACGACUACCCUGCAGCCAGCAGCUGCUGGUGCUGCUGCUAUCAGCAGCAUUUGCUACUACUGGUGAUACAACCAGCAGCUGCUGCAGGUGCAACAGCUGCUGUACGUAGGUGCAGCACCUCCAGCUGGCUGCCGGCAGCUGCUACUCUGCAGCAAGCCGUCGAGGGAGGAAUAGAAAAAGAAAAGGGGGAGAAAGAAAAGAGAAAAAUAAGGAGAAGAAGAAGAAGUAAAAGAAACUAUAAAGACCUGGCAAUGAAGCGCCGAUGAAAAUUUGAUGCAUGCGCGAGAUCGAUCGGAUCGUCGUGUAGGUCAAAAUCCUCAAAUCCCCUCUCUUCACUUCUCUUUUUCCUCUUCUCUCUCUCUCUCUCUCUCUCUCUCUCUCUCUCUCUCUCUCUCUCUCUCUCUGGUACCAGGUUAGGGAGAGGGAGCAGACAAGGAUGAAGAGAGGAACCACCAUGGGACUUAGUGGAAUUCCAAAUUAAAAGAGUAUUUAGAUUUUACUCCUCGCUUGAUGGAAAUUUGUGUUUAAGACUUUAUUUUUGGCCUUCGUUUUACACUAAAACUUCUCCCGUUCGCUCAAGCCCUACAAGUGUCAGCUGACUAGCCACCCAAACUGUGACCUCGUCUAUUUGUCAAGUUCUAGUAUUCUACACCUAAGGUCAUUAAAGUUAAAACUCAACGGCAUCAAUAAUCUGUCCAAUAUCAUUUUCAGGGUUACGGUUAAAUAAUAUUAUUAAGGAACUAAACUAGGCUUAUUUUGCAUAAUGAAUCUGAGUCCUUUAAUUUGGUUCUAAGCAUAUUUUUAAAGAAAACUGCAGUAAUAUGUGUUAAAUCAACAAAUGAAUCGUAAAUCAUUAAAAUUAACACUGAAAUUUUAUUACAAUUCAGAUCUUCAUGUGUUUUUCUCAAAAAAAGAAGGAAAAAAAAAGAAAACUAGUUAAAUCUAAAAGAUUGAACUGAUAAAAUUUAGUAACUUAACUAAACCGUCAUUUCCUAAUUAUAGAAACUAUAGUUGGGUUCAGAACAAGCAAGUUUUACGGUGACUUGAUUUUUCGAAUAGGAUUUCAUUUCAAUAUCAAACUCUAGGUUUAAUCGGGAGUUACCUUCUGCCACUUGGCCUAGCUUGGUAAUAUGGUUGCUAAACGCAUCAUUUUUAUAGUAUAAAAUAUUCAAAAUAUUUUAAAGUAUUUUUUUCUUUUAUACUAUAAAAUUACAGUUGCAACAGUUAUCGAAGAAGCACGUGUCCGUAUGCUUCUCUGGAGACGAGUACAGCUAUAAUUUUAUAAUUUAAAAGAAACAAAGAUUGAAACUUUUUUGAACUUUUUGAAUAUACUAUAGUAUAAAAAUAAUAUUUUUAGUCAUUACGUUGCCAAACUAUUUCUUAACAAUGAAAUAUUUUGCCAUUCUUAAUUCUAGAUGUAUCCCACAAAGACCUAAUCAUCCUUCUGUUUGUAGUUGCAUUUAUCAGGCAUGGGUACUGCGACAGCCCGUGGGCUCCUCAUAGUGGGGCUCCUCAUAGUGGACUGUGGAUGGACUGUUGAUGCUGAGAAAAAAAUCAUCAUUCUUCUAGAGAUAAUUAAUAGCUCACAGAGCGAGAGAGAGCGAGAGGGUGGAUAUCUAUAACUUUAUAUUAUUCCUCAAUAACUAUUAACUGCACACAUGUCGCGAGGAGGCCGCGGCGCGGGCGAGGCGCGGGGCGCAGGCGGCCGCGGGCGUUGGCACGGGCAGAGCCGCGAGCGGGGAGCGGGCGCGGCGCGGGGCGGGCGCUGGUGCGGGGGCUGGCGUGGGCAUGGCUGUGAGCGCGCAACUCGGGCGCCGCCGCGGGCGAGGGGCGGGCGCGUGGCAGCGGGGGCCGGCGCUCGCGGGCGCGGGCUCGGGGCGCCAGGCAGCGGGGGCAGGCUCCGGCCAGCUGGUGCUAGCGGGAGGGGGGCGUGGGCAGGGCGCGGGCUCGGGCUCGGGGCGUAGUGUGGAGGCGGAGCCGGGCGCCAGCGCCCGGGCCACGGUACGGCGCGGCGCGGCUACGGACUCUCCGCGCGGAGCCGAAAAAGAUCGGGGCUCAUGGUGGUGGUGUUUCAACGGGCGUUCCACGAGUCGAAGUGGCCUCGUGGACCACCAUGAGAGGAAGGUCCACGGACCUCGUGGACCACUAAUUGCAGAGGGUGGACCUCCUCUCAUCCUCCUCUCUCUCUCUCAUAAUAGUAGUGAAAUUUUUAUAUAUAAUUUUAUUUAUAAAUAUAUAUUUAUUUAUUAUAUAUAUAAUUUUAUUUAUAAAUAUAUAUUUAUUUAUUAUAUAUAGUAUUUUAUUUGUAUAUAGAUAUAUUAUUAUAUAAUAAUUUAUUAUAUAAUUUACUAUUUAUUUUUAUAAAAUGUAAAAUAUAUAAAGAAAUAUUAAAUAAUUUAGACUACUGGUAUUAGAUAUAAAUAUUAAUUUUAUAAUAUUGCGCAUUCACAUAUAAAUUGUACAUUAAAAAAUAAAAAAAAUUGAUGCAGCUUAAGUUAAUUUUAUAUUUGACGAAAAUUAAUUGCAAUAUUCACAAACAAUGAUUUCUCUUCUCAUUCACUAACUGCUAGGGGACUACGAUACCUACUAAAAUUAUUUCACUAACUAAUGGGGGACUGCUAUGCCUACUAAAAUUUUUUGAUGUACUUAUUACACCAUUUAAAUUUUGAAAUUAAUUUUUAUAACUAAUUUUCCAAAUUAAAUUUUAAAAUAAUUAUCCGCAGCAUCGCGCGGGUCUCUUAACUAGUUAGUACUCAAAAGCUGAUGAGUGCUUGUUACGUGUUGCAUGACCUCUCCCUUUCUCCAAACUCUGCUACUAAAGCUAGAGCAUGCACUAUAACAGAAUUAGAUUAUAGGAAUACAUAUUUGAGACACUUUUAUGUAAGUGUUCCAUUUAUGUCAAAACAUUAAAAAAAAUUUACUAAAGCCUAAAUAUAAAGCCUAAUCCAACAAAAAAAUAAAAAGUUUCUCUAUUCAACUCACCCCAUUCAGUCCAUUCAGCCCGAUUACAAACAAAAAAGAAAAAAAAAAAAUGAUCACCAUCUCCCCUUCUCCUCUCACUCAAUCCACUGAAAUUCUAGAUGAGCCCUUCACUCUCCUCCUCCUCUGCCACCGGAGCCAACGAGAUAGAGUUCUGGCAGUUGCUAAAUGUUUAAAUAAGUAUUGGUAAAUUAGCAGCAUUUUUUUUAGGUUAUACCGACAUUUUUAAACUGUCACUAUAUACCUAGCGACCCCACAUAUAGCAACACUUUUUAAAACUGGUAAUUUUGCCAGCAAUACUUUUUUUUACCGGUACCGAUAUUUAAAAGUGUCGCUAUACACCGUUUUUAUUAUAGUGAUGAUGUCACGGAUUUAAGUUAAAUCGCUUGUUUGGCCUGUACGGCGCUCAUCUUCCUUCGCGAAAUGAGCAAGUCUAUCUCUCUACUUACUAAGUUAGGACCUGCUCGUCCUAAACUAAGAACAAAAGAGAGAUAAAGAAAGCUCUUCUAUUUCUUUGAAGUAGAAAAUUACAAACGAGAAUUAUAUAUAAAUAAAUAAUUAUAUAUAAUAUAUAUUUUUAUAUUAUAAUUUAUAUAAUUUAUUCUAUUUCUUCUAUUUCUUCUAUUUCUAUUUCUCUGAAGUAGAAAGCUCUUCUAUUUUAUAUUUAUAUAAUUUAUUUAAUUUAUAUUUUUAUAUAUAAAUAAAGAAUUAUAUAUAAUAUAUAUUUUUAUUAUUUAAUUUUUAGCAAAAUAAAAAAUAUAAAUACGAGCUUAAUUAUAUAAAGACUAAUUUAUAUGUAAGGUUUCAACUAUUAGAUUAAAAUCUAAUAAAUAAGAUUUUAUAAAUUUAUUUUUUAUAUAUAUUCAAUCAAAUCCUUUUUAACUUAUUAUUCGUUGGCCAGCUCGUAAGCCAGCUCGUGUUCGGCUCGUUUAUUAAUGAACCGAACACGAGCUGAAUUUUUCGGCUCAAUAUUUUAACGAGCUAGCUCGUGUUCGGCUCAUUUACACUCCUAAUUUAAAGGCCACUCGCCACCCAUGAAGCAAAUAGAAAGAUGCCUAGUGGUAUAAAAAUACAAGCCAAAAAGAAAGGCUACGAGCUCCCAAGAGUUCUAAUAAAUAUAUUUUCUAGAAACAUAAAAACUCUAAGAGACUUCUCGAUUUCCGCGCCAUCAAUCUCGAGAUCCGCAGAGAUACUUUUAGAAGAUUAAGAUAAAACUUCCGACAAAUAUCCGCUUUGGAGUUUAAGUAAUUGUAAAGAAAAAUUUUGAAGAAAAUUUCUAAGUCCUGACAACGAGCUCUCUUUGAGGCCAUUACAACUGCAAUAAGCGAUUGAUUAGAUCAUCUCACUGUAAAAAGGCUCUUAUCCAUAUAGUUUGUUUUCCUUUCAAUGUAGAAUUAAAGCAUGAAUGUUUCUAAUUAGAUGAUCAUUAAAAUGGAUGACAACUUCUUGAGGACCUUGUAGAACUCGAAUAAUAGCAGUAAAAUGUAGAGCAUUACAGCUCUGAACAACGAUUAUGCCAAUAUGGCUAAAAUACAGCAUAAAGACUAGAGAGCGCUUUUCAAGAAAGAAAGUACUACUUUCUGGUUCUUUGUAUUAAAAAAAUCAAUGGGCUUCUUUCCUAUCAUAAAAAAAUAGAUUAGAACAAAAAAAAACACAAUCAAUGGAAUGGAUCAUUUCUCGACAAUUGAUAUUUUGCCUCGCCAGUUACUUUUUGCAAACUAUAUAUAUGCGUUGGCGGCUAAUGUUUGUAUUGAAUUUUAUUGGAUUUUUGUGAUUUAAAACUUAUUAAAACCACUUGAGGAGUCUAAUAAUUAUUAAUGGGCCUCUUGGGAGCCCAAUUAAAAUUUUCAUGUGUAAUGUUUAGUCCCACAUUGAAAACCAAAAGGGUGUUUGUGGUUUUUAUAUAUUCCCUUGUUCUCACACUAAUUGCUUGGAAGAAAAUUAGAGUAAUGCACUCGUUUAAAUACACGCACGGCACGAGCCGGGCCGGGCCGGGAGCGCGGCGGCACGCGUGGUUCAUACACCGGUUUGUUUUUAUUUUAUUUUAUUUUUUUCGAUUUUAUCUUUAUUUUAAUUCUUAUAUUUAUCUUUAUCCUAAUCCUGAUCUUUAUCCGUAUAAUCUUAGCCUUAUCUUGUUCUACACGGAUUUGAUGCGUUGAAACAAGAUUCUCGCUUAGGUUAUAAAUAUGGGGCGAGAUUGCACGAGUUAAGUAAUAACCCGAGCAUACCUAAAGCCCCUCGUCUUUUUCUGCUUUCUGGAUUUUCGUCGAGUUUUCUUUUGCUAAAUCUGAAGCUGGUUGGGUUCAUCUUGCACCACCUUGGAAGCGUGCCGACGGGGUGGAACGUGGUCAUUGUAUCGCUAGAAAUAAUUGCUAGGAAGCCUCGUACGUAGAGGAGCAAUUUCGCUUCUAGGACAGUACUCUGCACGCCUCGAUCCACAGACCUUAUUUAAACUUUUUCUUUACAGUAUUUGUUGUUUAAUUUUGUUUCGGGAUUUUUCUAAACCUGAAAUUAAAUUUUCGAAUUGGUUUUUAAAGAAUAUUGUAAUAAAAGAUCAAAAAGAUUUUCCAACAAUCUAGAAGCGAAAAUUGUUAUUAAUCUUUCUGUUUCUUUUAUUAUAGUAAUUAAAAAAUUUCUUUAUAUCUCUUUCUGUUAUUUUUCUAAAAUUCAAAACUGUUUUUUGACAUAACAGUAGAAUUAAUUCAAUCCACAUAUUUUACUUUAUUAUGGAGGAUUCGGCAAAACCAUUUACUUUUGAUGGUCAUAAUUUUAAGAGGUGGCAGAACCAAAUGAGGUUCUGGCUCACCAUACUUGGGCUGGUUUCUACUAACUCGGAUUCUGCCGAGACUGCUAAUAAAUCUGCACCUGUAGGUGCAACCCAGAAUGUGGUCAAUCGACCGCUUACUCGAAGCCAAACCCAGACUGGAUCCACUCCUCCCACUACUGAAACUGCAACUACAUCCACAACUACAACCGUACAUCCCGUUGACCAUAUCAUGAUCAAUUAUCAUUGUUUAAACCGGAUUCUUAGUACCUUAUCUGACAAAUUAUAUGAGAUCUACUGUGGUGCUAACACAGUUAGGAAACUUUGGAUAUCUUUAGAAAAUAAGUAUGGUCAAGUUGAUCCUACCCAGAAGAGAUACCAGGCGUCUGAUCUAAUUAAAUUUAAAUUGGUAGAUAAUAAGUCCAUGUCUGACCAGCUUCAUGAUUUUGAGCAUAUAGUUCAGCAGCUUAGAUCUAGUAGUGUAGAUCUUGAUGAAAGUUUUUUAGUUGCUACCCUUAUAGAUAAGUUGUCACCCUCUUAGUCGAACCAUGCAAACGAUCUUAAACACAAUCAGAGAGAGCUAUCCCUGAAUUAUGUCCUAACAUCCAUUAGGAUAGAAGAGUCGAACCGAGCUAAGGAUAAGAAGCCCAGUGAACCUUCAACCCAAGCCAACCUAAUAGAGAAUCCUGAAAAUAAGGGUAGAAUCUUCCAGUCUUAUCAAAACUUUAAGAAAAAGCCUUUCCACCGUAGGAAGUUCAACUCAAAGUUUAAGAAACCUAAACCUGAGGAAAGUGGAGGCAAUUAUGGUUGCUUUGUAUGUGGGAAGACGAAUCAUUUUGUGAAGAAUUGCUACUUCCGCAAGAAUCGACCUUUUGUACCAAAGAAGAAGAAGGAAGCUCCACCUGAGCGCCAGAUAAAUAUGUUGACUGCAGGGUCUGACCCUUCUGACUCCACUAUCAGGUUAGGAUCUAGUUUACCCAAUGUUAACCUUGUCUAUAGUUCUACUGAGUGGUGGAUAGAUAUUGGAGCUAAUGUUCAUGCUUGUUCUAAUCGUUCGUGGUUUUCUACCUAUCAUGACUCGUGGGGAGGAUUGGUGAAUAUGGGGAAUGCAGCCUUUUCUCACGUACUAGGCACAGGUCGUGUGGACUUAAAGCUGACCUCUAGGAAGACCUUAAUCUUGCACGGAGCCCACCAUGUUCCCGACUUUAGGAAGAAUUUGAUUAGUGAUUCUCUUUUAGUUCAGCAGGGCUUUAAAUUAGUUUUUGAAUGUAAUAGGAUAGUUAUAACAAAAUGAGUGAAUUUUAUCGGAAAAGGACUUUUGAGUGAUGGUUUAUUUAAAUUAUCUAUAUCUUCUCCUUUUAUUAAUGAAAGUGCUCUUGUGAUGAAUGUUAUUUCUUCUAAUAUUUGGCAUGGAAGAUUGGGACAUGUGAAUUUUAAUACUAUCAAAAGAUUGAUGCAUCUCGAUUUGAAUCCUAAAUCUAAUUUACCUGAUCAUAGAUGUGAAAUAUGUGUGCAAGCUAAGGAGCCUAGGAGACCUUUUAAAUCUGUAGAUAGAGAUUGCGAUCUUUUAGAAUUGGUGCACAGUGAUAUUUGUGAUGGAAGUAGACCUAAUAGAGGUGGAAAUAAAUAUUUUGUGACAUUUAUAGAUGAUCAUUCAAAAUAUUGUUAUGUUUAUUUGAUCAAAUCGAAAGAUGAGGUUUUAAACAGAUUCAAGAUUUAUAAGGCUGAAGUUGAAAAUCAAUUAGAUAAUAAAAUUAAGAUUUUGAGGUCUGAUCGAGGUGGUGAAUAUACUUCAAAUGAGAUGACUGCUUUCUGUCAAGAGUUUGGAAUUGUGCAUCAAGUAACUGCUCCUUAUACACCUCAAUCUAAUGGAGUUGCUGAACGUAAAAAUAGAACUUUGAUGGAUAUGGUGAAUUCGAUGAUUAUUAGUUUAGGCACACUCGAGAACUUAUGGGGGGAAGCUUUGAUUUCUGCAUGUGUGAUUUUGAAUAGAAUUCCCCAUAAGAAUUCUAAUGUGUCUCCUUAUGAGCUUUGGAAAGGUAGGAAGCCUAAUUUGAAUUAUUUUAAAGUGUGGGGGUGCCUAGCUAAAGUGAAAAUACCUGAGAAUAAGAAGAGAAAGAUUGGACCUAAGACCGUGGAUACAGUUUUUGUGGGUUAUGCACAUGAUAGUAAUGCAAAUAGAUUUUUGGUGGUGAUUUCUGAAAUUAGUGAGAUUUCUAACAACACUAUUAUUGAUGCUAGAGAUGCAGUAUACUUCGAGGAUGUUUUUCCUUUUAGAACUAGAGUUGAUAGACCUAUUCCAGCUGAGCCUAUAGGUAGGUCUAGUAGAUCUAGAAUUAGUGAACUUAUAGAAGAGACUGAACCUAGGAGAAGUAAGCGUCCUAGAGUAGCGAAAAAUUUUGGAGAUGAUUUUUGUGUCCUACUAGUAGAAGAUACUCCAUCUACUUAUGACCAAGCUAUGACGUCUGUAGAUGCAUCAUUUUGGAAAGAGGCUAUUAAUCUGGAGAUGCAGUCUAUUCUACAGAAUCCUACUUGGGAGUUGACUGAUUUACCUUUAGGAUGUAAGCCUGUAGGUUGUAGAUGGAUUUUUAAGAAGAAGUUGAGACCCGAUGGAUCUGUAGAUAAGUAUAAGGCUAGAUUAGUGGCACAAGGAUUUGCACAGAAGCCUGGGGUAGAUUAUUUUGAUGUUUAUGCUNUGGCACAAGGAUUUGCACAGAAGCCUGGGGUAGAUUAUUUUGAUGUUUAUGCUCCUGUAGCUAGGAUUACCUCUAUUAGAGUGUUGAUUGUCUUGGCCUCUAUCCAUGGUUUGAUUGUUCAUCAAAUGGAUGUUAAGACAACUUUUCUGAACGGUGAUUUAGAUAAAGAGAUUUAUAUAAAGCAACCUGAAGGUUUUAUAGUUUCUGGACAUGAAAACAAAGUGUGCAAGUUGAAUCGUUCUUUAUAUGGACUUAAGCAAGCUCCUAAGCAGUGGCAUUUGAAAUUUGACUCUUUGGUUGUAUCAAAUGGUUUUCAUGUGAACAUGUCUGAUGAAUGCGUGUAUUCGAAGGAAUAUGAUGGACAGAUAGUGAUCUUAUGCUUAUAUGUUGAUGAUAUUUUAAUUUUUCGUGCUAAUAUGAAUGUGAUAUAUGAGGUGAAGAAAUUAUUAAAUAAAAAUUUUGAUAUGAAAGAUCUUGGGUAAGCAGAUGUUAUUCUCAACAUGAAGAUCAUCAGAAAAUUAAAAGAAAUUAUUAUGAGUCAAUCCCACUACAGUGAACAGUUAUUGAAAAAGUUUGGAUACUUUGAUGUUAAACCUGUAGUGACACCUUAUGAUUCUAGUGUGCAUCUUAAAAAGAAUAGAGGAGAUCGAAUAGGUCAAAAUAGAUAUUCACAGAUUAUUAGAUUUUUAGGAUAUUUGCUGGAUUACAUUAGACCUAAUUUGGCUUAUACUGUGAACCGAUUGAGAAGAUAUACCUAUAAUCCAAAUAGAAAGCAUUGGAAUGCCAUAGAAAAAGUUUUGAGAUAUCUGAAGGGGAUUGUAUUUUAUGGAUUACAUUAUACUGAUUUUCCUACAAUAUUGGAAGGAUAUAGUGAUGCUAAUUGGAUUAGUGAUACAGCUGAUAUAAAGUCGACUACCGGAUUUGUUUUUCUUCUAGGAGGAGCAGCUAUUUCUUGGAAAUCAACUAAACAAUCUUUGAUUGCUAGAAGUACUAUGGAAUCUGAACUCAUAGCCUUGGAUACAACUGUAGCAAAAGCUAAGUGGAUUAGAGAGUUUCUUUAUGAUUUACCACUUAUGGAGCGACCUUUAGCACCUAUAUGUAUUCAUUGUGAUUGCAUAUCUGCUAUAGAUAAGUGUGCCUAAGAGAAUAUGGAGACGAAGAUGAAUAGAUUCAUGAAAGUGAGAUAUAAGUUCAUUCGGCAAAAUUUGAAGGAAAAUGUGAUUGGAUUGGAAUUUAUGAAAUUUACAAAGAAUUUGACUGAUCAGCUUACGAAGGGAUUAUUUAGGACAGUGAUCCUAGAAUCGUCGAGGGGAUGGGGCUUAGCCCACAAUAGAAGUUACCGGCGACGGCAACCCAACCUGUUCCAGAUUCAAUGGGUAGAAACAAGUCAAACAGAUAGCUGUGAGGAGCACUGUUUUUAUAUCCUCAUCCCUAUGGCGACAGUGCUCAUGUUUGCAAGUGGAUAGAAACGGCGUUGGUCUUGAAUGGCUCCGAGACCUAUAAGGCAGGGUAUGAUCUUACAGAUACCCUUUGAGGACCUACUAUAUGUAUAGAGUCAUGAGGCCACGACUAUAGGAAGAGAGCGGUUCCCUAAAACACACACAAAACGAUACUAGCGCAUGGCCAUAAAAGCGCUCACCUGCUUAGAUCCUAAACAGCUGUACCAUGUGUGCUGUUCGUGGAAAUCUGAUUCACCGGUCUUGGUUCAAGGCGUAGUCCACCAUCGUGCCCUCGGAUGUACAUUGACAAGCGUUAAGUGAAGGUUCAAAGCCGAAAGGUACCUUUACCGAAUACAUGGUAUAAAAGAUCCAUCAUUCUUUUGAUUUAUUUUGAAUUUCAGUUUAUUUAUUUUUUUUAUUUCAAGUUUUAAAUCAUGUGGGGAAAUAUUGAUUUUAUUGGGUUUUUGUGAUUUAAAACUUAUUAAAACCACUUGAGGAGCCCAAUAAUUGUUAAUGGGCCUCUUGGGGGCCCAACUAAAAUUUUCAUGUAUGAUGUUUAGUCCUGCAUUGAAAACCAAAAGGGUGUUUGUGGUUUUUAUAUAUUCCCUUAUUCUCAAGCUAGUUGCUUAGAAGAAAAUGAGAGUAAUGCUAUCGUUUAAAUGCACGCACGCACGGCACGAGUCGAGCCGGGCCGGGCAGGCGGCAACGCGCAUGGUUCAUACACCCGGUUUGUUUUUAUUUUAUUUUAUUUUUUCUAUUUUAUCUUUAUUUUAAUCCUUAUAUUUAUCUUUAUCCUAAUCCUGAUCUUUAUCCGUAUAAUUUUAGGCUUAUCUUGUUCUACACGGAUUUGACGCAUUGAAGAAAGAUUCUCGCCUAGGUUAUAAAUAUGGGGCGAGGUUGCACGAGUUAAGUAAUAACCCGAGCAUAUCUAAAGCCUCUUGUCUUUUUCUAGGCUUAUCUUGUUAUACACGGAUUUGACGCGUUGAAGCAAGAUUCUCGCAUAGAUUAUAAAUAUGGGGCGUGGUUGCACGAGUUAAGUAAUAACCCGAGCAUACCUAAAGCCUCUCGUCUUUUUCUGCUUUCUGGAUUUUCAUCGAGUUUUCUUUUGCUGGAUCUGAAGCUGGUUGGGUUCGUCUUGCACCACCUUGAAAGCGUGCCGAUGGUGUGGAACGCGGUCAUUGUAUCACUAGAAGUAAUUGCUAGGAAGACUCGCACGUGGAGGAGCAAUUUCGCUUCUAGGAUAGUGCUCUGCACGCCUCGAUCCACAGGUCUUAUCUAAACCUUUUCUUUACAGUAUUUGUUGUUUAAUUUUGUUUCGGAAUUUCUCUAAACCUGAAAUUAAAUUUUCGAAUUUGUUUUUAAAGAAUAUUGUAAUAAAAGAUCAGAAAGAUUUUCCAAUAGUUUGUUGAUAGAUGGUGACGAUCAUAUGGCUAAAAGAUAAAUUCUGCAGAACUCCCCAAUUUGUGGAAAGUUUGUAUAAUUGAACUACUGGAUUUAUUUCUUUGCUCCGUGAUUUUUUUGAAUAUUCAUUGAUCAAGUAAUAGCCUUACAGAUGAAAUUAUCGCCCCUAAGCAAAACCGUAAAGUGUAUAAAAACAUUUGUACGCAUUUAUCCGCUUCACUAUUUUUAAAACAUUACUUUUCCGAAGGCCAAUUAAUUAUCACCUUUUUAGGAGUUUCUAAUGGCAAUGAAGCUAAAUUUGUGUAAGCAAUGAGGAAAACUACGAUGCAGAUCUGGGAAGGCGGUAGCUGGAAAUGUGAUGAUUUAGGUGGAAUAGGUUUCCUCAUCACCAACCAAUAUGGCGUUUGUCUGUGUGUUUUGGAUUUUGCCGAAAAUAUUCAUAAUGCGCUGUCAACUGAGAUUGAAACAGUGCUGAAAGCAACGAAAUUCUUUAUGGAUACCUUCCUAGGUGAACAAAUGCAAAUAUUCUCGGACUCAGCAUCGUUGAUUAAAGUGAUUCACUUCAGGCCUGACCAAUCCAAAUAGCUUAUUUUGGACGUUAGAUCGAAGCUCAAAGUGCUUCAGUCCUUUGCUGACGAAUGUAACGCCUUUUUCUUUGGAUGGAAUUCUCGCUCCACCAAGAACGCUAUACAAGCUAAUCGUCUAGAUAAUUAGGGUCUACUUAGCAAAAAAAAUACACUAUAUGGUCUACUUUUGAGGACUUUCUCAACUCUAUAGCGUCUCAUUCUGUUUAAAUAAAAUUUCGCUCUCGGGCGAUUCCCCUUGAAAAAAUAAUUUCAGGGAAACUAUACAAGGACUUUCUUAUGGUAAUGAAGCUAAAUUUGCUUAUGCAACUCAGGAAAAAUAUACGAGGAGAAUUGUUACGCGUCUAGCAUAGGCAUGUGAAUGGGGCAGAUAGCGUGAGGAAUGCCCCACUUCCCUCGUUUCUUGUCGGAUCAGAAUGAAUUUAAGACUCGUUUAAUUUUUAUCCAAUUUUCACUCCCCACUUGCUGCUCCAUUCGGAGCGGUCACGACAGAAGCGAAUUUUUAAUUGAAUCUGCACCUCCAUUUUCUUGAUAAACCAGAACGGAUUCGAGACGAAUAUAUUUUUCUAUUUUUUUUUUAUUUUCAUUUAGCAUCUCAUUCAAGACGGAUCGGAUCAGAAGCUCCACCGACGCAGAUCCAUUUGCAUUCGUAGUCUAAGGGACUAUUUACCUCACGGUUACAAAACGGACAAAAAAAAAAGAAAAAGAAUAAAAAAAGGUAGAGCGCAUCGCCUACACUGUGAAAGCAUUCCAGAAAAAGAAAAGAGAAAAGAAGUACAGCUUACAUCACACGAAAAAUUAAUGACUAGAAACAACAGGAAACCUGAAAUCUCAACGACAUAAAACGCAAUCUCCGAACGAACAUAAUGCGCUUCAGGAGAAGCAGGACUAAUAACAUCAGAUUUCCAGAUAACACAUUCUACAAAGAUAGAUCCUAUGAACACUUGUUUCACAUUUACACAUGACUACCAGACAGUAAGAAAAUGUUGCACCAUUCGGUCACGAGGCUGCCUUACAAGUUGCCUUAUUAUGCCCAAAUGCUUUGCACUGACUGCAGCGUAUUGCUCGUUUAACUGUUAUCCGAGGAUCAGCCGGCUUUACUUUUGGUCUUCCAACCAUCCGACGGGCACGAAGAGGGCAUGCGACGGGACUGUUAGUGAUUAGUUCGCUGCUUUCGAGCCUGCCAACAUCAGGUAUUGGAUUGAUGGAUGACGAAUAGGUAAGACGGUAGCAUUCGGUUGUGAAAUACUUGGCGCAAUAGUCAUACACGCAUCCGUUCAUGCGUUCGAUUACAGCAAGAGCAUGCAUGCAUGGCAAGCCGGUGACGUGCCAUUUUCUGCACGUACAUUCCCACGUCCCAGUGUUCACAACACUGACCGAAUCGUCAUCAUCACGCACCUCGAAGACGUCGACCGUUGUGCAGCUGACAUUCAUGGUUCGUGCUUUGAUUAGGAGAUCUUUUACCUUCUGAUUUGCAGAUGGUGUAAGCAUAUCACCCCACGUGUUUGAAGACUCCCGCCGUGAGUACAUCAUCUCCAUCAGCCUGCACCUGAUCAUGUCGACCAUCUGUACAACUGACAGCUCAUAUCUCGCUGUGAUCCAGCUAUUGAAUGUUUCUGCAGCAUUUAAAGAGUACUGACCAUAUCGUAUCCCCUUAAAAAAUGCAUCAGACCAGCACUCAGGUUUCGUAUCCAAAAGCCAUUCGGCAAGUUCUUUUGACUCGGUCUUGAUGUUCUCAAGGCACUCAUCAAACUCAUCUACUUUGCAAGUAUAUAUGCACUGUUUGAGAAGAUCGACCAAGGUACCCUUUUUCUGUUCAGGCCACAAUUCAUCAAAUUGUGCCUUGAAAUCUUCAAUCAGAGAAUUUACACAGCACCCAUGGUGAGAGCCCUCGAACACCUGAGGUGUCUCCUCCCACAGUCCACUUUCUCUGUUUGAUAUGAACGUUAUAGGCCGAGGCAUGGUCAAGGAAGUUCUAAGUUGCAUCAAAAACCAGUGCCAGUUUUCUCUCGUCUCAGCAUCCACUACCGAUAAGGCAACAGGAAAAAUAUUACCUUCUCCAUCAACAGCAGUUGCAGUUAGCAGCUUCCACUGCUUGACUGCCUUCAAUGAAAUCCCAUCCAGGAAGAUUAGGGGUCGGCAACCAUGUUCAAAGCCGGUAAGGGAGGCAUGAAAUGCGACAAAGAGGCGACAUUUCGAAUCUUCAGAUGUAACUACUGUGGCUACACUUCCUGGGUUUGUCUCAAUUAUCCUAUCGCAAAACCAAGGCAAUUGAUUACAUGCCUCUUCAACUGAGUUAUGCAGUUCUUUUCUCGCAAUAAAUUUUCCACGCCAUGCCUGUGAAUAAUUCAAAUUGAGUCCAUAUUCUCGUUGGAGAUCAUUGGCAAUAUCCCUUGGACUAUAAUUGGGACUAUCACGCAAUCUCUCCUUUAUUACGCUUGCGACCCAUCGCUGGGAGGCUAGACGAUGACCAUCUUUGGCAACAUGUUCUUUCCCACAUGUGUGUCUAUCGACCAUUUUCUUAAUCAUGAAUUGCUUCCUAACCGGCGAUCUUGAUGCAUGGAUGCGCCAUGGACAAUCCUCAGAGGAACAUUCAGCAGUUAUGCGAGAUGCAUCAUUCUUUACAUAUCUAUAUGUGAAACUAUUUGCAAUGGCAUACUUAUGCAAGGCCUCGCGAAAAGCCUUCUGAUUUUCAAAUAUUUGCCCCACGCCAGUGAUUGCAUUGUACCAAUCUGCAGAUAGUCUUUGUCGUUUAGCAUCCCUCAAAGUUGCCACGGUGGCUGUGGUGGCAUCUGAAUCAGCUACCACACUCCUAAUUAUCCUGCAAAGGACACAUGCUCUUGUGAAUUUCAAGAUUCAAUAAGGGCAUUCACAUAUAAAUACCAGCAAAAUCAUAAAUUUAUAUAAUCUGUGAAAUUUGAGAUCUACAUAUGCCCCACAAAAAAGUGCUGUUCCUAGAUAAGAAUAACAUUACUCUAAGUUGAGGAGCGGAUACAAUUCGUGGGGAGGAGGGAAGUUGGUAUUUUAUUAGAAAAGAUUUUUGUUACAGUACUUUUUACGUACAAAAACACAAAUGUAAGAAAUUAAGUUUUCCAAAGAUUGAUAUUCAGAUUAAGAAUUUUCUAAGGAUAUAUGUUAGUAUGGGUAAAAACGGUCGAAUAUGGUCGGAUAUCGGACACAAUCAUAUCCACAUCCAUAUUCAAUACUAAUCAGAUAUAAAUAUUUUAACUUUUAAAACAGCUAUAGCCAGGAAGUGUUAGGUGUGUUAGACAAAAAAUACAUAUUUGUAGGUUUCCAACAGCUUUACACAGAAAAGCACUUUCGUAAUUCAACCUAAAACAAAAUUCUUUGAUCUAGACUUCAAAAUUUUACUAUAAAAGUUUUACACAUGUAGCAAUCUUGAUUGGCUAGAGUAUUAUUUUAAAACCCUAAGGUCAAGGGUUCAAAUCCACUUCUUCUCACCAUGUUUAACAUUCUUUUUCUCUAUGCUAAAUCUUACAGAUUUAGAACAGGCAAGGAUGCAGACACUUAAAUACAUAUCCAAAAAGUUGAAGGAAAACCAUAUCCAAAUAUGAAUAUGAAGAAUUAUCAUCAUUGUUACUGAAUUCGAAAUCAAAUAUAGAAUAAGCCAAUUCGACAUCCAAAUCUGGCAAUUCGGUCUUGGAUUCAAUCUGAUAAUAUCUAAACUAUUGUCACCCCUAUAUGCAUAGAUAAAAUAUUAGCACUGAUUCAGCGACGUAGAUCAUAGCGUGCGAUAUAGACAACUACCUGUUCUCAACCUUCUUCAUGAUAAAAAUAUCGGUCGUGUCUGAACCAGCAUGAAAAUCAACCAUUCUUCGUAGGUCUUUGUCAUUGGAAACUGUGAUUAGAGUUCGCUUGUUGUUAGGAAGGAAGUACUUGAUGGAAAGGUUAUCAACAUUGCAGUUAAACAUUGAAGAUAUCUCUGAUUUCAGAUCAUCAAGAGGCAUGUCACGUUCGAUAUCAAUAGCAUGUGCCUCUCCACCAGAAUAAGACAUGGAUCCAUCACUGUUUGUGAUAAACUCUCCACCCGCCUGGCAAAUAGCCAGAAUGCUCCGCUUUGCCAUUUGAUCCAAUUUCCUGUAGUAAGGGAGGUUGCAAUUAUCGUACGCAACAUAAUACAUAAAAAUGCAAGUACAUAACAUUAACAUACUUUAACAACAACUAAUGUCCAUAUCUUCGUUUAUCGCAAAAUAAUAAUUUAACUAUUGAGUUUUACCGAAGCAUCAGUUCAACAAGGAAAGCACUCUCAAGUAUAAGCUGGGACAACGAAGAACUGAAUAAUUAAAGCAGAAAUAAUUGCAAAACAUUACCAAAUCAGUCAACAUGAACUAAGCUGCAGGAUAGUUCUAAUUGAGCCAUCAAAACCACAGUUCAUGCAAGAACAAUUCUGACCAAGAUCAGCCAUUGAUUUGCCCGUCCAUUCGUGCAGAUCCAAAGUAGAGCAAUGGAAAAGAUGGGCCUUUUCCUCAUUUCAAUGCCUUUUCACCGUUGCAAUAUGAUUUCACAUAUACUAAAUCUAACUUUAGAUUGACCAUGUCUAUUACGUAGUCUCAGUCUAUAAUUGCAGGCAUUCCAAUUUCCAACCUGAACCAAACCAGUACAUCGCUCCGCCACAUCACCUCACUCUGUGUGCCCCCAAGAGAUAAUGGCAAAGUAAAACAAUACAAAAGAACUAAAAAUUAAAGAAAAAGAAUGUGUAACAUUAAAAAACCAAGACUAAACAAUUUGAAAUUAUCACUAAGCACUUGUCCCACAAGGAGAUUUUUCUUUGAAAAAAGUACUGGCCAACAGUUUCCAAUUAACCAGAGAAGCUACAGUUGACAAGAUCCUUAAGGGCCUAUUUGUUUGCUCAUAAUUGAUUUUUGAGGUUAAAAAUAGUUUUUAGUUGAACUAAAGUUCGGGUGAAAAUUAUUUUCCGAGUUGCUUGUUUGAUGAAAAGUAACUAACUUCACAACUGAAGUUCUCCCACAUUUAGUGUUUGCUUCAUUGAAAAUUCCUAUACUAGCACACAAAAGAGUGAAAAAAAAGUUACAGCAAUUAUUUUGUUGUCAUUUUUUCUAUCUACUUUUCUUCUGUAAUUGACAUUGCCGCUAGCCAGGUGAAAGUCAAUUAUAGCAUUCUAGGAAAGUUGAGUUAUAGCAGAACUUAAUUUACAACGAAAACAUCAAAAGUGUGCAUUUAUUGCCAAAAAUCACUCCAUCUCUCUUUUGGUGAAACAAACAGACCCUAAAGGGAAGAGGCAGUUAGUGGAAUUUCUGCCAAAAAGAUGAAAAACUGACAUUGUUUUAAGGUAAUGAGGAAAUUAUAUUCACAACAUGUUAAUUAAUGCGCCCCCCCACCCCCGAAAAAAAGAAAAAAAAAAUCUAAAGCUUGUGUCUGCUCCUCGAGCCUAUCAUCUGUCACAAGUUUCAAAUGAUGAUUUGAUCAUUUAAAAUGGUUCCACCAUCUUGAUUUCAAUACCAAAGGCACUAACAUGAUUAAACACUUCAAAACAUGAUACAUCUAUAAUUUUACAAAUUGAAUCUCAUCAAUCUUUGCUAGUGGUGCUUCUGGAUCUCAAUGUGGUAUAGAAAAAAUUUCUACCACCAAGGGAACCCUCAUUUUUUCACUGAUUAAAGUUACUAAUACCUCAGAAGUUUAAGAAAACUUAUUCAUUACUAAUACUUGCUUCCUUUGCCAAUCAUCAACCACAACAUAUUCAUCUCGUCGUGGUCUACUUUGUGCGCAAGCAGCUUCUCAACAGGAGAGCAUUCAAAAACAAGUGCAUAGGAAAGGUCGACAAUCCAAUAUGGAUCAGAAUGCCCUGGAACAGCACCAUGCAAGCUGCACAAUCUUCCAUGUUGCUGGGAUGAAUUGUAAUACCAGUCCGCAUUCCCAACCAUCAAACAACUACUAAUUUACAUUAUACAGUAGUUGUAGCAAAGCACAUAAACUUGGUAGUCUGAUUUUGUACCAUUCGGCACGCAUUCACCAUUUGGUGCAAUUUUUAAAUUAAAGAUCUUUACAAGGUUUGCAGGCUGGUUCAAAUUAUAUCCAAUAGAAAUUACUUCAAAUUAGUUAAAUAUCCAUAGUUAUCUUUUUUAAUCUCCUAAAGUAAACAAGAUAAACUCUCCUUUUUUAUAUAUAUAUAAAAUUCAAUCUGAUCAAAUUCAACAUAUUUAUUUCUGUCUAUCUCUUCCAGAGAAAUAUUGAUCUCAUAAUAUCUAUAGUCUAUAAUCGUUAUUCAAUUCAAUCCAAGAUAAACAUUAAUUAAAACUGAAAAUUACGCUCCAAUAAAAAUAAACAUUGAAAAACUAAGCUACACAAUCUAUAGUAAUCUCAUCUAUCGUCAUAUAUCAAAUACCAAAUCAAAUCAUUACCCCUAAAUUAAAGUAAACUAAUCUAAUUUAAGGUUUUAGUCAAUAUUCUUUUGAAUAACAAUAUCAAAUUAAUAUAAAAUGUAGAGUAAUCUAGAAAUCGUAAGAUAUCCAGAACAAAUUUAAAUUAUUAUAAUGCCAACCAGACAUUAUAAACUUUUCAUCAACACCACCUAAAAAAAUAGCCUGUUCACCGCAUGGCAAUGUGCCUAGUUAUGGGAAAUUUUGAGAUGCGUUGCGUGACAAUAUGCCUAGUUAUGGAGAAAUUUUGAGACCUAGAUAGCAAUAAAGAAAGAAGACUUUAAAAACUUAUUAAACACUUAUCAAAGCUAAACUAGGCAAACAAUAAAAUUUCCCAUUCGGUUGGUGAUGUUUAAUGAAAAAGAUACAAAUUUUCUUUAAUUGAGAGCUACAACUUAGGAAAAUUGAAUUUCAGAAAAGUGACUCACAAUUUCAUCAAAAUCCUUCAGUCAAAUGCAUGAAAGAAGCAUAUAAUCAACAGAUCCAAAAACUACACAAAUUUUAUUUCUUUCCCAAUAAUUUCACCAAGUAUUUUAUUUCACUCAAUAAAAUAAACCUGAAAAUUAAGGUAAACUAAUUGCUCACCAAAUUAGUCCUUAAUUUCAUAAAACUUCCAUACACACAAAUCUAAGAAUGUUACUUGAUAUAAAUUACAAAUAGACAUAUCUCAAUCUCCAACAAUAAGGUGGAAUAUUGUUUGAACAUAAACAAUAAAGAGGAACAUGUUAUUACAAACAAAACCUCCUAAAUUAUGUAGUAAAACCAGCAUACUUGAUAGUACUGCUCACAGUUAAGAUGAUUCUCUGGAUAGAUACAUCACAGAACUAGGGUCCAAUAAGUGCAAUAUGAAAAUAAUACAGAAAAUUAAAACAUGCAAGUAAAAAACAAGGGUUAAAAUUUAUCAAUACUCUUAUCAUUUUACCAAAAAAAGAUUGCAACUCUCAUGCCAAAUACUGUUUAUCAUGAGCCGUCAUAUAUUUUCUAACUUAAAGCAUAAAUCUGACAAAUUGAAAAAAUUCAUGUCUGAUCCAUAAUGUAAUCAUACUCAACAUCCUAUGUGACCCACAACGUAAACAUACUCAACACUCUAUGUGAUUUAAGAUCUGAUCGACAGAUUCUGAAAAUGUAUGUGAGCAGCAAGAACAUUUUGGAAGUUGUUAGAAUAGGAACAAUUAAAUUGUUUAUGGAAUCAUAGAAGUCAAGAAUUUUGCACAUUCCACGUGUCACUACAUGCCUGAAAAACAUCACAUUCACCUGUAAAUAGCAAUUAGAAAGGAUCCAAGAUCAGCAUCCCAGAGGAAAAACAUUCUUCAACAUUUCUACACAAACCCAAGGUGCAAGGGCUAAAAGGAUUGCCAACAUAUCUAAAAUAUGAGCAAAAUCAGGGCCAUACACAAUUAUUCACUAAUAAUUCAAAUCAAGUCUAUAUAGAUCACAAGCUUAUCUAAGCUACAUGUAAAGUUAGGGCUGCACAAAACUUAUCAUAAAAAGAAAAAAGUUCGUUCUCUAGAUGAUUUGAAUCAAUUCUAUGUCCCCAACCCUAAUCUCAGGUCUAAAUAUAAUCCAGAAGGUGAUGUGUAUGUUAGAUUCAAUGUCACCCUCAAAUAUAUUAACUGUAAAGUUCAAACUCUGUAUAAAUUGAGUUAUUUAAAUUCAAAUUUGAAAAAAAAUAAUUUGAAUAUAUGUUCAAAAAGGAGAAAAGAGAGAGUGAAGGCAAUUUCGCGAAUCGGGGAUCGUUUCUGAGGAAACGAAAACACUACUUUAAUGGUCUGGCAGUGUCGGAAGUCAUGGUGUGGUCUGUUUUCGAAUGCAGCGCAUUGAAUGCUCAGAAAAGCACGAAUAUUGAAAAGGGGUUUAAAUUGAAAAUUCAUUCUUAUGAUAAAAGUUUCAAUAUUUUAUGCGCCAAAUCGCACAGCAUAGCAAUGGGAGGUACAACUGCACAUAUUACACGCGCCGUGAAGGACUCUAGUUAAUAUACGAAGUUUUGUGGGGCUAACUUGCAAAUUGCCCAUAACCCUCAUAUAAACAUCUAGGGUUUCAUCAACCCUAGAUCACCACCCUCUCCUCCUUCUCAACCCUAGCCGCCUGGGCACCCCUCCCCACUAUUGCCGCCACCACCCUGACCCCCAUCCAUCACCCCCGACCGUCGGAGUCCGGCCAGCGAACACCCUCAAGUUUCUCCCCAACUCUUCCUCUAUCCCUCUUUGCCUAUUAAACCUGAAACCCCUCUCCUCUCGACCACGCGCCCCGGACCCACGCCGUUGGCCACCAGGAGGUCCGGCGACUCUUCCUCGGUCAGCCCACGCAGUCGUACGCCCCUAAGCCCGAGGAUCACCCUAAAUCCAAGUUUUGAAGGGCGAACCCUUUGUCCAGCACUACCGCCACUCCCCGCCAUCACCGUCGACAGUUGUGGACGAGCCGCCCUAACAUCCCUUGGCCGCCCCUUUUGCUGGUUCCAAAUCUCUGACCCAAGAUCACCUUGGGUUGGUCGCAACUCUCCAACCGCUACCUCCUGCUGCCAACUGCCAUUACCUCUGUAAGGAAAUGAAUCCUCGAUACGUGAAAUCCGAGCUUCGAUCGAAAUUGAUGGAAGGCGAGUUCGGGAGGCUUCGGAAAGGCCGAAUACGUCGAAAACGAUGUUUAGAGGGUUAUAGAGGACCUUGGAGAGCAAGAGGAAGAAAUUCUGCAAAGUUGCAGAGUUUUUGUGCUCUCGGAGUCCGAACCCUUGGCAGGGACAGAACCCCGUACGCGCAGAAAGUGGCAGAAAUAAUACUGCGCCCAAUUUUUGCUCUCGGGGUCCGAACCCUCUAGAGGGACUAGAGGGUCCGGACCCCGUACCCGAAAACUGCCCAGCUAGGGCUGUGCACUAAGUGCAUUGUUGAGGGGGUUUCUUGCAAUUUUGCAUUAGUGGAGGCUAUUUGAGGNUUUGCCUAUUAAACCUGAAACCCCUCUCCUCUCGACCACGCGCCCCGGACCCACGCCGUUGGCCACCAGGAGGUCCGGCGACUCUUCCUCGGUCAGCCCACGCAGUCGUACGCCCCUAAGCCCGAGGAUCACCCUAAAUCCAAGUUUUGAAGGGCGAACCCUUUGUCCAGCACUACCGCCACUCCCCGCCAUCACCGUCGACAGUUGUGGACGAGCCGCCCUAACAUCCCUUGGCCGCCCCUUUUGCUGGUUCCAAAUCUCUGACCCAAGAUCACCUUGGGUUGGUCGCAACUCUCCAACCGCCACCUCCUGCUGCCAACUGCCAUUGCCUCUGUAAGGAAAUGAAUCCUCGAUACGUGAAAUCGAUGGAAGGCGAGUUUGGGAGGCUUUGGAAAGGCCGAAUACAUCGAAAACGAUGUUUAGAGGGUUAUAGAGGACCUUGGAGAGCAAGAGGAAGAAAUUUUGCAAAGUUGCAGAGUUUUUGUGCUCUCGGAGUCCGAACCCUUGGCAGGGACAGAACCCCGUACGUGCAAAAAGUGGCAGAAAUAAUACUGCGCCCAAUUUUUGCUCUCGGGGUCCGGACCCUCUAGAGGGACUAGAGGGUCCGAACCCCGUACCCGAAAACUGCCCAGCUAGGGCUGUGCACUAAGUGCAUUGUUGAGGGGGUUUCUUGCAAUUUUGCAUUAGUGGAGGCUAUUUAAGGGUGGAAUGAGAUCUUUUCUCUCAUUUCUCUCAACCCUAAACCUAAAAUAUACUCUCUCUCUCUCUAAAGCUCUCUUUCUCUCACUCUUAAAGGUGGGAAGUAGGAGAGGGAUUUGGUGGAGAAGGAAGCUAAGGAGUGGAGCUUCAUCUUCUUUAUCUUCUUCCUUGAGUUUGGAGCAAGCUUUUGAGAUAAGCUUCUUGAGCUUUAAUGGUAGAUCUUUAAGAUUGAGUUUUUAUACCCUAAGAAUGGUGUUAAUGGAACCCUAGGAUGCUAACUAGAUGAAUGAUACUUGAAUCAUGAGAUGAAAUGGGGUAUUCUGCAAUAGUUGCAAUCUAGGGCUCCAAAAUGGGGUUUUGUGAGAUAAAGGGGUUUGAUCUAAAUUGGACCCAUGUAAACUUAACUGCUAGGUAUUCUGACUCGUAGGCGAAGUCGGUUCGGCGAUCCGUCGAGCCUACGCGAAGAUAUUGCCGAAAAGGACAUUUUCGGCUUCGUUUCCGCCUGGAGGGCCGAGGCGGCAUCCUAAAAUCGUGAAAUCGAGAUCCUAGGAUCGCGACAUCACCUAAAGGCGGGGGGUGUCAUCCCGAAGCAGCUGGGCUACCUUCUAUGUCUUAGUUACAUUAUUGACCUAGCAUCUCUUAUGUUGCAUGCAUUGUAGGAUUGUAGUUGUUGCAUUUUCCAUUUCCUUAUGCUUUCCUAGUUGAUGUCAUUGUGUGAGGUGAAUACAUGAUAUGGUGGACAUGUAAGGAAUUGGAUCUUGACAAGUUGGAAAUCCUAUGGUGCCGGAAUAAGAGAUGAACUUGAUAGUUAUGUAGCGACAUAACGAGUGACAUGUAUAUAAUGAAUGAUAACAUGACGAGUGGCAUAAAACUUGACAUAGUGAACUUAGGGAAUAGGUGGAUUUCCCUAGUUAUGACAUGUUGCAUGAAACCGUAGUGUAGUUAAAACACUUAAAUAUGAACAUUGGGAUAGGUGGAUUCCCGAGUGAUUGUUAGCCCUAGUUGGUAAGGUAUCCUCGAGUUGAGAGGAUUGGAUCAUACUCACAGUCUGUUUUGAGCUUGGAGUGGUCGCUCCAUACAAGCCGUGCACUCGGGAGUUUGUCACACGAGGGGCAGAGUUGAUGUCCCGCAGACGGUCUCGGGUUUGCGAGCGAGGUGCGUCUCCUUACCUUACGAGAUGGCAUAGUGAGUAAAGGGCAAACCUUCGGGUUAGCCAAGUGAUUGGGUAAACAAUGAAUCGCAUUAUUUCUUGAAUAUAGUAUCAUGAUAGCGGACUUCAUUACUAUAUUGUUCAUGCAUUCAUUUCAGUUGAUUGAGGCAUAGUAGUAUAUAUAUGUGCAGAAUUCAUUACUAUGCUAGCUGUUGUUUCGUAUCUGUCUAUCUAUCUGCUUAUGCCUGCUUAGACCUAGUGGGAAGAUCGGCGGAGUCAGCGGCCGAACCCACUGGAAACUAUAUUUAUAUAGUUCUCACCCCACUUUGUUGCAGGGCCGAGUACGAGCAUGCCGGGUGAGAACUGCGGCAAGGGCAUAGCGCCCUAGUAGUUAGUAGUUUUUCCUACCUGCAUUAGAGUACCCUCGUGUACGUAGGUGAUAUAUGUAUUGUGAGGAUUUUGGAUAGUUACUCAUGUAUAUAGAUGAUGAACUUGUAUACAUUUUGAGAGAUGUAAAUGUAAUCAAGUUAUGUAAAUGUUGAAUGGAAAGAUGUAAUAGCUAAAACUAUCUCUCUCUUUUGCUCUUGUGCAUGUAUAGUCGCUUGUUGUUAUACUUGCAUUGAUCAUGUAUGUGAAUGAGUUUUCCUGGGCACUUGUUGUACAUGAUCUUGUUGCUUUGGCCUUGGGCGGAUAGGGGAGGCGCUGUCCGUUCGGCGUCUGAUUGACGUCCCCGAACCGAACAAAUUGGCGGUUGCGGGGCGUGACAACCUCUGACCUUUCCCCGUCGGCCAUAGUCCCCUCUAGCCAUCGUGCGCCUCCCCUAGUCGCCAGAGCUCAGGAAAUGGAAGCCACUACCUUAGCUAGCCCGAGCUAGGAUUUUUCUUCGUCGGUUUCGUUGUUUUGGCCAUCUCCGUCGCUGGCAACUCUCCGAAAGGUGAGCACGGUCCUCCAGAGGUACUGUGGACAUCCGUGCUCACCUUUGUUGCAGUCCAAGAGGUCUCAGAUUGCGGGUUCUGCUGCAACGCUCCCAAAGACCUUGGAAAUUGGAGUUUAGGUAGCCCCGGCGCACUGAUUGGCCACCGUUCGGGCUCUGGAUAGAGAGCGCAGACUUCAGCACGUCGAGACCUAUCAACCUACACCACUGGCCGAGUUUCGAAGUAUGCGGUUUUCGAUAACAAAUCGUAAACCCUAGUUUUACAAAUAUUAAAUGCAAGUAGAAUGCAAAUUAGGGGCUUGUGUGUAAAUUUGCCAAGUGGACUGCCUCAGGCAACGUGAAACCACCGUGUGUGACCUUCGGACCGAUCGUCCUAGGUCUGAUGGCCUUCACGAAAUGUAAUUAGGGUUUCGGAGCGUUAAUCAGCAAAAUCACAGAUUGAACGCAGUUUAGGUUCGGGUUUCGCGUUUAAUCGACAUGAAUGCACUAUAUUCAUCGCUGAGCCUUGUUGGCUGGUUGCCUUCGCUAUCUCGUAUAUCUAGAGACAACAGGUGGACGGUGGAGAGUUCCAAAGCUGAAAUCGACAUUUCUUUUCCCGAACUAGAUAUGGCAUAAUUAUCGUUAAAUGCACUUGUUAGCAUAGUGUUCAUGUAUUUGCUGCCCAGUGUCACGGACAAAAUGUUUUCCGCUGACUUCUCUUUGACAGUGGCCCAACUUCGCUAGCGGAGCGGGUCGUUAAAGAGACCCGAACCCAACCCACUGUGGGAAGACGAAGGAUUUUGUAACUUCUUCCAUCAAUGAUGGAAGCUUAAGGGUUAUGAAACUACCAAGAGUUAAUAGGGUGACUCUUGGGCUUUUGGCUCAUUAUAAAGGUGAGUUAAUGUGUCUCAUAAUGAAAGAGUUAGUGUGUGUCUAGGUUCAUUGUAUCUAGGAGCCUAUAAGUAAUGGAGUUUGGUUAAGGCCAAAACACACAAGAGAGAGUGUGUAUGUGAGUUGUAAUUCUCAUUUUCUAAGUAGUGUAGUACUUAGCUUUUUGAGAGAACCUCUGCCUCUUUCUCUUUGUCAUUUCCCUUUGCAUACUUAGUCGUAGGACACGAAAGUCCGGACUAGCAAUAGGGACGAAGGCUUGCCCAUCUUCGAGCAGUAAGGCGGGCGCCGCAUGGACUUUGCGAACAGAACCGCUAAGGCCGUGACAGUUGGUAUCAGAGCCGGUUCGAGGAGGAACCAUGUCUUCGUCGGAAGCUGCCGUCGUUUACGUUGUACCUAAGCCCGGGGCGGCCAAGCGCGGCAAGAGCAAGGAGCCGCGGACUCUGGCGAGAGAGCCCGUCUUGCUUGACGACCGCGUAGGCGUGCUGGAGGACUCUGCUGCGAGAGCGGAGGAGCGCUACUCCGACCUAUCCCAACAUGUGGGGAUGUUGGAGCAAGGGUUUCAUUUGAUGGAGAAGGAUAUUGUUGCAGCUAUGGCAACAUUCCACCAUCGUCUGGAGCGGUUCAAGGUGAACCUUGCCCGUCACAACGAAGAGUGGGAUGUGCGAGAUGUGCUGCUUCAGGACAUCGGUGCCCAGGUCAAGGAGGUCGAGAACCUUAAGACGAGGGAGGCACUACCUGAGCGAACCGAUGGCGAUCGAGAUGAACCACCAAAGGCGAGCGAGGCCAAAGGUGGGGGAGAUUGCCGUGAUACAAGGGACGUAAAAAGGCGCAACGAGAGUUCAACCCUUACUGCCCUGCAGCUUUACAAGGAGGUGAAGCGCGGGAAGGCUAAGGACCUCGCAGAGGAGGGCCUGAGCAGCAGUGACACUGUCAAGUCUCAUGCGGCGUUGAAACGGAUAGCGUCCAAGCAAAGUGCAAGUCAUUCUGCCAAGGAGCCUGCGAGGACCAAAAGGCGUUCUGCAGCUUGGCGAAGUGCGUGUGCGUGUCACAGAGGACAUGCACACUGGGGACGUUUUGCAGCUUGGCAGAGUGCGCGUGCGUGUCGCGGAGGACAUGCACAUCCGGCGAACUCUUCUCACAACAGGCUCGCUGGUGCACUUGCUCAGAGGGGCAAGACACUAGGUGCUGGUGCAGGGACAGAUACGGACAUUGGGAGCAAGGCACGGGGCCGAUCGCGUGCGAAGGCACGGGGCCGAUCGCGCGCGAAGGCACGACGGACCACGCGGAAGGCUAUGCGGACCGGGAGCGACUCGGCGCGCGACGAGGGCGUCUGUGCGUUAGGUGGGGGAGAAUGUCACGGACAAAAUAUUUUCCGCUGACUUCUCUUUGACAGUGGCCCAACUUCGCUAGCGGAGCGGGUCGUUAAAGAGACCCGAACCCAACCCACUAUGGGAAGACGAAGGAUUUUGUAACUUCUUCCAUCAGUGAUGGAAGCUCAAGGGUUAUGAAACUACCAAGAGUUAAUAGGGUGACUCUUGGGCUUUUGGCUCAUUAUGAGGGUGAGUUAAUGUGUCUCAUAAUGAGAGAGUUAGUGUGUGUCUAGGUUCAUUGUAUCUAGGAGCCUAUAAGUAGUGGGGUUUGGUUAAGGCCAAACAGACAAGAGAGAGUGUGUAUGUGAGUUGUAAUUCUCAUUUUCUAAGUAGUGUAGUACUUAGCUUUUUGAGAGAACCUCUGCCUCUUUCUCUUUGUCAUUUUCCUUUGCAUACUUAGUCGUAGGACGCGAAGGUCCAGACUAGCAAUAGGGACGAACGCUUGCCCAUCUUCGAGCAGGAAGGCGGGCGCCGCACGGACUUUGCGAACAGAACCACUAAGGCCGUGACACCAGGCACCCAAAUCAAUGUGUUUUGGGGCAGUGAAUGGUUUACGGUGUGGAUUGGUACUUUUCAGGACACUUCAUAGGUUUUGAAAGUGUUCCGGUGAGUUUUCAAAAAACUCUGGCAGAUUUCGGGAAUCGGUAAAAGGAACCGAUUUUUCGAUGAUUUUCGAGAUGUGUGAUUAGUGACUUUGGGUCCUUAGAGCUUAGUUCUAUUUAGUCAGGGGUUUUUGACUCGCUGGAUCUUUCGUAGGCCGAGUCAACGGACAGGAGUACCUUGGGAGUUGAGUGUCUCGUCUUAUUCAAGUGGGUGCUCGAUCCGAAGUCAGUAUAGUAGUGCUAACUCAGUAGCAUUCCUUCCCUUCUCAUUUUACUUGAUUACGCACAUUGCAUGUCAAGCACUCAAUCACCACUUGACUUCACUUCUCUUGGCUCUACUUUUAUAUAUUCAUCGUGGGUUAGCGAAAGAGUGGUAUUUCAUUGGUUAUCAUUACAUGACUUGAUACAUGUUUGACCUGUUUGGUCGAUAUAAUGUGACAUCUAUGAGAUUGGGUGACCUGAUUAAUCGGUAUAUUCCUUGUGGUUCCUACGUCAACUACUUGCCGAUGAUUUGCUAUUCAUCAUAACACAUUGAUCGCCAUAGCUCAUGUGCAUUUCAGUAUACCAGUAGUUUGGCCACUACAAUAGUAUUCUUUUCCGAAAAAGUGGCCGCACUUCGGACCCGUGAGCCCUAUGCAGCGUACUACUAGGACCAUAUGCCAGAUUGAGCAGAUUGUUGCAUUGCCUGUAGUCUUUAAACCAACAUGUCGGUUGAUUGGAUACUUUUAGACUAUUCGUCCAGUCGACGCAUCGUACAUUGAUUACAGUAGCGGCUAGUUAUUUACAUAUCAUUAUUUCCCUCCUAUCUUUAUUUGUUAUUGUACUUGUUAUAGUUUCAUAUCUUGCUAUAUAUUAUAUCUCGUGCCGAUGAGUACAGCUUGCCUUCGUCGGCUUGUAGUAUCCACUGGAAAACCUCAGGUUAGUUUCUCACCCCCAGUUUUUAUAGGUGACAUAGGUGGUGAGAAUCAGGACAAUGCGUGAGAUAUCGGAUAGCUAGUGAGCUCUAGCAUUCCCGUGCUUUUUCAUUGAUCAACUAUAGUUUAUAAAUCUUUCUUACUCUUUAGUUAUUCGUUAAAUAAUAUAGACAUUAUGAUGGUUAAGUUAUGCUUAAAUGUUUGUUUUGGAUUAAAUGAAUUGUGAAUUUUGGAUUAAAUGAACUGUGAAUUUAUGGUUUAUGAAUUUGUACCUGAUUAAUCGGUAUAUUCCUUGUGGUUCCUACGUCAACUACUUGCCGAUGAUUUGCUAUUCAUCAUAACACAUUGAUCGCCAUAGCUCAUGUGCAUUUCAGUAUACCAGUAGUUUGGCCACUACAAUAGUAUUCUUUUCCGAAAAAGUGGCCGCACUUCGGACCCGUGAGCCCUAUGCAGCGUACUACUAGGACCAUAUGCCAGAUUGAGCAGAUUGUUGCAUUGCCUGUAGUCUUUAAACCAACAUGUCGGUUGAUUGGAUACUUUUAGACUAUUCGUCCAGUCGACGCAUCGUACAUUGAUUACAGUAGCGGCUAGUUAUUUACAUAUCAUUAUUUCCCUCCUAUCUUUAUUUGUUAUUGUACUUGUUAUAGUUUCAUAUCUUGCUAUAUAUUAUAUCUCGUGCCGGUGAGUACAGCUUGCCUUCGUCGGCUUGUAGUAUCCACUGGAAAACCUCAGGUUAGUUUCUCACCCCCAGUUUUUAUAGGUGACAUAGGUGGUGAGAAUCAGGACAAUGCGUGAGAUAUCGGAUAGCUAGUGAGCUCUAGCAUUCCCGUGCUUUUUCAUUGAUCAACUAUAGUUUAUAAAUCUUUCUUACUCUUUAGUUAUUCGUUAAAUAAUAUAGACAUUAUGAUGGUUAAGUUAUGCUUAAAUGUUUGUUUUGGAUUAAAUGAAUUGUGAAUUUUGGAUUAAAUGAACUGUGAAUUUAUGGUUUAUGAAUUUAUGGCAAAAAUGUUUUGUCUCUCGUGGUAGUAGGUUUUUAAAGGCUGAGUUUUUGUGUGGGAAAUAGUUUUCAAAUGGUUUUUCAUUUUAUCGUAAAUCCUAGAUUUUUAAAAUAAAGUUUCCGGAUGGAAAACACUUUCAAAUGAUAGAAUGAUUGUUGUGUUGUGCAUAUGCAUCAUCUUCGCCUAAGUAGAACUUAGCUGAAUGUACAAGGCAUGCAUCAUCUGCGCUAAGAACUGGUUGUUGUAUGAGCAUCCACAUAUUAUGCUUGUUUGGUUGUGUGGGUAAAAAUUGUGAGUUGUGAAAUGUAAUAGGUGGUACGCCGUGCAAAUAUAAUAAAGACUCUGUCCGCAUGGAUAGAAAAAUCCCCGUGUUUGUGGCGGGUCUAUCAGUCACGUGGGCAAGGUUGUUGUUUCAAAAAAAAAUUGGGCAUUUUUCAACUGACUCUAUUUUCAAACUUGAACCAUUUCUAAAAAGACUUUACAAAAAGGACCCUGGGGCAUGACAAUACAAUUAACUAAAUCACAAAUGUUAGGCUCAGCCUCAGCAAACAUACGAGGACUAAGAUUCCCGAAUUACCUUUCAUGAUUAAAACUUCAUUGUAAUUGACUACCUUUUCAAUUUUAAUAAGCUUUUAUUCUUGUAGACAUGUGAGUUGAUUUAUUUAUUUUUUUCGCCCAAUCAAGUCUAAAUAAUUAAAACAUAGGUGAAAGCCAUAGACAUACUGAGAAAUUGUUGCAAGACCGCCACUAAACUUUCAUUUUCGCCCACUUUUUUUUGCAUACAAGAAUUCAACUUGCAGCAUAGAGCACACAAUAUAAUAUCCAUUGUACUAACCAUCAUUUGUCUCAUUAUCUAUCAAAUUGCACCAAAAUUUGUAUUCACAAUCCAAAAAUGUUAUAUUCAGUGCUAUUUCGAAGCAAUGAAGUUAAAUCCUUAUGUUGUAACCCCAAAUACUCCUUCCAAGAAACCCACUAUAGUGAAACAACAAUUUCAUUACCAAUAUUCCAUAAUGGGUAAUAAGUUCCUGAGACAGCACCCCAAUGCAAAUUCAUCCAAAAUUGAUAACUUUAACAACUACAGAAAAUAAAAUGUUACAGUAUUUACUAAAGUGAACAAACCAAAAAACACUUAAUAGUUCAAGAAGAAAAGUAUCACACAAGAAAAUAAGCAAACAAUAUGACUUCUUAAGAACCAAAUUGAAACCAAGAAUUUAAAAAAGAGCAAAUAUGCAAAACUCAGACAAAAAAUAAUAUAUAUAAUAGGUGCACAAGAUUUUAAAACAAAAGCUUUCAAAAGGUCAAUUUAUAAUGUUGCAUUUGCGUUUUGGAUAAACUAGGAAAAACUCCGGCACUUUAACCUGUUUUUCAGAACCAGAACCAGCUUUCUGGUUCCAAUUUCAAGCAAAUUCAAACCAGUAAACUAGUUAUCAAGUUUUCCUAGCAUUGUUGUAGAUAGAGGUACGCAAAGAUUAGGUUUCACUUAAUUUUAAAUAUAAAGGCAACCCCAACAAAAUCACCAACCAAACAAAACAAAAUAUGUUGGUUGUAUAAUCCAAACAAAACAAACAGAGAAAAGGCAAAGAAGGAAAAAAAAAAAAAAAAACUAACACAAGAUAAGUGAGCACAAUAGAUCUGAAAUCUGCAUGAACCCUAUUGCUUUAUGUAGCUACAUUAGCACCUGAGAAGAUGAGAGAAGGGGAGGCGUUGAUGGCGUUGACCCGAGAAAACCCUAGGGCGUACGCAGCGACGGGGGAAGUGGGCGGGGACAGAGGGUUUGGCGGGGAAGCCGAGAGGUGGAGGUACAAGGGACGAAGGAGAUGAAUGAGAGAGAGAGAGCGAGAGAGAGAGAGAGAAGGAGGACCGAUUUCCAAGCCCUAGGUCGAAAGAGGGGGCAAGUGGCGAAAGUCUCCAAAUCCCCGAAGAGAGAGAGCGGCGUACGAGGGGGAGAGAGAGAGAGAGAGUGAGGGGCGUGGUUGAUAGCCUUGGGUAUGAUGUCAACGCGUCGAGUUUGACACGAAUUUUUAAAAAUUCGAACCGAAUUCGAAAACCAAAUUAAAAUUCGUAUUCGGACCCGAAUCCGGUGAAUCUUAAAAAUUAAUACUCAUAUCCCUAUCCAACCAAAAAUCCGAAUUCCGAUCCGGACCCGACGGGUUUUAAAAAUUCGUACUGCUGAAUAAAGAUCUAAAGAAUAAAAAUUAUUAAAUAUUUUAUAUAUUAUAUAAAUAAAUAAAAAUAAAGUAUGUAUAUAUAUAAUUUAUUCGAGUUCGGGUUCGGAUUCGGGUUCGUGUCAGGUAAAUACAAAAUCCAUACUCGUAUUCAUAUUCGUCGGGUUUUUAUUUUCUAUACCUAUAACCGAAUUCAUACAUGUUUAGCUCGGAUAAACCCGCCCCGUUUGGAUUCGGAUUCGGAUAAUAUUUCGGGUAUCCAUAUCCAUUGACAUCCCUACCUUUGGAGGGUGUUAUUGGGUAAAAUUAUUAUUUUAUAUAAUAAUAAUAAUAUGCAAUAUUACCUGCAUUCAAUAAUUUAAGAUAUACAUAUCUGACUCCUCCCGAUAAUAUUUUUAGUGUAAUGUUGCAAUAACGAACAGAUUACAUAUUAAAUAAACCAUACACAGUAAUUUUGGCAGAAUUACACGUAAUUCUGUUAGGAUAACCCGAACCAAACGUACUAUGUUGUAAGAAAAAAUCUUAUCAAUAUAUUUUUUUAACUACAAUUUAAAAAUAUUGAAAAAGUCUUUUCACCCUUGGGUUGGAGCUUAUAAAGCUUACCGGCCCUAAAGAUAGUAGACUUAGCAUUUCUCAUAAGGGCUUUAGGGCAUAUUUAUUUUACCGAAAUUGAACUUUAGGUUGAAGUGGACUUUAAAUAGAAAUGGAGUUCAGAUGAAAAUUACUUUUCCCCCGCUGUUUGUUUUUAUAACUAUGGAAAUAAAGUUUUUUCAAUUUUGCUAGUUAUUUGGCAUGAAGAGAGUGAUGUAAAAUUCUAAUUAUGUAUAAAUAAUAAAUAACUUGAUAAAUGAUAAAUUAUAAUAUAAUCAAUAAAAAUAAUAUUAUUAUAUUCCUAUAUAAUUAAAAAAAUUAAUCUAAAACAACUAAAUUAUUCUUUUAUAUAUAAAUUAUAAUAAUACAAUAAUAAAAUUAUAAAAUAAAAAAUUAAUAUUUAAUUAAUUAAUUUUCAUCAUAUUUUAAAUGUACAAACUAAAAUGAAAGAAAUACCAAAACUAAACUAAUUAAUUUUUAUCAUAUUUUAAAUACGNCGAGAGAGAGAGAGAGAAGGAGGACCGAUUUCCAAGCCCUAGGUCGAAAGAGGGGGCAAGUGGCGAAAGUCUCCAAAUCCCCGAAGAGAGAGAGCGGCGUACGAGAGAGAGAGAGAGAGAGAGAGAGAGAGAGUGAGGGGCGUGGUUGAUAGCCUUUGGGUAGGAUGUCAACGGGUCGAGUUUGACUCGGAUUUUUAAAAAUUCGAAUCCGAAUUUGAAACCAAAUUAAAAUUCGUAUUCGGACCGAAUCCGGUGGAUUUUAAAAGUUCAUACUCAUAUCCGUAUCCAACCAAAAAUCCGAAUCCCGACCCGGACCAAAGGGUUUUAAAAAUUCGUACCGUUAAAUAAAAAUCUAAAGAAUAAAAAUUAUUAAAUAUUUUAUAUAUUAUAUAAAUAAAUAAAAAUAAAGUAUAUAUAUAUAUAAUUUAUUCGGGUUCGGGUUCGGGUUCGGGUCAGGUAAAUACAAAAUCCAUAUUCGUAUCCAUAUCCGUCGGAUUUUUAUUUUCUAUACCUAUAACUGAAUUCAUACCUGUUUAGCUCGGAUAAACCCGCCCCGUUUCGAUUCAGAUUCGGAUAAUAUUUCGGGUAUCCAUAUCCAUUGACAUCCCUACCUUUGGAGGGUGUUAUUGGGUAAAAUUGUUAUUUUAUAUAAUAAUAUGCAAUAUUACCUGCAUUCAAUAAUUCAAGAUAUACAUACCUGCAUUCAAUAAUAUGCAAUAUUAUUGUAAUGCUGCAAAAACGAACAGAUUACAUAUCAAAUAAACCAUACACAGUAAUUUUGGCAGAAUUACACGUAAUUCUGUUAGGAUAAUCCGAACCAAACGUACUAUGUUGUAAGAUAAAAUCUUAUCAAUAUAUUUUUUUAACUACAAUUUAAAAAUAUUGAAAAAGUCUUUUCACCCUUGGGUUGGAGCUUAUAAAGCUUACCGGCUCUAAUGAUAGUAGAUUUAGCAUUUCUCAUACGGGCUUUAGGGCAUAUUUAUUUUACCGAAAUUGGACUUUAGGUUGAAGUGGACUUUUAAAUUGAAAUGGAGUUCAUAUAAAAAUUACUUUUCCCCCUCUGUUUGUUUUUAUAACUAUGGAAAUAAAGUUUUUUCAAUUUUGCUAUUUAUUUGGCAUGAAGAGAGUGAUGUAAAAUUCUAAUUAUGUAUAAAUAAUAAAUAACUUGAUAAAUGAUAAAUUAUAAUAUAAUCAAUAAAAAUAAUAUUAUUAUAUUCCUAUAUAAUUAAAAAAAUUAAUCUAAAACAACUAAAUUAUUCUUUUAUAUAUAAAUUAUAAUAAUACAAUAAUAAAAUUAUAAAAUAAAAAAUUAAUAUUUAAUUAAUUAAUUUUCAUCAUAUUUUAAAUGUACAAACUAAAAUGAAAGAAAUACCAAAACUAAACUAAUUAAUUUUUAUCAUAUUUUAAAUACGCAAACUAAAUAAAUAAGUAAUUAGUACCAUAAUUAAGUACAUUUAAAUAAAAUAGCAUUACCCAUUGUAUUAUUUUAUUAUUUUUUCCUGCACCUCUCUUCACUGUAAUUGACUUCGGUUGAGGGUGGGCCGAAGUCAAUUACACUGUUUCAAGUAACUUGAGUUUCGACCGUAUUUUUAUUAUGGCAAACCAAAUAGCAGAAAUGAUCGCUUACGAUCGAAUAUGACUUUACCUCUCGCCAAUUCCGCCCAAACAAAUAAACCCUAGGGUGAAAAUACGGAUGCUCUUAUAAUUCUAUCGUCUAUUUCAAGAGCAAUACUAUUGAAACCCAGAAUAGAUAUUAUUCUCCUGCUUGUCACGCCAAUUACGCUUUAAUCCUUAACUAUUAAAAAAGUAAUUUUUAAUAAAACUGCAAACAAAAGUUUAGUCCUUGGUGGAUGAGUGUAAAAUUUAGACCUUUUUUGAGGUGUACAGCUAGCAUUGCUCUUUUUAAAGUUUUGUAAAUUUUAUCGAUCUAGGAUGAUUAUUACUAGUGGUUAUUAAGAAUUGUUUUGCCUUUUAAAAAAAAGGUUUUUCUAAAAUAUAUUGAAGCCUUUUAUUUUAGAUCAAAAUAGACAAACAACAAAGUGGAAUAAAAAUAAGUAAAUAACAAAUAAUAUAAAGACGCUUUAAAAAAUAUAUAUUGAAGGGUAAGAGUUAUUGUAUAGAAUAGAAGUUCAAUUAGAUUGUCGGUGAAAACAUACAUAAUUUAUCUAAACUAUGGACCAAUUUGAAUUAGCUACCCAACCUUUCAAAAAUUUGAUUUCACUAUCCAAACUUUCGAUUUAUUUGAUAACAAUACUUUGACUUAAAAUUUAAGCUAAUUAUUUACUUUAAUAAAUUUAAUUAAUGCAUCGAACUUUGCUAAGUUAGCAAUGUGCGGAUUAAAGUCAUGCUGAAUAUAAUUAAACGGGUUUGGAGAAGCUUAGGCUGAGUUGGAUUGAAUUGAAAUCAAUUUGGAUAGAAAAUGUAGUUUCGAAAGAAAACUUUUCGGAUCCCUGGAACAAGUUUCAGGGCGCCCUAAACCAUUUAGGACUGUCCGAUCAAGCGCCGAAACAAGUGGAUGGUCUACUCGAGAGUUGAGCUCAUGCAGCGGUUAGUUUUCGAGUGUCCAAAUAGCCCCUGUGGGUGUUAGAAACCCUCUUCGAUGUCUCUUGAGGGUGUCCGAACCCUUUCCUAAUGCUCUAUCCAAUAGCUUGGGUGCACAAACAAUAAAGCAUUCAUGCAUCCAAAUAGUCCUAGGGUGCCCAAAACACGUUGCGGAUGAUUUGCAUGGUCAAUCCGAGAGCAGAGAUUGCGCGGCUCAUUAAAUAAGCGAGCAUCCGAUUUGCCCUGCAGGUGCUCAAAACUAGUUUUUGGCAGACUGGGCUGGUGCCCAGAGCAUCUUCUAGGUGCUAUUACAUGAAGCGCUAAAGGGCUUCAAGCUUGCAGGUGCCCGAAAGGUCGAGCGAGCACUCGAAGCCUAGCGCAAAUGCUAUGUCUUAUUUAUUUGCAGGUAAAAAAAAAAAUUGGGAGGUUUAAGUGCAAAUGUGACACUUCUAUAUAAACCUUUUUUACAGCUUGCUGCAAGCCGAAUUCUUCAACUGCUGAUCCAGUCAAAGAACCUCCUUCGAGAAGUGUGCGAGGAGAUGGAACGGCUAUGAAUAAUGACCCUCGAAGUUCACGUCUUUCGUUGGAUCAAGCGAUUCGGUUGAUGGGAUCAGACCAACCAAGUUUGACUCAAUACAAUAAAUUCAAUUCGGCUGGAUCAGUCGAGUGUACGAACUGCACAGGGAUUUCUGGUUUGGCUGAAGAGUCGAAUGAGGCUUAUAUUGCUAAAGUUCAAAAAAUGUUUACAAGACAGGAUAAAAGAAAAUUCUACUCUACAAACUACUCCUAGAAAAAACAGUAGAUGCGGGAGAAUGAAAAGGUUACAAGUAAACUACUCCUAGAAAGCAAGAAAAAUGUGUGGAAUUGAAAGUGGUCUUCUUGCUCGUAGGGGAAAAAGACCUCUCUUCCGGGCGCUAUCUAUUUAUUUAUAUUCCGCCUAUUGUUAUUUAGUUAUUUACAUGAUCAGUCGCUUCCCUGAUUUCGUGGGCCACUAUGGGCCGAUUCCAACCGCAUGAAACCGGCCGUCUGCGGUUUGAUGUGAUUCGUCCUGUGUUCCCGGUGCACCAGAUGUUACUUGUUCUUGGCUCUAAGGCUCCUGGCUGUGUUGUACACCGGUCCAUCACGUGGCGCGAUUUCCUUGGCGCCAAUAAUUGCUCCCUCGGCAGCUUCUGAACAGGCAGUUCAGUAGCUGGCGUAAUCAUUCUAAAGGUACGAAUUUCGAAAUCAUCAUUUCGAAUUGCCUUGUUAUAAUACACUGAACUUAUACAAAUUGCGAAGUUCGAGUGUAUAGAAGGAUAUUUGGAGCUAUCCUACAUCUUCUAAAAGGUUUAGAGAAGAUACUGGACAAGUUUGAGAGUGAUUGGAAGGCCAGAAGCAAGAAAGUGCAUUGUUCUGGCGAAAUUCAGCUUUUUCUGUAUGGUGUACCGGUACAGCCAUCAUCGUGUACCGGUACACAAUGGCAGAAACGUGGCAGCAAGGCUAUUUUGGUAAUUUCACAUUCUAUACUUAUCUACUUAGCUUCAGCUCGACCCCUGGAGCCUCUUAGAUGAUGCUAGAGAUUAGAGAAGCUGCCCUGCACCUCUCCCUCUUUCUCUCUCUAGGGUUUUUCUCUCUCUACAUAGAAAUCGGAGAUUAAGCUCGUUUUCGUCGCCUCGCUUGUUCUUCACUGUUUGCGAGUGUCGCAGAGCUUACGUGGACGUAUAAGGGAGCGUUUUGGAAGGCUUUUCGCAACUCUGAACUAGUAGUUUACUAGUUAAAUGCUUGAGAAGAUAAUCGACUCAAUUAUUCCGUAAUAGAGGUUCUAUUAGUCGAGUAGUUUGUUGAUUUUGGAUUUUUGUUGUUCCAGCUGAGUGAAAAGAGGUUUUGCUGCUAUAACAGGGUCGGAUAUUAUAGCUUAGCUCGGUUGGGACUAAGUUUAUGAUCUAAGAAGGUAAACUACUUUUCUUCAUUGUUUGGGCACGAAUUCGACGAUAAAAGGGCUGAUUUUGGGAUCGUUGUUCGCAGCAGGUUUUCAAAUUAAAUUGAGCUUAAUUGGUAACCUUGGGGACUGGUUUAGAAAGUGUUCUAACCUGAGGUAAGCAGAAAUUUCAGUUGGAAAACUAAUUUCGCAAGAAUUCAGCCAUAAUAGCUUGUAUACAAGCAUAUUGACGGCGUUUUGAUGUGGUCGCAGCGAGUACGAUCAACCCUUGGAUCGUCUUUAGCUGACUUGUGAGGGCUCUUGGAGGCUUAACUUGAGGUAUUAAGCUAGCCCAAAACCAGGAUUCAAGCUAUUACUUUGUACUAAGUGCGAAUUAUGUCGAAAUUGGACAUUUCAGUUGUAGUAUUGAUGCGAUUUUCGUGCUUUGUUUUUAGCAGGGUUGCGGACUAGUGGAGCUGAUUUCGGGACUCUUGUGGACUGAAUUUGAGUCUAGUAAUAGGUGGGUUUGAGCUAACUAGAGCAAGUGAAGCUCCCCUAUAUUCUAUAUGUUAUUAUAGAAGUGGUCUAGUUGUGUGCUUAUGUGAUUGAUAAAGGACUUGAAACUCGUCAUCAUAAUGAUUAACAUAUUUGAAAUGAAAUCUCUAUGAAGUAGAGAACACUCAUGCAUAAAGUAUUUAUGUUUAUAUUUAACUCAGUUGAAUAACUAAUGGACAAGUUAAUAUGUUCCUAGAAAGAAGAGAACAAUGACAUUCUGUUGACUUUAUUGAUUAGAAAAUAGAGAACAAUGACAUGCCUUGUGACUAUAAUGAUAGUGCCAUGAUAAUGCAAAGCUUCUAAUGCCAUAUGUAAAUUAGCAUUACUCUCAUAUGUUUACUGAUCUAGUGGACACUAGCUAUUGUCAAUAUUCGUUAUAUUGAAAAUUCCGAUCAAAGGAUCGAAAGUGAGAACAUUGCAAGAUAAAACAUGAUGAUUGAGAUAUAUUGGACUUUGGACUUUGCUUGUUUGCCAUUGUGCUCAUUCGCACACGGUUGUGAGGGUAGCUCCCUACAAGCCGGCACUCCGGAGUUGGCCUACGCGAUAGUUGCUCGCCCGUGCGGGAUUGAGUGCCGAAGUGGAUUGCCGUGGGAAAUGUAUACUACCACAGGGCCAUUAGGCGCGGCGCAAGCCGGACUACCUUGGGUAGGUCCUUAUGAAUGAAAUGUAAAUUCUAAAUGACAGUAAUGAAUGAUUACCAGUUAUAGUGUAUGGUAUUUACUUACACGUUCAUACUUAUGUUUAUGUUAUGUUCAGGCUUAUAGUAAUUGCUAUGUUUUAUUAUUCAGAUGAUUCAUUACUGUAGAAAGUAUAAUUACAUGUUGCUUACAUGUUCAUUAUUUGUUAGCAUUGGAAAUAUAUCAUGCAUUAAUUGCUUUUACGUUCAUUCAGUACAUCAUGAGCCUAGUGGUGUAAUUCGCCGAGGCUGGCGGCUUACCCACUAGGAACUAUUGUUAAUAGUUCUCACGCCUUUUUUUAUGGUUGUUUUUACAGAGCCAUCGACAGGAGAGGCUAGGGAUCGUGGCAAGGGAGUCGCGUCUAGCUAGGCACUGCUAGGGGCUUGCUAGUUGAUGACCUUGCUACUCGGGUUACGGCUGAGGGUGAUGUCCCUGCGUAUAGAGAAACUGCCAUUGUACAUGUUUUUGAGUGGCCUUUGAUGUAUAUGAGUUUUUAGAACCAGAAAUUGUAGUUUUCUUACUUCUCUUUGAUGUUGAGAUUUUGGGUUGUAUACUCUCUGUUCUUCUGUUGAUGAUAUUAUCGACUUGUACUUUGCUCUGAUAUCAGGAUAGGAUCUUCUAUGUUUUCUUCCUAUUGAUUUGCUUCUUUGUAGACGCCUUAUAUACUGCAGGUGUAUGGCGGGUCUGUGCACGUACCGGAUAUGCUUCCGCUGGUACCCGGGCGUGACAGAUUAUAGUGGUAUCAGAGCCUAGGGUUGAGUCUUAGUAGACUUAGCAAACCUUAGGCUGGUUGGACUAUAAGAAUAGGCUCGUGAGAGACGAAGUCUAGUCGAGGUUGUUGUUAGCGAAAGUAUUUUGAUUGGGUAAUUUAUAAACUCCGAAUGGGAGGAGUUUGAUCGGAAUGUGCAAUUACUAACUUUGCAGAGGGCCACGUUGGCGGCCGACAACGUGACAUCGGAAGUUAGUAUAUGUUACAUUUCAUUACUUUCGCUUGAUUAGCUGGUUUAUAUCAGAAGUGGGGGUUCAAUAGUAUAAGUUUUUAUUGACCUAUGUUUGUUUUUGUGUUGCAGCUUAAGAUACCCACGACUCGUUCCAGAACCGCUGGGGCGGCUGAGGCGGCUGUUGCGGAGGAGGUGGAGACCUCCGCUACCUCCGGGUCCAGUGAGGUCCGGGAGUUGCGGGAUCAGCUCGCAGUGUUGACUGAGCUAGUGACACAGCAAGCAUCGGCAACGCGACAACAGAUGGAUGCUGCGCGCCGACAAGAGGACAGGAUGAAGCGGUUAGAGGAUUUGUUACUGCAGCAGAAGACUGACAGAGAGAUCCCUGAUUCUAUGUCUACAGUACCAGAUAGGGAUACGACAGUGAGAGCAUAGUCACCGGUACCAGAUACCUCGCCAGUAGCUCCGAGGGUAGAGACCCGACAGGAGACAGUAGUACCACCACCAGUGCAUGUGGCUGCGACAGGGACAGUAUUACCUGAGAUGGUGGGGGCUGAGAAGCGAGAGCGGAUGAUGGAACAACUGAAUGAAUUCUGUCGUUGCACCCCUCGUAUUUUUGACGGGGAAAAAGCCGAUCAUUGGGUGGUCGAGAAAUAGCUGAUGCACAUGGAGAAACUAUUCUAUGAUACUUUUGUUGAGGAGCGAUACCGAGUUUGGUUUGCGACGCACCAUCUGGAUGGCGAGGCUUAUAGGUGGUGGGUAGAUAUCCGUGAGGACCCCCGUGUGGAUUUGUCAGCGAUCACCUGGAUGAGAUUCAAGGAAUUAUUGUUGACAACCUACUUCCCGCAGAGUGUAAAAAGGCAGAAGGAAAGGGACUUGAGAAACCUGAGGCAAGGGGACAGGACAGUAGCUGAGUAUGAGCGAGAGUUCUCCCGAUUACUGCAUUGUGUUCCUUUUGUGAUCAGAGAUGAUGAAAACAAGGCUCGUAUUUUUUAGGUAGGUUUGCGGUCUCCGAUUUUCAGAUUGGUCCAGGCGUCAAACCUUUCUACUUACAGGGAAGUGGUGAAUUGGGCCUUGAUUGUGGAAAAAGGGGCGGAAAUUAUAAAGGAAAGAGAUAUUGUGGAUCGAAGUAAAGGAAAAAGACCAACAGCUGAGAGCAGUGGUCAGCAAUCCUUCAGGAGACCGCCAAAGUAUCCGAGGGGCCAACUGGGCCAGUCGAGAGGUCGAGGUUCUUCAGCACCCCGUGGAACACCCGAGCGUCGUCGACAGCCACGUUGUGUCAUUUGUGGUGGGUCUCACUUUCCGCCACAGUGUCCACAACGUGGGGGCAAGUGUUUUAUUUGCGGCCAGGAGGGCCAUUUUCGCUCAGAGUGCCCGAGAGAUCCUUCACCUGCACCCUCAUCAGCAUCAGCACCUGCAUCUUGAGCUCCAAGCCAGGGGACUCCGACAGCACCUUCUCAGUACAGACGACCACCGGGACAGCGACAGUCUGAGAGUUCUCGGCAGGGUUCGAGCGUGCGUAUGUAUGCCGCCUAGACAGAGGAGGCUGCGGCAGUAGAGGAGGUCGUAGCAGGUAUCAUUAUGCUUUAUGAUAUUCGUGUUCGUGCAUUAUUUGAUACUGGUACUUUGCAUUCUUUUAUUGAUCGGCAGUUCGCCGAGUUGCAUAGCAUUCAAUUAGCACCUAUUUUACAUCCGGGACGAGUGAUCGUGCCCAACCAUACCUUAGAUGUUCAUGAGUUUUUCCCUCGCUGCCCUGUUCGGGUAGGCGAUUGGAUUAUGCCAGUAGACUUAUUGGCACUACAUAAACUAGGGGAGUUUGAUGUAGUAUUGGGUAUGGAUUGGUUGACACAGUAUUAUGCCACCAUUGAUUGCACGAACAGAAUGGUGAUUUUUAGGGAACCGGGCCAGCAAGAGUUUGUUUAUAAGGGGUGUCAGAGUUCAUUGUUCGCAAUGACUAUUAGCUCUUCGGGAGCACGACAGUUGAUUCGAAGAGGUUGUGUCGCUUUCUUAGCUAGUGUCUCUGUGGAAAGUAGAGAACCUCCCAAGAUUGAUGAUAUUCCAGUUGUGCGAGAAUUCGGGGAUGUGUUUCCAGCUGAGUUGCCGGGCAUGCCACCUGAUAGGGAAGUCGAGUUCAUUAUAGACCUUGUCCCCGGGAUUACCUCUAUCUCAAAAGCACCCUAUCGAAUGGCACCCGCUGAAUUGAAAGAGCUGAAGGCACAGUUACAAGAUUUACUGGAUAAGGGUUUCAUUCGACCGAGUGUUUCACCUUGGGGAGCACCGGUAUUAUUAUUAAAAAGAAAGAUGGAUAUCUUCGAUUGUGUGUCGAUUACCGAGAAAUUAACAAAGUCACAAUCAAGAAUAAAUAUCCAUUACCCUGAAUCGAUGAUUUAUUCGAUCAGCUGCAAGGAUCGAAAGUAUAUUCCAAGAUUGAUUUGCAAUCAGGUUAUCAUCAGCUUAAGAUCAAGCCUGAAGAUGUCUCCAAGACUGCUUUUAGGACACGGUAUGGGCAUUAUGAAUUUACAGUUAUGCCAUUUGGGCUGACAAAUGCCCCAGCAGCCUUUAUGGAUUUAAUGAACCGUGUCUUUAAGCCCUAUUUGGAUAGGUUUGUGGUUGUGUUCAUUGACGAUAUCUUGAUCUAUUCUUGAAGUGACGAGGAGCAUGAAAACCAUUUAAGAGUGGUGUUGCAAGUACUUCGAGAAAAGAAACUGUUUGCAAAAUUAAAAAAUGCGAAUUUUAGCUUCGAGAAGUAGCCUUUCUCGGCCAUGUAAUUUCAGAGGCUGGGAUAGCUGUGGACCCAAAGAAGAUUGAAGCGAUUAAAGAUUGGCCUAGGCUAACCAAUGUUACAGAGAUUCGGAGUUUCCUUGGUUUGGCGGGAUACUACCGAAGAUUUGUAGAAGGGUUUGCAAAGAUGUCUACUCCUCUUACUCGACUCACUCAUAAAGGAGCUAAAUUCCUGUGGAAUGAAGCCUGCGAAAGAAGCUUUCAACAGCUGAAGGAACGAUUGACCACCGCCCCGAUUUUAGCACUACCUAUUCCUAGAGUAGAUUAUGUGAUUUACAGCGAUGCGUUGCUGAAUGGAUUAGGGUGUGUUCUAAUGCAGUAUGGCAGAGUAAUUGCUUAUGCAUCUCGCCAGUUAAAGGAUUAUGAAAAGAACUACCCUACACAUGAUCUUGAGUUGGCUGCCGUAGUUUUUGCUUUAAAACUUUGGCGCCACUACCUCUACGGUGAGCGUUGCGAGGUGUAUACAGACCACAAAAGCUUAAAGUAUCUAUUUACGCAGAAGGAAUUAAACUUGAGACAACGUAGAUGGUUGGAGUUGCUCAAGGAUUAUGAUUUGACCAUCCUUUAUCAUCCAGGAAAAGCUAAUGUUGUAGCAGAUGCUUUAAAUCGAAAAUCGACAGAAAAUUUGGUGAUGUCAAUAACUGUGCAACCAUCUCUAGUAAAGAAAAUGAAACAGUUGGACUUGGAAGUUGUAGCUCCUGAUAUGCCUUGGCGACUUAUGUCAUUGGUGGUGCAACCUACCCUGAUCGAUCGAAUUAAAGAAAAGCAAGCCCAGGAUGAAUUUCUGCAAAGGAUUCGAGCAAAGAUCACUGUUGAUCAGGUUGGUGACUUUCGAGUAGAUGAUCAGGGACUGUUAAAAUUUGGUGAUAGACUUUGUGUGCAAGCAGACUCUGAUAUUAAAGAAGAAAUUUUAAAAGAAGCACAUCGGGCGCCGUAUACUUUGCUCUUCAUGCUCCUCUUCGCUCUUCGAAUAGACCAAUACGUCGUCUAUAAAUACCACGACGCAUCGAUCCAACAAUGGCCUAAAGACUCGAUUCAUCAAGUCCAUAAAUGCUGCCGGGGCAUUAGUAAGCCCAAACGGCAUUACCGUGAACUCAUAAUGGCCAUAUCGCGUACGGUACGCCGUCUUGUGCACAUCCUUCGGCCUGAUCUUUAAUUGAUGAUACCCCGAUUGGAGAUCAAUCUUCGAAUACACCUUGGACCCUUGCAACUGAUCGAAUAGAUCGUCAAUCCUUGGCAACGGGUACUUGUUCUUUAUCGUCACUUUGUUCAACUCGCGAUAAUCUACGCAGAGUCGAAGUGUGCCAUCCUUUUUCUUCACAAAUAGCACCGGAGCUCCCCACGGUGACACACUCGGCCUCACGAAGCCUUUAUCGAGCAAGUCUUGUAGUUGACCUUUUAGCUCCUUUAACUCCACCGGUGCCAUUCUAUACGGAGCCUUCGAAACUGGUUCCGCCCCGGGAAUCAAGUCAAUGACAAACUCAACUUCCCGGUCCGGUGGCAGUCCCGGUAACUCCGCCGGAAACACAUCCGGAAACUCGCACACUACUCGGAUAUUCCCCAACUCUGGGUACUCCUUUCGAGCAUCUACCAUGGUUGCCAAAUAGGCCUUACACCCUCCUUUGAUCAUUUUCUUCGCCCUUACAGACGAUAUAGUCGCCGCGAAGCGCCUACUUUUGCACGCUUGGUAGACUAACUCUUCUUGAUUAGGCUCACGAAAAGUGAUCACCUUGCUUUCACAAUCUAUCACCGCAUAGUACUUGGAGAGCCAAUUGGUCCCCAAGAUAACAUCGAAUCCCCACAUCUGAUCUAGCACUAGCAGAUCAAUCGGCAUAAUCCAAUCACCUAUUUGCACUGGACACGCCAAACACUCGUUGUGGACACUGAAUGAAUGCUCUGGAGCAUUCACCCACCAAUAAUCCUCGUUGUAUACCAUCUCUAUGCCAUGUGUUUUAGCAAAUAACGUGCUAAUGAACGAAUGAGAUGCGCCUGUAUCCAACACUGCUCUAGCUCUAGUGCCUUUAAUCACAAUUAUACCUGCCCCGACGUCGUCGGGUGCUGCAGGUUGCUGCUCCUCCACCUGAGCGGCAAAGACUCGACCGCUAGGCGCUCUCGAUCCCUCCGGCUGACGCGAUGAUGACGCGUGCCCAGCCGACUUCGCCGGUGGUAACCCCGCAAGCUGUCUCGGGGUAGACGGUGCUGAUGCCGCCGUCGGCACAGACGACGUCCACGACGGGCACUCCCGGAUAAGAUGCCCUGGUUGGCCGCACUUGAAACAUUUGCCGUGUCGCUGCGGGCAAGUCGACACCUUAUGCUCUCCGCCACAUAUAACACAUCGAGGUGGUCUCCAAUUCCUCGCCUGCUGUCGGGGAUACCGAGGGGGUUUCUUAGGAAUUGGCCGGCCCCCGGCACCGCCCGCCGUUCUUUUCUUGCCCUUGUCCUUCGACUCGGCAAUAGCCUCCCUUUCUUCACGUACAUGGGCGCUACUGUGCUCCGCCCACAAGGCUCUAUCGAAGACCUCCGCAAAGGUCGACAACUUCAGAAUUUGCACAUUUUCAUAAAUCCGGGGUUGGAGUCCUCGCAAGAACCAAUCCGCCCGGUCCCGAUCAUCUCGAACAACAUCGGGAACGCAGUCAAUAAUGUGGGAGAAUUCUUGCUCGUACUCCCCCACCGAUCGAUCACUUUGUCUUAACUUGCGGAACUUUUCUUGCAACUUCCGCUUCGUCGUGUCGGGGAAGUAGUUCGCAAACACCGCUCUCUUGAACUCUUCCCACAGCAUAAGCGGAAGGUCGAUAGGACGAUCCCGCUUCACUCGCUUCCACCACACCUUUGCCACUUUCUCAAGACAAUGGGUGGCGAGGUACACUUUAUCCUUCUCCGAGGUAUUGAGAUCCUCGAAGAGCGUCUCUAUUGAGUCGAUCCACGACUCCACAACCGCUGGCUCCACCAAACCGCCCUCGAAGGUAGGUGGGUCGAACUUCUUGAAUUGUAUAAGCGCCGCCAACGUGCGCUCUCGCUCCGCUUCUACCGCCGCGCUAUCGGGAUUUGAGGUUCCCGAUCCGGCCGGUACUACCGUAACUGGAACAGCCGCUGCUGCCGCCGCUCCCUCGUCCAUCACGCUCUGCAGCUACACAGGGGGCGCGACAUCCUGACGCCCGCCUAAGCCACCGUCGCCUGUUGUCGCUCCAAGGCCUCCUGGAGCCGUUGAAUCUGCUCCCCUUGGCGUUGAACAGACUCCCGCUUGUUGCCGCACUACUCCGAUAAGCACGGCCUUUGCUCCUAAGCUCUCCGUCGCCCUCGCGCUCGGAUCGCUCGGCUCCACGUUCGGCUCUCCGGCAUCGACGCUUGUCUGCGGUCGUCCCGAGUGGCCAUUGCUUUCUAAAAGAAGCAACCGCAUUAGUCACUUGACCAACAUUUACUUGACCACACCCAAUCUACGGAAACGCAACAUACACAUUCAUCUUCUUGCCUCAGCGUCAUGUCGUCGGGCCGCCGACACAAACUAGAAGUAAGGAAACUAAAAUUAACAUUACCUCUUAAUCAAUAGAGAGUCCCUACUUAACCCAAUCACAUGCUUUCGCUACUUUGAACCCACGUCAACUCACUUUCCUAAUCCUUAAGCCUUCCACAUCCUAAGGGUCCCUCUACGUCCAGUUCUAUUCUUUCACUCUUAGGCUUUGAUAGCACGCUAAUCUGUCGCCCCAAGCCCUCAUCAAUGUACUAAUUUCGCUUCAACAGAAAAAAGCUACUAGCGGAAAACAUACAGCAAGACGGCUUUCACGAGGGUAACAAUAGCCAUAAGGAAAGAGAAAAGGAAACUUAAACAUUCACUUAGUACUAUGGUUCAUUUUCUGAUCAAUAUACACUUGCAUGCAUCUGGUUCAUUUUUCGAAUUCCUUACAUUUCAUUUCAUCAUUUCUUUCUUACAUCACAUUUACCUCAAAAAUACAUAUUAAUUCUUUUCUUUACAAUCAUUACCAUCAUUGGUACAAAAGUAUGAUCAUAGGGUACUCUGCUAGGCAAAUGAAACCUAGACUUUGUGUGCUAUGUGGAUACUCAUUGAGUGCGUGAUUAGUUGUCCUGUCGCGCUUCCUGCGGCUCGCUCGUGUGCCGGCGGCUCUGUGAAAUAUGAGUCGAUUCCACACUCCACAACUGCUGCUCCAUGCCCUACACCAACGCCCUCGAGGUAGUGUCAGAAUCUUGGAAUGUAUAAGCCGCCGCCAAACGUGCGCUCUUUCGCUCCGCUUUACCGCCGCUGCUAUCGGGGAUUGCAGUGGUCCCGAUCGGCCGGUACUACCGUGAACUGGAACAGCGCGCCUGCGGCGCGCUCCAUCGUCCACCGCUCGGCACUACCACAGGGGGCAGCGACGAUGCUCGACGCGGCCCCGCUAGCACCGUCGGCCUGUUGUCGCUGCCAACGCCUCCUGGAGCCGUUGAAUCUGCUCCCUUGGCGUUGAACAGACUCCGCUGUUGCCCCGCACUACUCCCAGAUAAGCACGCCAUUUGCUCCCUAAAGCUCGUCCGUCACCCCUCGCUCGGAUCGCUGUCAGGCUCCACGUCGGCUCUCCUCCGCAUACGACCUUGUAUCGUCGGUAUCCACGAGGUGACCAUUGCUUCCUGAAAAGAAGUCAACUCGCAAUUAGUCAUUUGACCACAUUACUUGACCCACACCAAUUAGGCGAAAGCAACAUACACAUUCAUCCUGCCUCAAGCCGUCAUGUCUCGCCGGCGAACAACAUAGAAUAAGAGAUAAACUGAAAAUAAACUUAGCCUCUAUCCACAUUAGAGACGUCCCUACUUAACCCAAUACAUCGCUUUCGCUAAUCUUUGAUCCCACUGUCACUCAACUUCCUAGAUCCUUUAAGGCCUUCCAAUCUAAGGUCUCUAGCGUCCAUUCGCUUAUUCUUUCACUCUUGGCUCUUGAUACCACGCUAUCUGUCGCCAAGGCUCGAUCACAUGUACAAUUUCCUCACAGAGAAAGCACUAGCGGAAACAUACACAAACCGGGCUUACACAACGGGUAAGCAAUUAGCAUACAGUUGAGAAAGAAAAAGGCAAACUAAACAUUCACUUUCUAUGAUUCAUUUUUGAUCAUAUACACUAUGCAUCUGGUUCAUUUCGAAUUCCUUAUUCAUUAUUUUCAUCAUUUCUAUUUCUUAUCCAUUACCUACUCAUACUCUUUCAAUAAAUACAUUAUAUAUUAUCUUUCUUUUACAUUCUAUUUACCAUCAUGUACAUAAUAGAUGAUCAUAGGUGACUUUGCUAUUAAUUAAACUCUAUACUUUAGGUGCGUUGAUAGUCGAUUACCUGUUACCGCGGUCGCUUCGCCGCUCGCUCGGUCCCGGCUCUGGUGGUAAAUAAGUGGGUGAGAACACACAACAAAGUUCGCGGAGUGGUUCCGGCCUCAACAUCCCCCCUGACUUUCGCCACUAAGACUAACUCAGGCAUAAUAGAAAGAAUAAGCCACGCAUAUAGUAACCAAUCUAUACAUUAUUACUAAUCGCCUGAAAAUAAAGCACAGGAGGAUCUCAACAUUAAAUAGAUAGGCCGAUUAUGCAAAUUCUUUGUUCUUUUUACGUUACUCUUUGUUCUUUAUUCUUUAUUCUUUGUUCUUUAUUUUUUAUUCUUUAAUCUCAAGGCUAACCCGGGGGUUUCGCCACAUUAACUUGCUUCACAUUAAGUCCAUCAUCGCAGGAACUCACCCGCUAGGACCGUCCUUCGGGUUUACUCCAACCCGUGAUGCAUAACUCCGGAGCGCAUCGCCCGAGGGGGAGCGACCGCCCUCGAGCACGGAACUCAUAGCAAGUAUGAUCAUAUCCUUAACUCAAAGGAUUUAUAUGUUCAAUCUUGACUUUACACUAGCUCUAGUGUUCUUUAUGUCACUUUAUGUUGCCACCCUAGCAAUCGUUGUUCUUUACUUUUCUUUUACUUUUGCCAUCUUUAGCAUUCUUGAUCUUUACAUUUCUUGUUCUUAUUGCCCCACCUUACUUUAACUUUACACAUUGUCAUUUUCAUCAUUCUUUACAUCACUUUGGUUCUUUGGCUCACACUAACUCUAGUGUCACUUUACUUUACGUUUUCAAAUGCCACUCAAUCUAUGUCAUUGUGCCACUCGGUUCUUUCGGCUCACUUUAGCACUCACAUUUUCUCUCAUGCAUACAUAUAGGGUUCUAACAUUCAUAAGGUUCUCAACCAUCACAUUUGGCAAGUUGUAUUUACAAUCAUGCAACAUCACAUUUUCAUCAUCGCUUUACCCUAAAAUGCAUGCAACAAAUAUGUAACAUAUGCUCAAUUGAAUGACACAUUAGGCAUAGAGGGAAGUUCAACGAGUUUGAGAAGCACCACCCACCUCGUAGGCUUUCAAAGGUGCUCCGAUGAUUUUCUUGGGAUUUUUAGACUUCUCGUUCUUUACCUGCGGCAAAAUGAAGCCAAAUUAGGCUUAUUUGGCCAUAACUUUACAUUGGCUUUUCGUAAUAUUAAUCCGAGCGCACCAAUGCGUCGGAAAUACCCCCAAUUAGAUUUCUAGAGGGUCAAUUGCACUUAGAAAUCCCUAUGAGCAAAAACCCCAAUUUUGGUGCCCUAACUCCAUAGCAUCAUCAAACCUAGGGUUUGAUCUCAAAGAGAAGCAAAAGUAGCUUCAAUAUACUCUAAAGAGUUCAUCUAAACCAUUCCUAGCUCAUUCCAAACCCUAGUUUGGAUUUCACCAUGAAAGGGGUCGAGCUCUCCUUCAAGCUUUACCUCCAACACCAAACCCAUGGUCUUGAUCUCAAAGGAAGCAAAAGAAAAGCUUCACAUACUCUAAAAGCUCCUUAAAAAUCAUUUCUAGGUCAUUUGGCUCUCGCAUUAGGGUUUUAGCAUGAUUAGGGUUGAAGCUUACCUCAAAGCUUUCCCUAACUUGCACUAGAGAGGAAGAAGAUGAAGUGGCUUCACUUCAAUGGCUUCUCCUCCACCUUCUUUUCCCUCUUUUCCUUUGUCUUCUUCUUCUCCUCCUUCUUUGUAUUCUAGAGAGAGAAAGAGAGGAGAGAGUGUGAGAGGGAGUGGAAUGAGAGAAAAGCCCUCAUGUCCCUCAUACAUAACCAUUGGGCUGCAAAAAUGCUAAUAAACCCCUCAACUUUCAUCUUAUUCAACUGCCUGGACUGGGCAGAUUUCGGGCUCGGGGACCGGUCUCCCCGACUAGGGACCGGUCUCCGAGAGCUCUCCCAGCGCAGCCAGAGCUGCUGCGCGCAAUGCGACCGGUCUCUCUUUGAGGGGACCGGUCUCUCGGGGACCGGUCUCUCAGGCAGGGACCGGUUCCCGAGAGCUAAUUCCUCAGGACUUAGCCGAUUUUUCGGCUGUCUCACUUCAUACGCGUUCGGGGACCGGUCUCUCCUACCAGGGACCGGUCCCCGAGAGCUCAAAACUGCAGAAUGCAGAUUUGAUUCUAUAGCUCUCGAAAACCUCCCGUAACUCACUUUUAAUCAUUUUAACACCUUCGGACUUUCCGAAGUGUACCGUCCUCGCACUUUGGUCAAUUUGACUAAAGUUCGACAUUUUUAUUUUCCGAAUUUUCGGUAUAUUACAACCUGUUAGCAGGUUAAAGCUGAAUAUCGACUUCCUGCAGGAAAACUUCAGAGCUUACCCAUACCAGUGUGGAAAUGGGAGAAGAUUACUAUGGAUUUCAUUGUUGGAUUACCUCGCGCACAGGCAGGUCAUGAUGCGAUUUGGGUAAUUGUGGAUAGAUUGACCAAAUCUGCCCACUUUAUUCCAAUUCAUACAGUUUGGUCGGGGGAGAGACUCGCACAAGUGUACCUUGAGGAAAUUGUGCGAUUACAUAGAGUACCUGCCUCUAUUGUUUCAGAUCGUGACACCCGAUUCGUAUCACAUUUUUGGAGAAGUUUACAGGAGGCCCUGGGUACCUGGUUGGAUUUUAGUACUGCUUUCCACCCCUAGAGUGAUGAGCAGUCUGAGCGUACCAUCCAGACCCUUGAAGAUAUGUUGCGGGCCUAUGUGAUUGAUUUUCAGGAUAGUUGGCCACAGUUCCUACCGAUGGCUGAAUUUGCUUAUAACAAUAGUUAUCAAACAAGUAUUCAAAUGGCACCGUUUGAAGCCCUUUACGGUAGAAAGUGCAGAUCACCACUACAUUGGAGUGAAGUGGGAGAGAGAUUAGUUUUGGGUCCAGAUGUGUUGCAGGAGGCUGAAGCUAAAGUUCGACUUGCACGAGAACGUCUAUUGACAGCUCAAAGUCGACAAAAGAGCUAUGCGGAUAAACGUCUGCGAGAAUUGGAAUUUCAAGUUGGCGAUCAUGUAUUCCUAAAUGUUUCACCAACAAAAGGAGUUAAGAGAUUUGGCAUUCGAGGGAAGUUGAGUCCUUGAUUUAUUGGACCCUACGAGGUGUUGGAACGGAUAGGGCCGGUAGCGUAUCGGCUUGCGUUGCCGCCGAACCUAUCAGGAGUGCAUAAUGUGUUUCAUGUAUCCACAAUUCGAAAAUAUAUUUUUGAUCCAACCCACAUAUUGGAAAGCACCCCAGUGGAUUUACGAGAAGAUAUGAGCUUUGAGGAACAUCCAGUGAAAAUACUAGCUUGAGAAGUGAAACGGCUUCGAAACCGCGAGAUACCCUACGUGAAGAUCCUUUGGAGCAACCAUGACAAACGAGAAGCCACGUGGGAAUUGGAGAGUACAGUGUUAGAGCAUUAUCCCCACCUUUUCUCGACGGAAUCUUGAGGUAGUUGGUUAAAGUUUCGCGGACGAAACUCCUUUUUAGGAGGGGUGAAUGUAAUACACUGAACUUAUGCAAAUUGUGAUGUUCGAGUGUGUAGAAGGAUAUUUGGAGCUAUCCUACAUCUUCUAAAGGGUUUAGAGAAGAUAUUGGACAAGUUUGAGACUGAUCGGAAGGCCAGAAGCAAGAAAGUGUAUUGUUCUGGCGAAAUUAAGCUUUUUCUGAUGGUGUACCGGUACAGCCAUCAUCGUGUACCGGUACACAAUGGCAGAAACGUGGCAGCAAGGCUAUUUUGAUAUUUUCACAUUUUAUACUUAUCUACUUAGCUUCAGCUCGACCCCUGGAGCCUCUUAGAUGCUGCUAGAGAUCAGAGAAGCUGCCCUGCACCUCUUCCUCUUUCUCUCUCUAGGGUUUUUCUCUCUCUAUAUAGAAAUCGAAGAUUUAGCUCGUUUUCGUCGCCUCGCUUGUUCUUCACUAUUUGCGAGUGUCGCAAAGCUUACGUGGACGUAUAAGGGAGCAUUUUGGAAGGCUUUUCGCAGCUCUGAACUAGUAGUUUACUGAUUGGAAGCUUGAGAAGGUAAUCGACUCAAUUAUUCCGUAAUCGAGGUUCUAUUAGUCGAGUAGUUUGUUGAUUUUGGAUUUUUGUUGUUCCAGCUGAGUGAAAAGAGGUUUUGCUGUUGUAACAGGGUCGGAUAUUAUAGCUUAGCUCAGUUGGGACUAAUUUUAUGAUCUAAGAAGGUAAACUACUUCUUUUCUUCAUUGUUUGGGCACGAAUUCGACGAUAAAAGAGCUGAUUUUGGGAUCAUUGUUCGCAGCAGAUUUUUGAAUUAAAUUGAGCUUAAUUGGUAAUCUUGGGGACUGGUUUAGAAAGUGUUCUAACCUGAGGUAAGCAGGAAUUUCAGUUGGAAAACUAAUUUCGCAAGAAUUCAGCCAUAAUAGCUUGUAUACAAGCAUAUUGACGCCGUUUUGAUGUUGUUUGCAGCGAGAGUGAGAUCAAGCCUUGGAUCGUCUUUAGCUGACUUGUGAGGGCUCUUGGAGGCUUAACUUGAGGUAUUAAACUAGCCCAAAAUCAGGAUUCAAGCUAUUACUUUGUACUAAGUGCGAAUUAUGCCAAAAUUGGACAUUUCGGUUGUAGUAUUGAUGCGAUUUUCGUGCUUUGUUUUUAGCAGGGUUGCGGACUAGUGGAGCUGAUUUCGGGACUCUUGUGGACUAAAUUUGAGUCUAGUAAUAGGUGGGUUUGAGCUAACCAGAACAAGUGAAGCUCCCCUAUGUUCUAUAUGUUAUUGUAGAAGUGGUAUAGUUGUGUGCUUAUGUGAUUGAUAAAGGACUUGAAACUCAUCAUCAUAUUGUUUGACAUAUUUGAAAUGAAAUCUCUAUGAAGUAGAGAACACUCAUGUAUAAAGUAUUUAUGUUUAUGUUUAACUCAGUUGAAUAACUAAUGGACAAGUUAAUAUGUUCCUAGAAAGAAGAGAACAAUGACAUUCCGUUGACUUUAUUGAUUAGAAAAUAGAGAACAAUGACAUGCCUUGUGACUAUAAUGAUAAUGUCAUGAUAGUGGAAAGCUUCUAAUGCCAUAUGUAAAUUAGCAUUACUCUCAUAUGUUUACUGAUCUAGUGGACACUAGCUAUUGUUAAUAUUCGUUAUAUUGGAAAUUCCGAUCAAAGGAUCGAGAGUGAGAACAUUGCAAGAUAAAACAUGAUGAUUGAGAUAUAUUGGACUUUGGACUUUGCUUGCUUGCCAUUGUGCUCAUUCGCACACGCUUGUGAGGGUAGCUCCCUACAACCCGGCACUCCGGAGUUGGUCUACGCGACAGUUGCUCGUCCGUGCGGGAUUGGAUGCCGAAGUGGAUUGCCGUGGGGAGUGUAUACUACCACGGGGCCAUUAGGCGCGGCGCAAGCCGGACUACCUUGGGUAGUUCCUUAUGAAUGAAAUGUAAAUUCUAAAUGACAGUAAUGAAUGAUUACCAGUUAAAAUGUACGGUAUUUACUUACACGUUCAUGCUUAUGUUUAUGUUAUGUUCAGGCUUACAGUAAUUGCUAUGCUUUUAUUAUUCAGAUGAUUUAUUACUAUAGAAAGUAUAAUUACAUGUUGCUUACAUGUUCAUUAUUUGUUAGCAUUGGAAAUAUAUCAUGCAAUUACUGCUUUUACUUUCAUUCAGUACAUCAUGAGCCUAGUGGUGUAAUUCGCCGAGGCUGGCGGCUUACCCACUGGGAACUAUUGUUAAUAGUUCUCAUGCCCUUUUUAUGAUUGUUUUUACAGAGCCAUCGACAUGAGAGGCUAGGGAUCGUGGCAAGGGAGUCGCGUCUAGCUAGACACUGCUAGGGGCUUGCUAGUUGAUCACCUUGCUACUCGGGCUACGGCCGAGGGUGAUGUCCCUGUGUAUAGAGAGACUGCCAUUGUACAUGUUUUUGAGUGGCCUUUGAUGUAUAUGAGUUUUUAGAACCAGAAAUUGUAGUUUUCUUACUUCUUUUUGAUGUUGAGAUUUUGGGUUGUAUACUCUCUGUUCUUUUGUUGAUGAUAUUAUCGACUUGUACUUUGCUCUGAUAUCAGGAUAGGAUCUUCUAUGUUUUCUUCCUAUCGAUUUUCUUCUUUGUAGACGCCUUAUAUACUGCAAGUGUAUGGUGGGUCUGUGUAUGUACCGGAUAUGCUUCCGCUGGUACCCAGGCGUGACACUUGUACCGUCUCCUUUCUUAGCCGUUCUUUCACUUUUGACGGUCAAUAUCUCUCACGUUUCUUUUUUGUCUCUUUUGAGGCAUUAAUUAGGUUAUUUAUUACCGCCAUCUUUUCACCAUUAAAGCUAUUUUUCAUAAUCCUAUCCGGCGGCUCUCCUUCUCUUCCCUCUUUCUUUUGCCUAUCAUGCUUCAUUGCUUUUUUUCUUCCCUACGCUUCUUCUCUUCUUCAUCCUUGUCUGGAGUUUUCUCUUCACUAUUUCUUCUUUUUUCCAUCGAUUUUCUUCUCCUUUUUUCUUCCAUUUUAGCUAAUGGCUCUACUUCCUCCUCUUCCUUCGUCUCCUUCCCUUGAUUAUACUCUCCUUUGCCAAUUUGUCGAAACAAAUCCUUCUCGAUUUAUACUAGGACCUUCAUUCAUGGACGAUCCUAUUCCUGAAGAUUUUUCUUUUUCUACCGAGGGUCUUCCCCUGAUGGCUGAUGCUAUUCAUCUGUCUUCUUGGUAUGUUUCGACGACUUCAAAAUCGCCUGGGAAGAACCCUCGGACUUAUUUGAGUGCUUCGGAUGCCUAUCUCGCCUGGUUAGACCGUGUCGAGGCAUCUUAUGCUGAUUUCUGACGCGAGAUCAGGAUUUAUGAAGCCAUUCAACUAUGUAGAACACCUCCUAUAGUCGACAACCUUUUUUUAGCUGUGGCUCUCUGUUUCUGAUCCCCUAUUUCCAAUACCUUUCUUUUCAGAAGACGACCUUUUACUUCCACUCUCCUUGAUGUGGCAAUGAUUGUUGGUCUACGCCUUCAAGCAUUACUCUUUUGAUGGCCUAUAACCCUGAUGUCAUAAAUGAUUUUAAGGCCCAUCUUGAUUUGAAAGCCGAUCUGGCCUAUACCAAAUUUGUAAUAUACCGAACUUCUACAAUCAUAAAGUUUUGGUAGGAACUGACUUAAAAAGCUAUCAAAAUAAUUUCGGUGAAGUUUGGAGAGCAUUCGAGUGUUUUCGGCGCAAAUUGGAUGCGAAAACGAACUCGGAAAGCUGAAAUCUACCUAGGUUACAGAAUUUGUAUUGAGUACCGGUACUGGGGUUUUGAAUACUGGUACGCAAUACAAAAUGAAAAAUUUGAGCUCUCGGGUUCUGAGGAGCCAAGUUUGGGUACUGGUACUAAAUUUAUAUUAGGUACCGGUAGUGGAAACUGAGUACCGGUACGCAGUUCUGCCAAAUGCAGAUUUUGAAGGAUAUUUUAGCAAAAUCAAGUGUAAAUAAAAAUAGCAUGAAAUACUAUUUUUAUUGAUUUAGAAACAGUAUAAGAUAAUUUAGAAAUGGUUUGUGGUGAAAUUGGAAUAAAAGCAGGAGAUGUAGAAUUUUCUGUAAGGAACGGGGCUAAUCUUUUAGCAGAAAAUUUACAGUGUCAGAAAAUUAUGAAAAUUUGAGAAUAUGUCGGAAUUAUUUUUUUGAGGCUAGAUUUAAAGUUUCAUGUCAUUCCGACACAUAAAAAGUGAAAAACAGAAUCUGACUGCUAUCUGCUAGAUAUUCUAGUCGGUAGACUUUUCGGUGACAAAAAAUGGUUCAAAACAAAAAAAAGUUAAGAUCACGUUCUUCUAAUUGAUUUUAACCGAGCCUCAUUGUCAAAUUUGAGAAGAAACAGACAUUCAGAAGGGCUCCGGCGAAAAGUAUUAGAUUCUGAACUAGACUAAACUGAAAAUUAUAAUAGUGUUGGGGACCUAUAUGUAAACCCACACAAUCUCUCUCUCUUCCUGGUUCUCUCCCAAUAUGUGAGAGGAGUGGAGGCUUCUAUUUCUCUUCCACACACACACCCACAACAUGAGAGCUUCUCUCUCUUUCUCUCUCUCUCUAGCAAUUUCUCCAUUAAAGAGAAGAAGUUGGAGGAGAUUAACUUGGAGAAGAAGCCUGAUGAAGAAAGCUCUUUAAAUGAUGGAUCAAGUCUCUUGACCAUGAUGCCCAAGGUGAGAUUUCAUGUAUUUAAGUUAGGGUUUGGAUUAAACCCUUUACAAUUAGUGUAUUUCAUCUCCAUAUAAUUCUAAACAAGAUUGAGUAAAGGUUUACCGUAGAUUUUAGUGUUCUUGAGGAUUCAUGAAGCCUAGGGCCUGGAUUUAGAGCUUUUGUCCCUAAGGGAUUUGGAACUAAAUUGACCUUGUAAAACCUUAAUUGAAGGAUAAUUCGACGUGGAGGACAACUUCGUUUUGGAUUACGACAAGGUUACGACGUCCGAUUGAGAGAUUUGCAGAAUUUGGUUUGUUAGGCUUGGGUCGAGAUGAAUCGGCGUUGGAAAUCAAAUUGCUUGGAAAUCCUAGCUAUUGGUAAUUAGCAAAGGUUGGUGCUGCUCUCCGGAAUGGUUGGAUUUAUCCCUAUGUCUGAUUCCUUUUGUUGAGCAUAUAUAUAUAUAUAUAUAUAUAUAUAUAUAUAUAUAUAUAUAUAUAUAUAUAUAUAUAUAUAUAUAUAUAUAUGAGAGAUAAAUUGAGGAGUCAAAUUAUAUUGUAGAUGAUCUUUUUUUCUCCUCUCUUUAUNAUAUAUAUAUAUAUAUAUAUAUUGAUUAUGUAUGAUAGGGUUCAAGUAUUCUUUUGUGAUAGAAAUGUUACAAUUCUCUACCACCCCGGGAAGGCAAAUGUAGUCGCCGAUGCCCCUAGCUGGAAGUCGGUGGAGAACCUCGCGCAAAAAGUCACGACUCAGGGUCCUCUGUGUAGGGAGAUGAAACGAUUGGAUCUCGAGAUAGUGACUCCAGGGGUUCCGGCUGUGUUAUCGGCUCUCGUUGUCCAACCGACCUUGUUGGAGAGAAUCAAGAAAUUCCAAUAUCUCGAUUUGAUCUAAAAAAGGCUAUUUUGUAGAAAAUAGGUUUUGGACGAAAUCCUAGCCUCUAGGUUUUCUCAAACAUGUAUUCUCAUGAUGCUUGAUGUGUUAGAGAACCCCAAUAGCUUAUUUAUAGACUUUAGAAUCAAUUGGAGUCGGAUUAGAAAGUUUUCACGAAUUUACACUAUGUACCGGUACACUUUUAAGCUGUUACCAGUUACACGAUGACGGAACGAAAAACUGACGAAACACUGAAACCGGUUACAUGUUGAUGGUUGUACCGGUACACAUUUUGUACCGGUACACUUCUAAUGCUGUACCGAUACACUUUGCAAAUUUCAGUAUUUUACAAAGUUUCGGGUUUCGCAAAGUUCCGAGACACUUUCUAAUCCACUUAAUCUUUGAUAUUAUGAUUCUAAUGCCUACAAGUAUAUGUACAAGUGUAUAAAGAGAGAUACAUCUAGUAUAUGUAUUGGGAACUGGUCCCUUUGGCCCGGGGACCGGUUGCAUCGCGCGUCGCCUCAACCACCAGUUGAUGGGAUCGGUCUCUCCCUGCCAGGGACCGGUCUCCGAGAGCAAACCCGCACAGACUAUGUUCGGGAACCGGUCCCUCACCCCUAGGGACCGGUCCCCGAGAGCAGAAUCUACCCAGUGCAGGUUUGCACUAUUUGCUCUCGUGGACUCAACUCCAAAGCACUCUUUGUGUUUUGGACACCUUUAGCUUCUCCGAAGGAUACCCACUCGACAAUUAGUCGAUUUUGAGCGAAGUCCAACUCUCCGAUUUCGAGAAUUCACUUCCUUACAUUAUCAGUCUUCGCUUCACUGGGAGAUGGUUGUUCGUGCGAUCUGCAAGGAUGGAGUGAGGACGAAUCUUGCCUAUGUGGAAUCAAAAGACUUGCAACCAUAGUAUCACCUGUUGUCCUUGGUGAUGUGCUACAACGUUCAACCGACAAUUGGCGCUAAGAGGAUUUGUUGGGAUCGACUUGUUCUUCUCUAUCUACUUGGCCACCCCGAGCUCGCAGAUGGUCUAAAUCUGAACAUUCCGUUCCUUAUGUGGCAACGAAUGGUGCAUGUAAUACAGUCUUCGGUGCAACGUGAUGUCACGCCCCGGGACCCAGCGGAAGUCCGCCCAGUACGUGUCGAGACUCGCCAUACGUUAAAACAUAUAAGGCUUCUACAAAACUACUAUAAAUAAAGUGAUAAUAAAAAGACAUCUAGGAGUAUCAGAGCAUAGUACAAUAUCUAGAUUCUAAGAGAUAUAGAGGCAAAUAAAAAAGCUAACAAAUCCACUAAGAGUAACCAUAAAGUAGUACAAUAAACAUCCAAAACACAAGUGCUAAAAGUACAACAAUGGUGGUCUCUAUACAUGGAUACAAAACCUCUUAUUCUCAACUACAAAUAAAAAGAAGAGUAAACCACCUAAUAAGCAAAAGAAACGCUCCUCGCUAGCUAGCUAAGCGAUUCCCUUGCCGCGAUCCUGUGCCUCCACCGAUGUAGAGGGCUCUGAAAUAGAAUCAUAAAAUAAAGGGCGUGAGACUAUUAAAUAAUAGUUUCCAGUGGGCAAUUACUGACUUCAGUGACGCCACUAGGCCCAAAAGCUGAAAAGGGGUAAGUACGAGUAAAGCAAUAUGAACAGUAAGCAAAUAAACAUGAAAGUUUACUACAACAUGAUAUCUCUACUUAGCAUGAAUUUGUAUAAGUAAGAAUGCUACUGUACCAUAAAUAUGCAUAAGCGCAACUACUAUGACGUCCACAGAUAACUAGUAAAUUGUCAAUGUUUACUAACUUGUCAAAUUAUUCAUUUACAAAUUGAUUCCACUUGUUCCAAAUCUCAUAGGACCUACCCGUGGGUAGUCCGGCUUGCACAGUGCCUAAUGGCCCUGUGGUAGUCAACAUCCCCACUCUAGGAAUGAGCCUCCCCUACGGCAUCCCAUUUCGGCUCCGAAUCCUGCACGGGCGAGCAUGUGUCGCGAUGGCUAUCUCCGGAGUGCCGACUUGUGGGAAGUGACCCUCACAAGCAUGUGCGAAUGAGCACAAUGGUAAGCAAGCGUAAAAGUCCGUCUCGAGCCACAAGUCAUCAUGUCUAAAACAUGGAAUGUAGCAAAUCUCUCAAUGGCCUAUCUGUCACGCCCCCGACCACCCGCCUAUUUGGCCGGGUCGCGGCGCCGCAACAGAUCGCCGAACGGACAGGGUUUCCCCUGUACUGCGGACAGAGUCUCCCCUGUACGUUCAAGGCAUAGCAAUCAAUACAAUGUACAAAGUUCCAACCAGGAACACAUUUCAAUCAAGAUUGCAUAAUGGAAGGUAUCAAACAACAUAACACAUCUUAUGUUAUUACAUGCAUUCACAUUCAUACAUUUUACAUCCCAAAUACUUAUUACAUUUAACUUCCAAAUACAAUUCGAUUUAACAUGAUUAUUACAAUCCUAUUCCUUUCAUUUUCUUACAUCUUUAAGAAAAGCCGACUCAGGGUACCGCUAUCUCUGGUCUUGGUGGUAGGGCGCUAACUAUGAUGCUACGCCCUUGCCUCGCGCCGCCGCGCCGCUCACGUGUGAACCUGUAACACCCCAAAACCACGUGGGGUGAGAACCAACUCCAUGGUUCCCAGUGGGUACGGCCACCCAAGGGAAAAGCUCGACCAAUAGGUCCAAGGGAGGCAACUGCAAGUUAGUUCAAUAAACAGAUAGAUAUAUAUCUUGAUUAUGCAACGAAUAAAACCAUGCAUUGCCUCACGAAUGCAAUAAUGUAAUGCUAUAUGCAAAUCAUGCAAUAAUAACUAUGCAACCAACUAGUAGUUCAUUCGACACUACUUUCAAUUCUGCUAACCAUAGCUCAUCCAUUCGAUAUCUAAGGUUUCCUCUAUCUUUGAUUCUUGUCAAUCACCGUUUUAAUCAUAAAGUUUCAUCUACCUUUACAAGGCUAACCACCCGACUCGGUCUUGAGUCAAUCGUCUGCGGAGUACCGCACUAGAACCAGGCUCGAGGCGAUGGACGUCUCACAUACACCUCAGCCCUAAAUCCUCUCGACUAGGAUACCAAAUCCAUAAUUCAUAAUGCAUACUUGUUGUACACGCAUUUGGCUAUGACCCAAUCUUACCGGUUAACCAUGUUAACCCCAAUAACUCACUACCAAAAUCCCUUAAUAACGGAGGACUCGAACCUCCCUGGGGACCGUCAACUGGUGGGACUUUACCACGCCCAGUGGUGACCAACUCCGGAGCGCACCGCCCGAGGGGGAGCUACCUCCCUCAAGCCAAGACGUAACGUGAGUAUCGAUCCAAUCCUCAACUUGAGGAUUCAUAGCCACUCGUCACAAUGCCAAUGUCAUGAUAGGUCUCUACCUAUUUAAUCAUGCCACUCUCUAUGUCAACUUGGACCAAUGUCAAUAUGGUUAAACUAUGUUUAACAAUCACUUUCUUGAUGCCAAUCAAGUCUCUAUUGUCAUUGUUACCCUUGUUUACUAAUGUUCAAGUCCAACCCUCACAUUUACACAAUAAUAGGGUCCUAACAUACAUGAAUGACACCAGAAUAUAUACGAUCAAUCACCACAAGUGUUUGCUAGGUUCAAGAUGCUAGGUUUAAUGCCACUCGAUCUAAUAUAUAUAUAGAUUGUCCACUAUGUUCCACAACAUGGCAAUAUGUCAUCGAGUAUGUUUUUCUAUUUAACAUAAUCCACAAUAUGUAAAUUCAUAAUAUAUCAUCAUGCACAUAUACCACUAGCAUCACAUGAUUUGUCAACAUACAUAUAGUCAUUAUCCAAAAUAGUCCAUACUUAGCAUCUCAUGCAUUCUUUUAGCACUUAAUUCAUUAUGCAUUACAUUUAGCAUAUUCUACAACAUGUCAUCAUACAUUCCUUUUAUGAUGUUCUUAUAAUGCUAACAUUCAUACGCCCUUUAUAUUAUGCAUUCAAAGCAUUAAUCAUAUGCAUUUAUCUAGCAUUUCUAUAGUAUGUUAACAUGCAUUCUUUUCACAUUCUUAUAUUAUGUCAAUAUGCAUCAAUAUGAAAUCUCAUUUCUUAGACAUAAAGGGCGACCUAGUCGCUUCGGUAAGCACAACCCACCUCAUUUCGCAUUCCGAUUGCUUGUCGACACUUGCAAUCGGCCUCCCGCGGCACCCGGCACCCGGUUUGGCCCGAUCUCUCACGCGACCACCCGAACGGCCUCCAAUUCACGAUCCGAAAAUUAAAGGUCUUCGGUUAUGUGCCACGAUGCUUCAAAUCCAUUUUCAUGAAUUUACGAUAUCGCCUCGGCCCUCCCGGCGGACCCGAAGCCUAAACGUCCAUUUCUUUAAUAACUUUGUAACGGCUCGUCGGAUUGCCGAACCGUCUUCGCCAACGCGUUCGUUUACCUAGCAAUUUGGUUUACGGAGGGUCAAAUGAGAUCAAACCCAUACAUUUUACAAAACCCCAUUCGGAGCCCUAACAUGCAAUUAACCUCUAAAUAAUCCAAAUUAAAUGGAGCAAACAUGUUUAGAAUGCUCAUUAGAGGCUAUUAGAACACUUAAAACUAAGGAUUAAGCCAAAUCCUAAAAGCUUACCUCAAUGUGAACGCCGCGACGAAAACACACCGUUGCAACGGCCGCACGAAAGCCCGAACCGACGCCUCCAAUGCGUUCGCAAGCUCGCUCUCCACCAACCCUCAAAUUAUUAGAGAGAGAUUUGGAGAGAUAAGAGAGAAAUCUAGAGAGAGAAAUAAGGUUUUCUCUCCCCACACCAUGAACGCAUGGUGGUGGUGGCGGUCGGCUGCUUGAGGGAAGAAGAAGACAUGAAGUCUUCUUAUAUAGUCAACACCUCAAAACACUAUUCAUCCAGGCAACUUAAAAUCUGAUAACUUUCGCCGGAGCUCCCUGAAUGUCCGUUUGAGCUCAAACUUGACAGUCAUGUUCGGUUUUACUUAACUUAACAAGCUGACGAUCACUGGUUCAGUUUCGACCCCGUUUGGUCACUGAAAACUGUACCGAACUGCAAUCUUUAUCAGAUAGCUUUCGAAUUUUAUUUCUCACUCUACGGGUGUCAGAAAAAUAUGAAACCUUAAAUCUAGCCUCAUAAAAAUAUUUCUGACUUAUCCUCCAAUUUUCAUAAUUUUCUGAGACUGUGCAUUUUCAGCUAAUUUAUCUGUCCCGUUUCCAACAGAAAAUUCUAAAUCUUCUGUUUUCAUUCCGAUUUCAGCACAAGUCACUUCUGACUUAUGUUUUACUUCUACAAAUCCAAUAAAAAUAGUUUUCCACACUAUUUUUAUUUAUUUUUUUAUUUUUUUAUACCAAAAUCUGGUAUGUUACACUAUCACUAUGUCAUCAUGUCUAAAACAUGGAAUAUAGUCGAUGUCACAAUGGCCUAUCACUAUAUCUCUAUGUUGUAGUUUUACAGUUUACUAGUUCGGUGCUCCUUUAUGGCACUUUUGUUCACUUUGCCCAAACAUGAGUUUAGUGUUCAAGAAUACAUAAUUCGAGUCAUUUUUAUCAUAGAGGACAUAUUUCCAACUUACAAUAUAGAAUACUUUUCACAUGCAUGCCUAAUACACAUAUAGCUCUACUAUAUAGAGUUGAGUUUUCACGAUACAUAACACAUGAAUUUUAAGUAUCCUAAAAUUCAUAAAAAUUCUAUCUAGCAUGAAUAUGCAUACAUUUCGAUGAUACGACAAGUAUAAAACACAUAGGGGAUAUUUCUCCCCUAUUUCAUGAAGUCAAACCCACCGUGACUUCUCGAAACCCUUCGUUUGCGCCGACGAAGGUGUCCGCUACUCUCCUAGUACCCUAAAGGUAACAAAAUGAGGGAUAUACGAACGUUACGAACAAUCAUAAGCUCAAACAUUAAGCAACUCAAGCAUAGGUGAAGGAAACUCACCGAAUGUGAAGAAAACCCCUCACGAUCUCCAAAAGGGAGUUAGAGGCCUUCUAAUCCAACCUAAACAAAGGUUCUACGAAGAUCAAUUGGGCUCCAAAACUCUCAAAUCCAAAAUCCCCAUUACUAACCCUACUAUGCUCAAUCUAGGGUUUCCUUAGUAAAAGCGACUAAAACAUGAAUCAAGAAGUAGAUUAGGCUUACUAACCUCACAAGAGCUCCAAAACAAGGCUCCAAGUAAGUUAGGGUUGAAGAUCCUCCCUCCACAAAGCUCCAAUCACGAGCUCAGGACUUCUCCCAUGGUAGAAACCAACAAGAAGUAAGAAGAGGCAAAGAGGAGGAGAUCAAAAACUAGCUAAAACCAUCAAAAAUGGAGAAGAAAUCAAAGGGAAGGAGGCUCACCUUGUUCUCCACUGGUUAGGGCUCAAAAAAGCUGUCAAAGGGGGCUGGGGUGGGUUAUAUAGAGUUUGUAACAAUUGUAAAUACACCCCUCCGCAAAAACAGCUCGCACUGCAUUGUGUACUGGUACACGAAAAAGUGUACCGGUACAAAUCCUGCGAGACAGCAAACCCGAGCCUCGGGUUGGCCAUUCACCACAUCUAUACCGGUACAACCAUCAAGGUCUACCGGUACACUUUUGUACCGGUACAACCAUCAAGUGUUAAGUCUUGUGUGUUCGCAAGUUUCGUGAAGUGACUCGGAGUCUUGAUGGAUCGAUGCGUAUCGUCGAAGAUCGAAGAGUCCAAGACUUCGAAGAAAGCAGAAUUAACUCACUAUGUGAAUCACGAUGCCCAGGUAAGCUUUUAAUUCAUGUUAUGGUGAUUCAUACUUAGUUGUAGGCAUAUAUUAGAAUCAUAAUACCAAAGUUUACUGGAUUAGAAAGUGUGUUGGUACUUUGCAAAACCCAAAACCGUGCAAAAAAUAAGUUUUUGCAAAGUGUACUGGUACAACAUCAGAAGUGUACCAGUACACAUUCUGUUUCGGUACAACCAGUGACUUGUCACCGGUUACAGUAUUACGCAGGUUUUCUCUUCUAUUAUCGUGUAACCGGUAAUAGCUUAAAGUGUAUCGAUACACAAUGUAAUUUUCGGAAAAAUUUUCCAACCCGACUCUAAUUGAUUCUAAAGUCUAUAAAUAAGCUAUUGGGGUUCUCUAACUCAUCAAGCAUCACGAAAAUACAUGUUUGAGAAACCCUAGAGGCUCGGAUUUCAUCUAAAACCUAUUUUCUACAUAUUAGCCUCUUUUAGGUCAAAUUGAGAUAUUAGAAUUUCAUAUCUAUAUGUCGAUUUGAUCUUCACUUCGCUUGGAGUUCACUUCCCUGAUUUUCAUCGAUACUCUAAGCGAAGGAUCACUGUACACAUGAUGUUCUUCAUGACGGCGUCGUGGAUUCAGCGUGAUUGACGGCGGUUCGUGGAUUCGGAUCGUGAGCUUCGUGGAUUCGGAGUGGAGGCGUUUUGUGGAUUCGGAACGUGGCGUUCGUGGAGUCGAACGUGGGGGCGUGGACAACCCAGAGGAUUGCGCGAGAUUCAUAAGAGAUUAAGAGAGGUCGAGUCCGUGGAGUCGGUAAUCACCUUGUAAUCUUUUCUCUUAGUGAAUUAUUUUUUCACGUGUUGGUCCCGUGGGUUUUUCUCCAAGUUGGAGUUUUUCCACGUAAAUCUCGGUGUGAUUUUUAUUUUCCGCAUUUAUUUUUAUCGCGUUGAGAUUUGUGGUUUUUGGCCGUUACACCUAUUCACCCCCCUCUAGGUGUUAGAUACAAUCUAAAUAGAUCCUUGGGCUCCUCAAACUUUCAAUUGGUAUCAGAGCGGGAUCUAGAUAAAUUGUUAUCUAAUGGCCGAAGGCGGUAACAUUAAUCGACCACUACUCUUCAAUGGCACGAAUUAUGCCUAUUGGAAAGUUCGCAUGAGAGCUUUUCUAAUCGCAAUCGAUGAGCGGCUGUGGAAAGCUAUUGAAUUCGGAUGAAAACAUCCUACCGAAGUUGUCGAUGGUGCUACCGUCCCUAAACCGCGGAACAAGUGGACAAAAGAUGAGAACGAGUCAUCUUCGUUUAACGACAAGGGCAUAAACGCUUUAUUUAACGCAUUGUCGCAAACGGAGUUUACUCAAGUAUCGGCAUGUGAAACAGCAAGGAAAAUUUGGGAUACUCUACAAGUUACGCAUGAAGGAACUAGCUUGGUAAAGGUUUAAAAAUUACAAAUGUUGACAAGCAAAUUUGACUCAAUUUUUAUGGAAGAAAACAAGAUCUUUACCGAGUACUAUACUCGAUUUCAAGACAUUGUUAAUACAUGCGCUAACUUGGAAGAGAGAAUCCCGGAUUCUAAGAUUGUUCGAAAAAUUCUUGACUCUUCCGGAACGCUUUCGGGCAAAAGUUGCCGCGAUCGAAACUGUUAAGCAUCCGGACGAGAUGAAAGUCGAAGAGUUAGUAGGUGCUUUGCAAACUUAUGAGAUGACUUUUCCUACUAAUCAAUCUUCUUCGAAGUCUUUUUCUAAAAGUAAAGGGAUUGCACUCAAAUCGACAAAGAAAGAAGACGACAACUCGGAUUCCGACGGAGAUAUUUCGCUCGCCAAUUUCGAACAUCAAUUAGCGCUCCUAACGAAGAAGUUCCGACGGAAUUUUCGGAAGAUUAAAUCGGACAAGGCUUUAUCGUCUAAGCAACAAUCUUUUUCUAAAUCAUCUUCAUCUUCUAAAUCUAAGGAUAAGAAAUUUGCAAAAUCUUCAAAAGAAAAAGAUGAAUUUGAAGGGAAAAUCCAAUGCUACAAAUGUAAAGGCUACGGUCACAUUACGACGGAUUGUCCUUCUAAGAAAACCUUUAGACCGAAGGCUUUGCAAGCGAAAACUUAGGAUGAUUCAACUUCAAGUGAAUCAUCUUCAAGUGACGAAGAAAAGAAUGAUUUGCUUUGUUUACUAAUACCUCUUUACCUUCGUCUAACGUUGUUUGUUUUUCCUCAAUUGUUUCUAAUUCUAGUAUUUCUCCUUCCUUGCAUGGGUCUUUAAGCGAUAACGGCGAAAGCGAGGAGGAAUCAAACGACGAGGAUAUAGCGGAAGCGUAUAAUCAACUCCUUAUUGAAUCCAAAAAGAUGACGAAACUUAAUAAGAAGUUGAGGCGUCGUUUGUUGGAUAUCGAAGAGGAAAACAACAACUUGAAGAUAAUGAAUAAAGCACUUGAGGAGGAAAAGGAAUCGAUUUCGAAGAAUAAUUUGAUCCUCCAAGAGAAGCUUGAUGAAGCGGAUUCAACAAUCAAAUCAUCUAAAAACAAGAUUGGAUUUUUGGAGCAUCAAUUUGAGGAAUCGCACAAAUCCAAUCAAUCCUUGACCGAUAAAGUUCGUCAACUAAAAUCCGAUAUUCAAAAAUUCUCUUCGGGAUCGAGAAGAAGUUGGACCAUAUGCUCGGGUUGGGUCAAACGAAUAAGUUGGGCCUCGGAUAUGAAAGAACAUGUGUUGAGAAGGUUUCAAAAUCAACUUCUAAAGUCUCAACAACUUUGAAAGAGGAGGUGUGUCAUCAAUGUGGCAUCAAAGGACACAUCAAAAGAAGUUGCCUGGAAAAGGGAAAGAAGAAUCAAUCAGCAACUUCGAAACAUCAAGCGGUACCCUCGUCUACUCGACUUCCUCCACGGAAUCAAAAGAAAAAUCAAUUAAGUCGAGCACCUCGAGGUAACCGAUUUUCUCGCACGCAAUGUCAAGUUCAACCGAACCUACAUGCAAACCGGACUUCAAAGUCUCAUCAACAAGUUCAAUCGAAGUCACCCACAACAAAACAACCAAAGGUGGAUCAAAAAUCAAAGCAAACGGCACCUAACGUCAACAAGCCGAGACAACCAACGAUCCGACAAGUGUGGAUCCGGAAAGGUGACAUCUUUCCUUGUUUUUCAUCUUAGUUUGUUUUGAUUAUUUAUGUAAUGCUUUGUUUGGUGCUUAUUGCAUAUUUUUUAUUCAUUUACAUGAUGAUUUUCGUGUGUGAAAUUUGUUUUGAGGAAAGGUGUUUGGAAAUUUAAAAUUUUUUCUUUGAGAAAGGAGACGAUUGAAAAUCUUUAUUGUGGAGAGGUUAGAAUUUUUCAAAGUGCCUUAACCGGAAUUCAUCUUGAAUUAAAUUCAUAUUAAUUAUCGGUUUUACUCCACUUUUUAUUAUUUUGACGAUAAUUGAUUAUAUGAAUUCUUAAUACAUAUAUUCAUCAAAAUUGUGAAAUCAAGUUUGAUCUUUUGGUGAUUAAUUCAUCUUUGUUGUAUGUGUUGAACAUGAUGGAUGGAUAUUCACUAAUCGACUAAAAUUUUGUCAAAAUUAUUUUCAAUUGUGAGAUUGUCUAAUUAAGGGAUAGUUUUGAAGUAUUAAAAAAAAAAUGAUACUCCUAUGUUUAAAAGAUGUGGAAAAAGUUACAUUCUAAAAAGGAGUGUGAAAACUACCACCACAUGUAGGAAAGAGCUACCACCCCGGUCGUCCGGUAAGUGUGUGAAGCUACCACAUGGAAUUUAAUUAAAAAGCCAAAACAGUUAAAAAAAAUGAAUAUUUUAGAAUUUUCGGAGUUAUAAGGUGAUAGGAUGAAAACAUGCUCAAAGAGCCACUCCCGGUGCCAUAUUAGUUAAAUCUCUAUUUUGAAAGAAUUGCGACAAAUUGGUGUCAAUUUUAUUGAAUUUCUAAAAAUCAUUUUUCAUCAACAUACAUCUUGAUGGGUUUGAAACAUUAGGUUAUUUUUUAUUUCAAAUUUUUAUGUUUCGAUGUAUUUUGACCAUAUAAGAGUUUAUUUUCAUCAUAAUGAUUUUUGGAGUACAAUUCUUAAUUUUUAUGACAUUAAUUUAAUUUUGAAGAGUUUUUGAAGGAAAAAUUUUAAAAUUUUCGAAAUCUGCGAAAGUGUACCGGUACAAAAUAACGUGUAUCGGUACAAAACACUUAUACCGCGUUAUUAUAACCGGUUACAGGGCUCGGUUCUCUUUCAAAUCUUAAUCAAAAUCUCUCCUCUCUCUCUCUAAAAUUCCCUGGUGCCUUCCUCCUUCAGAUCCACGUGUUUCCUCUCUAGACCUGUAAGUAUUUCUUUCAGAUUUGCUUAUUUCAUCCCGGUUUUGCAAUUUUUUCAAAAUUUUCCGAGUUGAAGCAUGAUCUCUAUUCUUAAUCGGUUUUUAUGCAAUUUUUUGCUGUGAAUCAGUAUUUAGACAUAUAAUCUUGCUUCUAAAACACUUAGAUCAGGUUAUAACGCUGUAUUUUUUGCUGAUCUGUAAUCUGUACCUCAAUAUACAUGAAAUUUUGAAAUUUUUAAUAAAAUAUCGUUUUUUGAUGAAAAUUUGUGCAUGAUUCUGUUAGAAAUAGCGUUAUUCUGCUUUCUAAUAAUAUUAGAAUUUUUUUUUCACUAUUUUUAGCGAAUUUUUCAAAUUUUAUUUAUGCACGGCUCACUUUUUGUAUAGGAUCAAUGGCAUUCUCGCUGGUUUUACUGCUUUUGGUGCUGAUGGCCACUGGUCGUGGUCGUGGGCGUGGCCGCGGGCGUCGAGGGACGUCCAAAAGGACUCAUACUACAGGCGAGUCACCCGGGUCUAAUCCGGAUUACCAGGCAUGUUCGCCUGAGGCUACUGAAAAACUGACUGCUUGAGUUGAUAAAGGAAAAGGAAUAGCUGGUGAAUCCUCCCGCGGAGGUGGCGCUCGUGCACGAGAGACACGAUCAAAGCAAGCCGCGGAUGUUCUACUGGAGCGGCGGAGGACAUUUCGAGCAGGUCAUGCAUUGCUGAGCGAUAUGUCAACUUCCAUGAACUAAUCCAAGAGGUUCCAGAUUUUGGUUGCUUACUUCAGAGGGUCCCCAUUGAGCCAGUUGGACGUGUUCCAGCUCGAUCUCCUUUUUGUGUGGAACUCAUUCGGGAGUUCUACAUGAAUGGGAAGAUGUGUGCUGAGGACGAAAAGACCGGGACUUAUCUUCUUGAGACCUAUGUACGUUGGGAGAGGGUUCUAGUCACUCCGCACACGAUUGGAGAGUUGUUGGGCAUAUAUGUGGACACGACAGGACUUCAUCAUACUACUGGGAUUUAUCAGUUUUCGUCUCACUGGGAGACAGUUGUUCGUGCGAUCUGCAAGGAUGGAGUGCGAAAAAAUCAUGCAUACGUGGAAUCCAAGGACAUGCGACCCGAGUAUCAUUUACUCUCCUUGGUGAUGUGCUACAAUGUUCAACCUACAAUUGGAACAAAAAGGAUUCGUUGGGAUUGUCUGGUGCUUCUAUAUCUUCUUGGACAUCCUGAGCAAGCGGACGGGUUAAACAUCAAUAUUCCCUUUCUGAUGUGGCAAAGAAUGGCACAUGUUAUACAGUCUCUAAUUCGACGUGAUCUACUUCCGUUUCCGUUGUUGAUCACGAGGAUUCUGCAAGAAUACAGAGUUGACGUGUCGUGUGAGAAGUACGACACUGGCCUUGGACCGAUCGAUGCAGUAACUUGGGCCAAGUCCGUGAGCACCUUGAAGACAUUUCAGCAAACAAAGGGAUCUUCCAGAGCAGCUUCCAGUUCCGCACCUCCACGUCAUGCAGAGCGCAAGGGAUCUUCGAGCUCAGGGGGAAGUGAUUAUUGUAGAAUCACUUCAUCAUGAGGUGCGAUCAUUAGAGAAGAAGGUGGCAAAUCUUGCUAAGAAGGUGGAGGUGGGUAUGAAGAGGAUAUUGGAGAAACUUGGGUAUAGGCAUGACGACAUUUUUCUUACUCAGCCUGCCUACACCACCUACACGAGAUCGACUUCGUGACAUCCACUAAUUCCACCAUCCACCGGUACUCCUGAGGCUGGGGGAUCUGGAGCUGGAGCUGGAGACGAUGAUGAUGAUGAUGAUGAUGAUGACGAGGACACUGAGUGACUUCGUCCUCGAGCUCUGUUUUUCUACUUUGCUUUUUAGGAUGAUGUUUAGUUUAGUUGUGCUUGUUGCUUUACUUUGCUUUUGCAUUUAUUUUCUUUUAGACCUGUAACUAUAACAUGACUACUCUUAUGCUUUCUAGUAUACUUUUUCUAUUUAUAUGCUUUGUCUUUGGCAAUUUUUUGACAAAAAGGGGGAGAGCAAUGAUCUAGUAUGCUUUUUCUAUUUAUAUGCUUUGUCUUUGGCAAUUUUUUGACAAAAAGGGGGAGAGCAAUGAUCUAGUAUGCUUUUUCUAUUUAUAUGCUUUGUCUUUGGCAAUUUUUUGACAAAAAGGGGGAGAGCAAUGAUGAACAGGUAUUGAUCAUAGCAAAGGAGAAGAAGGAAUAAAGAACAAAGGAGAAGAAGGAAUAAAGAACAAAGGGGGAGAAGGAGUGAAAUUCCGAGGAAAAGAAGGAAUGAAAAUUUGAGAACAAUGAAUGUAAGAAUGUCCAAUGAUCUCAACUUUCUAUAUCAUUUGGGAUGAAUUGUUUUGCAGAAAAUCAAGACUUCAAGACUCCUAGUUGCGUCUAAGUCAUAGAGUCUGUUAUAGGAGUUUUUGAUGUACUUUUGAGUUUCAAAUUGUAUUUCAAGACUCCUAGUUGCGUCUAAGUCAUAGAGUCUGUUAUAGGAGUUUUUGAUGUACUUUUGAGUUUCAAAUUGUAUUUCAAGACUCCUAGUUGCGUCUAAGUCAUAGAGUCUGUUAUAGGAGUUCAAUAUUUUGGUGAUGACAAUUGAACUUCGAUUCUUAUUAUGUAAUUUUGAGUUUGUAAGUUUUGUCACAAAAUUGCCAAAGAGGGAGAUUGUUAAGUCUUGUAUGUUGGCAAGUUUCGUGAAGUGCGUCGGAGUCUUGAAGGAUCGGUGCGUAUCGUCGAAGAUCGAAGAAUUCAAGACUUCGAAGAAAGCGGAAUUAACUCACUAUGUGAAUCACGAUGCCCAGGUAAGCUUUUAAUUCAUGUUAUGGUGAUUCAUACAUAGUUGUAGGCAUUGGUGUCACGCCCCCGACCGCACUACCCGAAAACAGUACCAAUUUGGUCCGUUUCGAGGGCGGCGUGCGUGAUGCCGAACGGACGGAGUUUCCCCUGUCCGUCCAAGGCUGAGCAACAGAUUGUGUACAACAAGUCCCCAGAAAAAACAACUUGCAUUCAUACACAAUCAACAACGAAACGAGAGCACAAACAGUGCUACAACCAACUAGAGCAAGCGAUACAAGUAAAAUCAUACAAGUAUACAAAAGAGAGAAACUUAACUAUUUGAAUCAUCAUUGAAACAUUUAACCUCUUUCGAUAUCAUUUAAACUUUAAUCAUUUAGUACAACUUGCAUUCUUUCUCAAAACGAAAAUACUUCAUAUACUCUCCAAAAUCUCACCCUAUAUAACAUCUACUCUCAAGGGUAUAAAACAAAAGUACAAGGUGGUGCUAAUGCAAGUAGGUAAAGUAAGCUAUCUACCAAAAGCUAGGGCGCUAUGCCCUUACCGCGAUUCAUCGAUGAAGGCCCGCUGUCCUGUGUACCUGUACCCCCAAAACCACACGGGGGUGAGAACUACGAAUAGUUCCCAGUGGGUUCGGCCGCCGACUCCGCCGAUCUACCCACUAGGUCUUAAGCAGGCAUAGAGAGAUAAAUAUAUGCAAUAUGUAUAAAGCUAGACUGAACUGAAAGCAGGUAUGUAAAACAACUAUAGCAAGUUAUGCCUCAAUCCGGAGUCGUGUAUGUAUGAACAAUAAAUAGUAGGGUAAGCAACUACUAUAAACAUCUACAACAACUAUCAUAGUAAGCUAUAAAACAUGCUACUAGAAAAGCAAGUAAGCUGAUAUGAACAAUGAAUAGCUACUAUGAACAUCAAUCGUCGGUAAAACUCAAUGGGUAACCCAAUCCUCAAGUGAACACAAGGUUCACAAGCAAAGCUCACAUAUCGACCUCCGAGGGAUGCCUAGCUGGACUAUCCCCGAGUACGCCUGCGGAUAACAAGCGGCUAUCCGAGCAGCAAGCAGGGCUGCCUCUCUAGUGACCAACUCCGGAGCGCACAACUUGAGGGGAGCGACCCCACCAAGCGCAGACAGGCUAUGUGAGCAAGAUCAUCUCACG